rnacentral:lncRNA from 1 species
GGCACAUUGGCAGAUGGAAAAGAAAUUGCAGUUAAGAGGCUUUCAAGAACCUCAGACCAAGGACUCAUUGAGUUGAAGAACGAAGUCAUCUUGAUUGCCAGACUACAACACAGGAACCUCGUCCAAUUAUUGGGAUGCUGUUUGGAAGAACAUGAAAAACUCUUGAUAUACGAAUACAUGCCCAACAAAAGCCUGGAUGCCUUCCUUUUUGGUUUGAGCUUUAGCAGAUGCAAUGAAUUUUUGAGCUAGUUAAUUUUAGUUUUAUAAAGUUGAGUUUCAUCUGAGUCUCUCAUCUUUGACAGAUUCGAAUAUAGGGCAAUAUCUAGAUUGGAAGCUGCGCAUGAACAUCAUCUGUGGAAUAGCUCGGGGACUUCUCUAUCUGCAUGAGGAUUCUCGCCUGAGAAUUAUCCACAGGGAUCUGAAGGCUAGCAAUAUUUUGCUAGAUGGCGAGAUGAAUCCAAAGAUAUCCGAUUUCGGAAUGGCAAGGAUCUUCAGUGUAGAUCAAGACAGGGCAAACACGAACAGGGUCGUUGGAACCUAGUAAGUGCCUCAAUAUCUUUCUACGUCCUUUACAUGUUUUGAUUGAUUCAGUAGGCCAACAAAGGACUCUGAUUAUCUGCUCAACAACACCAGAUAGAGCACAUUCAUAUUUCAGAAGUUCCAUACAGAAGUUUUACUUUUCUCUUUUUCUUACUUCCAACUAAUUGUUCUUCAUUACAUAAUUCUGGUUAGUGGAUACAUGGCACCGGAGUAUGCAAUGCAAGGACUCUUUUCUGUAAAAUCAGACGUCUUCAGUUUUGGAGUUCUCUUGCUAGAGAUAGUAAGCGGGUGCAAGAAUAAUGGUUUUCAUCUCCAAGUAAAGGGUGAAAGCCUUCUCACAUUUGUAUGUUCCUAAUCACCAUCCCAGUUUAAUAUGAAAUCAAAGAUUUUCGUGUAGCUAUGCUUGUUAAAUUUCCUUGCUAAAUGACAGGCAUGGAAGUUGUGGUCCGAAGGUCGAGCAUUGGAACUUAUCGAUCCAUUAAUUGAUGAGUCAUGUGGUGAAGUUGAAGUGCUGAAAUGCAUACACAUCGGUCUAUUGUGCGUCCAAGAAGACCCGGCGGAUCGACUGACUAUGUCACUCGUGGUUCAUAUUUUAGCUGGCGAUACUAUCACACUCAGCUCACCAUCGCAGCCUGCAUUCUCCGUUGGGAGAGAUGCGGAAAAACUUAAUCGUGCCUCGACUGUCAAUGGAGUAACCCUUUCGGUUGUUGCGGCUAGGUGAUCAAGUUUUAUACAAUGGAAAUGCUGUUAGAGAUAAUUAUGGUAUAUUUUGUCUUUUAGGACUGUGUAUAUAUAUUUCCAUUGUAAUAUAUUUAUAUCCUCCUACUUUCUAUAUUUUUUAUCACGUAAAGCUGGCUUAUGUUCUCUUCUGUAUAUAUACGGAAUAUAUAGAAAUUAAAGAAUUCUUUCACAUAUUUCUUAUCUUAGUGUUAGAGGUAGACGAUCUUGAGCAAUUUUUGAGUGCUCGAGUGGGACACAUCCGAGUGCACACCCGGAGCACACCUUCACGUAUCGCGUCAUGUGAUUCAUUUUUGUUAUAAUUACUGAUUCCCUUUCUGAACAUCAAUUCUUAAUAUUUUCAUUACGUACGAAUAAACGUCAGCCUAUUGCUGCGUAAUCUACACGUUGGUCGGUUCACUCUUCAGCACAUGAAAUCACCUCUUUGGAUCUUUUCUCCCAACUCCGUUUGACUUCCUCUUCGUCACAUUGAGUUUGAGAGUUUGUUUAAGAUAAUUAAGAUUUUUAACUUGAUCCUCCAUUUUUUAGGGUUGUGAAUAUAUAUUUCACUGGCAUGUGCUAUCAGUAAUUUCUUAUGCAAUGCAAGGACUCUUUUUUGUAAAAUCAGACGUCUCCAGUUUUGGAUUUCUCCUGCUAGAGAUAGUAAGCGGGUGCAAGAAUAAUGGUUUUCAUUUCAAACAGGGUGAAAGCCUUCUCACAUUUGUAUAUUCCUAAUCACCAUCCCAGUUUAAUAUGAAAUCGAAGAUUUUCAUGCAGCUAUCCUUGUUAAAUUUCCUUGCUAAAUAACAGGCAUGGAAGUUGUGGUGUGGAGGUCGAGAAUUGGAACUUAUCAAUCCAUUAAUCAAUGAAUCAUAUGAUGAAGUUGAAGUACUGAAAUACAUACACGUCGGUCUAUUGUGGGUUCAAGAAAACCUGAUGGAUCGACCAACUAUGUCUCUCGUGGUUCAUAUUUUAGGAGGCGAUACUAUCACACUCAGCCAACCAUCACAGCCUGCAUUCUCAAUGUGGAGAGACGUGAGUAAACUUGAUCGUGUCGUGCCUAGUCACGAAGCCUUAACUGUUAAUGGAGUAACCCUUUCGAUUGUUUCGGCUAGGUGACCGAGUAUCAUCACUCUUCCUUCAGUUUAUUUCUCUUUUAUUCAAUGGAAGGUAGAAUGAUAAUAAUUAUGGUGUGUGAUCUCUUUUAGCAUCGUGACUGCCAUUUCUGAAUCAUUUCCGUGAUCAUCAAUUAGUAAGCGCAAGGUUAAAAAGCUUGUUAAUUAGUCAUCAUUUCUGUUCAAUUCGCCGCUUAUGUUCUAUCAGAAUGAUACAUAUAAUUGCUUGAGUAAUAUAUCAAUUCUACAAGUACCCCAUCGAUAUAUUAAAAAAAAAAAGCAUAAAUAAAUUCUAUAUUCUAGCUUUAGUAUAUAUAUUGACACAUAAUUCGUGAAUAAUACUAGGGCAUUUAAUACUAAACUACGGCUAAGUAGGAGGUCCUAAAUUCAAUCUUUUAAGACCCUUAUUUGUCUCUUUUACUAUUAUGUCUACACUUUAAUUUUAGGCCAAAGUUCGGUUUACAUGUGUUGAGGAGUGUCACGACCUCUUAGAAAGCGGGUUGGAUCUAAACUUAACUCGAACUAUCCUAAGCCUAUACCAAUUCACGACUUAGGUUUAAGUUAUUUAACAUGCAAAUGAUUUUUAUUUAAGUGUCGCUACCAAUUAAUUUAUGAUAGGUUGAUUAGAUAACUAAGUAAAAUAAUGUGAGAAUUAUUUUACUCUUACGAAUUAAAGAUUUUGGGUACGGAGACUUGAUCACACUAAAUUACUCUAACACCAUUUUGGUACAUUUUUUCUUUUAUUUUCAAAAAAUGUUUAGCAGGCGCCUUGGAUCAAUUUUAUUACACUUAACAUGUAAGAUAAUCAUGCAGGUGUGCAUAUCACCAAUUUAACAAUGAAUAAAGCAGUAAAUAAAUUGCAGGAGACACCUUAUAGCAAUGAAAACAUCUACAAUAUUAGCUCAGAAUUCACAUCAAUAAUCAUAGAUAUGAUCUAUCAUUAACAUGUAGUUGCUAGGGGUGAGCAUCGGUCCAAGGGUUGACCCUGGACCGGCCCAACCUUGCUGGUUCUGGUCCGGUUCCUAGGGAGACUAGGCCGGUCCUUGAUCCUAGAAUUCCUAGACUAGCACUGUGUUGGUCGAUCCUCAGUCUUGAGAGUUCUGUGUCAGUCCAACCCAGACCAAUCCUGACUAUAUAUAUAAAAUAUUAUUUAUAGUUUUUUAUAUAAAGAAAACCUUAAAAUAAAUAACGUCAACAACAUUAAAUGGCUUUUUAGUGAGGAGUUCAAGUAAUUUUACAUUUUAUUUUAAUAACUUAGAUUUUUAAUGUUUUUUACAGUGUCAACAGUCAUAAUUUACGAAAGAGAAAAAUGUUUUUGUUAUGAGUUCUCAGGGCGUUCAAAAAGGCUUAAAUAGCUCCUUAAGGCAUCCUCAUAUAGUAUUCGUUUUCUUUUGUCUUAUUUGUCAUCUUAGUUUUCAAUUUGCCAAAAUUGAAAGAAACAACUUCUCCGCUUGCUACUUAACACUCACCUAGCUCACUUUGGUCAUUUGUGCUACUCGCUACUCAAUGCUCACCUGACUUGUUGCUCCCCACUCGACAUUCGAUGCUUAUCUUGUUCGAUGCUCACCCCACUUAACCCUCACCACUUGCCUUUUUUAGCUGACCCCUUUCAUCAUCGAACCCGUUGGGUCGGUACGGUCCUCGGUUGCCCUUUUAAGGAGUACAAAAAAUGAAAUAAAAAAUUAUUGAUUGAUCUUGGGUUACUUAGAAACCAGACCAAAUCCAUUGGGUCAAUCCAGUCCUUAAUCGCUUUUUUGAAAAGUACGAAAAAUGAAAUAAAAAAUUAUCGGUUGGUCUCGGGUUGACCUUGGAACCGGACCGAACCCAUCGGGUCAGUCCGGUCCUCAGUCCCAAGCUCAAUAGGGUUGGUUCCCGGUCCCGAAAAUUGAGGACCAAUACUGUAUGGGUUGGUCCUAGAGUUAGGGGUGGACUGACCCAACCUGAACCAUGCUCACCCCUAGUAGUUGCUCAAUUGUUUUUUUUGGGGGGGGGGGUGGUUUGCACUUAUUUAAAUGAAAUCUAUAAACUCUGUGCAAUGCAAUGCAAUGACGUGAUUAUAAUUACUUCAUUACCUUCACCGAUGAUCAGUCACGGUAUGAUUAUUUACAUCUCAUGAAGUAUAAAUCUGAAUCCUUUGAAAAGUUCAAGGAAUUCAAGGCUGAAGUUGAGAAAUAAAUAGGAAAAUGUAUUAAAGCUCUUCGAUCGGAUUGAGGAGGUGAAUACCUUAGUACUGAAUUUCUGGACUAUCUUAAAGAUAAUGGUAUUUUAUCACAAUGGACACCUCCUAGAACUCCAAAACAUAAUGGUGUAUUUGAACAAAGAAAUCGUACUUUAUUAGAUAUGGUGCGAUCUAUGAUGAGUUACACCACAAUAUCCCUUUAGGGAUAUGCCCUUGAGACAGCUGUAUAUAUACUUAACAUAGUACCAUCCAAAUCUAUUCCAACCAUGCCCUAUGAGAUAUGGCAUAGUAGGAAACCUAGUCUUAAUCAUAUUAAGAUUUGGGGUUGUCUAGCUUUUGUAAAAAAGCUGAAAAUGGAAAAAUUGGAGGCAAGAUCUGAACAAGGUCGCUUCAUUGGGUAUCCAAAGGAAACUCUUGGAUAUUAUUUCUAUUUUCAUUCAGACCAAAGAAUUUUGGUAAGCAAGCAUACUUCUUUUCUGGAGAAUCAGUUCGUCCAAGAAGGUGGUGUUGGGCGGAAAACAGUCUUAUAAGAAGAAAAUAAUGAAUUACCAAAUAACCAAGUUCAGAUACUAAUCUCUGAUUCAGUGGGAAAUUCUAAUACUCUACCUCUUAGGAGAAGUGCGAGAACAUCUCACUCACUUGCUCGUUAUAGACACUUGGUUGAUCAUAUUGAACCAUUAUUCAUUGUGAAUGCUAGAGAUCAACUUGGUGAUUCUAAAACCUAUGAUGAGGCGAUGUCGGACAUCGAUUAUGGUAAAUGGCUAGAAGCCAUGAAAUUUGAAAUGGAUUCAAUGUAUUCCAAUGAAGUUUGGACCUUAAUUGACUUGCUUGAUGGUAUUAUACCAAUUGGCUGUAAAUGGAUCAUCAAGAGGAAGAUGAAUGCCGAAGGUCAAACUAGAACUUACAAAGCACAGCUGGUGGUGAAAGGAUAUCGUUAGAAAAAAGGAAUUUAUUAUGAUGAAACUUUCUCACCCAUGGCCAUGCUAAAAUCCAUUUGAAUUAUGUUGGCUAUAACUGCACACCUAGAUUAUGAGAUAUUCCAGAUGGAUGUCAAAAUGGCUUUUCUAAAUGGUUUUCUCAAAGAGGACAUCUAUAUGGAACAGCCACAGGGUUUUGAAUCCAAUAGUGAAAAACGGAAGGUGUGUAAGCUUAAAAGAUCCAUUUAUGGACUUAAACAACUCUUCAGAAGUUAGAAUAUCUGUUUUAAUGAGGUAGUCAAAUCAUUUGGCUUCAUCAAAAAUCCGGAUGAACCUUGUGUAUACAAGAAGAUCGGUGGGAGUGCAAUUGUAUUUCUAGUUUUGUAUGUCAAUAAUAUACUUUUGAUUGGAAAUGAUGUACCAAUGAUAUCAUUGAUAAAACUAUUAUUGUCACAGAAAUUCUCCAUAAAAGAUUUAGGAGAGGCAACCUACAUUUUAGGUAUCAAGAUCUAUAGAGAUAGAUCAAGAUGAUUGAUUGGCCUUUCAUAGUUUAGGUAUAUAGACAAAGUGUUAAUACGUUUUAACAUGCAAUGUUCCAAUAGAGAAUUAUUGCAUUUUAGGCAAGGGAUCCAUCUUUCUAAAGAGAUGUGUCCCAACACUCAUGAAGAAAGAGAGCGGAUGGCAAAGAUACCAUAUGCAUCUGCUAUUGGAAGCAUAAUGUAUGGUAUGCUAUAUACUAGACUUGAUAUUACACAUGCUAUAAGUAUUACUAGUAGAUAUUAGUCUGAUCCAAGAGAAGAGCACUGGAUAGCAAUCAAGAAUUUUCAUAAGUACUUGCGAAGGACUAAAAUCUAUUAUUGAUAUAUGGAGAAGGAGAAUUUAAAAUUGUAGCUUAUACCGAUUCCAAUUUUCAAUCAGAUUCUAAUGAUUAAAAGUCUACGUCUGGGUUUAUCUUUACAUUCAAUGGUGGUGCAGUUAGUUAGAAGAGUUCUAAGCAAAUCAUAACUGCCGAUUCCACUACUAAGGCAAAGUAUGUAACCGCUUUUGAAGCAACAAAGGAAGCUGCUUGGAUGAAGAAGUUUAUUUUUGAACUUGGAGUUGUUCCCUCAGUUAAGCAACUGAUUACAUUGUUUUGUGACAACAAUGGGGGGAUAGCUCAAGCCAAGGAAUCAAGGUCUCACCAAAAGUCCAAGCACAGUGAGAGAUGCUUCCAUCUCAUCAGAGAAAUUGUUGGGAGAUGUGAUAUCGCUUUGCAAAAAAUUUCCUUAGUAGAAAACGUGGCAGAUCCCUUCACUAAGGCCCUAUUUUAGUCUUCUUUUGAAAGACAUAUUGACAAAAUGGGUUGAGGUACCAGACAAGUUGGAUUUAGUGCAAGUGGGAGAUUGUUGAAUGUAUGCCUUAAAGCUACUAUGUAAUAGUUACAUGUUAGGGAUUUCAGUUGUACUAUCAUUAUUAUUAUUUAAUUAAUGGCAAUGACGUAUUCAUUCAUUUGUCAAAUUAUUUUAUAUUUAUAAAUGAUUUCAUAAGAUUAGUUGUAACUAGACCUAUUAUUAAAACAUUAAGAAUAUAUGUGACAGGGUUAUAGUUAGACCGAAUAUUUAAAUCGUUCCUAAUUGAGACAGGUGUGUUCAUAACUUCAACAAUAACUUCACCAUUAAGUAUUUGAUACUUAAGGGAAUGAUGAGUCACAAGUUAUUGGGUAAUGUGAUGCCUAAAUUAAGAACACGAGUGUUUUUUUUUGGUACCUAGGGAACCUCCGUGCGCCGCUUCGCGGCGGAGUAAACCCUGGAGGAGCAGUAGAGUCACCACCACCCUUGCUGCCUCGGAUAAGUCGUGGGUUCAUUUCUCGCAAGGCAGACAACACAGCGAUUUGAACUUAGGACCUCUCCUGAAAGGAACCUGCGCUCAACCACUACGUUGCCACCACAGGUGGUUAAGAAUACAAGUGUUUGUAUUAGACAAGUUCACUAAACGUGACACAUAUGGAACAAUUAGCAACAUGAAAGUUAUUAGCGUGGUCAAUGUCUAAUUGUUCAUGCUUUGGUCUUGUGUAAUUAAUCUUUAGACCUGAGAUACAGUGUUAACUUGUGUGUCGAACAACUAUGGUUCACAGGUGCACGUAAUGCCGGGUCGUUGAUCUGUCUUUAUACCUGAUGGUCAUAGUUUGUUUAUAUACAAAGUUGCACAUGUGCGCAAUAUGAAAUAUGUCUCAUUGUUACAUAUAAGGUAUAAUAAUGAUGUCCUAUGUGAUCUAAUUAUGACAUUGCAUCGAAAUCCUCGGCUGAGAUUGUAACCGAGAAUAAAUUGUUUAUAUCUCAAAUAAUAUGCACGUCAAUUAGAUUUGUAUAUAUGAUUGAAUUUGUGACUUGACAAAUAUUCCAUGGUCUUUAUUUGAUCGGGACAUAGUAAGAUAAAGUGAUUGAAUUACACUAUAGCAAAAACUAAUACGUUCAUUAUGUUCUUAAAGCAUUCAUACUAUCUAAGUAGCCAUGAUAGAUUGCUAGAUGUCAAUCAUGGCUUGUAGGACCAAAAGAUUAAUCGAGACAAUUAAUUCUUUUGGGAGUACUAAUAUGUUAGUACAAGUCUUACCAUCAGCUUAGUGAUGAACCUAGGGAUGUCACACACCAUAAACAAUUAGGAUAACGUGGAACAAGAGAGAAAUAAUGUUGUAAAUGUGUUUGCAAUUAUUGCAAUCGAAUUGAGUCGACUUGAAAUUAAAUUAAAUAAGAUUUACUUUAAUUUGCAUUAUAGUCAUGAGCCUACUUGCAUAUGAUGCACUUGCAUGCCCAAAGUGAAUACAUAUUAAUAUAUUCCAAAUGUAAAUAUAAAAAUUAUGUUCUUUUUAUUUUUAAGGGGAUUGAUUAAUUAUUUAUUUAUUCAUUUAAUUAAUUAAUUAAUUAAUUAAAGUGGAAAUGGUCAGCAAUUCUUGCUGACCAUUUGGCAUGAAUCAUUGUGAACAUGUACGAUUGUGCAUGGUUGCUCAUCGUUUAUUUUUUUUUUUUUUUAAAUACUGCUUAACGAAGGGCUGAAAAGAUGGUUGUUGAAAAUAGAAAAACGUGUGCAUGUUCUUGUGUUUUUUGAGAUGCGAGAAAGAAGAGGCAUUCUCUCUCGUUUGAGUUGUGACUAAAAACAUCAAGGAUACGACGGAUUGUCUCCACGAGAUUGCUAGCACGAUCAUAGUGGUGAUUAUCCGAAAGUUCUCUCUUUCAUUCGACAUCCAUUAUUGGUGUGUCUGAACUAAAGGUCCAACGUUUGUGGGAUUCGAACUGAAGAACAUUCGAACCAAUUUGUUUAAAGCGUGAUUCGAGAGAUAAUUCGUUUAAUUCCCUUUUCAUAUUUAGAUUUUUUAUUAAAGCACACGAACAACGCAUUCGAAGAAUCAUGUAUAAAAUAUAUUAUGUUUGUUUCUGCUACGUUCUUUUUUUGUUAAUUUUACCUAUACAUAAUUCGUGAAACCCCAACAGAUAAUAGUCGUUGGUGGGAACUCAGCAACAGGAAGUGAGUUGCGGCCGUCGAUAGAAGGAGUUGAGCUGAAGUGUCAAGCACCGUUUCCAUGAAUGUGUCAGAUAGGACGCGGGUCUUCUCUUUUUGCUUUUUCACUGGAUAGUAUCUUUCGAGAUGAAAGUGUCCUCUUCUCUAUUCACAGACCUUGGGAACCAGCAAGAAGAGAGAAAAUAUUGGCUGUAGCUAUGAGGCCAGCUCAGCAAAAAUUCAGUCUACAGCCUCACAAGUCAUUUUCUGUCUCCACUUCUCCCUCCCUCACCCUUUCUUCUCUCUCUUCACAUCUUCCUCUUUUUCUCUCUCCUUCGCCUAACCCCUUUUCCCUUCUUCGACCUUGACCUUGAGCUCGACCUCAAACACACUGCCAUUGCUUUCGGCACGUUGUCUCUAUCUAUGCCUCCAUCUUCGCUUAAUUCUUCCCCGACCUCCACUGCCGCCACCUCUUGUUCAACUCUUCCUGUGUCCUCUGUGUUUGCACUUGCGUCGACCAGGAGGUGGAGGUCCUACACGCGUCGACGAACCAUGCCUUUGCCGCCACCUCGCCGUUUCCUAAGCCGACCCUAGUCAACCUUGAACCAACCCAAAUUUGAGGUUAAUCUGAGGCUCAAGUUCGCCAGCCAAGCUCGAGCUCAAUGAUAGAGGAUUGAGACGGCGAUGAGAUGGUCGACUGAGAUGGUAGUGAGGAGGUGGUAGUUACGUCUAUGCUUGUCCCCGUCGGAGUGAAAGGAAGAAGAAUUUUUUUUUAAAAAAAAAAAGAAAAGAGAAAAGGGGUUAGGCGGAGGACACAGAGGAAGAGGAGACGUGAAGAGGAAGAUAGAAAAAUAAUUCUCUCUCUCUCUCUCUCUCUCUCUCCACGCCAUCUCCUUGGCAUGAUUUCCCUCAAUGUGCUGCCUAUUCUAGUGUGUGUGGCCCCCUUUCUUUUGCAAAUCACACUGGUUUUUAUAAUGCCCCCUCACCAACUUCCUCUUAGGAUAUCAGCAUAUUUUCUUUCUUUAUUUCAUCAACAAAAAGUUCUUAAUUUUGCCGAUCGAAUCCCACCUCAACGUACUUUUUUCUUUUAUUUAUGAAUAUAUGAAAGAUCCACCACCAUAUGAUUUUAUCUUUUUGUUUCUUUUCGUUGGCCAAAUUUUUCUUCUAUGCUUUUGAACGACUAUUGGAAGAAUAAUACCGAUUUUUUCUGAAAUAUACCAAUCUUUGAACUCGUCUCUCCUCAUAAGUCAAUUUUCAGCCAUUAAAGAAUGACAGGCUUGGCCAUGUCCUUCUCACUAUGGGCUUGGUCCAACUAGUUAAAUUAAAGCUCAAAACCAUCCAUUCAAACCCAUCUAUCACUGGUCCAAUGCAAACGCAAUAAUAAAAACAAUAAUAAAUGCUCCCAAAACUAUAUGCUAUGUAAUUUAAUAUUAAUAUUUUUGUUUACGGGUUAAAAAUUAAUAUCUAAUUUUCUAUGCAAUAAAUAAAUGAUUAGAUCGCCAAAAUUUAGGUAUCAAUAGCUGCUCAUCUUUGAAGGUGAGCUCAUAAAGGUUGCAUACAAAAACAAAUUGAGACCUAAAUUUUUACCAUGCAAAUAUAAUGUGAUAAAUUUUUAUGUGAGGACAUGUGUUUUGAUGAACCCAUGCCCAUUUUUUAACGUAAAAUAUGAUGCAAAUGCUAAUAAAGAAAUAGAAAACAUACCUUUAGUUACUCACCUGAGGAUUUGAGAAAGUAAACUUGGAUAUAGGGAUUUUAUAAACCAUGGGUUAUGAAAGCUCGCCAUGCUGAUGAAAAGAACUUCGAGUUACAGAAGUACGUCACGUCAAUAGAAAGAGACUCUGGGCUAUGAAAGCAUGCCAAGUCGAUGAAGAAGAACUCUUAGUUAUGGAAGCACACCAGCUUAAUAAAGAGACUCUGGGUUAUGGAAGCACAUCGUGUCGAUUAAGACAGAUAUCAGGUUAUAGAAGCACGCUGUGUUGAUAGAAAUAGACUCUGGGUUAUGGAAGCGCACUAGGUUGAUGUAGAGAUUCCGGGCCACGGAAGCACUUCGUGUUGGUUAAGAGGGGCAUUAAGCUAUAGUAGGACGCUAUGUCGAGAGACUCUAGGCUACAAAAGCAUACCAAGUAGAUGUAGAGGAACUCUGGGCUACAUAAGCACGUCAGGUUGAUAAAGAGAUUCCAAGCUACAGAAGCACACUAUGCCAAUUAAGAGGAGACUUCGGGCUAAGAAAGCAUACUGUGUCAAUAGGAAUAGACUAUAGGUUAUGGAAGCAUGCCAGAUUGAUGUAGAGGAACUCCAGGCUAUGGAAGCACACCAGGUUGAUGAAGAGACUCCGAGCUAUGAAAGCAUAUCAUGUCAAUUAAGAGUAGACUUCGAGCUAUGGAAGCACGCCAUGUCAAUAGGAAGAGACUUUGGACUAUGGAAGCAUGCUAGGUUUGAUGCAGAGGAGUUCUAAGCUAUAGAAGCAUGCUAGAUUGAUGAAGAGACUCCAAGCUAUGGAAGCACACCGUGUUGGUUAAGAGGAGACUUUAGAUUACGGAAGCACACUGUGUUGAUAAGAAGAGACUCCAAGUUACAAAAGUAUGCCAGAUCACUAUAGAGGAACUUUGGGCAACAGAAGCAUAUCAGGUUGGCAAAGAGAUUCUGGGCUACGGAAGCACAUCAUGUUGAUUGAGAGAGACAUCGAGUUACGGAAGCACAACAAGUCAAUGAAGAUAACUCUAGGCUACGGAAGCACACUAGUUCAAUAUAAAAGAACUCUAGGCUAUGGAAGCACACCAGAUUGAUAAGGAGACUCUGAGCUACGGAAGCAUGCCAUGUCGAUUACCUAUGGAGAUAAAAUUCAAGAAUGUUUAGAUGCAUUUCGAGGCUUCAGAGAGUAAUUGGAACAUCGGGUAUUACUUGAUCUUCAAGGAAAUAUUACCUGUCAAACAUGGUUAGAGCUAAAACAUAUAUGUAGUCAUCAAAGAAAUAGACAAUCUGAGCUACUCUAGAAUGCACACUCCAAAGUCCACUAAAGCUUUUAUCAAUUCAAUCAAUGUUUAUGCAUAAUGAUUCUACCAUAUUUGCACCACCAAAUUUCCACUGGAGAGAAUUAUCAUUCAAGACAAUUUUCACUUAUAAUUUCAACUUCUUGAAAACGUUAAUUGAGAGAUUUUUAGUUAGAAAGGACUUUCACUCACUUCAUUUAGAAAUGCUAUUUUAUGAGAAUCAUUUCAUCUCACCAUCAUCAUAUUGACAAGGGUCUAAGUAUUCUCGCGAGCGGUACAACCUUACCAAUCCGAGAGGAAUUUUUUAGGACCGUAAUGUAGGCUUGGUCAAUGACUUAACAAAGGGGGACUCUUUGAGUCAAGGUUGUUGAAAGAACAAAACUCCACAAUCAUCUCCGGGUUUACAAGUCAAGAAAAUUGCGAAAUGAGAUAGAAAUAAUCUUGCUCACACUUCUUCGAGCAAUGUUUAUAAACAUAUGAACACCUAUGUUAAUUCAAGUGCCAUAAUCUAAAAAAACUUUGCAAGGAACAAAACAUAGGCUAGGUUUAUAGGUUGAAAAAUGAAAUGAUUAUUAGGCUCAAAAUGUGUAUAGAGGGAUAAGAGUUGAUGAUCAUCUUGGCAUUGCCAUUAGUUUUCUUCUUAACCAUCGGGGAUUGUCUUCAUAAUACUCCAUUGAUUGCAACACCUUGGUAUUUGGGUACUUUGAUUAUUGCUCCAUUGGGGAUAUAUCUCUUGAUAACCGAUGGCCAUCUAUCUUGACUUUUUUUUUUUCAUUUUCCCCAUGGACAUUGGCCUUAUUUUUACUAGGCACACUGCUUUUUCGUGUCCUUAAAUUUCAUUCAUUUUUUCUUCACCUCUUUUUUCAUGAACAUUGACUUUACUUUUAUUAGGCACACUACUUUUUCACGCUUCUUAGUUCUAUUUUGAUUUCAAGUUUUGACUUUUGACACAUUGUCUACAUUUAUAUUGAACAGCCACACACAUUGGUUUAUUUCUACCAAAUGAUUUAACAUUUGAACUCACAAGGUAUUCCUCUUAUGUUGGCACUCUCUGUCUUUUGCUGGCACUCUCUAUCAUGCUACUUGAAUGAUUGUCUUUUGCCUUACCCCAGUUUAGGGGAUAAUCACCAAUCGGGUUUGUAUGAAAUGAAAUGCAAGCUCAAGUGAGCUAUGCAAAGGAUAUGAGUGUAUAAGAUAGAGAAAUGACCGCUCUUCAUCAUCUUAAGGCACUUAAUUACCAUAUGAAUUCAUCUCUAAUAGCAAUACUUGAAGAUUGAUGUAAGUGAGAGCAGGAAAAUUCCUAUCUAUUUCCUCACCUAAUGAUGUUGUCCUACCUCAUGUUUGUCCCAAUUUUGGUUUUUCUUGAUAGGGGUAAUUUGAAAAAAAAAAAAAAAAUUCUCCCCAAGUGUAUGGGCUUAAAGGGAUUAAACAAUAGAUUACUUGUAGUGUUUGGGAUAGAAAAAUGAAUUACCUCUCAUCAUUUUAGUCAUCAUACCUUUCGUGAGAGAACCUUUUACCUUGUGGAUAUGGAAUUUUUCCACACUCACCUCACCUUGUAUAAACAAGGGAUUGUGUAUAGAUAAGGCUUGCCUUUCUUCAUCUUGAUGCAUCUCAUUUAGCAUGCUCAAUCCACUUCACAUCAUUCAUUAGAUUAAUCUAUCUUGAAAAAUCUCCACACAAAAUUGGCCAAUAAAACAGGUAAAGUCACCAUGUAAAUUCUCUUUUCAAAAGCACCUAGCAACUUUAAGCAUGAAAAACUUGGUAACUUCUGAGCAAACAAUUUACCAUACUUAAAAAAUGUUUUCAUAAGCAUGAAAACAUGUUUUUGAGUAUUCAUUCAAGGAAUUGCCUGGUGAAGGGAUUGUCUCAACAAUAGGUGCUCUUGGAUUGCCCUUAUCUAAAUGGAAUGAACAUACGAGUUGAUCAAUCGAGACUAAAAAUUCAAUUUUUGAUUUGAUAAACACUCCAUUCAUGCUUUUGUUCCUGCACAAGAGAACGUUCAUGAAUAAGAUACUGUACAAACAAAAGGAAAUGCAAAUUGAACAUCUAGUUUGGCUCAGAAUGAGAUUUUAUUUUGGUUGGGUCAUUGCCAAAACCUAUCAUGCCCCCAAUCUAUAGUCUUUGAUGGAAAGAAUACAGAGUCAUUUCCAAAAUCAUUUAUGUUCAUGAAUGAGAUGUACCUCUUUUAUCAAAUAUGGACGAUCCUCACUUGACUUGCCCCUCAUUUUCUCAUUAUGUCGUUUGGCUCUUCGGGGUUGACAUCUCACAUGAGAAGUAAUGAGAUGUGCCUUCACAUCUCACUUUGAAAGCUAGGUGAUCUUCUUUUGGCUUGCCCUCAGUUUCUUAUUGAUGUGCAAGAAAACAGCUUGGGACAACAGUGGAAAUAGGAAGUAAUAGGAAGUGUUGAACACCUUCUUCAUUCUUUGGAGAUGCCAUCACAAUCAACCAAGAAGUGAUCCUUUGCUCCCACGUGAAUUUUUCCUUCAGAUGUAUGUUCCCAAAUUUGUUGAUUAUCAAUUGAAUCAAAUUCUCUAUUAUAAAAUGCUGUUGAAUUAUACUCUGAGACGUGAAGUAAAUGAGUUAGAAAAACAAAUAAGCCUAAGCUAAUGUAUGCUUUAAACAAUUGCUACAAAAUGAUUAUUUUAUUUUAUUUUUUUUUGAAUUUUUUUUUUUGGGUGAGGAAAUAUGAUGAAGCCCAGGUCUCAGAAUUCUCCUUGGAUCUUACACUUUUUAUCAGUUGGAUAUCAUCAUCGGGCCAGUUUGGUGUACCCCAUCAUGCCCUCAAAACAAAACUUGUAACUUUAGUGAAAUUCACCAAUCAAAUUAUAUUUAUUGGAGUGAAAAGUGCAACAAUCAAUUCCUAGAAAUGAAAUGAAAUCCUAGCAAGCAAGCAAAUCUUAGAAAGCAGCAAAAAUUCCCACGUAAGGGAGGGUGUAACUGAACAUGCCACUAAUUAAAUAAGGAAAUCAAGCUACUUAGAACCAUGAAUUAUGUGUACUUGGGUUCUUCACCCUCCUUAGUCUCUUGAGGUGAAUGCUCUAGGGUCAAACAUUCUUCCUUCUAGAUACAUCACCAAUCUUACUUGGUGGCAUCAAAUUCGACUACCUUAGAAAAUUAGAUGGUUCAAGAGUCCCCUUAGCUCUCUUCUUUGGAUUGAAAUUUCCCACUGAAGAUGAUGUAUCCAUGUGAUCAUAGCGCUUUCGCUUGACAAGACAAGCUACAGUAGCAUGCAGCUCGUCAGCUUGACUUUUUGGAGGCUUGCAAUUCACUUGUUCAUAUCAUUGUCAAAAUUAGCAAUAUUGCUCAGCACUUCAUUUUGGGGAUAAGUACACUAAUGGUGCUAUAAGUUGUGUACGGCGCUAACUUUGGUGUCAAAAGUUUCCGUUGGAUCACUUAAGUGCCAAAUCGGAGGAAAAACGAUCACUUUGGUGCCAUCAGCGAGAAAUUCUAGCCAAAAUGAUUACGUGACUUUUAUAUUUAAAAAAAAAAUCGACGUGGCUUAAGAUUGUCCACGGUGGAUAGCAUAAAACGAUGCAUUUUUCCUUUCUUCGUAGAAAUGAUGUCGUUUCUUGUCAUCCACCGUGGAUUCACAUAUAAACGACGCUGCGUUGCUCCAUAACAAAAAACGAUGUCGCUGAAGAGGGAGUAAAAUAGGGUUCGUAUACGGUUCUCCUCGACGCCGGCCGUAGCUCGCUCACCCACCGUUGUUCACCACCGUCGUUCGCUCGCCUGCCGUCGCUCGGCCACCGCGUAGUUGCGCCGUCAUUCACGAUCGUUUAGGUUUGUCUUGUCCUCUAUGUGGAUCAAUUUUGCGAAAAAUUUAGGGUUCUAAUGGGCAAGUUAGGGCACGGAGGGCAAAUUGAGGGUUUGGCUCAGGGGGAAAGUAGUGGGGAAAGUGGUGGGGAUGUCACUUUUAUGGGGACAUAAUAGAAAAAUUGAUUCUUCCAUCGUUCGUUUGCUUUCUGUUGUGGGGACUGAAUAGAAAAAUACGGUGCGGAAGGCUUGACUCGGAGGGAAACGGUGGUGGGACCGAAUUUGUUUGUUUAAUUAAUUUGUCUGCUUUUGUGAGGGACCGAAUGUGAAUGUGAUUGAAUUGAAAAAUGGGUGGUGGGGACCUCACUUUGUUUAUUUAAUUCAGUUUCUUUUGUUUCUGUAAAUGCACCGAAUUGGGGAUAUUUUAGUCGCAUUUGUUCCUUAACAACAAAACGACAAGGACUUGCAUGUGAAGUUGCCGAUUCUGUCAUGUGGUUCCAACAAAAUGACAAUGACUCUUUUCUUUUUUUCAUUGAGUGCAACAUCGACAUGGAUGGGAAUCAAGUAGGCGUCAUUGUUUGCUAUGGUGGAGAGUUUGUUAUUGGCACUGAAGAUUGGGAAUAUAGUGGUGGAAAUGAGGUACUAUUUAUGUCAAUGUUUGGAAGCCAUCAUAUAUUGAUUUUCUGAGGGAUUUGGUGUAUUUUUUACGAUGCAAAGUGCAAAAACUACAUUACUGUGUUCCUGGGAAGGAAUUGAAGGAUGGGUUGAGAUUUUUUAAUGACGAUAAUGAUAUUAAGAAUAUCAUUUACCAUUAUCUUCACGGUGAAGAAGCUAAGGUAUAUGUUGAGUAUUAUAGUGAGGAUGAGGAUGGGGAUGAGGAUGGGGAUGAGCAGACCACCAUUGAAGGAGGAGAAGUGAGGGAUCCUGUUCAAGCGAGUAAUCAGGUCGGAGAUGAGUAUAGGUUAGAUGAAGGACAAAAUGAGAGGGAGAUAAGUCAUAUUGAUAGAGAUAAACAAAGAGGGAGAUGUCCUGAAAUCUUGAGUGAAGAUUUGGGUGAAGAUGUGGGCGAUGAAGACUUCAUUGGAUUAGAAUGAGAAAUUACUUUAUCUAGUGAAUCGGAAGAUGAAUGUUUGGCUUUAGUAAAUUUCCCAAGUGACAAAAAUGAUGAUGAACUCGCACAGUCAAGACAAAAGCAAAAGGAAUUUCUGAGAAAAAAACUUGCAGCUUCAGCAAAAAGGCCCGAGCUAAUAAAUAGGGAUGGAGAUCCAGUUGAGGGUAAUAGAAGUGAAGAGAAGAAAGCUAUGGCGAUGAAGUUGCUAGUUCGGAAAAUGAGCUUGACAAUGAUGAUGAAAAACCUGCUCCUCGAAGAAAAAGUAAGUACCAUUGCUAUGAUCCGACUGUUGAUAAACCUGUUUUGUUGGUGGACAUGAGAUUUGACGAUGCCAAACAGUUCAAGGAAGCUGUUGUGAAGAACUCAAUUGGUGAACAGAUGAGCGUUAAAUUCAUUAGAAAUACGAAGGAAUUUGUGAGAGCUAAGUGUUCACAACCUAAUUGUUCAUGGAAGCUCUAUGCCGCACUUAGUAAGAAUGGUUUAUUUCAGAUUAGGUCCUUUCAAGAGGAGCAUACUUGUCUAAUUAUCUUUAACAAUAAAAGGGUAACAAGUGUGUGGUUAUCAAAGUAUUUUUUCAAUACUAUCAAAGCAUUGCCCGAGAUCAAGAGUCCUUAAUUUCAACAGUUAGUGAAGGAGCAAGUGGGGGUUAAUGUGUCGAGGAAUUAAUGUAAGAGAGCUAAGAUGAGGGUGAUGAAGAUAUUGAUGAAUGGGUAUAAGGAAGAAUAUGCGCAGGUAUGGGAUUAUGCUAGUGAAUGCAUGUUUCAAAACCCAUUUAGUAUGGUAUAUGUAGAGGUUGUGGAGAGGCCACUCCUUGAUCUUGGGCCUAGAUUUGAUAGAUUUUAUGUCUGUUUUGAUGCAUGCAAAUGGGGCUUCUUGGCUGGUUAUAGAAGAGUUAUAGGAUUGGAUGGAUGCUUUCUAAAGGGUUUAUGCAAGGGGGAGUUGUUGGCUGCUGUGGGGAGAGAUGCCAAUAAUCAAAUGUUUCCGCUAGCUUGGGCAAUGGUAAAGAUAGAGAACAAGGAUAUUUGGUCCUGGUUCCUAAAAAAUUUGAUGGUUGACCUUGAGAUAACCGAUGGGGGGAUGGGCAUUCAUGAGCGACCAACAGAAGGUAAUUUCAUUGUCAAUUAAUUCACUCCCUUUUAAUAUUAAUCACUUGCAUAUUUUUCUUGACUUGUAUUUAUUGGUUUGAAUUUUUGUAGGGACUUAUUCCUGCAUUGGCUGAGUUGAUGUCACAUGCUGAGCAUAAAAUGUGCGUGAGGCACAUAUGUGCAAACUGGUCAUGGAACUUCAAAGGAGAUAGGCUGCAGAAGCAGUUCUGGCAUAUAGCAAAGAGUACGAAUAUGACUAAUUUCAGAUUAGCCAAACAAGGAUUGUUGCAGUUGACUAAGGAAGGUUUUGAUGCACUAUUCUAGACAGAAGCUAAGCAUUGGUGUCGGGCCUUCUUCAGCGAAGAAUUCAAAUGCGAUAUCAUUGAUAACAACCUUAGUGAAACUUUCAAUGGUAGAAUUUUAGAAGCCAGGUGCAAACCAAUCAUCAGCAUGCUUGAUGAUAUUCGAGUUAUGGUUAUGACUAGACUACAUAGGCAAAGAGAUGAGGCUACAAAAUGGAGUAGAGACUAUGGCCCUAGGAUUGUGAAGAGAUUGGAUGCAAAUGUUGCUGCUAGUAGGUUUUGCCAUCCAGUUUGGAAUGGAGAUAAUUGAUAUGAGAUUAUUCAAAAUCAGGAUAAGUAUGUUGUCAACCUGGAUAGAAGAAAAUGUUCAUGCCGAGCUUGGCAACUGAAUGAAAUUCUCUGUGCUCAUGCCAUUUGUGCUAUUCAAAUGAAGCAAGAAAACCCAGAUAAUUACCUAUAUGAUUGGUACAAAAAAAGCUCAUACCUUGCUUCAUACCAAUUCAUGAUGCAGCCUAUCAGAAGCAGCAAAUUUUGGGAGCCAACAAAUCAUGAAAGCUCUCUACCUUUACCGCUAAAGAAGCAAAUAGGAAGGCUGAAAAAGAGAUAAAGAAUGCAGCAGGAAGAUGCAUCAAGUCAAAGGAUGAGUAGGACUGUAUCAAAGAUGAAAUGCUCUUAUUGUAGCAAGGAAGGGCACAAUAAGAAAGGUUGUGAGCUGAAAAAGCAGCAUUAACAGCAAGAUGUAAUGGCUGAUUCAGUGCCAGGGACAGGACCUACUGAAGAGUUUCUUGUUGGGCCUAUUGAAGGGAGGACAGAAGGCCCUGUUGUAAUGCCUAUUGAAGGGCAAACAGAAAGCCAUGCUGUAAGGUAAGUAUCUUCUUUGUCUCAGUAACUUUACAGUUCUUAUUCGAUAGAGUUUGAUGGUUGACCAUGUGUAUUAGCUUCUCUUGUGCUUUUCCUCUGUCAUGCACUUGUAAUUUGAGAAGUUCUCUCCAUUUGUUUCCACCAUGAAAAUGAGUAGAUGUCUAAUUAUUCAUUGGAGUUGGUCAUAAUCCUAAUAUAGUACAUUGUUGUAAGACUUACUAAAGGGCCAGAAAAGGCCCUGUUGUAGGCUCAAGUGCAGGGACAAGGACUGGAAUGGGCAGGAUAGCAACAACAACAACUGAGUCCACUAUUGAGCAAAUAAGAAAAAAAUAUCCUAUAAGUUGUACAUCGCUGUGUUUGGUCUUUUAUGAGCUAAAAUUUACAUUUAUUAUGUGUUUCUCAAGUGAGAAGACGAGCAACUGCACAAGUUGCAGAUAUUGCUACAAGGAUUGUUGUUCCUGAAAAUGAUGCACCACAACGAACAAGAGGGGCUCUUGGAAAAAGAUUAAGGCAAUAUGGUUAUGAGAUUUACACAGAUGAACGUACUGGAAUGACUAUUUUGAAUGUAAGAUUUAUAGGUCUCAUGCAUUUUAUUUGUUGUACUUCAAUUCAUUUGGUUGAUAAUAUCACUAUGUUCUUGUAGCCUGGGAGAACUUCGGAGGUACUUCUUUCUUAAGGUGGACCAACUCAAGUGAUGAUGCCAGCUUGACAUGCACAUGCCUUUUUUUUUUUUUUUGUAUUUUUCAUUAAAAUAUUCGAAAUUAAUUAUUUACUCUAAUUUAAACGUGCAAACUAUCCUAUAAAAGAAUAUUCAGUUUAUUCUAAAACAAUAUUUUGGUAAUUUAUUAAAUUCGGAAUUAUAAAAUAACCAAAAUAAGCAUGCAAUCUAUCCUAAAAAACUACAAUAUAAUGUUUUUGGAUUUUUUUAUUAGAAAUAAAGUCAAUUAAAAUCAAACAAAAGUAGAAAGAAGUCAAAUCCAUAACGAACAUGCUGUCAAAUCACACUAGAUAUUAUCGAUAUCCAUUUAAUUUUUCAAAUAAAUUAACGAAUUGUAUCUCAUGCAUGAGAUCAGAUUAGCCAAUUCUUAUGACAUGGCGAAUCAUAUUUUGGGCAUAAGAUUGAAUUGACGAUUUUCUGCGUGAUUGUGAGUUGUAUUUCGGGCCUUACACGUUGUGAAGUUAGGAAAAUUUCCUAAUUCAUGGGGAUUGAAAAGAAAUUUUUUUGGAUAUGGUAAUAUCAACCAAAGAUUAAAGCAAGAUCGCAAUUUUAUGAAUUAGGUAAUGAGAUAUAUGCAAAUCAAAUUAAUUGAGAUUCUUACAUAAUUCAGGAUGUUACACGGAUGAUGUUUCUGAAUUUGGACGGACAAUGGAUCACGGGAAUCGUGAUGAGGAUGACCAGCAAUCGGCGGCGCUCAUGGUUGCUCGAUAGUCGCCAGACGGGUUCCACAAGCUACGCAAGGGACCGAGAAUCGUCGAUGGAUGGGGGCAAGGACAGCAGGUAUCGGUCCUUCGAUGUUGGUGUUGUGGGCUGGAAGCAGAUAGGUACAGGAGCUCGCGGUGAUGCUGAUCACGGUGCGGUAUCCUCUGUUCGUGCGUUUCUCACUUAUCGAAUAUUCCGGAAUUCUGUCCGAGAACUUAAGCUUCUUUUGACUUUGCUUACAAACUUCACCUUUUAAAAAAGCUUGGGCAAAACAGGACAAAUUUCACCGCUUCUCUCGUAUUGCGAACGCCCUCUUGUGCCCAUUGAAGAAUCCAGGCGAUGUCGCCAAGAACCUGCAAAGGAAAAGUGCAAUCGUGAUUGACGUGGGGGCUCGCUGGCCGCAGGACGUGAGCUUUUGUAAAUUCCCCAUAAAAGUACAUGGAGAGAAAACAUGCACCUAAAUAGGCAACUACAAUCAAGCGAAAGAUUUCGAAAAGUAAAAUCGUAUUCACUCCCUUCAGCCUUAUACAGGGCAACCCUAGUUUGUAUGAAACUAUCACAGGACCAAAAUUUUAGAGGAUUAAGGCAGCAACCCAGCCGCUAGCACUACCCUAUAGCUUACUCACCAGACAAACACACACAAUCACACACCAUACCCAGCCCCACCUCAGCAAACAGCAAUCACCACAAAAUAGAACCGACACGUUGAGGAGGAUCUUGAAAAUUGUAAGAGUUAUACUACUACUCACAAGGCCUUGCUAUUCGAUCCGGUGGGCCCAAUAUCUCCAAAGCAAACCCUUGAGAAACGCCCAAAAUCAAUUUUGAGAGCCACGCCAGCUUAGCCCAUGUUUGGCAAAAAGUAUUUAUGUUCCCCGGAAUAAAAAUUUAUGUUCUUUUGUUCCGGGAAACAAAAAAAAUAGAAACAUGUUUAGUAAAACUUUUAUUUUCGGGAACAGAUUUGUAAUAGAAACAAGAAGUAGAAAAAAAAUUGCUUCUUAUUCUCGAGAACAAUUCUGAAAACAAUUUUUCUCUCUCUUCUUUUAUCUUCUUCUUUUUUCUUUCAUUCUUCUUCCUUUUAGUCGGUCGCUGGCUUCAGCCAUUGCUGAUGACCUUACUAGAGCAUCGCUAGCCGGCGCGAGGCUCGACCUCGCCAUGCUAGGGCGAGGCCGACCUCGCGUCGCCUGGGAGAGGUUGAGCCUCCCAGAUCUGGUGAGGCCGAGCCUCGUAGUGGCCUAGCGAGGGUCAGGCAAGCUCGCCGAACCUCACCCAGCCAGUCGCCAGUGGAUGCCAUGGCCGACGACUAGCCAUAAAGGAGAGAGAAGGAAAAAAAAGUAAUAAAUAAAUAAUAAUAAUAAUAAUAAUAAUAAUAAUAAUAAUAAUAAUAAUAAUAAUAAUAAUAAUAAUAAUAAUAAUAAUAAUAAUAAUAAUAAUAAUAAUAAUAAUAAUAAUAAUAAAAAUAUUGAAAAAUUAAAAGAAAUAAUAAAAUUAUACAAGUUUAUUAAACACAUUUCUAUUCCCGGAAUAGAAAUUUUUUGCAGUUACCAAGUGCAUUCUUAUGCUCAGAAAUUGUUCUCGGGAACAGAAAUAGAAAAAACUAUUUAUAUUCAAAAAUUGUUCUCCAAAACAGAAACGUUACCAAACGCUCCCUUAAUUGAUACCCACAUCCUCAUCAAAAACCCUAGAAUCAAACACACAAACUUUGAACCAAAUAGCUCAAAGCAAAAGAAACAACAGUCUUUGGAACUUUUUCACUCCUAUGAAGUCACAAAUUGAAGUCUCGCAACAAUCCAAUUAGUUCUCGAGGUAAAAAAACAUUAGACAUUCCACCAGCAAAACUAGUUCAAAAGAGAUCUGAGCACUUCGGAUCUUCUAAUGUCAAGCCCUUGAAGUUUCGGUCAUGGCGAAGAGAGACGGAGAUGGAGUGAAGUCCCUAAUUGAAGUCGUGACUCACAAAAUGAAUUCUUCUCUCUGUGUUUGUCACUCUCACUAAAAAAGAAGGAAGUUCAGAUGAAGGGUGUAGCUUGUUUGGUAACCAUUCCGUUCCUGAGAACAAUUUAUGCUUAGAAAUAGUUUUUUCUAAUAUUGUUCUUUGGACGAGUUAUUUAGCAUUUGACCGUAUUAGUAAUUGCAUAAAAUUUAUGUUCCUCAAAUAGCUAGUCACUGAGCCUUAGCGAUGGCUAGCGGCUAGCCAGAAGGGAGAGCUAGCGACUUUGUUUGCUUUGGGGGCCACUCGUCGGUCUUGGGGGAGCCUCACUGGCUCUUGGUGAGGCCGACCCACCCAUCCACGGUGAUGUCAAGCCUCACCAAGAGUCGACGAGGUCGCUAGACCUUGUCUUUGGUUGGUUACUGGACAUUGCCGAGCCUAGCAACGAUUAGAGAAGGAAGAAGAAGAAAAGUAUAUAUAUAUAUAUAUAUAUAUAUAUAUAUAUAUAUAUAUAUAAAGAAGAUAAUGACUUGAUUUCAGAAUUUGUUUCUAAAAACAAAUAAGUAACUUUUUUCUACUUUUUAUUUCUGUUCCAAAUCUAUUCCAUGACUACUAAUAUGUUUUCGGGAAUAGAAAAAUUAACUAAUAGUAUUAAACGGAUUUUUGUUCUUCGGAAUAAAAGAACAAAAUUAAUUAAGAAUUAACUGGUUACCAAAAAGGGCCGAAGUAAAGCGUAAAGGUAUAUAGAGGGUCGUGGACUUGUGGGUGUCGUGUGGGUUUUGAAAAUAUGGGUUAAAAUAUGGGUCACGUCUGUCUCGUGGGUCUCGUGGGUCUCGUGGGUUGGGUAUAUUGGCUCUUUUUUUUGGUCUUUAGUUUUCCAUAACCCACUUAACCCAUUUUGAAAGAAAACGAGUUACCCUAAUAAUAUUGCGCCUCUUAAAACUGAGUUAUAAAAUAGGUACACGAACCAUUUUGCCGGCCCUACUUCUGACCAACCAUAUCAGGGUCAAAUUAGUCAGCAUCCUACUUUAUAUAUUCUCCUUCUGGCUUUCACCAUCCAUGAAAUCAAUAUGGAAGAGAAUGGUUUUUUACUAUCAUUUGCCAACAUAUAAUAAAGAGGAUAUCACAUCGUCUUCCAGGCCGUGCUUAUAUAGGCAAGUACAAAAGAAGAAUGGCAGACCUGUAAUAUACUCAAUGAACCUCCGCAAAAGUUACGGAGCUUCAUGACUUUCGAAGCAGAGAACACACAUUUGGAAGAAAAUCAAAAAGACAUAGAGUGCUCUCGAGUGUUCACUUUCAAAGAGCAAGAAUCGAUAUCUCUGAGCUUCAAGAACGUAAUAAGCAGCUAAGUCUUGUCGGAUCAAUCUCCUUAGUCCCAUCAUCUUCAUCAACAUGUAUUCGAGUUUCCUUUUGGCUCUUUAUUUAACAAAGGCAUCCGCACCCUUGUGACUCUGAAGAGAAUCACAUUGGGUGUGGCAGUUACCCAUCCCACAUAUACCGAAUAAUUUAUGGGAGAUGUGCAUUCCUAUGCUCCUGGAUGACUCCAAGAGAAUACGCAAGAAUGAUGAUUCAAAUUAUGAUCUUGAACACGAGAGAUGAACACACGUAUGACUUGAGCAACCCUAACUCAUAAUUGGACUUAUAACCACCUCCUAGUCCUUGUCAGCCUUCCAGUCAACCGCUUUUUUGUUAGGUAGCGCAAGCCAGGAAUGUUCAUCCUCAUUUCUUCUGGGAAAAUGAAGCCAGUUGGGUAGUCUCUAGUGAUUACAGCAAUUGAAUAUUUGACUAAUCCGUCAUUUCUGAAGCCGGCAUCAGGGGGGGCACCUGCAAAACUUGUUCUUGGUCAAAUCAGACAAAUGCAAGACCUGGAAGUUACUGAUAUCAAACAAGUUUGUGUAUCUUGCCCUCCGAAAGUUGCUCAUCAUCUACUCCUCUUUGAAUUACUCUUAUUGUACUUGCGUUCUUUCCAAAUUAACGGAUCAAGAUGAUUAUCGAUGCACCAAGAUAUAUUGCAUUCGCUUUCUUGAUUUCAGGCCCGAUCCUCUUCAUCCCAGACACUCCUGUCAAUGCACAGACAUAUCUUCAAGAGGGGAGCUCUAGUAAGGGCAAGUACACUGCUUUUAGCAAGUUCCAAAACAACCUCUACAGCCUCCUCGACAGGUAGCUUCACAACGAAGGACGCGUUAACUGUUUCUACAACAUGACAGAAGCGGAAUAUCCAGACAAAGUUUAUGGUCUAUUCCUCUGCAAGUAAAUCACAUGGAAAAGACAUCCAAAGUUUCUACUCUUUAGUAAUACCUUUAAAUUCAAUCCUUAUAAUCUUUGGAAUCGGCUCACUUGGUACUAGGUGAUGCAAGCCUAGGGUAGGCUUUCUCGAACAGUAGGAUCGGGAGAGUGACUCACACAUGGGAAACAGGACGAACAUAAAUUUCAGCACUAUGCAAGCUCAGGAGAACACAGAUCGGAUCGACUUGAUUCCAAAGCCAAAUGAACAAAGACUUAUCGAUCUACAAUUUCUCUGUUUUGGGUUUUAUGAAAUAAGCACUGUAGAAUGUUCGAAUUUGGAUUGGAAAUAACGAACAAAACAGGAAAAGAUAGAAACUCCGUUGGUUGCUCUUCUAGGCCUCCAAGGAAGUUGAGGGGGCACCGAUUCUUCUAGAUCGAUGACUGCAACUCUUCAAGGAUGCAGAUUUCGAAAGCUCCGACUCUUCAAGGACGGAGUGAAAACUCUUCUAGGUUUUCAAGGGUAUAAACUCUACAAGGUUCACGAUACUUGCUUCAAAGCAAAGUUUUCAUUCAUCAAAAGUCGUUUGUCUUCUACAAGAAAUUGGAUGGCUUAUAUUGUCAAAGAAAUAAAGAUAGAGCAUUGAAACUAGGAGAAAUAUCAAAUAGCAUAGAAACGAUAAACUAGUAAAAGCGUCAUGCGGGCUCCCAAGGUGUCUUUCAAGCUUCCGAGAUGGACUCAAGAUAUCGAUACGGCUUCUCGAUUUUGUUGAGCUUGAAUGCAGGCCGAUCUUCUUGGUUGAGAGAGCUGGUCUUCAAUGCGGGCUGCAUCACUAGGAUUUAUAAUGAACCUGAUGUGUUGGUCUUAAUUGAGAUCCUCUAAAAGUAUGGUGAUCCAAUGCCAACAAUUUGGUUGAUACUAUCCAAACUUAAGUAACUACCAAUGCAACUUUCCUAUCCCUUUUUAGAGGUUAUGUUGCCGCCAAUCUCUGUCAGUCUUGCAUUAAAUCAGCUACUGGCAACAUCUUAGAAUGAUGUCCAGGAGAGAAAGGGGUGACCAUAGGGUACGGUGAGUGUCUCGUGCACUACUCUGACAGAUCAUUCUUCUCUAUCAUGGAGUCAAUGCCGGCUUUUUCAAUGUACAACCUUAUGAAUGUACCAGAUCCCAACCAGUUCCUCCCGGUUGUAGGGGAAACUUUCAGGAAAGUGAUGGACUCGGCAAUCUCCUCAGAAAGCUUAUUCGCAACCAUCAAUGUUAGUGUCUCAAGUUCAGUGAGCUUGUAUACACUUGCGCAGUGCACCCUUGACUUAUCAAAGUCAAUUUGUGAACAGUUUCAGGGCUGCUGCAAUCGCUCAUUUUCCUACCUUCAUUAGCGAUGGAAAGCAAGGUGCGAGAGUUCUUCUGCUGAGUUGUCAGGUGCAGUUCGAACUGUAUCCUCUUUAUGAGGAAAUUAGAUGCCAAGCAACAGCACAUUCUCCAACUAACAAAACCAGCAUCAAUUCCGGUACUAGAGGUAUAAAAAUUGUAUAAUGCUCAAAACGUGCAUUCAAUUUUCAUGGUAAACAUAUAAAGGUACUCAUUAUAAGCUGUUUUGUGUAUCAUAAUGCACUUCACUUGCUUUUACGAUCUAAACUUUGAUCAUUCUCUGAGUUCCUGUUACUAUUUAUGCCUAGUGAGAAAAAUCUGCAGACUAAAUUCAAGGAAUCACUUUGUCUUGAUAGGGGUGAAACAAACAAAAGUUCCAUGGAUUGCAAUAGUUAGCUCAGUCAUUGGAUCGUGUUUACUCUAUCCAUCAUAGGUUCAUGCAUUUUUUUAAACAGGACAAAGAGAUUGAAGAAAGGUAUAUAUGAAUUCAUCUUGCUUGCCAUUAGAAGACCAUCUUCUAAACUUCACCUUAUAAGAGUAACCUCUUUUACUGUCAGAGAAGGAAAACAGCCUAGAGGUUCAGUUACUUUAUCUGAGACUAGAAAUUGGAGUAGAGUUUUUAGAGGAAAACUAUCGAGGAGAAAAGCCAGUGGAUCCUCGAGAAUUCACUCUGAUACGAUUAGACGUUAUAUGCACAGCCACCGGGAACUUCUCUGACGAAUGUAAGCUUGGGGAAGGCAGGUUUGGUCCUGUAUACAAGGUAAGCAUUUCAGUGACUAAACACUUAUUUAUGGGGAUAUUAGGAAAUUCUUCUAAUGGCAGCAAAUUGGCUGUCAUUAUUGUCAAAUCUCUACUAACGUUACGCUGUUUCAGGGCACAUUGGGAGAUGGAAAAGAAAUUGCAGUUAAGAGGCUUUCAAGAACCUCAGGCCAAGGACUCAUCAAGUUGAAGAACGAAGUCAUCUUGAUUGCCAGACCACAACACAGGAACCUCGUCCGAUUGGUGGGAUUCUGCUUGGAAGAACAUGAAAACCUCUUGAUAUAUGAAUACAUGCCCUACAAAAGCCUGGAUGUCUUCCUUUUUGGUUUGAGCUUUAGCAGAUGAAAUGAAUCUUUUGGCGAUUUUUAUAAAGGGCAAAUCCAUUUGAGUCUCUCAUCAUCAACAGAUUCAAAUAUGGGGGCAAUCUCUUGAUUGGAAAUGCGCCUGAACAUCACCUGUGGAAUAGCUCAGGGACUUAUAUAUCUGCAUGAGGAUUCUUGCCUAAGGAUUAUCCACAGGGAUCUGAAAAGCUAGCAAUAUCUUGCUAGAUGUUGAGAUGAAUCCAAAGGUAUCCAAUUUCGGGAUGGCAAUGAUCUUCAGUAUAAAUCAAGACAAGGCCAACUCAAACAGAGUUGUUGGCAUUUAGUAAGCGCUUUCAAAUAUGUUUCUACAUCUGUUAGAUAUUUGAAUGAUUCACUAGGCCAAAAAAGAACUCUGAUGAUCAGUUCAACAUGACCAAAAUGUGAAGAUUCAUAUUUCAGAAGUUUCUUAUAAUCACUUGUGAAUUUUUUUCUUACUUCCAUCUAAUUGCUCCUCAUCACAUAGUGGACACAUGGCACAGGAGUAUGCGAUGGAAGGGCUCUUUUCUAUUAAAUCAAACGUCUUCAGUUUUGGAGUUCUCUUGCUAGAGAUAAUAAGCGGGUGAAAGAAUAAUGGUUUUCAUAUCUGAGAGCACGAUGAAAGCCUUCUCGCAUAUGUAUGCUCCUAGUCUCUGCUUCGAUUUAUUAUGAAGUUCAAGAAUUUUGUGCAGCUAUUCUUGCUUAUUUCCCUUGUGAAAUGACAUGCAUGGAAAUUGCGGUCCGAAAAUUGAGGGUUGGAACAUACCGAUCCGUCAAUCAAAGGGUCAUGUGAUGGAGUUCCAGUGCUAAAAUGCAUACAUAUCAAUCUGUUGUGCGUUCAAGAAGACCCGGUGGACCGAUCGACUAUGUCACUUGUGGUUCAUAUGCUAGGAGGUGGUAUGAUCAUUCUUGCCCAAAGAUCGCAGCCUGCAUUCUCAGUUGGGAGAUAUGUGAAAACACUGGAUACUAUCGGAACGAUCCACAAUGUUUCCACCGUUAAUAAAGUAAACCAAGAAUCAUCACCUUUCUUCAGUUGUUUCUCUUCCAUACAAUGGAAAUGCUUCACGAUUUGACAAAAUAGAACUAGUUACAAUGUAUGAUCUCUUUAUUAUUGUGACUGCCAUUUCUUAAUCCUUGAAUUACACAAUCAUGAAUUAUAUAUUGUGAGGAAAAAAAAACCUGUUUAGUAGUCGUCAUUUCUACUGUAAUUCACCACUAAUGUGCUUUAAGAAUGAUAGAUAUACUUACAUGAGUGAUGUAUCAAUAUUCAAUUCUAUAAGUACCCCAUUAAUAUAUAAGAAAGAAUAUACAUAUACAAAUUCAAUAAUCUAAUUUGAGUAUGUUCACCGAAAUCUUAAUGCAUGAAGAGUGUAGAGUGUUUAGAUAUUAAAUCACGUUUGAGCCGGACUGAUUGCAUUCAAAUCUUUCCAAACUCAUGUUUGCCUCCCCAAUUAGAUAUUUUUACACUUCAGUCUCAAACUAAAGUUUAGCUUACACGUGAGGAUAGUGUUAGAUUAUUUAAGUAUUAAAUCACGCUUUUAUCUAAUAGCCCAAGAUGGUUAGAAAACUUUUUACAGAGGAGCUACCAAGUCAAGGCAUCAUUUUGUAAUAGUUUUGAAAUGGUCAUGUAAUGACUUUCUAGACUUUGUAUCAAAUUUACUUUGGCUUUGUAAUGUUUGAUUUAUUUAUUUUUUAUAAACUCUUAUUUAUUUUGUAACGGCUAUAUAGCGGUCAUCUUAUCCUUCAAUAAUUACUAAUUUAUUUACAACUAUCUCUUAAUACUCUCUCUUUCUUUUACCUACAAAUUGUUACUCCGAAUAUAAUUGGAAAGCGAAAUUGAUAUAUCAAGACAAAAAUAUUCCUAUUUCUCUUUAUGUAUCUUUCUUUUCCUCGUUGAAUUAUACACAUAACUUUGUUCCCAUUCCUUCUGUUAUUCUAUCGCAUUGAGUUUCUAUUUUGAGGGCCGGAAUUAUACUUAAAAAUGGUGCUUUGUACACUUCAAACAUUUGAUUUUAUUCUCUCAGCAUUUUCAAUAGAUUUCCAACAAUUAUUAUUUUCAUAUUAUCUAACGUUUUCUCAACAAUCUUGACGGCAAUUGCCUUAUGGAUUCCCUGGUCUCUACUGUCUCGCACCAGUUUCUCCGGCGGUUUGAUGUUGGCUAGCGGUUUUACUGUCGCGACACCUUUAAUCAUUGUCGUUGCGGCUCUUCUUAACCGAUCGCGAUGUUAGCUGGGUUCACUCCUAUGUGGAGGAGGCCCAAUGAGUUGCAAGCCCAAAAAGGGCUUGAGUCCAUAUGAUAAGUUAUAUGAGGAAAUAUGGUUUCUUACUAUUUAUAUAAAGUGAUGGUCGCAAAAGAAAAUAGUUACAAGAGAAAAAAAGAAAGAAUAAAAUCUGAGGUUUGGGGCAAGAUCUGAUUUACAUCAAGCUAGCGUGGAGGUCGCUUCAUGGUCCGAUUGAGCUAAAAUUUUGUCAGCAUGUUCAUGGCGCAAUUUUAUCGAAUCUGAACGGUUUGAUUUUCGUUUGAAGCUCCCUACAUCAGGUUUUUCAUGGAUUGAUCAAAACCUACAUUUUUGGUCAGAUUUAUCCUUGAUCUCUUGUGAAAUUCAUGUGUAUUACCAAGAAUUAUGUUCUUGAGGUCUUUGCUGCUAUGUACUUCUAGUAUUUGCUAGAGAAGAACAAUUUUGUUGAUAGUGAAGAAUUUUGGGUGGACUUCGGUCCCGUGGUUUUUGAUCUCCUCACAUCGAGAAGGUUUUCCACGUAAAAAAAAUCGUCUUGUGUUCGCUUGAUUGGUAUUUAUUUUACUCUACUAUAUCAAUUCCUAUUAGGUUUACACAAGAGUGGAUAUUAUUUUAUUCCACUGUGUUGAUUCGAUAUUGUUCGAAUUGUUUCUGUUCUCCCAUCAAAGUGGUAUAAGAGCAUCUAGUUAUUGCUUGAUUUUUCUGCCUUGUGUUAAACAAUGGAAACGAAUACGAGUAGAAUGGUUACUUUGAAUGGUUCGAAUUAUCAUAUUUGGAAAGGGAAGAUGGAAGACCUUUUAUAUGUGAAAGAUUUUGAUUUGCCCGUAUUUGCCGAUGAGAAACUAGAGAAUUAAACUGAUGCUAAAUGGUCUAUAUUUCAUCGUCAAGUGUGUGGUUAUAUUAGGCAGUGGGUGGAUGAUAAUGUUUUGAACCAUAUUAUUGAGGAAACACAUGCACGCAGUUUAUGAGAUACGCUCGAACAAUUAUAUGCUCGAAAGACUGGGAAUAAUAAGUUAUUUUUGAUAAAACAGAUGAUGGCUUUGAGAUAUCAAGAUGGUACUCGUUUGACUGAUCAUUUAAAUUCUUUUCAAGGAAUUAGAAAUUAGUUGGCUGUGAUGGGAAUCAAGUUUGAUGAUGAGAUACAAGCAUUAUGGUUGCUUGGUACUUUGCCGAACUCCUAGGAGACAUUCCAACAUCUUUGUCUAAUUCUGCCCCAGAUGGUACAAUUACCAUGGAUUUGGCUAAGAGUAGUAUUUGAAUGAAGAGAUGAGAAGGAAGACACAAGGAUCGUCCUCUUCACAUUCUGAUGCCUUGGUUGUUGAGAAAAUGGGAAGAAGUGAAUCUCGAGGUCCGAGAAAUAGAGAUAAAAGUCAAGAUAAAAGCAGAAGUAAGUAUAAUAAAUUUGCUAAUGUUGAGUACCAUUAUUGUCAUCAGAAGGGACAUAUUCAAAGGUUUUGUCGCUAGUUAAAAAGGAAGAAACAAAAGGAGAAAGGUAAAGAGAAGAAAAGUGAUAAUGACAGUGAUGACAAUCGUGUCGCUGCACUUAAAGAAGACUUUCUCGUUAUUUUUUAUUGUGAUGUGGUGAAUUUUGUAUCUCAUGAGACCAGUUGGGUAAUUGAUAGUGAUGCAUCCGUUUAUGCUACGUCUCGUAGGGAUUUCUUUACAUCAUACAGGUCAGGUGACUUCGGAUUUGUGAAGAUGGGAAACAAUGGGCUAGCUCAAGUUGUAGGCAUCGGUGAUGUGUGCCUAGAAACCAACAAUGGCACAAGGUUAGUAUUAAAUAAUGUUAAACAUAUACCUGAUAUCCGCUUGAAUUUGAUUUCUACAGGCAAGUUGGAUGAUGAGAGGUAUUGCAGCAUCUUCAGUAAUGGUCAAUGGAAGCUCACCAAAGGUUCUCUUGUUGUGGCUAGAGGUGAAAAAUAUUCUUCAUUGCAUAUUAUGCAGGCAAAGUUGUCCACAGUCAAAAUUAAUGCAAUAGACAACGAAGAUAUGGCAUCCGGGAAUUUCAACCCGAAAUAUUGAUUUUGAGGGAAACGAUAUUUGACUUUGAAUGGCCAUAGGGACAAUUACAUCAUCGGCCACGAUAUUUUAUCUCUUGGACUGAACCCCUUAUGAAAAUGUUAAUUGAUUAUGAGAAUGUUAAUUGAUUUCUAUAAAUAAAAAUCAAAAUCAAAUGCCCUAAAGUGGUAUAGGAAUUAUGGGCUUAUUAUCGAUAUUUUUCUAUGGGCUAUUUAAAUUGGACAUAGGACGAUUUGAUAAAGAAGACUUUGUUCUUGACUAUGCACUUUAUAGAUUUGAUGGAUUAAUGUCACAAAGUCUUUUGGUCAUUUUAUUAUGCAAUUAGGUAUUUAUUUAAAUGAGGAUUAAAAUGUAUUAUUAAAAAUAAACUUGGGCCAUUUAAGUUUGGGCUUUAGGCCCAAGUGAGAUGGGCCUAAAGUGGGCCAUAAGCCCGGCCCAUGUCGACGCAUGUAGGGGGAAGGAGGAGCCGCAUGGCUUCCUCCAAGUGUCUUCGGCAAAGGAGACACUUGUCUCCUUCUUAGGGACAAGUGUCCCCCAUGCAAAAUAAGAAUGCAUGCAAAUAUAUAUACGACCAAAAAGUGAGAGAGAGAGAGAGAGAGAGAGAGAGAGAGAGAGAGAGAGAGAGAGUGAGUUGCGAGAGAGAGGAACCGAGAGGGAGGAGAGGAAGGAGCUCGCCGUUCGUCCGCCCGCACGCUGUCCGCCGCCCGUCCGUCGCCGUCCGUGUGCUGUCGUCCGCUUGAUCUUAGAGCCAAGUUAGGAUCAAUUUCUACUCUUGCAUGUGUGUCUUGCAUAUGUGAUUGGUUGGUGGUAGAUCUCGGAUGUUUAGGGUAGGCAAAACCAAAGCUAGAGUGUGACUUGUUCUUGAAAAAGCUUGCUGAUUUCAUGUAAACCGCCUGACCCAGAAACUUGUGGAGGCUUGCAUGCAUGUUUCGAAUUGGAUUUCGACCUUGAUUCCUUCAUGAAAGUUGUAGCCAACAUCUUAAACUACAACUUACUAAAAUUUGGGACAAAAUGGUGGAGAUUUAAUGUGGCACCCCUCGACGGCCCCCGAUCCGAUUAGGGUCGCCACAGUUCGCUUACCAUUCACUUUUCCUAAUAACAUGUCACUCCGCUACCAUUUCAAUUGCAGCGGGUCCAUACAACCUGGGGGUUUACAUCUUUUAGAUUGGUCCCUUCCACAAUUUAUAUACGGAAGCACAUCCAACAACUCACUUCCCUAUAUUCAGAAAACGAUGCACACCUACUAAACAUUUAUAGGUAAAAGCCGUACACUUUUAUUCACUUAAACCAUAUGGACAUCGUUCAUCGGUACAUCAAAAUGCCAUAGUUUUCUAUACUUGGCUAUACGUCAAAGGAUGACCAACAUGUCUUCCAACAGUUGUAUACUUAAAGUCCAUCGAUCAGUGUCGGUGUCCAAAAGUUCAUUCAUUUGCUAUCCUCCUCCUCGCGGUCAUAUCCAACUACUUAAUCCAUCUACUAAUUUGAAAUGUUGGUCCCCGAAGGGGUGAGUACAGCCACUCAGCAAGUAAAGGACCAAUAAACCACUCAAUGCAUCAUGCCACACAAUCAUCACAAUCAUAGCAUCACAUGACAUUUAAGCAUCCAUGCACAAUUUACCUUGAUAUCAUGCACAUAUCAUCAUACCUCAUGUACAUACAUUAUCAUAUAGUCAUCACCAUCAUGUCAUACACUUACCAUCAUCAUUACCAUGCAUCCAUGCACAUAUCAUCAUCAUAUUACAUGUACCAUCAUCAUUACCAUGCAUCCAUGCACUCAUCAUCAUCAUAUCACAUGUACCGUCAUCAUUACCAUGCAUCCAUGCACAUAUCAUCAUCAUAUCACAUGCAUCCAUGCACAUAUCAUCAUCAUAUCACAUGUAUCAUCAUCAUUACCAUGCAUCCAUGCACUCAUCAUCAUCAUAUCACAUGUACCAUCAUCAUUACCAUGCAUCCAUGCACAUAUCAUCAUCAUGUCACACAUGCCAUCAUGCCACAGGUGCNNNNNNNNNNNNNNNNNNNNNNNNNNNNNNNNNNNNNNNNNNNNNNNNNNNNNNNNNNNNNNNNNNNNNNNNNNNNNNNNNNNNNNNNNNNNNNNNNNNNGCACUUACCAUCAUGCAUUCAUGCAUAUAUCACCAUGCCAUAUGUGCACAUACCACCAUGAUUCAUAUCAUCCAUGCUAUCAAGCAUACAUCACCAUGAGAUCCAUUCAUGCCUUCAUGAUCGCAUUUUCAAUAUCAAAUAGCAUCAACUUAUUUUCAUAAGCCGAUCAUGCAUCAUGCCAUAUGCAUACACCCAUGCACAUGAUUCAUUUUCAAUUCUUAUCUUUCAUAAGGAUCUCAUCAGUUUUUCUUUCCAGGGACCAAUGUUUGCAUCCCACAAUUUAUCGCUCGCACCCAAUCCUGGCAUCGUAAGGAACCUCCGGGCAUAUAUUCAAAAUACAACCGAGCAUCCGGCCCCCCACAUUCCGAGCAUCUCGCAUCCCAACUAGCAUCACGAGGCAUCCCCCCGAGCACAAACCUCUGGGGCUUCCGGAAUUACGUACCGACAUACCACCAGGAUCCCCCCCCUCUUCUGGAAUUACGUACCGUAUACCACCGGGCAUCUCGAAACUCCCGAGGACCCUCCGGAAUUAUGCCACUAGGCCACCGGGCAUCCGGCACUCCCUAGCCAGGCAUCCCGACACUCCCGGGGCAUCGUCGGCUCACACCUCCGACGGCCUUCUCACUUAUCUCAAUUCACAUCUUCAAUUAUAGUUCAAUUUUAACAUGGCAUGUGAUGUGAUGGCAAUCAAGAUCAUUUUCAUCCUUUGAUUCAUACAUGCAUCUCAAAUCAUCAUCAUACAUGCAGCAAGACACAAUCAAUCAUAACAAUACAAUUCAUGGAGUCCAUACAAUUUAGAAUAGUCCAUUUAUCAUGCCUUUUUGAAGUUUACUAAAUUCCAGCUUGUACCAUUUUAGAAAACAUUUAAAUUAAAUAUCCAUAUAAUCCUCAAAAAUCAUGAAAUCAGGACAUGUGAUAGACAAGACAGUAAGAUAAAAAUUUCAUGAAGAACACAUGCCCGAAAGAGUUUCACACAAGAAGAUAUAAUUCACGCAAAUACAGCAUGUAAUUUCGGAUAGAAACAGAAUGUGCAGUUUUUGAAAUAAUUCGAUUAAAAUACCCGAAUGACCUCCGAAAAUUAUGAAAUUUUACCAGGUUAUAUUUAAGACACUAAAGUAGAUUUUUCAUGCAGACAUCUAGGCCAUAUUCGUUCUCGAUAAUUUUCUACAGACGUCCGAAUCUCCUGUUUCUAGCACCGAAACGUCCAGUUUAGCUAUCUCCGAAAUAUCGAGUUUUCACCUACUUAUCCUUCUUCGUUUCCUCUGAAAUUUUGAUAAUGUUUGCCUCAAGAGGUCCCCUACAACUUUCAUUAAGAGAUAUAAGUGAAAUUUCCAAAGAAUAGUCACCAUAUGGGUCCAAGAAGUCUCGGGUGUCCAGUACCGUAUUUCCAGAUUUACCAUCUUCAAGAGAAAGUCGAUUCACUAGGCUACACUUGUUCAUUUUACCUCACAUUUGAGUAUGUUAGUCUUUAUGAUGUUCUCUACAAGUUUCAUGAAGAAGUCGAAGGGAAAUUCUCGGUAAAAAGCAACAUGCAACCCACAAAACUACCAAAAGGUCAGCAAAGCAGUUCCAGAUCUAGUGUCUUCGUAGGAAGAGGGUUUUACCCCUUAAAUCUCAAUAAUUUUGUCCCAACUUUUAUUAUGUUAUAUUUUGAGAUGUUUUCUACAACUUUCAUGAAGGAGUCAAAGUCAAAAUCCAACUCGAAACAUGCAUGCAAGCCUCCACAAGUUUCUGGGUCGGGCGGUAUACACGAAAUCAGCAAGCUUUUUCAAGAACAAGUCACACUCUAGCUUCGGUUUUGUCUACCCUAAACAUCCGAGAUCUACCACCAACAAAUCACACAUGCAAGACACACAUGCAAGAGUAGAAAUCGAUCCUAACUUUCCUCUAAGAUCAAGCGGAUGACAGCACACGGACGGCACACCGGCGACAGACGGACAGCGUGCGGGCGGACGAACGGCGAGCUCCUUCCUCUCCUCCCUCUCGGUUCCUCUCUCUCGCAACUCACUCUCUCUCUCUCUCUCUCUCUCUCUCUCUCUCUCUCUCUCUCUCUCACUUUUUGGUCGUAUAUAUAUUUGCAUGCAUUCUUAUUUUGCAUGGGGGACACUUGUCCCUAAGAAGGAGACAAGUGUCUCCUUUGCCGAAGACACUUGGAGGAAGCCAUGCGGCUCCUCCUUCCCCCUACAUGCGUCGACAUGGGCCGGGCUUAUGGCCCACUUUAGGCCCAUCUCACUUGGGCCUAAAGCCCAAACUUAAAUGGCCCAAGUUUAUUUUUAAUAAUACAUUUUAAUCCUCAUUUAAAUAAAUACCUAAUUGCAUAAUAAAAUGACCAAAAGACUUUGUGACAUUAAUCCAUCAAAUCUAUAAAGUGCAUAGUCAAGAACAAAGUCUUCUUUAUCAAAUCGUCCUAUGUCCAAUUUAAAUAGCCCAUAGAAAAAUAUCGAUAAUAAGCCCAUAAUUCCUAUACCACUUUAGGGCAUUUGAUUUUGAUUUUUAUUUAUAGAAAUCAAUUAACAUUCUCAUAAUCAAUUAACAUUUUCAUAAGGGGUUCGGUCCAAGAGAUAAAAUAUCGUGGCCGAUGAUGUAAUUGUCCCUAUGGCCAUUCAAAGUCAAAUAUUGUUUCCCUCAAAAUCAAUAUUUCGGGUUGAAAUUCCCGGAUGCGACAUUUAAGGGGUAAAACCCUCUUCCUACGAAGACACUAGAUCUGGAACUGUUUUGCUGACCUUUUGGUAGUUUUGUGGGUUGCAUGUCGAUUUUUACCAAGAAUCUCUCUUCGGCUUCUUCAUGAAACUUGAAGAUAACAUCCUAAGGACUAACAUACUCAAAUUUGAGGUAAAAUGAGCAAGUGUAGCCUAGUGAAUUGACUUUCUCUUGAAGACGGUAAAUCUGAAAAUACGGUACUGGACACCCGAGAUUUCUUGGACCCAUAUGGUGACUAUUCUCUGGAAAUUUCACUUAGAUUCAUUAAUUAAAGUUGUAGGGAACCUCUUGAGGAACAACAUAUCCAAAUUUCAGAGGAAACGAAGAAGAAUAAGUGGGUGAAAACUCGAUAUUUCGGAGAUAGCUAUACUGGACGUUUCGGUGUUAGAAACAGGAGCUUCGGACGCCUGUAGAAAAUUAUCUAGAGCGAAUCUGGCCUAUAUGUCUUCAUGAAAAAUAUACUUUAGUGUCUUAACUAUAACCUGGUAAACUUUCAUAAUUUUCGAAGGUCAUUCGGGUUUUUUAAUCGAAUUAUUUCAGAAACUGCGCAAUCUGAGUUUAUCCGAAAUUACAUGCUGUAUUUGUGCAAAUUAUAUCUUCUUGUGCGAAACUCUUUUGGGCAUGUGUUCUUCAUGAGAUUGUUACCUUAUUGUCUUGUCUAUCACAUGUCCUGAUUUCAUGAUUUUUCAAAAUCAUAUGGAUAUUUAAUUUAAAUAUUUUCUAAAAUUGUGCAAGCUGGAAAUUUAGUAAAUUUCAAAAAGGCAUGAUAUAUGGACUAUUCUAAGUUGUGUGAACCCCAUGGAUUGUAUUGUCAUAUGUGGUUGCAUGUAUGAUGAUGAUUGGAAACGCAUAUAAGAAUUAAAUUGAUGAUAAUGAUCUUGUUUGCCAUCACAUUAUAUGCCAUGUUGAAAUUGAGCCACAAUUGUGAAUAUAAACUAUGAUAAAUGAGAAUGCCGUCGGAGGUUUGAGCCAACGAUGCCCCGGGAGUGUCGGGAUGUAUGGCUAGAAUGGUAAAGGCCGGAUGCCCAGUGGCCUAGUGGCGUAAUUCCGGAGGGUCCUCGGGAGUUUCGAGAUGCCCGGUGGUAUACGGUACGUAAUUCCAAAUGAGGGGAGGAUCCUGGUGGUAUGUCGGUACGUAAUUCCGGAAGCCCCGGAGGUUUGUGCCCGGGGGGAUGCCUCGUGAUGCUAGUUGGGAUGCGAGAUGCCCGGAAUGUGGGGGGCCGGAUGCCCGGUUGUAUUUUGAAUACAUGCCUGGAGGUUCCUCGUGAUGCCUGGUUGGGUGUGAGUGAUGAAUUGUGGGAUGCAAACAUUGGUCCAUGGAAAGAAAAACUGAUGAGAUCCUUGUGAAAGAUAAUAAUUGAAAAUGAAUCAUGUGCAUGGGUGUAUGCAUAUGGCAUGAUGCAUGAUCAGCUUAUGAAAAUAAAUUGAUUCUAUUUGAUAUCGAAAAUGCGAUCAUGAAUGCAUGAAUGGAUCUCAUGGUGAUAUAUGCAUGGAUGCAUGAUGGUAAGUGCAUGGAUGUAUGUGCACCUAUGGCAUGAUGGUAUGUGUGACAUGAUGAUGAUGAGUGCAUGGAUGCAUGGUAAUGAUGAUGAUACAUGUGAUAUGAUGAUGAUAUGUGCAUGGAUGCAUGGUAAUGAUGAUGGUACAUGUGAUAUGACGAUGAUGAGUGCAUGGAUGCAUGGUAAUGAUGAUGGUAAGUGUAUGCCAUGAUGGUGAUGACUAUAUGAUGAUGUAUGUACAUGAGGUAUGAUGAUAUGUGCAUGAUAUCAAUGUAAAUUGUGCAUGGAUGCUUAAAUGUCAUGUGAUGCUAUGAUUGUGAUGAUUGUGUGGCAUGAUGCAUUGAGUGGUUUAUUGGUCAUGUACUUGCUGAGUGGCUGUACUCACCCCUUCGGGAACCAACAUUUCAGAUUAGUAGAUGGAUUGAGUAGUUGGAUAUGACCGCGAGGAGGAGGAUAGCAAAGGAAGGAACUUUUAGACAUCGACACUGAUCGAUGGACUUUAAGUAUACGACUGUUGGAAGAGAUGUUAGUCAUCCUUUGAAGUAUAGCCAAGUAUAGAAAACUAUGGCAUUUUGAUGUACCGAUGAACGAUGUCCAUAUGGUUUAAGUGAAUAAAAGUGUAUGGCUUUUACUUAUAAAUGUUUAGUAGGUGUGCAUCGUUUUCUGAAUAUAGGAAAGGGAGUUGUUGGAUGUGCUUCCGUAUAUAAAUUGCGCAAGGGACCGAUCUAAAAGAUGUAAACCCCCAGGUUGUAUGGACCCACUGCAAUUGAAAUGGUAUCAGAGUGACAUGUUAUUAGGAAAAGUGAAUGGUAAGCGAACUGUGGCGACCCUAAUCGGAUCGGGGGCCGUCGAGGGGUGCCACAGAAGAUGCAGUUGAGUUAUGGCAUAAGAGACUCAGUCACAUUAGUGAAAAGGGUUUGUCACUAUUGGCCAAGAAGAAGCUCCUUUCAGGAUUGAAAAGUUCAGCGCUAAAGAAGUGUGCUCACUGUUUAGUAGGAAAACAGAACAGAGUUGCAUUUAAAAGCUCCUCUCCUUCAAGAAAGUCAAGUAUACUAGAUUUAGUGCAUUUUGAUGUUUACGGUCCUAUGAAAACAAAAUCACUUGGUGGCUCUCUUUAUUUUGUUACCUUCAUAUAUGAUUUUUCAAGGAAAAUUUGGAUUCAUACCUUGAAAACUAAAGAUCAAGUGUUAGAUACUUUUAAGCAAUUUCAUGUUUCAGUUGAGAAACAGAUUGGAAAGAAAUUGAAAUGCAUCUGAACUGAUAACGAGGGAGAAUAUAUUUGACCUUUCGAUGAAUAUUGCAGACAACAAGGUAUUCGACAUCAAAAGACACCUCCCAAGACGCCUCAGUUAAAUGGCUUAGCUAAGAGAAUGAACAGAACACUAGUUGAAAGGGUAAGAUGCUUACUUUCACAGUGAAAGCUACAUGGAUCCUUUUGGGAUGACGCUUUAAGUACGGUUGUACAUGUAUUAAAUCUUACUCCAUGCAUUCCUUUAGAGUUUGAUGUUCCUAACAGAGUUUGGACAUGCAAAGAUGUUUCUUAUGAUUAUUUGCAUGUCUUUGGGUGCAAAGCAUUUGUGCAUAUUCCCAAAGAUGAGAGGUCUAAACUUGAUGUGAAAACACAACAGUACAUAUUUAUCGGUUAUGGACAGGAUAUGCUUGGCUACAAAUUUUAAGAUCCGGUUGAAAAGAAAAUUGUAAAAAGCAAAGACGUUGUGUUUAUGGAAGAUCAAACAAUAAAUGAUAUUGAGAAAGUAGAGAUGAUUUCAGCAUCACAGGUUAGUGAUAAUCUAGUUGAUUUAGAUCCAGUUCCUCUUACAAAUAUUCCUACACAGGUUGAUGAAGAGCAGCUGGAAGUCAAUGUUCCAAAUAAUGCAUAUGUUCCUAAACAUGUUGAAACAGACAAUAAUAUUCCUGAACCAGAGGCUCAAUUAGAUGUUCCAUUGGAUGUUCAAGUCCGGAGAUCCGUUAGAGACCGACGACCUUCCACCAGGUAUUCUGAAGAUGAGUAUGUAUUAUUGACUGAUGUAGAUGAACCAAAGUGCUAUGCAGAAGCAAUAGAAGAUGAGUACAAAAGCAAUUGGUUCGAUGCUAUAAGAGAUGAGAUACAGUCACUUUAUGAUAAUCAUACUUUUGAGUUGGUGAAGUUACCUAAAGGUAAAAGAGCUUUGAAGAACAAGUGGGUAUAUAGGUUGAAGUAAGAUGAACAUACUUCACAACCACGAUACAAAGCUAGAUUGGUUGUUAAGGGAUUCGACAGAGAAAUGGCAUUGAUUUUGAUGAUAUAUUUUCUUCGGUAGUGAAAAUGUCUUCUAUCCGUAUGGUACUAGGCUUGGCAGCUACUCUAGAUUUGGAAAUUGAGCAAAUAGAUGUUAAAACAGCCUUCCUACAUGGUGACUUGGAGGAAGAAAUAUACAUGGAACAACCUAAGGGUUUCAAAGUGAAAGGGCAAGAUGAUUAUAUAUGCAAAUUGAAGAAAAGUCUCUAUGGCCUAAAACAAGCACCGAGGCAGUGGUACAAAAAGUUUGCGUCAGUUAUGACAGAACAUGGCUAUAAGAAGACUUCCUUGGAUAACUGUGUGUUUGUCCAAAAUUUUUCUUAUGAUGACUUUAUUAUUCUCUUGCUUUAUGUUAAUGAUAUGCUGAUUGUUGGCAAUAAUGCUUCAAGAAUUGAGUUAUUGAAGAAACAAUUGAGCAAGUCUUUUGCCAUGAAAGACUUGGGCUUGGGCUUGGCGAAGCAGAUUCUUGGCAUUAGAAUUACUUGAGACAGAGAUGCUAAGAAGUUAUUUUUGUCGCAAGAGAAAUAUAUCGAGAAGAUCCUUCAGAAAUUUUACAUGGACAAGGCUAAAAUGGUUAGUACUCCUCUUGCUGUUUACUUUAAGUUAAAUAUGAAGCAAAGUCCCAUGACUGAUAAAGAGAAGAAAGAUAUGGAAAGUGUUCCAUAUGCUUUAGCUGUAGGAAGCUUAAUGUAUGCAAUAGUAUGUACACGCCCAGACUUGGCGCACGCAGUUGGCGUUGUUAGUCGCUAUUUGUCAAACCAAGGCAGAGAGCACUGAAAUGCAGUGAAGUGGAUUAUGAGGUAUCUUCGGGGAACUUCAAAUUUGAAACUCAGUUUCGGGACCGAGAAACUUGAGUUAGUUGGACACACAAAUUCUAACUUGGCAAGAGAUAUUGAUACUCGUAAAUCUACUUCUAGUUAUUUGAUUUCUUUUGCGAGUGGAGCUGUGUCAUGGAAGUCAAGAUUGCAGAAGUGUGUUGCACUUUCUACAACCGAAGCUGAAUUUAUUGCAGCGAUUGAAGCGAGUAAAGAGAUGUGAUGGAUGAAGAAUUUCUUAGAACUUGGGUUCAAGCAAAAGAGGUAUGUGCUAUUUUGUGAUAAUCAAAGCGCAAUUCAUCUUGGUAAGAAUUCAUCUUUUCAUUCUAGAUCAAAACAUAUUAAUGUUAGAUAUCAUUGGAUAAGAGAUGUUCUAGAUGAAAAGUUGUUGGAACUUGAGAAAAUUCAUACGAAUCAUAAUGGCUCUGAUAUGAUGACGAAAACUCUAUCAAGAGAGAAGCUUGAACAUUGCCAAUUGAUAGCAGGGAUGGUGAAUCCUUACUAUGUGGAGGAGGCCCAAUAAGUUGCAAGCCCAAAAAGGGCUUGAGCUCCUAUGAUAAGCUAUAUGAGGAAAUAGGAUUUCUCACUAUCUAUAUAAAGUGAUGGUCAUAAAAGGAAAUAGUAACAAGAGAAAAAGAGAAAGUAGAAAAUCUGGGGUUUGGGGUAAUAUCUGAUUUACAUCAAGCUGGCAUCGGAAGUCGAUUCAUGGUCCGAUUGAGCUGAAAUUUUGUCAGCAUGUUCGUGACGCAAUUUUAUCGAAUCUGAACGGUUUGAUUUUCGUUUGAAGCUCCCCACAUCAGGAUUUUCAUGGAUUGAUCAAAACCUACAUUUUUGGUCAGAUUUAUCCUCGAUCUCUUGUAAAAUUCAUGUGUAUUGCCAAGAAUUAUGUUCUUAAGGUCUUUGCUACUAUGUACCUCUAGUAUUUGCUAGAGAAGAACAAUUUUGUUGAUAGUGAAAAUUUUUGGGUGGACUUCGAUCCCGUGGUUUUUGAUCUCCUCACAUCGAGGAUGUUUUCCACAUAAAAGAAAUUGUAUUGUGUUCGCGUGAUUGGUAUUUAUUUUACUCUACUAUAUCAAUUCCUAUUACAUUUACAUAAGAUGGGAGAUUAUUUUAUUCCGCUGCGUUGAUUCGAUAUUGUUCGAAUUGUUAUUGUUCUCCCAUCAUGUGACUUAGUUCACUUCGACGAUCGCAAUUCCAAUGGGGCAACCAUGACUCCGGCGGCUUUAUCUACAAUCUGCUGUCACGUCUCCAGCUCUGCCGCUGUGUAUCCUUCUCCAUGACACUCAGGCGAUGAUGAAAUCCAUCAACUAAGACCCAUGCCUGCAAGAGGGACCGGCGAACUUCAGGGCGUUUAGUGGAAAUGAGGUCAGGGCGUAGGAACGGAUCCAUAGCACAGCUGCUUCAUGAUAGCUAUGCGCGUUAUCACCUCACCACCGCUAGAGCCACAAUCAACCCUGAAUCAUCUCACUCUACUGAAUCAAGCCAAGCAUCGUUGUUGGACCAUCGGGUCAUUUCGUAUUAAACUCAGAUUCUCUGAUUUAUCUCUACUACAUUGUCUAGCUGAGUAUCCUAGGUCAUAUUUUGUUUUGAAUUGUUAGCUAUUCUGUUUAUUAGAUGCUUCACACCACAUGCUCACAACUUGUUCGACAGAAUGCCUAACUCAAUCGUGGAUAGUUAGUCCUAUUGCAUUCUGUUUAUAAACAUUUUGAUGUCCAAUUGAUGUCGGUUGCGUCUUGCUGCAUUUCCUGUACAUAGUUCAUUAAUAUGCAAAUGGAUUGGAUAUAUAGGUGAUGUAUGUCGAAUGCUGUUCACAAGUGUUUUGAAUGUAUCAAAUCCUAUUCAUAUGUGGUUGUGCAUGUCAAAUGAUGCUCAUGCGUGUUACUUUGAGAUCGUGAGGUGCUGAAGGAAAGAGAAGAGAAUGCGGGACGUUAUCAAUUAGAGGUGAAUUUGAAUGAAAUAGGCUUAGUUUGACUAUUCUCUUACAUGUUCAUGAUUAUGGGUAGUGUCUAAUCUCUUUUUCAGGGUUCAAAGCAUGUUUACAAAUCAAGACAUUGCUUGGCAUGUUUUGACAUACUUCAUUGAACAUGAUUCCUAACAAAUUUGGCUUAAUUCAAUGCUAAUUUACUUGUUUGUAAAUAGAGGCUCACAUGUCAAUAGUUUUUAGGUACUUUUUAAGCAUGUUUAGACCUCAUUUUUAGUUCCAGUUCAGGACCGUGCUUGCUGGGUGUUGUUGGACCGUGCAUACUAGCAAUGUGGUCUAAUAUAUCCAUGAUAUGGAUUUUUUUUGUGGCCAGUAUGAUGACAUGGAGUAAGUUAUAAUAUAUAUAUGAAAAGAAUGAAAAACAAGAACAAGCGCCACCACACACCAAGAAUUUUGUAUGUUCCUACUCACAUUCCAUUUUUAUAUGAAAUCCAAGAAUUUUGUGCAGCAUCCUUCCUUAAUUUUUCUUGCAAAGUGAUAGGCAUGGAAGUUCUGAUCUAAAGAUUGAGGGUUGGAAACUUACUGAUCUGUCAAUUAAAGAGUUAUGUGAUGGACUUCAAUUGCUAAAAUGCGUACACAUUGGUCUAUUAUGCAUUGCAGAAGAUCCGGCAAACUAACUGACUAUGUCAUUUGUGGUUCAUAUGUGAGGAGACGAUACUAUCCGCGAUACUAUCACACUUACCCAACCAUCGCAGUCUGCAUUCUCAGUUGGGAGAUAUGUGAAAACACUUGAUUCUAUCGGCCCGAUUCACAAAGCUUCCACUGUUAAUGAACUAACAAUUACAAAUGUUUCACCUAGAUGACCAAGUAUCAUCAAUCCUCCUCCAGUUCAUUUCUCUUUUAUACCAUGGUAGGUAGAAUGAUAAUUAUAGUGUGUGAUCUCUUUAGCAUUGUGACUGCCAUUUCUUAAUCCUUGAUUUCCGCAAUCAUCGAUUAGUAAUUGUAAGGUUAAAAAGCCCAAUAGUCGGCAUUUCUAUCCAAUUUAUCACUUUUGUUCUAUCAUAAUUAUACAUAUACUUACUUGAGAUAUAUAUCAAUUUGUAACCCAUUGAUAAAUUAAAAUUUAAGCAUAUAUAAAUUUGAUAUUUUACCUUUAGUAUAUUCAUCGAAAUCUAAUUUGUGAUGAAUAUUAUAAUUAAAUACUAGAUAACAAAUGAGUAGAAAGUCCUGAAUUCAAAUCUCUCUAAACCCCCAUGUACCUCUUUUACUUGCGAAUGUUCAACCUAUGCAUGUGGAGGAAUGUUAGAUUAUCCAUAUAUUAGAUGACGUCUUCAUCUAAUAGUUUAGAGAAAAUCAUUCAUAAAGUCCUACACCUAUUGUACUCUUGUUAAUUCAAUCAUAGACAUUUUUACCUUUUGUCAAUUGAGUCUAUCCGGCUAAGUUUAAUAGAAAAUCGCUAACAUGAAUGCUGGAUGUCUUAUGUGUCACAUGAACAUUUUAAAUAAUAUUUAAUAAAUUUUUUAUUUUUUUAUAUUUUUUAAUCCUUCCCUUCCCUUUCUUUUCUUUUCUUUGGACUCAAGUCGGCAAAGGUAUCGCGGCGUUGCCCCAAAAGGGGAGAGGGCAUCGUGGCCUUUGCUUCGGGCCAAGGCUAGCAAGGGUCACCACGCCCUUGCCUUGCCUAGAUUUCGUAUGGGCAAUGCGGCCAUUGCCAAACUCCUAACCCUUGCCCACUGGCUGGCAAGGGCCAUACACCCUCUCUAGCCCGAAUCCAAAAAAACGGUAAAGAAAAAAAAAAGAGAAAACAUAAUUAGAAAUUCAAUAAGAUGUUAAAAUAUCAUUAAAAAAAAUGUCUACAUUAGCGUCAGCCAUGCCAUGUAAGACGUUUGGCAUCUACGUCAUCCAUUUCUGGCCAAAAUUGCCUAGAUGAGUUCAAUCGAUAAAAAGUGAAAACAUUUAUAACUCAGUUGGCACAAUUAGAAGGUUUUAAAUUGAAUUGGAAAAAGCGUAAUAGGUUUAGGAUAUUUUGGAUAAUUUUCUUCACAAAAAUUCAUAAUCAAUGACCUAUUUUCAUUUGAUAUAAUUAAGUAAAAAGAAAACAAUGUGUAAUGCCAAGCAAUAGUAUCAAGUAGGGGUGUGCAACCAAACUAGUUCUACCCAGGAACCGAAUCGGACCGCCUGAAAAAUAGGUCUAGGAACCGGUUCAGGAACGAGUUCCAAAUUUUUGGAAUUGGUUGUAAUAGGUCCAGUAAUAGGUUCCGAGUGAAUACCCACUCGAGAACUAGAUCAGACCGUCCUAUUUUGGAACCGAUUUUAUAAGCUAAAAAGCCAAAAUCCUAAUUUCUUUUCCCAUAAAUUCUAACCUUAGCAAUUUUUCGUCAUUUGUCCUUCCUCAAAGCUCCUCACCAAUCUUUCCUCUUCCCUAAUUAAUGACCUAUUUUCAUUUGAUAUAAUUAAGUAAAAAGAAAACGAUGCGUAAUGCCAAGCAAUAGUAUCAAGUAGGGGUAUGCAACCAAACUAGUUCUACCCGGGAACUGGAUUGGACCGCAUGAAAAACAGGUCCACGAACCAGUUCGGGAACAUGUUCCAAAUUUUUGGAACUAGUUGUAAUAGGUCCAGUAAUAGGUUCCGAGCGAAUACCCACUCGGGAACUAGAUCAGAUCGUCCUAUUUUGGAACCAAUUUUAUAAGCUAAAAAGCCAAAAUCCUAAUUUCUUUUUCCCAUAAAUUCUAACCUUAGCACUUUUUCUUCCUUUGUCCUUCCUCAAAGCUCCUCACCAAAAAAAGAAAAAGAAAAAUAGUUAAUGAUACAUUCAUCCAAUGAAUUAUGACUUCUCUUUCCUCUUCCCUAAAGUUUUAUGGAUGAUUGGAGAAUGUAAUUUUAUAAUUUACGUUAUAUGUUACAUGUUUGAACUUUUUGUCACUAUAAUUGUACGGGAUUACGUAUUCAUAAUAUGAAUUUCAUAUUAUGGAUUGUUGUUUAUGGUGGAUAGCAAUUUCUGUUGUUCAUCUUUUACAUUAAAUCGUUUCGUUACUCAUAACCUCAUAUGAUUUUGCUAGCAAAAAUGAACCCAAAAAAGGCAAAAAAUAUAAUAAAAAAGGUUCUCGAGUAGACUUUGGAACUGGACUGGAAAAAUAUGAUAGGUUCCAGAAUCGAUUUCAAGCAAACAGGGUAGGUUACAGGGUCCAAAAACUUGGAACUGGUUAUAACAAAAUACGUUCAGGUUACCUUGAAACUAACCACCUUGGAACCAACCACCCUUAGUAUCAAGUAAUGCAUGUGGAUGACUCAGCAACGGUAUUUGUCCACUAGACCUCCUCGUUGGCGCCCAAGGGAAAAACAUUAGCUGGCUAAGCUCGCCUAGUGGAGAAACCUUCCUUCUUUUAUUUUUAAAAUUUCUAGCUAGGGAAACAAAAGGAAAAUAAAAAAUAAUCAUAGGGUUUUGUGUUAUAUUAUCUUAUCUGUGAGUUUACUACUAUUUUCCUCUCCUAUAUCGGAAUUUUGGGCUUAAUUUGUGCUACUAGUGUUUAUAAAAUUUACAUAUCAUAGUAAAAUCACUAAUAAAUGGAAAAGCACCAAAACAUAUAUUAGCGUUCAUGAACGACCAUUCAUAUAUCUUUACUUUUGGGAAAAAAAAAAACAUGCUAAGUGUUACUUUUGAAAACCACCAUUCACAUCAAUUAUCAGUGAUAUAGCUAGUAUAAGCACCUAGAUGGGGGUGAAUAGGUGUAAAAAUAAUUUCUCGAGAUAUGAAAACAAUACUAGACAAAUUAGAAAGGAAGCUCUCCUUUAGUUAACAAAUUGAAGUAUGAUUAAAGUAAAGCAGAGAGUGGGGAAGAGAAAAUUGAACACAAAGUUUAUAGUGGUUCGGUUUAUUCCAAGCCUACGUCCACUCUUCUGCACUGACAGCCCACUGGCUGGAUUUCACUAUGAACAAAAGAGAUGUUACAGCACUGCUUUCACUUGAUUCCACAGUGUAGAUAUUCUACCACACUUCCUCAAGGUAUCUCAAAAUAUAGAUUCUCUUUUGUGUACAAGAUUUCGCUCAGUAAGUGAAUUGACUAAGAAUCAAAGAGCUUCAGACUUUGGAAUUCUUCUAUCGUGCACACUUCGAACAACUGGAACGUCUUCCUUUUAUACUCUUUUGUGCCAUCAUACCCGUUGGCACUUACAAAAGGAAUUCUUCCAAUCCUCCCGUUGGACAGAAUCAAUUAAGGAAGAUUAUUCGAGCUAUUAAAGGAACAUGUCGAUAGCCCAUCAAUCCUGCUCGCCCAUACAAUCAGGAUCUUGGUAUCCAUAAGUAGAACCUUCCAAGAAUACUUCGUCAAUCAUCGGAUCUUUAAUCAUUCUUGAUUUGAAUAAAGGAAUCCGUUAUGUCAUAUCCAGCCAAGAGAUCUUCUCCAGUCGAUAAGGCCAAAUCCUUAAUGAAGCAGUUCUGGAUAGCCUUUCUUCAACGGAUUAGAAACUGUCAAUGAGAAUAGACUUUGAGUCUUGAGUCUGGUAGUCCGGAGGUCUUCAGACUUUAAUAGAAGAGUCUGCAAAACUUCAGACUAGACUGAUAGAAACGUUUUGUCAGCUUCAAAAUAUUCCAGAAAGAUUUCUCCAACAAUCUCCCCCUUUUUGAUGGUGACAAAACUUUCCUGCAUAUUUGAAUAACUUUGACCUGCAAAACAUUACUCAAGCAAAUAUGGAUAUCUCAUAAAGAUUAAUAGCUUAAUGAUAACACUAGAAUCUGCAACCACAGAAAAUAAGUUAGUCUUGCAUGAGAGUAAAGCCAUUCAUAAGAUAUCAAUAAUACUUAAUAUAAACAGUAGUCAAAUCCAAAUCCACGUUCAGUCAAUCCUCAUCCAGACACAGACACACAAGUCAAACAUCAAAACAAACUGAAAAUUCAACAAGUUUAAGUUCAAAGAUUUCAAAUCUCACAUCUCUCUCCCCCUUUUUGUCAUCAUAAAAAAAAGGUUGAGAUGGGAAUAGAAUGGAGUCAAGUUUGCUUGGGAAUGCGAACAAGCUGGAAAUCUCCCAUGGACUGGAUGAUGCCUUCCAGCUUUUUCAAUUCUUCCUUCAGUUGAUCCACCUCUUCACCUUUAGCAUUGGCUUGAAUCUGAAGAGUAAGGGCUUGGAUCUAAUCAGACAAUGAAACGGAAGAAGCUUGUCCUGCAAUCUUCAAGUUCUGAACUUUGCUUUCCAAAGCAUAUAUCUAACCCCGCAAUUCCAAAAGAACAUCAAUGAUCCUACGAAAAUCUGCUGAGUUAUCAGUUUGCGUACUGGCUUCGGUACGAUCUGAUGGAGUAAAGGCAGACGAUGGUAUAUCGGCAUAAUCACGCAGAUUUGGCGACAAAGCACCAUGUCCCUCCUCAGGAAAUAGAGAGGCAUGAAUGUCUUCUGAAUCUGCUGGAGAGCGGCUGACUCCUUCACUGGUAACAGGAUAUGAGGACAUUCCUCUGUUCUCACCAUCUCCCCCUGUUUCCAUGGCUUCAGGUGGAGAAACGUUUUCCUCAUGCUCUCCUUCCUCUUGAUUUUCUCUUUCUUCUUCUUCUUCAAACCUUUCCUCCCCUGCUUCUUUUUCUUCAGCUUCUUUCUCCUUUUCUUCCUUCUCCCCUGCUUCUCUCUCCUCUGCUUCUGUUUCUUCUUCUUUCUCCUGUUCUUCUCUCUCCUCUGCUUCUUUCUCCUGUCGUUCCAUUGAUUCAGGAACAUAACGACUCAGCUUCUUUAAUGCUAUAGCAGAAAUUGUGAGGUCAUCCUCAUCAUCUUCAUCAGUAAUGAGAGCUUUUCUCUUCUUGGAUGGAGCAACCAUGGGUUCCUUCCCUUUUCUUUUCGCUGCUGAAGAGACUUGAUGAGAUUUGACAGGGGUUUUCUCCUUAAAUUUCUCCAACGCCUUGUCGAGCUCUUUCAGACACAUUUUGGACACCAUUUUUAGUCCUACCACCAUUUUGUCACAAGGUCGAACACAGAGAAUUUGUGGAGGCUGAAUAUUCAAAUGUCUGAAUAUCUUUGACAUAAGACCUAGAUAAGGAAGUUGGCCCUUGUCCUUCACCACUGCUCUAUACAUGUGAAACAGAAUAGUGUGAGGAAGAGAAAACUUUUUCCCAGCAUUGAUGGCGUACAUCAGCUUUGCCUUUGAGUUAAAAACAUCAGUCUUGGAAGUUGAUUUCGGUCUGAGGCAAUUGAUCACAAUCUUGUGAAGCAAAAUGUUGAACGCAUGCAUCCUUGAGUAGGAAAUCCUUCCCUCAAUCAUUUUGUCUUUAACAAGUUUCAAUGUGGCACGAGCUAUAGAGACACUGAUAGGUUGAUAUCUCCCUCUCUCAACCCCAAUAACAUCUGCCAACAUAUCCACAUCCACUACAAAUUCCUGAUCUCGGACACUGAAAGAGAUUCUAUUUGCAUCCAAGAAACUAAGAUUUGAAUAGAAAUAUGCAGUUAAUUGAGCAUAGGCUUCUGUGGUGUCAGAACAGAACUGUUCAAGUUGAAGAAAACUGAAAUUUUCCCGCAAAUUGACAUUCACAGCAUCAAGGAAAUCAAAAUCUACACUCCUAGGGUUUAUCACCCCACACUUCAACAAUUUGGAGUAUAGAUCCUUCUGUUCCUUCGAUCUAAACAACUCUGUUCUUUUUCCUCGAAUUUUUGCCGCAACACCCAUUUUCGGUUGAAAUUGGCUGUACAAUCUGUCAUCAUCAUUCCCAUCUAUCGGAUUAAAUCCCCCAACACGCGGAUCACUUGGGAUAUUUGCAAGGGUUUUUUCUGCCAACCCUUUAGGAGCAAUUGCCAAACUCUCCAUUUUUCGCAAAAAGAUGUACUCAUUCCCAUAUCCCUUGUCCUUAAGAAACUCAUCGAUGUAGUUCAAUGGAGUACCAAUGCUCUUUAAAGCACGAUAAAGCUUAUAAAUAAAAGAGGGCUUUUGAACUCUUACAGGAUCUGCGUCUUCAACGAUUUCUUCCUCUUGUUGAUGAACAGCAUUUUGUGGACUAGAUGGUGGAGAAUGACGCUACUGAGAAUGUUGUGGGCUCUGCUGCUAACUUGGUGACUCCUCUUCCUCGGUGAGAUCAAAGUGAGUAGGCCCCUUACUCAUUCGCCGUGGUCCCCUGCUUGCAAUUCUCGAAGACUUUCUUGAAGACGACAUCUUUCUCAGUCUUUGAAAGAUUCCUUGCUUGACUUUCCCAAGAAAGAUGACAACUUUUUCAAAGAUUAAACAAGGGAGGAAGACAGGAAUGGAGGAUCAAUGCUUUUUAGGGUUUUGGAGUUAAGUGAAGAGGAACCGACUGUAUAUAGUUCAGUCGAAUAGAGGCAUACCAAACGUCGUAAAGGAAGGUUAAAAGAUGCAUUUUAAAAAAAAAAACUGCAUUUUUCAAAAAUAGAUAACUGCCAUUAACUCUUUUUGAAAAGGAAAAAAUUGCACUUUUCACGGAAAUUGAAGAUAGCAUAAAUCAAUUAUGAAUGGAUAAAUGAUCGUACCUUUACGGGAUUUAAUAUAAAAUAAAAUAACUUACAUUCAAAAACCAUGAUUGUCUGAGACUGCGAGUCUCUAGACUUUAACUUCUUCAAGCUUCAAGAUGUUGAGUCUGGAACGGAUGAUUUCAAAUUGAUUUUUCUCCAAAGGCUUUGUAAAUAUAUUCGCCAGUUGGUUCUUUGAGUCAACAAACUGAAUCGAAACUUCUCCAUUUUGAACAUGAUCUCUAAUGAAGUGAUGUCGAAUCUCUAUAUGCUUUGCUCUUGAGUGAAGAAUUGGAUUUUUGGUAAGAUUGAUUGCACUGGUGUUGUCACAGUUAAUCUCCGUGCAUGAAUCUUCAAUCCCAAAAUCUCUUAAUUGUUGUUUUAUCCACAGAAUUUGUGAACAACAACUUCCAAGAGCUACAUACUCUGCUUCUGCUGUAGAAAGAGCUACUGUAUUUUGCUUCCUUGAAAACCAAGACACUGUCCUACUUCCAAGUAACUGACAAGUACCCGAGGUGCUCUUUCUAUCAACUCUGCAACUGGCUAGAUCUGUGUCUGAAUAUCCAAGGAGAGUAAAGUCUCCCUUUUUAGGAUACCAAAGGCCGAUGCUUGAAGUUGAAGCAAUGUAUUUGAUAAUACGCUUUGCAGCACUUAGAUGAGAUUCUUUAGGGUCUGCUUGAAAUCUGGCACAAAUGCAAACACUAAACAAAAUGUCAAGUCUAGAAGCAGUAAGAUAAAGAAGUGAACCGAUGAUACUCCUGUAUAGCUUCUGGUCAACUUUCUUUCCUCCUUCAUCUUUGUCUAUCUUCAAGGAAGUUGACAUUGGUAUAUCAGUCUUUUUGCAAUUUUCCAGUCCAAACUUUUUGACAAGAUUAUUAGCAUAUUUUUCUUGAUGAAUAAAAGUCCCUUCCUUCAAUUGUUUCACUUGAAGUCCAAGAAAGAAGGUUAGUUCACCCAUCAUGCUCAUUUCAAAUUCAUCCUGCAUAGACUUAGAGAAUUUCUUGCACAAACUUUCAUUAGAGGAUCCAAAAAUGAUAUCAUCAACAUAUAUUUGAACAAGCAUAAAACUUUUGCUUUCUCUUUUGAUAAACAGAGUAGUGUCUACUUUACCUUUUUCAAACCCAUUUUGAAUUAAAAACUUACUCAGCCUAUCGUACCAAGCUCGAGGUGCUUGCUUUAAUCCAUACAAGGCUUUUUUCAGUCUGAAUACUAAGUCUGGCUUCCUUGGGUCUUCAAACCCAGGUGGUUGUUCCACAUAGAUUUCCUCAUGAAUAAAUCCAUUCAGGAAAGCACUUUUGACGUCCAUUUGGAAUAACCUGGAAUUCUUAUAACAAGCAAAAGCAAGUAAUAAUCGAAUUGCUUCUAACCUUGCUACUGGUGCGUAAGUCUCGUCAUAGUCUAUCCCUUCUUCUUGCGUAUAUCCCUUGGCCACGAGUCUUGCUUUGUUUCUUAUGACUUUUCCUUUUUCGUUCAUCUUGUUUCUGAAAACCCAUUUAGCUCCAAUAAUAGAUUUACCUUUUGGUUUAGGAGUCAACUCCCAGACAUUAUUAAUACUGAAUUGUCUGAGUUCUUCUUGCAUAGCUUCAAUCUAGCUUUCAUCAGAUAAAGCUUCUUCUAUGCUUUUUGGUUCUAUUUCAGAAAUAAGAGCUACAGCACUAGACUCUUCGCGCCUUUUGGAUCUUGUGCGAAUUCCUUCAUUAAUGUUGCCAAUAAUGAGGUCUUUGGGAUGACUGGACUUAUGCUUCCAGUUACUGGUUGAUUUGUCAGGUUGAUGAUCACUUCCUUCAUUUGAAUCUUCAAUAACCAUUUGUUGCUGGUCUUUCAGAGUCUGAGUUGCUUCUUGAGAUUUAGACUUUGUAGAGUCUGGAGCAGGUUCAGAUUCUUCAAGAUAAGUCUGAGCAGAUUCAUUUUGCAUAGAAUCCUGGAAUUUGACAUUCAUUGAUUCCUCCACAGAUUGACUCUUCUUGUUAUAGACUCUGUAGGCUUUGCUUGAGGUAGAAUAUGCAAGGAAGAUUCCUUCGUCUGAUUUUUCUUCAAACUUUCCAACUCUAUCAUUUGCAUUUUUCAAUAUAAAGCAUUUGUAUCCGAACACAUGAAAAUAUGAAACAAUAGGCUUCUUUCCUUUGAAUAACUCAUAGGGUUUUUUUUUUUUUUUCCAGAAUAGGCCUUAGAAAAACUUUAUUGAGAAUGUAACAUGCUGUUGAAACUGCUUCAGCCCAAAAUCGUGAAGAGAUGUUACUUUCAAUUAAAAGAGUUCUAGCCAUUUCUUGAAGCGAUCUAUUCUUUCUUUCCACAACUCCAUUUUGCUCUGGAGUAUAUAGAGAGGAGAACACAUGCUGAAAACUAGAUUCAUCAUAGAAUUUUGUAAAAUCUUGAUUUUCAAAUUCACCUCCAUGAUCUGUUCUUAUACACGAGAUAACAUACCCUUUUUCAUUUUGAACCUUUUUAGCAAACUUUUCAAAGUAAGAGAAAGUUUCAGACUUACUUGCCAGGAAAUAUACCCAAGUAAAUCGUGAGUAAUCAUCCACAAUUACUAGGAAAUAUUUCUUACCUCCAAUGCUCUGAGUUCUGGUUGGUCCGAAAAGGUCCAUAUGCAGAAGCUGUAGUACACGAUUAGUGGAAACUUGAUUUAUUGGUUUAAAGGAAUUUCUUACCUGUUUUCCCAAUACGCACGGCGUACAUAGAUCAAACUUUUGGUAUGACAAUUUGGGUAGACCACGAACAAGCUUCUUUGCUGAAAUUUUGGCUAUCUGCUUCAUAUUGAUGUGCCCAAGCUUUCUGUGCCAUAAGCUCGCUUCAUCUUGAAUUGAGAUUAGACAUUGCGAUUCAUUUGGUUUCACAUCCAAGAGGUAGAUGUUUCCAUGUCUUCGGCCCAUGAAUGACUGAGUAGAAUCUUUACUGGUUCCUGAACAUAUUCCCUCUUGAAAGUUGAUUUUGAAACCAGUAUCACACAGCUGACUAAUACUGAGUAGAUUGUAGUUGAGUCCUUCCACUAGGGAGACAUUGCUUAUAGUGAGGUUUCCAAUCUUUACAGUUCCAAAUCCCACAAUUUUUCCUUUGCUGUUUUCUCCAAAUGAGACUUUUCCACCAUUUACUUGAACGAGCUUUAUGAAGCAAUUUGAGUCUCCUGUCAUAUGUCUUGAGCAUCCACUAUCUAGAUACCAUUUUACCUUUUUCUUGAUAGUGACCUGCAUUUAAAAGAGAGACUCAAGCUUUCUUUGGUACUCAUAUUUUCUUGGGUCCAUUGGUGUUAGUAUAAUAUGCGGUUUUUGCCUAUACUUUCUUAACAGGUUUCCAAACCGUAGGACACUCUUUUUCAAAAUGAUCUGCACUAUUGCACUUUGAAUAUCUGAGAACAUUUCAACCCACUGGUUUUACAAACACUUUUUGAAAAUGAUUUUUGUAAAAUGUCUUUGAAGGUCUCUGAUUAAUUCUUUCCUUCACUUUAGGAAAAUCAAUUAAAGGAAUGGUUUCUGCUGUCAUUCCUAAACCAGAUUUAUUGAAAUAAGGUCUUUAUGCUGAAAGAAUUUUUUCAAGUUUCUCAGAUCCUAUUGAAAAUAUUUUUGAAAUAUUUGAUAAGUCAUUUUUUAAAAAUGCAUUUUCUUUCAAGAGAUUAUCUUCACUUUCUUUAAGAGUAGAAACAUUCGUGUCUAAAUGUUUCAACUUUUCUUUCAAAACAUUUUCCUAUUGUUUUAGUGUAGAGUUUUCCUUUUUAAGUUCGGAAAUCCUUUUAAGAGAAGUCUUAAGACUAAAACACAGCUCAUCAAUGUAUUUGGAAACUUUAACAGGGAUUUUAAAAUUACUUACCUCAAAUUCACUGUCUGAAUCUGAGUUUGUCUCGGAGUUUGAUGCAGAAUCCGAUUGUGCCAUCAGACAUAUAUUGGCAUAAUCAUCAUCACUUUCUUCACACUCUGUAUCACUCCAGGUUUCUGCUUUAAGAGCCUUUCAAUACUUUUUAGCUUUUCCUUUCUUCUUUUUCAGAAGAGGACAGUUGGGUCUGAUGUGUCCCUUUUUCUUACAUUCAAAGCAGACUACAUCUUUGUUUGAUUCAUCAUCAUCAACAGACUUGGUCUGUUGCUUUUGAAAACUCUGUUUCUUUGGAUUGAAUCUUCUUCCUUUUCUGUUCAACUUUCUGAAUCUUCUUAUCAUGAGAGCAAGCUCCUCAUCAUCCAUAUCGUCUUCAGAAUCUGUGACAUCAGAAUCAUCAUUGAAUUUUAAUGCAAUGGAUUUCUUACCUUUAGGAUCUUCGUCUUCAUUGAUUCGUUCCACUUCAUAAGACUGAAGAGUUCCAACCAACUCAUCGACAGAUAGUGGCAUGAUUCUUUGUGUCUCUCUUAUUGAGGUCUUUAUGUGAUUCCAAUCCUUGGAGAGUCCACGCAGUAACUUGUUUACCUUCAUGGGAUUAGAAAUUGGUUGAUCUUGAUUUUGAAGACCAUUCACGAUUUUUGUAAAACAACUAAACAUGUCAGUUAUAGAUUCUCCUGAUUUCAUUUUGAAUGCUUCAUAUUGACCGAGGAGAAUGUUGAUUCUAGUCUCUUUCACUCGAUCAGUUCCUUCAUAGGUGAUAUGUAAUCUAUCCCAGACUUCUUUUGCUGUAACACAAGAAGAUAUUAUGUUAUAUUCAGUAGGUGAUAAAGCACAAUAUAAAGAAUAAAUUGCUUUUGCAUCAAGAGCCUGUCUCUUGAUUAUCUCUUCCUGAGUCAUUUCACUUGACUUAACAGUUUCUUUUCCUUUCUCUGUGACAGAUGCAGCUUUAGGAGUGAUUCCUUUUUCUAUAACGUCCCAUUCCAGAGGAUCCUUUGAUCGUAGAAACGCUUUCAUCUUGUUUUUCCAGAUGUUGUAAUCCUUUCCAUCAAAGUAAGGUGGUCUGGUAUUGCUCUGCCCUUCCACCAGCCCUGGAGCUAGCAUACUAGCCAUGGAUCUUUAACUCUGAAGGAAAACACUUCAAACAAAGUGAGUACACAGGCUCUGAUACCAAUUGAUAUAGCUAGUAUAAGCACCUAGAGGGGGGUGAAUAGGUGUAAAAAUAAUUUCUCGAGAUAUGAAAACAAUACUAGACAAAUCAAAAAGGAAGCUCUCCUUUAGUUAACAAAUCGAACUAUGAUUAAAGUAAAGCAGAGAGUAGGGAAGAGAAAAUUGAACACAAAGUUUAUAGUGGUUCGGCUUAUUCCAAGCCUACGUCCACUCUUCUGCACUGACAGCCCACUGGCUGGAUUUCACUAUGAACAAAAGAGAUGUUACAGCACUGCUUUCACUUGAUUCCACAGUGUAGAUAUUCUACCACACUUCCUCAAUGUAUCUCAAAAUAUAGAUUCUCUUUUGUGUACAAGAUUUCGCUCAGUAAGUGAAUUGACUAAGAAUCAAAGAGCUUCAGACUUUGGAAUUCUUCUAUCGUGCACACUUCGAACAACUGGAACGUCUUCCUUAAUGAAGCAGUUCUGGAUAGCCUUUCUUCAACGGAUUAGAAACUGUCAAUGAGAAUAGACUUUGAGUCUUGAGUCUGGUAGUCCGGAGGUCUUCAGACUUUAAUAGAAGAGUCUGCAAAACUUCAGACUAGACUGAUAGAAACGUUUUGUCAGCUUCAAAAUAUUCCAGAAAGAUUUCUCCAACAAUCAGUAUGUCUCCUUUUACUUUGUAAAAUGCCAGCUCUAAAUCCUAAUUUCUCACACCCACCCAAAUUAGCCAAAACCAACUAAAAACUAAACCAUUUAAACCCUAAGUAGUAUACUAAAAUGAAUUUUGCAAGGAGGGGUAAUUUGCUCUUUUCAAGGUGGAGUUUUGCUUAGAGGUUAUAUGAAUGGUUUGCAAAGAUUGUUUAUACGUUGGGUCAAAAGUGAGGUAUGUAUUUAGACAUAUUUUUGUAAUUCUUUUUAAUAAUAAAGGCGCAACAACACAAGCCUCAAGCUCUUGCCUAGACCUAGCCCACCCGUUGACCAGACUUGUCCAAGCUCACUAAAUAGGCUUAAAAAAUUUAGCCAACCUCACUUAUGAAUGAGGUCUAUUAGCACAACCACUGGGGUUUGCCCUAGUGGCCACCCUUCCAACAUGAAAGGGGGAGGUGGGGGAUUUGAAUCUUCACUUGUGGGGACGAAUUAGUUUCAAGUGUGGGUUGUGACUCCCACGUUCUGCAAGGAGGCAGUGCAAAAAUUUGAGAGUGAGAAUUAAAAUAGAAGUAGAAUAUGACCGACAAAAAAAAAAAAACGUCUACUAGCGCGAUAUAGGGAAAAGUUACUAAAUCUGACCAAUCAUAUCUAUCAAAUCAAUGAGGAAAAAAUAUUUUCUAUUAUCAUUUGCCAACAUAUAUUAUAGAGAAAAAAUCAUUGUCUUUCAAAACGUACUUAUAUAAGAAAUUACAAAAGAAAAAUGAUAGUCAUGCGAUAUUCCCAUCAAAUUUGCGCAAAAAUUACGAACUUUGAUGAAUAUUGCAUCAAUCUUUCGAAACACAAUUUCUUUCUCUAACACCUCUUACAAGACCCCAUAAACUGCAAAAUUCAGAGAAAUUGGAUCUAUUUAUAUUUAGUGCUGGCUUUUAUUGGCUCUUUGUUGGGACCCGGUUUAAUAACUUUUUUCGGUCUUUUGGGUUCCACCCGAUCGUUGGGAGUACAAGCCGGGAGCGUGGGAACGUGGAAAUCGUCCCUGUUGACAGGGGAACAUGGAAAUCGGACUAAUUCGUCUUUGCUAACCCCGGUAUAUGGGAGAGCAGCUACAAAACUUGGUUCUUGAUCAAUUUCUUGACCCAGACCCCGAGGCCUAGAAAGGACAAUAUUAUGGCUUGGGAGAGGGAUGGCUCCCAAGGGGGGGAGAAUGUGACGACUGACCCUAAUCUGGGGCAGUACGGAGGGACGGACUAAGAUCGCCUCGGUAGUACGCGGGCGAGGCUAAGGGCAUGUCUCCCGUCCCGCUUAGGGGGAGUCCUGGAGGACAAUAUUAUGACUUGGGAGAGGGAUGGUGGUUUGUCCGCACCUCUACCCCUGCAUAACUCGUUUUAAAGCCGUAAGGGCCGAAGGUCCAAAGCGGACAAUAUUACAUAGUGGGGCCCAGGUCCUUUGAGUAAAAUUUCCUUAUUUUAAAAAUGUAUACUCUUCCUCUUGCAUAAUAAUAAUGAAAGAUUAUAGUCAAGGGUCUAAGGUGACGGCCUAGGACGUCACAAAAGCUAAUAUCUGAAACUUGGUCGUGGAUUUCUAUAUUAUUGUUUUAAAUUCUAAAAUCCAAUUUAAUUUUAAGCUCAAAUUCGAGGCAUAUUUUAACAAGGGUUACUCAUUUAAAGCAUAAAAAAAUACAUAUAAAUUCGAACAGACAUCACGAGCUGUCGACAUAUAAAAGGAGUGUUAGAUUUUGAAGAGCCAAAAAUCAACAUUUCAAAAAAGUGGUGAGUUCUUAGUCCCGUGUCUUCGUCAACGAGCAUUGGACUUUCAUUGGAGCAUCGUACUUGUUUUUUCCACGAAAAACGUAUGUACCCCUAUUCCUUCCGAGCAGGUCUCACCUGAGAGGAUGUGCACGUGUGGCGAUUCCAACCGAGCCUUGAACGAGGAGAGGAGGAACAUGUGAUUCAUAACCAUUGCCGAGUCUUUGUCGGGUCUUUUCGGUUUGUAUCUUAGGUUGGUUUUAAACCACCGAGGGGACAAAAACCUUUGGUGUUUUUUUUUUUUUUGGUCAGAAAAAACCUUUGGUUGAUUUAUUUAUAUUUAGUGCCGGUCUUUAUGGGGUCUUUUUGGGUCCCUCUCCCCAGAUUCUUCCUCUGGUAGGGCAAGCCAGGAACGGUCACCCUCAUUUCUCCUGGAAAAAAGAAGCCAAUUGGAUCACCCCUGUUGACGAAGGAACGUGGAAAUUGGACUAACAGUCACCCUCAUUUCUCCUGGAAAAAAGAAGUCAAUUGGAUCACCCCGUUGAUGACAUCUUCAUCUAAUAGUUUAGAGAAAAUCAUUCAAAAAGUCUUACAUCUAUCGUACUUUUGUUAAUUCAAUCAUAGAUAUUUUUACCUUUUGUCAAUUGAGUCUUAUCCGGCUAAGUUUGAUAGAAAAUCGCUAACAUGAAUGCCGGAUGUCUUAUGAGUCACAUGAACAUUUUAAAUAAUAUUUAAUAAUUUUUUAUUUUAUUGUUAUUAUUAUUUAAUCCUUCCCUUCCUUUUCUUUUCUUUUCUUUGGACUCAAGUCGGCAAGGGUAUCGCAGCCUUGCCCCAAAAGGGGAGAGGGCGUCAUGGCCUUCGCUUGGGGCCAAGGCCAACAAGGGUCACCAUGCCCUUGCCCACUGGCUGGCCUAGAUUUGGCAUGGGCAAUGUGGCCAUUGCCGAACUCUUAACCCUUGCCCACUGGCUGGCAAGGGCCAUACACCCUCUCUAGCCCGAAUCCAAAAAAGGGUAAAGAAAAUAUAAAAAGAAAACAUUAUUAGAAAUUUAAUAAGAUGUUAAAAUUUCAUAAAAAAAAUUGUCUACAUUAAUGUCAGCCAUGCCAUGUAAGACGUUUGGCAUCUACAUCAUCCAUUUCUGGCCAAAAUUGCCCAGAUGGGUUCAAUCGACAAAAAAUGAAAACAUUUAUAACUCAAUUGGCACAAUUAGAAGGUUUUAAAUUGAAUUGGCAAAAUCGCAAUAUGUUUAGGAUAUUUUGGAUAAUUUUGUUCACAAAAAUUCAUAAUUAAUGACCUAUUUUCAUUUAAUAUAAUUAAGUAAAAAGAAAACAAUGUGUAAUGCCAAGCAAUAGUAUCAAGUAGGGGUGUGCAACCAAACUAGUUCUACCUGGGAAUCGGAUCAGACCGCCUGAAAAAUAGGUCCACGAAUCAAUUCAAGAAUAGGUUCUAAAUUUUUGGAAUUGGUUGUAAUAGGUCUAGUAAUAGGUUCCGAGUGAAUACCCACUCAGGAAUUAGAUCAGACCGUUCUAUUUUAGAACCGAUUUUAUAAGCUAAAAAGCCAAAAUCCUAAUUUCUUUUUCCCAUAAAUUCUAACCUUAGCACUUUUUCAUCAUUUGUCCUUCCUCAAAGCUCCUCACCAAUCUUUCCUCUUCCCUAAUUAAUGACCUAUUUUCAUUUGAUAUAAUUAAGUAAAAAGAAAACAAUGUGUAAUGCGAAACAAUAGUAUCAAGUAGGGGGUGUGCAACCAAACCAGUUCUACCCAGGAACCCGAUCAGACCGCUUGAAAAAUAGGUCCACGAACCAGUUCAGGAACAGGUUUCAAAUUUUUGGAACUGGUUGUAAUAGGUUUAGUAAUAGGUUUCAAGUGAAUACCCACUCGGGAACUAGAUCAGACCGUCCUAUUUUGGAAUCGAUUUUAUAAGCUAAAAAGCCAAAAUCCUAAUUUCUUUUUCCCAUAAAUUCUAACCUUAGCACUUUUUCGUCCUUUGUCCUUCCUCAAAGCUCCUCACCAAUCUUUCCUCUUUCGUAAAGUUUUAUGGAUGAUUGGAGAAUGGAAUUUUAUAAUUUACGUUAUAUGUUACAUGUUUGAACUUUUUGUCAUUAUAAUUGUACGGGAUUACGUAUUCAUAUUAUGGAUUGUUGUUUAAGGUGGAUAGUGAUUUAUGUUGUUCAUCUUUUACAUUGAAUCGUUUCGUUACUUAUAACCUCAUAUGAUUUUGCUGCAAAAAAUGAACCCAAAAAAGGCAAAAAAAAAAAAAAAAAAAAUAGGUUCUUGAGUAGACUUUGGAACUGGACUGGAAAAAUAAGAUAGGUUCUAGAACCGAUUUCAAGCAAACAUGGUAGCUUACAGGGUCCAAAAACUUGGAACUGGUUAUAACAAAAUACGUUGAGGUUACCUUGAAACUACCCACCUUGGAACCAACCACCCUUAGUAUCAAGUAAUGCAUGCGGAUGACUCAGCAACGGUAUUUGUCCACUAGACCUACUCGUUGGCGCCCAAGGGAAAGACACUAGCUGGCCAAGCUCGCCUAGUGGAGAAACCUUCCUUCUUUUAUUUUUAAAAUUUCUAGCUAGGGAAAAAAAUUAAAAAAAAAAAUAAUCAUAGGGUUUUGUGUUAUAUUAUUUUAUCUGUGAGUUUACUACUAUUUUUCUCUCCUACAUCGGAAUUUUCGGCUUAAUUUGUGCUACUAGUGUUUAUAAAAUCUAUAUAUCAUAGUAAAAUCACUAAUAAAAGGAAAAACACCAAAACAUAUAUUAGCGUUCAUGAACGACCAUUCAUAUAUCUUUACUUUUGGAAAAAGACAAAAGCAUUCUAAGUGUUACUUUUGAAAACCACCCUUCACAUCAAUUAUCAAUGUCUCCUUUUACUUUGUAAAAUGCCCGCUCUAAAUCCUAAUUUCUCACACCCACCCAAAUUAGCCAAGACCAACUAAAAACUAAACCAUUUAAACCCUCAGCAGUAUACUAAAAUGAAUUUUGCAUGGAGGGGUAAUUUGCUCUUUUCAAGGUGGAGUUUUGCUUAGAGGUUAUAUGAAUGGUUUGCAAAGAUUGUUUAUACGUUGGGUCAAAAGUGAGGUAUGUAUUAAGACAUAUUUUUGUAAAUUUUUUUUUAAUAAUAAGGGCGCAACAGGACUAGCCUCAAGCCCUUGCCCAGACCUAGCCCACCCGUUGACCAGACUUGUCCAAGCUCGCUAAAUAGGCUUAAAAAAUUUAGCCAACCCCACGCGUGAAUCGGGUCUACUAGCGGGAUAUAGGCAAAAGUUACUAAAUCUGACCAAUCAUAUCUAUCAAAUCAUUAAGGAAAAAAAAUAUUUUCUAUUAUCAUUUGCCAACAUAUAUUAUAGAGAACAUAUCAUUGUCUUUCAAGAUGUACUUAUAUAAGAAAGCACAAAAGAAAAAUGAUACUCGUGAUAUUCCCGUUGAAUUUGCGCAAAAAUUAUGAACUUUGAUGAAUGUUGCGUCGAUCUUUUGAAACGCAAUUUCUUUCUCUAACACCUCUUACAAGACCCCAUAAACUGGGUUGCUUGCUCAAAGCAUAGAAAAACACAUUAGAAGAAAUUCGAAAAGAUAUCCAGAGCUGUUCACAUAUAAAAGGAGUGUUAGAUUUUGAAGAGCGAAAAAUCAACAUUUCUGACCUUCAAAAACGUGGUGAGUUCUUAGUCCCGUGUCAUCGUCAACAAACACUGGAGUUUCAUUAGAGCAUCCUAUAUAUAUAUUUUCUACCAAGAACAUAUAUACCCUUAUUCCUUCGAAACAAAUCUCAUCAGGUAUGAUGGUCCUCCGCUCCCACACGGAAAAAUUGCUAUGCUUCUGGAUGACCCCAAAAGAAUGUGUAGGUAUGGCGAUUCGCACUCGGGCCUUGAACGAGGACGAGGAACAUGCUUAGGAUGACUCAUAACCAUUGCCAAGUCUUUGUCGGAUAUUUUGGGUUUGACCCUUAGUUGAUUUGUAUCCAUUGUGGGGACCAAACCUUCGGAUGAUCUAUUUAUAUUUAGUGCUGGCCUCUAUUGUCUCUUUGUCGGACCCCGUUUAACAACUUUUUUCGGUCUUUUGGGUUCCACCCGAUCGUUGGGAGUACAAGCCAGGAACGUGGGAACGUGGAAAUCGUCCCUGUUGACAAGGGAACGCGGAAAUCGGACUAAUUCGUCUUUGCUAACCACGGCAUCUGGGAGAGCAGCUACAAAACUUGGUUCUUGAUCAAUUUCUUUACCUCGACCUCCAGAAGUUGCUUAUUAUCGUACUCCUCUUGAGUUGAAAGAGUCCAUGGCCGUCUUUGAAUUACUUUUGCUGUACUUGCAUUCUUUCCAAGUUCAAGCAAAAAAGAUUGUCGAUGCACCAAGAAAUAUUUCCUUCGCUUUCUGGAUUUCAUGCCUGAUCCUCUUCAUCCCAGGCACUCCUGUCGGUGCACAGACAUAUCUUCAAGAAAAGUGCGCAGAUAGGGGCGAGAAUGCUGCUAAAAACUAUGCUCCUUAUAGCAAGUUUCAAGACAACCUCAACAGCCUCCUCUCCAAGGGCAACUACGCUGAUUACAACAAAGGACCCAUUCACGGCUUUCACAACACAACAGAAGGCGAAGAUCCGGACAAAGUUUAUGGUCUCUUCCUCUGCAGGUAAAUCACAUGCGAAAGAUGCCAAAAAAUUCUACUUUUGAGUAAUAUCUACCAAAUCAAUCAUUAUAAUCUUUGGAAUCGACUCACCUAGAACUAGGGUUUAUAAUGGACCUGAUAUAUUGGUCUCAAUUGAAACCUCUACAAAAUACGGUGAUCCAAUGCCAACUGAAAAAUUACUAUCCAGAUUUAAGUGACUACUCUUGCAACUUUACUAUUUCUCUUUAGAGGGGAUGUUGCUGCCAAUCUCUGUCAGUCUUGCAUCCGUUCAGCUAGCAGCACGAUCAUAGAAAGAUGUCCAGGACAGAAAGAGGCAAUCAUAUGGUACGACGAGUGUUUCUUGCGCUACUCCAACAGAUCAUUCUUCUCUAUCAUGGAGACAACGCCGUUUCUUUUCAUUGUCAACCCUGCGAACGAUUCGGUUACCUUCAACAGGACUAUGGAGCAAACUUUUGAUAAUGAGAAGGACUUUGUGGCAGAAGUGACGGAUUUGUCGAGGAAUGUGACGGACUUGGUGAUCUUGUCAGAAAGCUUAUACGCAACCUUAAACGUUAGUGUCUCAAGUUCAGUGACCCUUUACGGGCUUGCACAGUGCACCCCCGAUAUAUCAAAAUCAGCUUGUAAGAGUUGCUUGCUUUCUGCUAUUGAAAAGUUUCCAACCAUUCUUAAUUAUCGAAGGGGAGGUGCCAGAGUUCUUCAGCCAAGUUGUAAUGUACGGUACGAACUGUAUCAUUUUUAUGGGAAGACUAGAGGGAAAACCAGCACCGAUUCCAGCAUUAAAGGUAUGAGUUAUAUAAUGUUCCAAAUGUGCACUCAGUUUGUCAUGGUAAGCGUAUAAUGGUAUCAUUCCAUUGCUUCUAAUUCUCAAUAUGAGCUGUUUUAUGUAUCAUAUUGCACUUGACUUGCUUUUACGAUCUAAACUCUGAUCAUAUUCUCUUGAUUUCAAUGAGUUCUUGGUAAUAUUUACACUUAGAAAGGAAAAAAAAAGUCUGCAGAUUUGUGGUAUGUUUAGAUCCAAGGAAUUUCUCUUUCUUGACAGGGGUAAAACAAAAUCCAUGGAUUGCAAUAGUUAGCUCAGUAAUUGGAUCAGGGUUACUAAUAGUUAUCGUGGGUUCGUGUAUUUUUUUGAAGAGGACAAAGAGAUUGAAGAAAGGUAUAAGUGAAUUCAUCUUGCUUGCCAUUGUAAUGGCCAUCUUCUAACCUUUACCUGACAAGAGUAAACUCUCGGACUCUCAGAGAAGGAAAACAACCAAAAGGUUCUGUUACUUCAUCUGAGACAAGAAAUUGGAGAAGAGCUUUCAAAGGAAAACUCUCGUGGAGAAAAGCCAGUGGCUUCUAAAAAAUUCUCUCUGAUGCGAUUAGACGUCAUACGCGCAGCCACAGGAAACUUCUCCAAUGAAUGUAAACUUGGGGAAGGUGGGUUUGGCCCUGUGUACAAGGUAAGCAAUUUAGUGACUCAAUGCCAACUUAUGUGGAGACUAGGAAAAUCUUCUAAUGGUAGCAAUCUGGCGGAGUCAUUAUCCAUAGCAUGAACUGAAUCGAAUUUUGGUUAUCAUCAGUAAUUCUCAGAUGGGGAUCUCACCACUUACUACCCUGUUUCAGGCCACAUUGGCAGAUGGAAAAGAAAUUGCAGUUAAGAGGCUUUCAAGAACCUCAGACCAAGGACUCAUCGAGUUGAAGAACGAAGUCAUCUUGAUUGCCAGACUACAACACAGGAACCUCGUCCAAUUAUUGGGAUGCUGUUUGGAAGAACAUGAAAAACUCUUGAUAUAUGAAUACAUGCCCAACAAAAGCCUGGAUGCCUUCCUUUUUGGUUUGAGCUUUAGCAGAUGCAAUGAAUUUUUGAGCUAGUUAAUCCUAGUUUUAUAGAGUUGAGUUUCAUCCGAGUCUCUCAUCUUUGACAGAUUCGAAUAUAGGGCGAUAUCUAGAUUGGAAGCUGCGCAUGAACAUCACCUGUGGAAUAGCUCGGGGACUUCUCUAUCUGCAUGAGGAUUCUCGCCUGAGAAUUAUCCACAGGGAUCUGAAGGCUAGCAAUAUUUUGCUUGAUGGCGAGAUGAAUCCAAAGAUAUCCGAUUUCGGAAUGGCAAGGAUCUUCAGUGUAAAUCAAGACAAGGCAAACACAAACAGGGUCGUUGGAACCUAGUAAGUGCCUCAAUAUCUUUCUACGUCCUUUACAUGUUUUGACUGAUUCAGUAGGCCAACAAAGGACUCUGAUUAUCUGCUCAACAACACCAGAUAGAGCACAUUCAUAUUUCAGAAGUUCCAUACAGAAGUUUUACUUUUCUCUGUUUCUUACUUCCAACUAAUUGUUCUUCAUUAUAUAAUUCUGGUCAGUGGAUACAUGGCACCGGAGUAUGCAAUGCAAGGACUCUUUUCUGUAAAAUCAGACGUCUUCAGUUUUGGAGUUCUCUUGCUAGAGAUAGUAAGCGGGCGCAAGAAUAAUGGUUUUCAUCGCCAAGUAAAGGGUGAAAGCCUUCUCACAUUUGUAUGUUCCUAAUCACCAUCCCAGUUUAAUAUGAAAUCAAAGAUUUUCGUGCAGCUAUGCUUGUUAAAUUUCCUUGCUAAAUAACAGGCAUGGAAGUUGUGGUCCGAAGGUCGAGCGUUGGAACUUAUCGAUCCGUUAAUCGAUGAGUCAUGUGAUGAAGUUGAAGUGCUGAAAUGCAUACACAUCGGUCUAUUGUGUGUCCAAGAAGACCCGGCGGAUCGACUGACUAUGUCACUCGUGGUUCAUAUUUUAGCUGGCGAUACUAUCACACUCAGCCCCCCAUCGCAGCCUGCAUUCUCCGUUGGGAGAGAUGCGGAAAAACUUGAUCGUCCCUCAACUGUUAAUGAAGUAACCCUUUCGGUUGUUGCGGCUAGGUGAUCAAGUUUUAUACAAUGGAAAUGCUGUUAGAGAUAAUUAUGGUAUAUUUUGUCUUUUAGGACUGUGUAUGUAUCUCCAUUGUAAUAUAUUUAUAUCAUCCUACUUUCUAUAUUCAUCACGUAAAGCUGGCCUAUGUUCUCUUCUGUAUAUAUACGAAAUAUAUAGAAACUAAAGAAUUCUUUCACAUAUUUCUUAUCUUAGUGCUAGAGGUAGAUGAUCUUGAGCAAAUUUUGAGUGCUCGAGUGGGACACAUCCGAGUGCACUCCGGAGCACACCUUCACAUAUCGCGUAAUGUGAUUCAUUUUUGUUAUAAUUACCGAUAUCCCUUUCUGAACAUCAAUUCUUAACAUUUUCAUCACGUACGAAUAAACGUCAGCCUAUUGCUGCGUAAUCUACACACGUUGGUCGGUUCACUCUUCAGCACAUGAAAUCACCUCUUUGGAUCUUUUCUCCCAACUCCAUUUGACUUCCUCUUCGUCACAUUGAGUUUGAGAGUUUGUUUAAGAUAAUUAAGAUUUUUAACUUGAUCCUCCAUUUUUUAGGGUUGUGAAUAUAUAUUUCACUUGCUUGCGCGUAUUGGUAAUUUCCUAUGCAAUGCAAGGACUCUUUUCUGUAAAAUCAGACGUCUCCAGUUUUGGAUUUCUCUUGCUAGAGAUAGUAAGCGGGUACAAGAAUAAUGGUUUUCAUCUCGAACAGGGUGAAAGCCUUCUCACAUUUGUAUAUUCCUAAUCACCAUGCCAGUUUAAUAUGAAAUUGAAGAUUUUCAUGCAGCUAUCCUUGUUAAAUUUCCUUGCUAAAUAACAGGCAUGGAAGUUGUGGUGUGGAGGUCGAGAAUUGGAACUUAUCAAUCCAUUAAUCAAUGAAUCAUGUGAUGAAGUUGAAGUACUAAAAUACAUACACGUCGGUCUAUUGUGCGUUCAAGAAAACCCGAUGGAUCGACCAACUAUGUCUCUCGUGGUUCAUAUUUUAGGAGGCGAUACUAUCACACUCAGCCAACCAUCACAACCUGCAUUCUCAGUGUGGAGAGAUGUGAGUAAACUUGAUCGUGUCGUGCCUAGUGACACGACCCACGGACAAAGCAUGAUCCAAGAUCGUCCGUGACGGGCCGUGUCACGUACAAGGGGCUACCCGAGAGCAGCCCACGGUCGACCCAUGAGCAGAACGAGCGAGAAGGCCCAUGCGCAAUCCAUGAGCGGCCCAUGAGCGAUGUUCGAGCAGCCCGUGACGGUUCGGCUGGUCGCGUGUCAGACGGACCUGCAACCCUGAUCUUGCUUCUGACACACGCCCAUGGUCUGCCCAAGGCCUGACGAGCGCGACCCAUGGACUUCUCAAGGGCCUGCCGUGUACAGACCAUUGAGUAGCCUUCGAGUAGCCUGUUGUAUAGCUUUGUAAUGAUGAUACGGAUUUGAAAUGGACCGUUGGAUCGGAGGGACGAUCAACGGCUGAGAUUCGACCCGCUCUUGUAUAAAUAGGGAUCCAUCUCCCACUUUGUAAACAGUUCGUUCACAAGCAAUAUACACUCUUUUUGCCCAUUCAGUUCUUGUGUUCGAGCGUGUGUGUGUGUAAGGUUGACUUGGGAUCACUGAUCCUAAGGCCACGCGGUGUUUGAUCGACCGAAAUUGAUCGACCCGUGACAAGUGGUAUCAGAGCCAACAUUCCAAACGUAAUGGCUGAUCCUCGCGCUGAUGCUCCGGUCGUUCAAGGCGAUGAGAGUGAAGAUCGUGGGCGUCAAGCCGAGAGGAAUACCCGGUCGAAGAAGGCCCGUGCUGCCUCGUGUGCGAGGGAUCCGAAGGGAGAUCUGGACAACCGUCUGACGGACAUAGAGGAGACCGUCACGAACGUCUAGGCGUUGAUGGACGACCUGCACCAGGCCGUUGAAGGAGCGGAAGCCGGUAGGGAGGAGUUCUUGGCCGAAGUGCAAGAGCUCCAAGCCGGCAUGGGAGAGCUCCGUGUCGAGGUGCAAGGAUCCUUCAUGCACGAGCUGCAGCAGCGGGAUGAGACUUGGGAAGCCGUGAUGGCGGCCAUGCGGGCGGAAAUGACGGAGAUGAAGGGCAAGCUCGUGGAGCUUGAAGCGGCACGCGUGAACGGGUGAUCACCGUGCAGUCCCGUGCCGAUGCACCCAAACCAAAGGAGUUCAAGGGCUCCCGGGUGGCAAAGGACGUGGACAACUUCCUAUGGUACAUGGAACGAUACUUCUAGACCAUGGGAACAAUCGACGAUGUGAUCCAAGUGAACACCGCAGCCAUGUAUUUAGCUGAUGAUGCGCUGCUAUGGUGGAGACGUUGGUCGGAUGGUAGGAAUGGCGAUCCUAUUGUGACCUGGGCUCGGUUGGUCGAGGAAUUUCGGCGAACCUACUAUCCCGCUUAUGCGGAGGAGGAAGCUCGAGGGGAACUCAAGCGCCUAGAGCAGAAGGACGGAGUUCGUGACCAUGUGAAGCGGUUCUCGGAGCUGCUGCUCCAAAUCCCGUCCAUGACCGAGACGGAGGCGUUCCACCAGUUCAUGGGCGGACUCAAACCUUGGGUCAAACAGGAGCUCAAACGGUGCAAUGCAACAGACCUCACCACAGCCACUUUCGUGGCCGAGUCUCUUGUUGAAUAUAGGCCGCCAACCGCCGCCAAGCCCGACUUUCGAUCGAGAGAAAAGGCCACUGGUGGGGGAGAUCGAGGCCGGUUCCCUCGACCAAAUGCUGGCAGGCCGUCUCUGACCUCUCAUAGGAAUCAACCCGAGUCGAGCCAUGGAGGAUACCAACGCAAGGUACGCACAUACAAGUGCUUCUUUUGUGACGGUCCCCAUAUGGCUUGGGAUUGCCUGAAGAGAGGAAAGUUGGCGGCCCUGUGCAAGGAGGACAAGCCGCGAGAGGAGGCGCGGUUGGGAUCAUUGCGGAUCCUUGGAACGAUCAAGGCCAAGAAGGCCAAAGAACCAAAAGGAAUGAUGUUCGUAGAUGUGAAGAUCGGAGGUACCACGAUGAGCGCACUUGUGGAUACCGGGGCGUCCGAUCUGUUCAUAUCCAAAGAGGCCGCGAAGAAGCUGCAUCUUCCGGUCGAGGCAAAUGAGUCCGGUUGGCUCAAAACGGUGAAUUCCAGAGAAGUCCCGACCAGCGGCAUGGCCAGGGGAGUGGAGUUCCACCUGGGUCCUUGGACCAGCAAGGAAGAUAUCGAGGUAAUUCCCCUCGAUGACUAUGACUUCAUACUCGGUUUGAGAUUUCUCGACCGGAUCAAUGCGGGUGUCAUGCCCUUCGCGGAUUGCAUAUGUAUCCUGGACAAGCGGUGCCAAUGCAUGGUCCCGAUCUACCGUGAAUCGGGAUGCGAUAGGAAGAUGCUAUCGGCCAUGCAGCUAUCCAAAGGGCUGAAGAAAGGCGAGGUGACCUUCUUGGCGGCAUUGAAGGAGGAGGGCGCGGAGGAAAGCACGGUACCGGAAGAAGCAUCCCGAGUCCUCGAUGCCUUCCAAGAUGUGAUGCCGCCCGAGCUGCCCAAGAAGCUGCCUCCUCGGAGAGAGGUCGACCAUCGGAUCGAGCCGGUACCCGAUGCUCGACCACCGGCCAUGGCUCCCUAUCGCAUGGCCCCGCCUGAGUUAGAGGAGUUGAGGAAACAGCUCAAAGAGCUGUUGGAUGCUGGAUAUGUUCGGCCAUCCAAGGCCCCGUUCGGUGCCCCGGUCUUGUUCCAAAAGAAGCAUGACGGAUCCCUUCGUAUGUGUAUCGAUUACCGGGCAUUGAACAAGCUGACCGUCAAGAAUAAGUACCCGAUUCCCCUUAUUGCUGACUUGUUUGAUCAGCUCGGAGAAGCCCGUUGGUUCUCCAAGCUCGACCUUCGAUCGGGAUAUUAUCAAGUGCGGAUUGCCGAGGGGGAUGAGCUGAAGACAGCAUGUGUGACCCGCUAUGGAUCAUACGAGUUCCUUGUCAUGCCAUUUGGCUUGACCAAUGCGCCGGCUACGUUUUGCACACUCAUGAACAAGGCACUGCAUCCGUUCCUUGAUCGGUUCGUUGUAGUUUAUCUUGAUGAUAUAGUGAUAUAUAGCCGGACGCUUGAGGAGCAUGUUGAACAUUUGAGUCGAGUUUUUCGGACCCUUCGAGAAAACGACUUGUAUGUGAAACGUGAGAAAUGUGCCUUUGCACAAAAAGAAAUUUCGUUCCUUGGGCACAUCGUCGGGGGUGGACGUGUGCGGAUGGAUGCGGCCAAGAUCCGUGCCAUUGUUGAUUGGGAGCCACCAACCAAGGUGACUGAGCUGAGAUCCUUUCUCGGUCUCACAAAUUACUACUGGCGCUUCAUCUGGGAGUAUUCGCACCUCACCGUGCCACUCACGGACAUGUUGAAGAAAGAAAGGCCGUGUGAGUGGACGGAUCGGUGUCAAGAGGCGUUCGAGUGGUUGAAGCGGACCAUGACCAAGGAGCCGGUGCUUAUGCUGCCCGACUACACCAAACCAUAUGAGGUAGAGACCGAUGCUUCUGAUUUUGCCAUCGGUGGUGUCUUGAUGCAAGAAGGUCAUCCGGUGGCCUUCGAGUCCCAAAAGUUGAAUGAUGCCGAGCGACGAUACACGGUCCAAGAGAAGGAGAUGACCGCGGUGGUGCACCGCCUUCGCACAUGGAGGCACUAUAUCUUGGGGUAAUGGUUCAUUGUGAGGACUGACAACGUGGCUACGAGCUACUUCCAAACUUAGAAGAAGCUCAACCCAAAACAAGCUCGGUGGCAAGACUUCCUGGCCGAGUUUGAUUAUGUGCUGGAAUACAAGCUCGGAAAGUCCAAUUCCGUGGCCGACGCCUUAAGCAGGAAGUUCGAAUUGGCCAAUAUGGUGAGCAGGCCCGAUUGCCCGUGGGUUGAUCGUAUCAAGGAGGGGCUGAAGCAUGAUCAAACAGCCCAAGACCUCCUUCGAUACACCCAAGAAGGCUUGACGAGGAGAUUUUGGCUCGAGGAUGACCUCCUCUACACCAAAGGACGGCGACUCUAUGUGCCGCUCCAUGGGAAACUUCGAAAGGAAGUCCUAAAAGAGUGCCACGACUCCAAAUGGGCGGGACAUCCGGGAAUCCACCGCACCAUGGCGCUCAUUGAAGAUCAAUACUAUUGGCCGCAUAUGCGGGAUGAUGUGGAGACAUAUGUGCGGACGUGUCUUGUCUGCCAACAAGACAAGAUAGAGCAACGGUCCCCCGCGAGGCUCCUUGAACCGUUGCCUAUCCCAGAACGUCCAUGGGAGAGUAUCUCCAUGGACUUCAUUGUGAAUUUGCCCAAGUCCGAAGGGUGUCGGACCCUCAUGGUCGUGGUAGAUUGCCUCUCCAAAUAUGCGACGUUCGUGCCAACAACAAAGGAGUGUCCAGCCGAGGAAGCCGCCAAGCUGUUCCUCAAGCACGUUGUCAAAUAUUGGGGCGUUCCACGCACGAUCGUGAGUGAUCGCGACCCUCGGUUCACCGGACGGUUUUGGACUGAGCUCUUCAAGUUGCUGGGGACGUGUCUCAACCUUUCCACCAGCAUGCAUCCACAGACCGACGGACAAACCGAGCGAGUGAAUGGAUUGCUGGAAAUCUAUCUUCGGCACUAUAUGAGCAACACGCAAGUAAACUGGGCACGGCUGAUCGACGUGGCCCAAUUUUCUUACAACUUGCAGCGGAGCGAGUCCACGAACCAAAACCCGUUCGAAAUCGUGACCGGGUAGCAGCCGCUCACGCUAAGCGCAAUCACCUUGGGGUAUCGAGGAAGUUGCCCGUCCGCAUAUAAGCUCGCUAAGGAAUGGGGUGAACAGGCGGUUUUGGCCCGGGUGUGUCUGAAUAGGGCCGCGAAACGCACGAAGAAAUGAGCCGACAAAAAGCGACGCCAUGUGGAGUUUCAGGUCGGGGACUUGGUACUGACCAAAUUGCACCUCGUCCUUCGGUACAGGAAACAAAGGGCUGAUCCGUCGCUAUGAAGGCCCUUUCCGAGUGAUACAGCGGAUCGGGAAGGUGGCGUACAAGCUGGACUUACCGCCCAAGCUCAGGCUACACCCCGUGUUCCACGUGAGCAUGCUAAAACUGUUUCAUGUGGACGAGGAUGAUCUGGAUCGGGGCACAUCACAGCGAGCGCCCCUUGGGGCGAAGACCUCCUAUGAUCGGGAUGUUGAGUGCAUCAUGGCCGAUCGGAUCAUACGGAAGAAAUAUCGGGCACCAAGGAAGGAAUACCUCGUCCGGUGGAGAGGCCUUCCCGAGAGUGAAGCAAGUUGGGAACCCUCCGAGGCUCUGUGGCAAUUCAAGAAGUACGUUGAAGCCUUCCAUGCCACAGACGCGACGAGGACGUCGCCUGAUUAGGUGGGGGAGAAUGACACGGCCCACGGACAAAGCAUGAUCCAAGAUCGUCCGUGAUGGGCCGUGUCACGUACAAGGGGCUACCUGAGAGCAGCCCAUGGUCGACCCAUGAGCAGAACGAGCGAGAAGGCCCAUGCGCAAUCCAUGAGCGGCCCAUGAGCGAUGUUCGAGCAGCCCGUGACGGUUCGGCUGGUCGCGUGUCAGACGGACCUGCAACCCUGAUCUUGCUUCUGACACAUGCCCAUGGUCUGCCCAAGGCCUGACUAGCGCGACCCAUGGACUUCCCAAGGGCCUGCCGUGUACAGACCAUCGAGUAGCCUUCGAGUAGCCUGUUGUAUAGCUUUGUAAUGAUGAUACGGAUUUGAAAUGGACUGUUGGAUCGGAGGGACGAUCAAUGGCUGAGAUGCGACCCGCUCUUGUAUAAAUAGGGAUCCAUCUCCCACUUUGUAAACAGUUCGUUCACAAGCAAUAUACACUCUCUUUGCCCAUUCAGUUCUUGUGUUCGAGCGUGUGUGUGUGUAAGGCUGACUUGGGAUCACUGAUCCUAAGGCCGCGCGGUGUUUGAUCGACCGAAAUUGAUCGACCCGUGACACUAGUCAUGAAGCUUUAACUGUUAAUGGAGUAACCCUUUCGAUUGUUUCGGCUAGGUGACCGAGCAUCAUCACUUUUCCUUCAGUUUAUUUCUCUUUUAUUCAAUGGAAGGUAGAAUGAUAAUAAUUAUGGUGUGUGAUCUCUUUAGCAUUGUGACUGCCAUUUCUGAAUCAUUUCCGUGAUCAUCAAUUAGUAAGCGCAAGGUCCUGUUCAAUUUGCCACUUAUGUUCUAUCAGAAUGAUACAUAUAAUUGCUUGAGUAAUAUAUCAAUUCUACAAGUACCCCAUUGAUAUAUUAAAAAACUAAGCAUAAAUAAAUUCUAUAUUCUAGCUUUGGUAUAUAUAUUGAAAUCUAAUUCGUGAAGAAUACUAGGGUAUUUAAUACUAAACUACAGCUAAGUAGGAGGUCCUGAAUUCAAUCUUUUAAGACCCUUAUUUGUCUCUUUUACUAUUAUUUCUACACUUUAAUUUUAGGCCAAAGUUCGGUUUACAUGUGUUGAGGAGUGUCACAACCUCUCCGAAAGCGGGUUGGACCUAAACUUAGCUUGAGUUAUCCCAAGCCUAUACCAAUUCACGACUUAGGUUUAAGUUAUUUAACAUGCAAAUGAUUUUUAUUUAAGAGUUGUCUUCAAUUGGUUUAUGGUAGGUCGAUUAGACACUUAAGCAAAAUAAUGUGAGAAUUAUUUUACUCCUACGAACUAAAGAUUUUGGGUAUGGAGACUUGAUCAUACUAAAUUACUCUAAAGCCAUUUUGGUACAUUUUCUCUUUUAUUGUUAGAAAAUGUUUAGUAGGCACCUUGGAUCAAUUUUAUUACAUUUUAACAUGUGGAGCAAUCAUGCAAGUGUGCAUAUCACCAAUUUAACAACGAAUAAAGCAGUAAAUAAAUUGCAUGAGGCACUCUAUAGCAAUGAAAGCAUCUGCAAUAUUAGUUCAAAAUUUACAUCAACAAUCCUAGAUAUGAUUUAUCAUUAACACGUAGUCGCUCAAUUGUUUUGUUUUGUUUUUGUUUUUUUGUUUUUUUGUUUUUUUUUGGUUUGCACUUAUUUAAAUGAAAUCUAUAAACUCUAUGCAAUGCAAUGCAAUGACGUACAAAAAUGUCUAACUAAAAUCACAUGCAACAUGUAGCCUAUCAUGCAAGCUAUAUGUCACGCGAUAUUAAUUAAAUUACCCAAUAUAAUGACGGACAAAAAUCAACGUAACUAUUCUAACAUGUCACACGCUUUAAUUUGAACAAUUCUUAAACACACAAUUUCUAAAAAAUAGGUGAACUAAUUCUACACGACACGCAAUUUCAUGAACCUAACAUAUAAUUAUUAGAUGACAUGCGGGCAAUGAUAUGACAGUGAUGAUGCCAACUUGACAUCCACAUGACUUUUUUUUUUUUUGUAUUAUUCAUUAAUAAAUUCGAAAUUAAUUAAAUACUCUAAUUUAAACAUGCAAACUAUCCUAUAGAAGAAAAUUCAAUUUAUUCUAAAAAGAUAUUUUUGGUGUUUUAUUAAAUUCCAAAUUAUAAAAUAACCAAAAUAAGUAUGCAAUCUAUCCUAAAAGAACUACAAUCUAAUCUUUUUGGAUUUUUUUAAAGAAAUAAAUCAAUUAAAAUCAAACAAAAAUUGAAAGAAGUCAAAUCCAAAAACAAACACGCCAUCAAAUCACACGAGAUAUUAUCGAUAUUUAUCUAAUUUCGAAAAUAAAUUGACGAAUCAUAUCUCUCGUAUGAGAUUAGAUUGGCAAAUUUUUAUGACAUCGCGAAUAAAAUGUCGGGCAUUAUAUCGUAUUUUGAGCAUAAAACCGGACUGUUGGCUAUUGCAUUAGGAAAAUUUCCUAAUUCACAAGGAAUCAAAAGAAUUCUUUUCGGAUAUGGCAAUAUUGACCAGACAUUCAAACAAGAUCGCAAUUUUAUGAAUUAGAUAACGAGAUAUAUGAAAAUCAAAUUAAUUGAGUUUCUUACCAAAUUUACGAUGUUACGCUAUGGAUCACGAGAAUCUCGGUGAGGAUGACUGGCGAUCGGCGGCGCUGACUGUUUCUCGGUAGUCGCCAGAUGGGCUCCACAAUACCUGCGAAACAGAAAUUUCCAAGCUACGCAAGAGACCGAGAAUCGUCGAUGGACGGGGGCAAGGACAGCAGGUCUCGUUCCUUCGCUGUUGGUGUUGUGGGCUUGAAGCAGAUCGGCACAGGAGCUCGCGGUGAUGCUGAUCACGGUGCGGUAUCUUCUGUUCGUGCGUUUCUCACUUGCUGAAUAUUCUGCAAUUCUGUCCGAGAACUUAAGCUUCUUUUGACUUUGACAUCAAACUUCACCUUUUAAAAAGGCUUGGGCAAAGCAGGACAAAUUUCACCACUUCUCUUGUAUUGUGAACGCCCUCUUGUGCCCAUUGAAGAGUCCAGACUCGCCGAUGUCGCCAAGAACCUGCAAAGGAAAAGUGCAAGCGUGAUUGACAUGGGGGUUCCGUAAGAAUUAUUGUGGCCCAUAUUAUGUGAUUUAUUAUAUGGUUUAAUAAAUCAUUGAAAUGCUAUAAAUAAUUAUUGGUUACGAGAAGGUACGACUCUAAUAAAAAUGAAAUGGUAUAUCGCUUUGAUGGAAGGCGCCUUUUCAAUGAACGUAUAAUUAGAGUCCGGUCCUCUCUCUACCAAAAAAAAAACAAACAACAAUAACUGAAAGGAAUUUGGUAUUCUCUCCUCCAUCAAUUGAAUACAUUAAGGUUUAGUGGGUUAAGGGAGAGAAAUCGGAUUUCUUCAUUUGGUUCGAGUUCUUUCGGUUUUCUACAACGACCAUCAUCAAGUGCAACGUUAUGGAGAAAUGUAUGUCUUCAUCUAAUUGUGAAAAUCAUGAAGAUCAAAAGAUCAUUGAUUUGUUAUGAAUUUCCGCAUCAAAGAAAUAUAUGAAUUAUCUAACAGUUGGUAUUAUAGCAAUUGGUUUAUGAUCUCAUGAUUUUUCCGUUUAAAGAAAUAUUAUAGUUUAUGUUUGAUGAUUCGUUGAACGAUCCUGUUCGUAUUAUUUAUUAUUGUUAAAAUGUUUUCGGAUGAUUAUGGUAAAAAAAAUCUGAAUGAUGGAACGUUCUUCAUGGACGAAAAUGGCGAAUAAAAGUUACUGUGCGUGAGUGAAAAAGGACAAAAAUGGAAAAAUUCGGAAUUUUGAGGGCAAGUAAGAAACUCGCCGAUUCCGGGGAAAAUCCAGUGACCCACAGUUUGAUUUCGGACUCACACCGUCGCACUGCCAUGAGGAACAUUAGCCAUGAGUUUUUUCGGUAUAUUGGUGUUCGCCGGAGGCUAAUCGAGCGGCGGAAGCCGCGGUGGUGGAGGUUUUGUGUUCUGAAAAUUUUGGUUUGAUUUGGGGCCAAUUUCUUGGUCAUUUUCGCCGAAACUUAAACCCAUGUGGUUGUGCUGGCAUACUCCAGAAAACCCAUUAUUUUAUUUGUGUCUGGGAUGGGCUACCGGAGAAGAAAUGGCCGGCGAAACCGCGGCGGAACGGCGAAAAACGGCGAAGAAUCGCGUCUGUGCGCGAGGAAGAAGGCGCGUGGGCUCCACGUGUGCGUUGCGGUUGUAGGCGCGUGGAACCCACACGCCACGCGCCGUCACGUGCGUGCAAGCGCUGCGUUGUUGGCGCGUGCAACGCACGCGCCCACGCGUUGGACACGCGCGUGUGGGGCAUGCACCUGCGGCGGAUGAAGGCGCGUGCUUGGCACGCGCUUGACGUCCCCACACGCCCUUUUUACGUUUUUGCCCCUAUGUCAUUUUUAAAAUUCCCAUUUUUUCCUUCUCACAAUUUAUUUACUGUUCUGCCCUUGUUUAAUUAAUAAUUACGAUUCUGCCAUUGCUGAUUAUUUACCAUUUUGCCCAUGGAUUAUAAUUUUAUGAUUCUGCCCUUUAUGGAAUUAUGAUUUUACAAUUUUGCCCUUAUGCUUUGAUUGCAUUUUAUCCUUGUGUGCAAUUUGGUAAAUAUUUAUAUUUUACAAUAUUAAAAAUUCAUAUUAUGAAUGGUUUGUUAGUCACCAAAGUGGCCAAACUUUGAAGUUUUUUUGAAUUUUGAUAUUGUAAAUUAUUUUAUUCAAUUACCCAUGAUUAAUUGAUGCUAUGUAUGAAAUUGAUAUGUUUUAUAUUAGUAUUGGAGUUAUGGGUAUAUUGAAGUUCAUUUAUUAUAAGAACUUAGGGAUUAACCCAAAGGUUAAUUAUUUUCUUAUAAUUCAUGAACAUGAUCGUUGAUAAUUAUAUGACUUGUUAAAUUUGUUUGUAUAUCCAAAGAUAACAAAUAAAUUUUAAUAAGAUAUAUUUACAAUUAUCAAAUAAAAGUUAUUAGCAUCAUUAUGGUAUAUAUAUCUUUGUUUAUCUUAGGAUCGCCCAAAGGAGAACUAUGAUGUACAUGUGUCAUUUAGUUUGAAUCUAAUUAGGUGAUAUUCUCAAAGCAUUAAUAUAUGAGUAUUUUCUUGCACAUUUGCAGUAUCUGUACCUGUUUCACUCCAUUCGCACACCUCAUCUGUUCCCUUAUUCAAUGGGAUAAAUUUUCCUGAUUGGAGUGAACAAGUCCAGUUUCACUUAGGUGUCCUGGAUCUUGAUUUAGCGCUUCAAGUUGAGAAACCAGCUGCUAUUACUGAUGAAAGUAGCGAUGAUGAAAAGUUUUUCCAUAAAGCUUGGGAAAGAUCGAACAGAUUGAGCUUAAUGUUCAUGCGAAUGACAGUUGCAAACAACUUAAAGACUUCUCUUCCCAAGACUAACAAUGCUAAGGAAUUUAUGAAAUUUGUGGAAGAGCGUUUUCAAACUGCUGAUAAGUCACUUGCUGAUACAUUAAUGAGCACACUGACCGCCAUGAAAUAUGAUGGUUCGCAUACCAUACAUGAGCAUAUACUUGAGAUGACGAAUUUAGCAGCAAAAUUAAGGACUUUGGGAAUGAAUGUGGAUGAGUACUUUUUAGUACAAUUUAUACUUAAUUCCUUGCCUCAUGAGCAAUAUGGGCCAUUUCAAAUGAAUUACAACACUAUAAAGGAUAAGUGGAAUGUAAAUGAAUUGGCCAAUAUGCUAGUUCAAGAGGAAACAAGGAUAAAGAAUCAAAAGGCUCAUUCUGUUCAUCUCUCAAGUCAUCAAGAAUUUUGAAAGAAUUUCAAGAGGAAAGGUGGAAGGAGCAAGAAGAAAGAACUACACAUCGUGAAUGACUCUUCAAAGGCUUCUCAAAUCCACAAGAAGGAACACAAUCUUAUUAAGUGUCAUUUUUGCAACAAAAUUGGACACUUGAAGAAAGAUUGUCUGAAAUGUAAGGCUUGGUUUGAAAAGAAAGGUAAGCCUUGUGCUUUAGUAUGUUUUGAAUCAAACUUUACUGAAGUUCCUCAUAAUACUUGGUGGAUUAAUUCUGGUGCCACCACUCAUGUGUCAAAUACGAUUGAGGGAUUUCUUACGAUCCAAACUAUAAAGCCAAAUGAAAGUUAUGUGAUUACGGGGAACAGAAACAAAGCUCCAGUUGAAGGCAUUGGCACUUAUCGUUUGAUCUUAGAUACUGGGCAUUAUUUGGAUUUGUUUCGAACCCUUUAUGUACCUACAUUUUCUCUCAAUUUAGUUUCUUUGCCAAGACUUGAUGUGGCGGGAUUUUAUUGUAAGUUUGAAUCUGAAUCUUUCAAUCUAUUUAAGAGUGAUACUCUUAUUGGAACUGGAACUUUAUGUGAUGGUCUCUACAAAUUUAGACUUGAUAAUACUUUUGUUGAGACAUUAUUGACCUUGCAUCAUAAUGUUGGCAUUAAACGAAGUUUGGUGAAUGAAAAUUCUGCUUACUUGUGGCAUAAACGUUUGGGUCAUAUAUCCAAAGAAAGAAUGCAAAGAUUAGUUUAGAAUGAAAUUCUUCCAAAUUUGGAUUUUACUGACCUUGGAGUGUGUAUUGAUUGUAUUAAAGGUAAACAAACAAAACACACUAAGAAAGGUGCCACAAGAAGCAAAGAGCUUCUUGAAAUUAUACAUACUGACAUAUGUGGUCCUUUCGAUGUUCCAUCUUUUGGUAAGGAAAGCUAUUUCAUAAUCUUUAUUGAUGAUUUUUCACGUUAUGGUUACAUUUAUCUAUUGCAUGAUAAGUCUCAAUCAGUAAAUGCACUUGAAGUGUAUAUUAAAGAGGUUGAGAGGCAAUUAGAUAGAAAGGUGAAAAUAGUAAGAUCGGAUAGAGGUGGUGAAUAUUAUGGAAAAUAUGAUGAAUCGGGACAAUGUCGAGGUCCAUUUGCUAAAUUCCUUGAAAGACAUGGCAUUUGUGCUCAAUACACAAUGCCAAGUACACCACAACAAAAUGGUGUAGCAGAAAGGCGUAACCGUACUUUAAUAGAAAUGGUUAGGAGUAUGAUGAGUCAUUCAUCUUUACCCUUAUCUUUGUGGAUGUAUGCUUUAAAGACUUCUAUGUACUUAUUAAAUAGGGUUCCUAGUAAGGCAGUUCCAAAUACUCCAUUUGAACUGUGGAUGGGAAGGAAACCUAGUUUACAACACCUACAUGUUUGGGGUUGUCAAGCAGAAGUAAGAAUUUACAAUCCACAUGAAAGGAAAUUGGAUUUAAGAACGACCAGUGGUUAUUUCAUUGGUUAUGCAGAGAAAUCGAAAGGGUAUAAAUUUUAUUGUCCUAAUCAUAAUACAAGAAUUGUUGAAUCUGGAAAUGCUAGGUUCAUUGAGAAUGGUGACAUCAGUGGGAGUGAACGAAUGCGUGAUGCUUGCAUUCAAGAAGCAAUGGUAGAAGUUCCUAUACCCAAAGCUUCUAAAGUUGUUCCUGAUAUUAUAGUACAAUCUAACAAUAAUCAAGAACAACAAAUUAAUGAACAAACACUCAAUAAUGGAGAUGUCAAUAAUGAACCUCCAAUUGGCUGAGUCACAAGAAAUAGCAUUAAGGAGAUCUCAAAGAGAAAAGAGGUCGGCUAUAUCUGAUGACUAUAUGAUUUAUCUACAAGAGUCAGAAAUUGACUUAGGAAUUGGAAAUGAUUCAGAUUCAUUUUCCCAAGCCAUGGAAUAUGAAGAUUCUAAUGAAUGGUUUAAUGCCAUGGAAGAAGAGUUAAAAUCCAUGCAUCAAAAUCAAGUUUGGGAUAUAGUUGAAUUGCCUAAAGGAUGUAAGAAGGUCAGCUAUAAAUGGGUCUUUAAGACCAAACGCGACUCAAAAGGCAAUAUUGAACGACAUAAAGCCAGACUUGUUGCAAAGGGUUUUACUCAGAAAGAAGGCAUUGACUAUAAAGAGACAUUUUCACCAGUCUCUAAGAAGGACUCACUUAGAAUCAUUAUGGCUUUUGUGGCUCAUUAUGACUUUGAGUUACACCAAAUGGAUGUAAAAACCGCUUUUCUUAAUGGGAAUUUAGAGGAAGAGGUUUAUAUGGACCAACCCGAAGGCUUUUCAGUUAAAGGAAAUGAACACAUGGUAUGUAAAUUAAAGAAGUCAAUAUAUGGACUUAAACAAGUUUCCCGACAAUGGUAUCUUAAGUUUAACGAUACCAUAACUUCAUUUGAAUUUAAGGAAAACACCAUUGAUCGGUGUAUAUAUAUGAAGAUUAGUGGGAGCAAGUUUAUUUUUCUAGUUCUGUAUGUUGAUGAUAUUUUGCUUGCUGCUAAUGAUCUUGGUUUGUUACAUGGAACCAAGAAAUUUCUCUCUAAGAAUUUUGAAAUGAAGGAUAUGGGAGAGGCAACAUAUGUGAUAGGAAUAGAAAUAUUCCGUGAUAGAUCACAAGAAUUAUUAGGAUUGUCUCAGAAAGCCUACAUUGAGAAAAUUUUAGAGAGAUUUAAUAUGAGUAAAUGUUCAGCAGGAAUAGUUCCAAUUCAGAAAGGUGACAAAUUUAGUCUUAUGCAAUGUCCGAAAAGUGAAUUGGAACGAGAACAAAUGAAAAAUAUUCCUUAUGCAUCUGUUGUGGGGAGCUUAAUGUAUGCACAAACUUGCACCAGAUCAGACAUCAGUUUUGCUGUCGGAAUGCUGGGCAUGUAUCAAAGUAAUCCUGGAAUGGAUCAUUGGAAAGCUGCAAAGAAAGUUCUUAGAUAUUUGCAAGGAACGAAGAAUCAUAUGCUCACUUAUAAAAGAUCUGAUCAUCUCGAGGUGAUUGGAUAUUCAUAUUCAGACUUAGCCGGAUGUGCCGAUACAAGAAAAUCAACAUUUGGUUACUUGUUUCUUCUGGCUGGAGGGGCAAUUUCAUGGAAGAGUGCGAAGCAGUCAAUUAUUGCUGCAUCCACUAUGGAAGCUGAAUUUGUGGCAUGCUUUGAGGCCACAAUUCAUAGAUUAUGGCUGCGGAAUUUUAUUUCAGGGCUUGUGAUCGUCGACAGUAUUUCCAAGCCGCUGAAAAUUUAUUGUGAUAACUCUGCAGCAGUUUUCUUCUCUAAGAACGACAAGUAUUCUAAGGGUGCUAAGCAUAUGGAGAUCAAAUACUUGUCUGUCAAAGAAGAAGUUCAGAAACAAAGAGUGUCAAUUGAGCACAUUAGCACCAAUCUUAUGAUAGCAGAUCCCUUAACAAAAGGACUGCCGCCCAAAACAUUUAAUGAGCAUGUUGAAAGGAUGGGCAUUAUUGGACGUCAUUAAUGUUUGUAUUAUGAUUGUAUUGAGUUUAUGUAUUUGACACUUUGAGCUCACUUACGUGUUUAUGAUAUUUCCUGUUUUCUAUUUAGUAUACAAUAUGUAAAUAGAUGAAUGUUAAACAGGAUAAUUUCUAAAGAAACAUUAUGGUUGGACUAUUACUGUACUUCUCAUUUAUGGAUCAUGUUAAGUAAAGUGCUAUAGUUGUAGUACAUAGAAGGGACUACGUCGAUUAAUGACAUACAACCGCUAUGACUCGCAUUAGUUUUCUUUACUUAAUUCUGAUUAUUAUGUGAUUGCCAAUUUAAUGAAAUUUUAUAGCAUAAUCUUAUUGUGCACAUUACAGUCUUUAUUAAACCAUGAAAGGAACAUCAUAUGGGCCAAGUGGGAGAAUGUAAGAAUUAUUGUGGCCCAUAUUAUGUGAUUUAUUAUAUGGUUUAAUAAAUCAUUGAAAUGCUAUAAAUAAUUAUUGGUUACGAGAAUGUACGAUUCUAAUAAAAAUGAAAGGGUAUAUCGCUUUGAUGGAAGGCGCCUUUUCAAUGAACGUAUAAAUAGAGUCCGUUCCUCUCUCCACACAAAAAAAAAAAAAAAACGAACAACAAUAACUGAAAGGAAUUUGGUAUUCUCUCAUCCAUCAAUUGAAUACAUUAAGGUUUAGUGGGUUAAGGGAGAGAAAUCGGAUUUCUUCAUUUGGUUCGAGUUCUUUCGGUUUUCUACAACGAUCAUCAUCAAGUGCAACAUUAUGGAGAAAUGUAUGUCUUCAUCUAAUUGUGAAAAUCAUGAAGAUCAAAAGAUCAUUGAUUUGUUAUGAAUUUCCGCAUCAAAGAAAUAUAUGAAUUAUCUAACAGGUUCGCCGGCCUCAGGAGGCUAGCCGGCAUCAUGUGACUCAGCGAGGAGGUAUCAGGACAGCAUCGCCGUGUUGUGGGGAGCCAGAGGCACAAUGUAGCCCGGUCCACGAAUUGUUGUCACAGGUGGUCUGUUUGGCAAUAGCAGACUCGGCAGGGUUCUUGGCUUUUAAGUGUUGCCGAGAGUGAAUUAAGGGAUGCAAGGAGCGUGGCACGAAGGGUACUCGAGUUGCUGCUGUGAUGAAGAGUAGCAACGAGGAAGCGUCACAGCCGUUGGUGGGAACUUGGCAACAAGAAGUGAGUCGCGGCCGUCGACAGGAGUUGAGCUGAAGUGUCAAGCACCGUUUUCACGAAUGUGCCGAACAGAACGCGGGUCUUCUCUUUUUGCUUUUUCACUGGACACUCUCUUUGGAGAUGAAAGUGUCCUCUUCUCUAUUCAUAGACCCCGGGAACCUGCAAGAAGAGAGAACAUAUUGACUGCAUCUCUGAGGCCAGCUCAGCAAAAAUUCAGUCCAUUUAUUUUGUGACACGUGUCAUGUACGGCCUCACAAGUCAUUUUCUGUCUCCACUUCUCCCUUUCUCACCCUUUAUUCUCUCUCUUCACGUCUUCCUCUUUUUCUCUCUCCUCCGCCUAACCCCUUUUCCCUUCUCUGACCUUGACCUUGAGCCCGACCUCAGACACAUUGCCAUUUCUUCAUGCACGUUGUCUCCAUCUUUACUUAAUUCUUCCUCAACCUCCACCGCCGCCACCUCCUGUUCAACUCCUCCUGCAUCCUAUACGUUUGCACCCACGUCGAUGAACCAUGCCUUUGCCUCCGUCUCGCCGUUUCCUAAGCCGACCCUAGUCGACUUUGAACCAACCUACAUUUGAGUCAAGCUGAGCUCUAGAUCACAAAUCUUGGCUCGCUCGACCUUAGAUCCAAAAUCUGAGGCUCAAGUUCAUCAGCCGAGCUCGAGCUCGAUGACGAAAGAUUGAGACGGCGAUGAGAUGGUGGACUGAGAUGACAGUGAGGAGGUGGUAGUUACGUUUGUGCUUGUCCCCGUCAGAGUGAAAGGAAGAAGAUUUUUUUUUUUAAAGAAAAAAGAAGAAGAGAAAAGGAGUCAGGCAGAGGAAACAGAGGAAGAGGAAGACAUGAAGAGGAAGAGAGGGCGAGGAAGGGAGAUAGAGACUGACUUGUGGGGCUGUGUACAACACAUGUCGCAAAAUCAAUGGAUCAUUUUUUUUUCUGAGCUAGCCUCAGAGCUACAGCCAAUAUUUUCUCGCAAGAAGAAAAGCAAUUCUUGCUCUCUCUCUCUUUCCACGCCAUAUCCGUGGCACGAUUUCUCUCAAUGUGCUGCCUAUUCUAUCGUGUGUGGCCCCUUUCUUUUGCAAAUCACACCAGUUUUUAUAAUGACUCCUCACCAACUUCCUCUUGGGAUAUCAGCAUAGUUUCUUUCUUUAUCCCAUCAACCAAAUGUUCUCUAUUUUGCUGAUUGAAUCCCACCUCAAUGUACUUUUUUCUUUUAUUUAUGAAUAUACGAAAGAUCCACCACCAUAUGAUUUUUUCUUUUUGUUUCUUUUCGUUGGCCAAAUUUUCAUUCUAUGCUUUUGAACGAAUAUUGGUAGAAUAAUACCGAUCUUUUUUGAAAUAUACCGAUCUUCGAAGUCGUCUCUCCUCAUAAGUCAGUUUUCAGCCAUUCAAGAGUGACAAGCUUGGCCAAGUUCCUUCUCACUAUGGGCUUAGUCCAACUAGUUAAAUUAAAACUCAAAACCAUCAAUUCAAACCCAUUAAUCAUCGGUCCAAUGCAAGCACAAUAAUAAAAACAAUAAUAAAUACUCCCAAAACUAUAUGCUAUGUAAUUUAAUAUUAAUAUUUUUGUUUAGGGGUUAAAAAUUAAUCCCUAAUUUUCUAUGUAAUAAAUAAACGAUCGGAUUGUCAAAUUUUAGGUGUCAAUAACAAUCCCUCUUUGAAAGUGAGCUCAUAGAGGUUGCAUUCAAAAACAAAUUUGAGACUUAAAUUUUGACCCUUCAAAUGCAAUGUGAUAAAUUUUUACGUGGGGACAUGUGUUUUGACGAACCCAUGCCCAUUUUCUAACGUAAAAUAUGAUGCAAAUGCUAAUAAGAAAUAUAAAACAUACCUUUAGUUACUCACUUGAAAGCUUGCCAUGCCGAUGAAAGGGACUUCGAGUUAUGGAAGCACAUCGCAUCGAUAGAAAGAGACUCUGGGCUAUGAAAGCAUGCUGAGUCGAUGAAGAAGAACUCUGAGUUAUGGAAGCACACCAGCUUAAUAAAGAGACUCUAGGUUAUGGAAGCACACCGUGUCGGUUAAGAGGGACAUCGGGUUAUAGAAGCACACCAUAUUGAUAGAAAGAUACUCUGGGUUACGGAAGCCCACCGAGUUGAUGCAAAGAUUCCGAGCCACGGAAGCACUUCGUGUUGGUUAUGAGGGGCAUUAGGCUAUAGAAGGACACUGUGUCAAGAGACUCUAGGCUACAAAAGCAUGCCAAGUCGAUGUAGAGGAACUUUAGGCUACGGAAGCACGCCGGGCUGAUAAAGAGAUUCUAAGCUACUGAAGCACACUGUGCCAAUUAAGAGGAGACUUCGAGCUACGAAAGCAUAUUGUGUCGAUAGGAACGGACUCCAGGUUAUGGAAGUACGCCGGAUCGAUGUAGAGGAACCCCAGGCUACGGAAGCACACCAGGUUGAUGAAGAGACUUCGAGUUAUGGAAGCACAUCAUGUCAAUUAAGAGGAGAUUUCGAGCUAUGGAAGCAAGCCAUGUUAAUAGGAAGAGACUUCGGGCUACGGAAGCAUGCUAGGUUGAUGCAGAUGAGCUCUGAGCUAUAGAAGCAUGCUGGAUUGAUGAAGAGACUCCAAGUUAUGGAAGCACACCGUGUUGGUUAAGAGGAGACUCCAGAUUACGGAAGCACACUGUGUUGAUAAGAAGAGACUCCGAGUUAUGGAAGUACGCCAGAUCAAUAUAGAGGAACUCUGGGCAAUAGAAGAAGCACAUUGAGUUGGCAAAGAGAUUAUGGGCUACGGAAGUACAUCAUGUUGAUUAAAAGAGACAUUGGGUUACGAAAGCACGCCAUGUCAUGCGCCGAUCCUCGAGUGUGUGCCCAUCCCUCGGUGGUUGACAAAUUUGCGACGUCCCAGAACGCGUCGCCGACCCUUUCAUUUUUAAUGCACAUGCGGAAGCGAAACAAUACCUCUGACAACAACCAACACGGGAUAGAAAAGCAGGAAACAUAUUCACAACCAAAACACUUUUAUAAACACCCCGGUUUAUAUACAGACUAGUCUAUAAACAAGAGUCUAUAAAAGCAGAUAAGCCUAUAAGUCCUCUAGGCUGACGAAUCCCUAACUGCAAAAUUCGAGGUCUCUUGGAGAUUUGGGUCUACCACUGCACCACUAGGAGGGUCAGCUGUACUCGCGCUAAAGGUGACUUCUAACACCGACAUAGGGACCUCAAAAUCCUAUAGGGGACCCUCUCUAUGUCCAUUGAGCCUGCGACGAUACCAUGCUCUGAAUUGAUGGGGUACCCUCUAGGGUAGACCCGCAUCGACCCAGACGAUGGUCCUCACAAUUUCAUAGACCUAGAUCCCGUGGCACUUGGGAACAUGGAUAUUGGUGACCUGCCCAGUAAUCCACUUGGGCUAGCCAAAAUGUUCCGAAGGAACCACCAUCUAAGGACCUGAAAAGGUUGAGCUCACGACGGGGUAAGUCAAUGUUUCAGUAAGUUCACCUCCUAAACUUCGACUAGGAAUGAAAUACGUCUAGAGGCAGCUAUACACACAAGUCAGAAGACUUACCUUGCCUCAAUUCCCUCCUGCACGUCAGCACAGUUCAUAAUCUCAACCAAUAUAUUCCAUCCAAUCGAUUAUUCAAUCCAUUCAAUACCAUCGAUACCAUCUAUCAAUUCAAUAUCAUUUAUCUAUCAUCGAUACGAUCACUGCUCACACAAGCUGAAAUAGAUGGUCAUAGCUCUCACAAGCUGAUAUAUAGAUGGUAGCUCGCACAAGCUGAUAUAUAUUAUAGCUCACCCAAGCUGAUAUAGUAUACUACUCUCACAAGCUGGCAUAUCAAAGCACACUUAGGUUGAUAUAGUAUACUGCUCUCACAAGUUGACAUACAAUAAUGCUCGCACAAGCUAACGAUUUAAUAAGGCUCACACAAGCUGACGAUUUAAUAAGGCUCACACAAGCUGACGAUUUAAUAAGGCUCACACAAGCUAAUACUCGAUAAAAAUAAUCAUGUGUGUGUACGCGGUUGGUCUGAGCCAAAAUGCUAUAUCUUUCUUUUCAAAACUCCCACUAUUUAAUAUAGUGCCUAAAAAUAUUUUUGGCGUUAAAAACUGACGCCCCGGUAUUUUCUUAUUAAAUAUCGAAAUUACACAAUUUCGGGAUAAAUACCCAAAAUUACAACCAUCACUCAAUUUGCAUAGAAUAGCAUCUGAUUAAAUAAAUCUGAUUAAAUAAAUCAAGCACACCAUUGCAAUCAUCAUGAAAUUCUUGUCACCGGCUAACCCGAUAUAAUUUCCGAAAAAUAACAAAUAAUUAAAUAAAUACCAAAAAUAAUUAAAUAAAUACAAUUAAUUACCAACAAUGCAAACUUAGGCCAAAAAUGCUUAAUUAACUACCUGAACGGGCCGGGAAAAUUUCUGAACCUAUCUAGAUAAAUAGCACAACUUAUCUAGUCUUUAAUUGAUCCGUUCUAAUCAACUAACAUGCACAAAUGAAUAAUUAAAUCAUUAAUCCAUUCUAACUAACCACCUAAACCAUACUUAGCAUAAACUAAACACCCCUUAAACGUCAUUAACUCCCUAAGCAUAGUUUAGCAAGUAAACUCACCGGUUUAGCGAUUCGGUGAGUUCACGGCGACGGCGACGCGGAGACGGGCGACAAACCUCCUAGCAGCGAUGCCAAACAAGGCCUGUAAGAGGACCGAAAUGGCCCACGAAGGCUCAUAGUUGAGCUGGGCUUAUGGUUCUGUCCUAGGCCAAGCUAGCUGAAACCAGCGGCUGAAACGGCAAAGCAGGUGGACCAGUGGCCGCAGCAGGCAACGACGGGCGAUGGCGGCUGCGCCGGCAACCUGAACGGCGACCAGGGGACUUCGACGGUGGCCUGAGAUGGCUCAGGGGCACGGUUGGGUGCGACAGAGGCGAGAUGGAAAAACGAUUGCGCGGAGGACUCGAGCAGCUGCUCAGGCGAGCGACAGCGCUGGACGGCGGCUCUAGUGGCUCGGCGGGCGUGCAACGGCUAGGGGGAAGGGGCUGCUCGGUUUCUUUUCAAUUUCUAAGCUUCAAGAGGUUUGAAAAUGGAGAAAGCAAGUCUGCUGAGGAAGAUAGAGACAGCUAAAGAGUGGAGGGUCUCUCAAAGCCUACAAAGCCUUCCAUUCUAUCCAUUUUGUCCCUUAGCAAGGCCCCACCAGCCAUGGCUAUUAUCCAUGGCCCCUUGGCAGCCCAAGACUUCCUUUAGAAGCUUUACCAAGUGGUCCAAAUGUCCCUCCCCAUGGCCUACGAAUUUUGCACCAAAUUCCCCCAAACCCACUUCAAUUCUCCUUCAAUUGGAUCUAAAUCGGUCCUCAUAAAUUCAACCAAGGUACCAUCAUCCCAUUCCACAUUUUUUCUCGUUAAUUCGUCCAACUGGAAUCCAAAAAAUGCGAUAAAACACGGCCCUCUGAUCUUUCUGGACAAAAACAACCCUACUUUGGAAUUUUGCCAAAAAUCUCGGUUUGCAGAAAAAUCUUCAGAGGGUGAGUCGAUGAUCCUAAAAUGAAUUGUGACAUGACAGAACUUUCAAUUUUUGAAAUCGGGUAUUCGCAGUUAAUUUUAAUCUAGCACAAUUUUAACGUGACUUAAUCUACUAGGUAACUUUUAAGAAUUUUUAGUGCAAUUGACCUGUGGUCAAUUAUUUUCGAGCCACAUUGUACAUCUUCGACAUAUUGACGACUCUUGGUUGUCGUGAAAAUCUGGAGGUUUCAAAUACGAACACAGAGUACCAAAACAACAGACAAAUUGGUCUAGUGCCGAUCGACGAGAAUUUUGCAAUUAAGUAGAAUCACCCACACUUAAUCACAUGGCUCAGUCGAGUCGACCUAUCUCUAGUCUCUAAUCGAUUUUCAACUGUACUGUAAUGACUCUUGCAGACUAGCACGGUUGAGCAGUCGAUUUCUGGUUGACUUCUCAAAUAUAUUGCGUUAAAAUCUCUUAACGGCUUCACCAGAUAGACUACUUAUCUCGUAAGUGAUCAGCUCAGAUAAUAGAACUAUAGGCGCGUUAAUGAAAAGCUCAAUUCAUUCAAUUGAAAACAGAACUGUAAAUUGAGGAUGUCACAACUCUUCCCCUCUUAUAAAAAUUUCGUCUUCGAAAUUUAAACCAUCACAACCUUUCCCCCAAAAAGGUGGGGGUACAGUUGUCUUAUUGAAUCUUGGUGCGUAGAACCUGGUCUUUUCGAUCCACAAUCUAAACCGAUCUUUUCACAUAUGACAUUGUCGUCCACAUCUAAUUCUUUAAAAUUCAGCACAUGGGUCAGGUCAGGUUCAUACUUCCUCAGCAUCGACACGUGAAAGACAUUGUACACUUACGCCAACCUCGGCAGCAAUGCGUUAGAAUCGCUUUUCUUUCCAAAAUCUCGAAGGGACCUACGUACCUCGGACUCAACUUCCCUUUCUUGCCAAAGCAUGAAGUGCUCACCAAAUGGGAAUUCCAAAGGCCUUCGACGCUUAUCAACGUAGCUUUUCUAGUGGCUCUGAGCGGUCUUUAAUCUGUCUCUGAUGAUGGCAACUGCAUCCACUGACUGCUGGACUAACUCUAGGCCUAUGAUCUUUCGUUCUCCAACCUCAUCCCAACACAUUGGCAUUCUACAUGCUCUGCCAUACAACGCUUCAAAACGAGCCAUCUGAAUGCUCUGCUGGUAGCUGUUGUUGUAGACAAACUCGACAAGAUGAAGCUGUUCCUCCCAGCUUCCCCUGAAAUCCAACAUGCAAGCUCACAGCAUGUCUUCGAGGGUUUGAAUCGUCCUCUCAGAUUGGCCAUCUGUCUAAGGAUGAUAAGCCAUACUGUACUACAGCUUCGUUCCUAAGACAGCCUACAAACUCUUUCAAAAAGCAGUUGUGAACCUUAGGUCUUGAUCUGAUGUAAUCGUUACCGGCACUCCAUGCAGACGAACAAUCUGACGCACAUACAACUCUGCAUGCCUGUCCAAAUCAAGGUCCUUUCGUACUACGAUGAAGUGAGUCGACUUCGUCAAUCUGUCGACCACUACCCAAAUGGAAUCAUUACCCCUCUAACUCCUUAGUAAGCUUAUCACAAAGUCCACUGUGAUGUGCUCCCAUUUCCACUUGGGAAUCUCGAGAGGUUGCAAAAGUCCUCCUAAUUUACAAUACAGUGCCUUUACUUGUUGACCUGUCAGACACUUUGCGACAUACUUGGUGAUAUCCGCCUUCAUACCAGACCACUAAUAGUGUUGACGCAGUUUCUGAUACAUCUUUGUACAGCCAGGAUAAAUGCUGUAACUGUUACGAUGAGCUUUUGAUAAGAUCUCUUCUUUAAGAUCUGCAUUGUCAGGUACACACAACUGCCCUCGGAACCUUAGUGUUUCGUUCUCAGAAGUCCAAAAAUCAGCCUUCUUCUUUUCGGUAUUCUCUUGCAGGAUCUUUUGAAUCUUUGGGUCUGUCCACUGAAGUAUCUUUAUUCUAAUCUACACUUCUGGCUCAAUCCUAAGGGUAGCCAUAAGAUUUGAAAGGUGGCCUACCUCAAAUUUGAAAAUCGAAUCUUGAGCUUUCUCGAGUAAAACUCAUUCCUUAACCAUCAUAUGUGCAAUUGAAGACUUCUGACUCAUCGCAUCUGCGACAAUGUUCACCUUUCCAGGGUGAUACAAGAUAUCACAAUCAUAGUCCUUCAGAAGUUCCAUCUAGUGACGCUGUCUCAUAUUCAACUCAUUAUGAGAGAAUAAGUAAUUAAGACUUUGAUGGUUAGUGAAGAUCUGGAAUCUUUCUCCACACAAGUAAUGUCUCCAAAUCUUCAGAGUGAAAAUUAUUGCCGUGAGUUCUAAGUCAUGUGUCGGAUAAUUCAGCUCAUGAGGUCUCAACUGACGGGACGUAUAUGCAACAACCUUACCAUGUUGCAUCAGCACGCAACUCAGUCCUCUAAAUGACGCAUCACUAUAGACCUCGUAUCCUCCAAAACCAGAUGGUAUGAUCAGCAUAGGUGUGGUAGUUAGCUUCUGCUUAAGCUCUUGGAAACCACACUUACACUUGUCUGUCCACACAAACUUCUAUUCUUUCUUCAGUAGUCGAGUCAACGGUGAUGCUAAUGCUGAAAACCCUUCCACGAACCUUCUAUAGUAUCUUGCCAAACCCAAAAAGCUUCUGAUCUCUAUCACAGUUGUCGGUCUUGGUUAGUUGAUAACUGCUUCAAUCUUGGUCGGGUCAUGGAGAUUCCUUUGCCUGAAAUCAUGUAACUUAGAAACGCAACACGAGUCAACCAAAACUUGCACUUACUGAACUUAGCAUACAGUUCAUGAUUCCUUAGGGUCUAAAGUACCAUCCUCAAAUGCCUUUCUUGUUCCUUUGAACUUCUUGAAUACACCAGGAUAUCUUCAAUGAACACGAUCACAAACUAAUUUAGUUAUUCUUUGAACACUCGGCUCAUCAGAUCCAUGAAAGCAGCUGGGGCGUUCGUCAAAUCAAACGGCAUUGCAGUGAAUUCAUAAUGGCCGUAUCGAGUACGAAAUGCUGACUUCGGUAUGUCCUCUUUUCUAAUCCUCAGCUAAUGAUACCAUGUCCUUAAGUCGAUCUUAGAAAAUAUCGAUGCUCCUUGAAGUUGGUCAAACAAGUCAUCGAUUCUCGGGAGCGGAUAUUUGUUCUUGAUCGUCACUUAAUUGAGUUGACGAUAGUCGAUGCAUGGACGCAAUGAACCAUCCUUUUUCUUCACAAAUAGAACUGGUGCUCCCCAAGGUGAUGCACUGGGACGUAUGAAUGCCUUAUCCAACAAUUCAUGCAUCUGCACCUUCAGUUCUUUCAACUCAGAUAACGCCAUUCGUUAAUGAGCCUUAGAGAUUGGCUUUGUUCCGGGUGUUAACUCGAUCACGAACUUAAUCUCUCUCUUUGGUGGCAGGCCUAGCAAUUCUUUUGGAAACACGUCUGGAAACUCUUGAACCACUGUGAUAUAUUCGAUCUUCAGCUCCUCAACUGUCGUGUCCAUGAUAAUCGCCAGGUAACCUUGACAACUCUCGUCUAACAAACAGGUUGCCUCAAGUGACAAGAUUAAGGAAAUUGAGGGUCCUCAUCGACCCCCAGUAAACUCGAAAAUUUCACCCCCUAACGAGUUAAACUGAAUCGAGUUACGAUAGCAGUCCAUCUUAACUCAUUGCUUGGUGAGCCAGUCCAUGCCAAUUAUCACAUCAAAAUUAUACAUAGCUAAGACUAACAAAUCUAUCCUCCCCUCUCGCUCACCAAUCACUAACUUGAAACCAGGACAACCCACUGUAGCUAACACAUUAUCCUUUAACGGUGUAGAUAUGCUAACCACUGACUCCAACAACUCAGGAAUCAAUCCUACUAGCUUAACAAACUAUUCAGCUAUAAACGAAUGAGUUGCACCAAGAUCAAAUAAAACAUAAGCAGUGUGGUCGUUCAGCGAAACCGUACCUAUAAUCACAUUAGACGCGUCCUCAGCCUGCUGUAGUCCCCUCGACUUUCUAGGACAAUCUCUGGCUAAGUGACCCAGCUGGCCACACUCGAAAUAAGCACCCAUCCUUAAAUGGCACAGGGUUAAACCAUGUCAUCUUCCACAAAAGUGACACAUGCCAUUCUGACUCAUCGCUGACUUGUCGAUUCCACCCUUCCUAUUGGGUGGGACAUGAUACCUUCCUCCAGUCAUGGGACUCUUCCCAAAUCGAUUCCCGUCUCUAUUUGAACCGAACCUUGAACCAGGCAAGGCGGCUUGCUCACUCAAACUUCUCUCUAUUAGCUGGGCCCGACCAUAUACCUCAUUGUAAUCCUUGAGAUUAAGCGGCACCAGUGGGUUUCUCAGCUCUGGUCAAAGGUUGUUCCUGAACCUCUGAGCUUUGUCUUCCAGAUCUUCCAUCAAUCUUGGAGCGUACUGAGACAGCUCAGCAAACUUUGAUUCGUACUGAUCCACGGUCAACAUCCCUUGACGGAGGCGCUGAAAUUCGUCCAUCUUCUGCUCUCGGACGCUACUUGAAAAGUACUUGUUGUUAGAGGCUCUGAGAAAAUCGUUUCACAUCGGGACUACGCCUUCGGGGGAAACUGUGCCUCUAGUGGCUCUCCACCAAGUAUUCGUGUUACCUUGUAGCUGGUAUACUGCCAGGACAACUUUCUCCUCUUCAGUGCAUAUCAGAAAUGCAAAGGCUUUCUCUAGGUCUUGGAUCCAGAGCAAUGUAGACUCGGGAUCAAUCUCAGGAUCUCCUACGCCAGUGAACCUCGGCGGGUUUAGCUUCAAAAAUUGUUCCACGAGCUUAUGUAUCGGCCUCUCUCUCUCUCAAUUACUACGUUUCUAGGUGGAACUUCGGCAAGUGCAACAGUGGCUGUGGCUUCAGUAAUGGCGACAACGGCACUUGUAGCGGCAGCAAUAGUGGUGGUGGCUUGAUUCUAGGCUUGCUGCCCCAUCAGUGCUCCUAAUGCCUCAAGCACCUGCAUGAUCCCGUUGAUCCUAGGAUUACCAGGGGCUGCUACCCCAGCACCAAUAGGAGGCGGUGCUACUCCACUAGCGCUAGUCUGAACUAGCACUUUACCACAAUCCCCUCGGGUACCGACCCUUGUCAGCGUCUUACCCCGAGUAACAGGUCCAAUGGUUCUCUUCCUAGGAGUCCUCUGCUCCUGAUCACUCAUGCCGCAGAUUCUAUACAGAAACUUGCCUUCCAAUUCCACAUAAAAUUAAAAGCUGAGCGAUCCCCACAAAACAAUUUACCAACCAACUAUCAAUCACAUGCACUAGCAUAAAACAAAGGUCAUCCUACUAAUUAUCCCAUAACCUAUUGCACCUUAUCACUCCAACUAUCGACCAGCUCUAAUACCACUCCGGGCAGGGAUGUCAUGCCCUAAUCCUCAAGUGCAUGCCCAUCCCUUGGUGGUCGAUAAAUUUGCAAUGUCCCAUGACGCGUCACCGAUCCUUUCAUUAAUGCACAUGCGAAAGCGAAACAAUAUCCCUGAUAACAACUAAUAUGGGAUAGAAAAGUAGGAAACAUAUUCACAAUCAAAACACUUUUAUAAACACCUCGGUUUAUAUACAGACUAGUCUAUAAAUAGGAGUCUAUAAAAGCAAACAAGCCUACAAGUCCUCUAGGCUGAUGAAUCCCCGAUUGAAAACUCCGAGGUCUCCUAGGGAUUUGGGUCCACCACUGCACCACUAGGAGGGUCAGUUGUACCCUCGCCAAAGGCAACUUCUAACACCCAUACAAGGACCUCAAAAUCCUACAAAGGACCCUCUUUGUGUCCAUUAAGCCUACGAUGAUACCAUUCUCUAAAUUAAUGGGGUACCCUCUGGGGUAGACCUGCAUCGACCCAGACGAUGGUCCUCACAAGUUCAUAGACCCAGACCCCGUGGCUUGGAAUAGGGAUAUCGGUGCCCUGCUCGGUAAUCCUCUUGGGCUGGCCAAAACGUUCUGGAGGAACCACUAUCUAAGGACCCGAAAAGGUUGAGCCCAUGAUGGGGUGAGACAAUAUCUCAGCAAGUUCACCCCCUUAACUCCGACUAAGAAGGAAAUAGGCCUAGAGGCAGUUAUACACACAAGUUAGAAGACUUACCUUACCUCAGUUCCCUCCUGCACGUCAAUAUAGUUAUAAUCUCAACCAAUCAAUCCCAUCCAAUCGAUCGUUCAAUACGUUCAAUACCAUCAAUACCAUCUAUAAAUUCAAUACCAUCUAUCCAUCAUCGAUAUGAUCGCUACUCACACAAGCUAAAAUAGAUGGUCAUAACUCUCACAAGCUGACAUAUAGAUGGUAGCUCGCACAAGCUGAUAUAUAUAUUAUAGCUCACCUAAGUUGAUAUAGUAUACUACUCUUACAAGCUGACAUAUCAAAGCACACUUAGGCUGAUAUAGUAUACUGUUCUCACAAGCUGACAUACAAUAAUACUCGCACAAGCUGACGAUUUAAUAUGGCUCACAUAAACUGAUACCCGAUAAAAAUAAUCGUGUAUGGGUACAUGAUCAAUCUGAGCCAAAAUGCUAUAUCUUUCUUUUCAAAACUCCUACUAUUUAAUAUAGUGCCUAAAAAUAUUUUUGGCAUUAAAAAUCGAUGCCUUGGUAUUUUUUGAUUAAAUACCGAAAUUACACAAUUUUGGGAUAAAUAUCCAAAAUUACAAUCAUCACUCAAUUUGCAUGAAAUAGCAUCCGAUUAAAUAAACCAAGCACACCAUUGCAAUCAGCACGAAAUUUCAAUCACUAGCUAUCUCGGUAUAAUUUUCGAAAAAUAACAAAUAAUUAAAUAAAUACCAAAAAUAAUUAAAUAAAUACAAUUAAUUACCAAAUAUGCAAACUUAGGCCAGAAAUGCUUAAUUAACCACCCGAACAGGCCGGGAAAAUUUAUGAACCUAUCUAAAUAAAUAGUACAACUUAUCUAGUCUCUAAUCCAUCCACUCUAACCACCUAACAUGCCCAAACGAAUAAUUAAAUCACUAAUCCAUUCUAACUAACCACCUAAACCAUACUUAGCCUAAACUAAACACCCCUUAAAUGUCAUUAACUCCAUAAGUAGAGUUUAGCAAGUAAACUCACCGAUUUAGCGAUCCGGUGAGUCCACGACGACGGUGAUGCAGAAACGGGCGACAAACCUCCUAGCGGCAACGCCAAACAAGACUCGGAAGAGGCCCGAAACUGCCCACGAAGGCUCACAGCUGAGCUGGGCUUCCGGUUUUAUCCUAGGCCGAGCAAGCUGAAACUAGUGGCUGAAACGGCAAAGUGGGUGAACCAAUGGUUGCAACGAGCGACAACGGGCGACGGCGACUACUUUGGCCACAUGAACGGCGACUGAAGGACUUCAACGAUGGCCUAAGAUGGCUCGGGGGCACGGCUAGGUGUGACGGGAGGCAAGAAGGUGAGACGAUCGCGCGGGGACUCAAGUGGCUGCUCAAGCGAGCGACGGCGUUGGACGGCGGCUCUGGUGACUCGAUGAGUGUGCAACAGCUAGGGGGAAGGGGCUACUUGGUUUCUCUUCAAUUUCUAAGCUUCAAGAGAUCUAAAAAUGGAGAAAGCAAGUCUGCUGAGGAAGAAGGAGACAAUUGAAGAGUGGAGGGUCCCUCAAAGCCUCAAAAGCCUUCCAUUCUAUCCCCUUUGUCCCUUGGCAAGGCCCCACCAGCCAUGGCUGUCAUCCAUGGCCCCUUGGCAGCCCAAGACUUCCCUUAGAAGCUUCACCAACUGGUCCAAAUGUUUCGUCCCCCAUGGCCUACGAAUUUUGCACCAAAUUCCCUCAAACCCACUUUAAUUCUCCUUCAAUUGGAUCUAAAUCGGUCCCCAUAAAAUCAACCAAGGUGUCAUCAUCCCAUUCAACAUUUUUCCUCGUCAAUUCGUCCAACUGGAAUUCCAAAAACGCGAUAAAAAAUGGCCUUCUGAUUUUUCCGAACAAAAACGGCCCUACUUUGGGAUUUUGCCAAAAAUCUCGAUUUGUAGAAAAAUCUUUGGAGGGUGAGUCGACAGUCCUAAAAUGAAUCGUAACAUAACAGAACUUUCAAUUUCUGAAAUUAGGUUUAAAUUCGCGGUAAAUUUCAAUCUGGCGUGAUUUUAGUAUAACCUAAUCUACCGGGUAGCUUUUAGAAAAUUUUAGUGCAAUUGACCCAUGGUCGAUUAUUUUCGAGCCACAUUGUACAUUUUCAAUAUAUUGGUGACUCUCGAUUGUCGUGAAAAUCUGGAGGUUUCAAAUACGGACACAGGGUACCAAAACGACAGAAAAAUCGGUCUAGUGCUGAUCAACGAGAAUUUUGCAAUUAGGUGGAAUCACCUACACUUAAUCACAUGGCUCAGUUGAGUCAACCUAUCUCUAGUCUCUAAUUGAUUUUUAACUAUUCCGUAAUGACUCUUGCAGACUAGCACGGUCGAGCAGUCGAUUUCUGGUCAAAUUCUCAAAUUUAUUGCGUUAAAAUCCCUUAACAGCUUCACUGGAUAGACUAGUUAUCUUGUGAGUGAUCAGCUCAGAUAAUAGAACAAUAGGUGCAUCGAUGAAAAACCCGAUCAUUCAAUUGAAAACAAAACUGGAAAUUCAGGAUGUCACAACAUAUUGAUAAGGAGACUCCGAGCUACGGAAGCACGCCAUGUUGAUUACCUAUAGAGAUAAACUUCAAGAAUGUAUAAAUGAAUUUCGAGGCUUCAGAGAGUAAUUGGAACGUCAGGUGUUACUCGAUCUUCACGGAAAUAUUACCUGUCAAACACGGUUAGAGCUAAAACAUAUAUGUAGUCAUCAAAGAAAUAGACGAUCUAAGCUAAUCUAGAAUGCACACUCCAAAGUCCACCAAAGCUUUCAUCAAUUCAAUCAAUGUUUAUGCAUAAUGAUUUUACCAUAUUUGCACCACCAAAUUUCCACUGGAGAGAAUUAUUAUUCAAGACAAUUUUCACUUAUAAUGUCAACUUCUUGAAAAUGUGAAAUGAGAGAUUUUUAAUUAGAAAGGACUUUCACUCACUUCAUUUAGAAAGGCUAUUUUAUGAGAAUCACUUCAUCUCACCAUCAUCAUAUCAACAAGGGUCUAAGUAUUCUCGUGAACAGUACGAUCUUACCAAUCCGAGAGGUCUUUUUUAGGACCGUAAUGUAGGCUUGGUCAAUGGCUUAACAAAGGGGGACUCUUUGAGUCAAGGCUGUUGAAAGAACAAAACAUCACAAUCAUCUCUGCGUUUACAAGUCAAGAAAAUUGCGAAAUAAGAUAGAAAUAAUAUUGCUCACACUUCUUCGAGCGAUGUUUAUAAACAUAUGAAUAGCUACUUUAAUUCAAGUGCCAUAAUUUGAAAAACUUUGCAGGGAACAUAACGUAGGCUAGGUUUAUGGGUUGAAAAAUGAAAUGAUUAUUAGGCUCAAAAUGUAUAUAGAGGGAUAAGAGUUGAUGAUCAUCUUGGCAUUGCCACCAAUUUUCUUCUUCACCAUCGAGGAUUGUCUUCAUAAUACUCCAUUGACUGCAACACCUUGGUAUUUGGGUACUUUAAGUACCGCUCCAUUGGGGAUACAUCUCUUGAUAAAUGAUGGUCAUCUAUCUUGACUUCUUUUCUUUUCUUUUUUUUUCAUGUUCCCCAUGGACAUUGGCCUUAUUUUUAUCGGGCACACUGCUUUUUCGUGUCUUUAGAUUUCAUUCAUUUUUUUCUUCACCUCUUUUUUCAUGAGCAUUGACCUUACUUUUAUUAGGCACACUACAUUUCAUGCUUCCUAGUUCUUUUUUUAUUUCAACUUUUGACUUUUGACACACUGUCUACAAUUAUAUUGAAUAGCCACACACAUUGGUUUGUUUCUACCAAAUGAUUUAACAUUUGAACUCACAAGGUAUUCGUCUUCCGCUGGCAUUCUUUAUCAUGCUGCUUGAAUGAUUGUCUUUUGCCUUACCCCAAUGUAGGGGAUGAUCACCAAUUGGGUUUGUAUGAAAUGAAAUGCAAGCUCAAGUGAGUUAUGCAAACGAUAUGAGUGUAUAUGAUAGAGAAAUGACCGCUCUUCAUCAUCUUAAGGCACUUAAUUACCAUAUGAAUUCAUCUGUAAUAGCAAUACUUGAAGAUUGAUGCAAGUGAGAGCAGGAAAAUUCCUAUCUAUUCCCUCACCUCAUGAUGUUGUCCUACCUCAUGUUUGCCCCAGUUCUAUUUUUUCUUGAUAGGGGUAAUUUUGAAAAAAAACAUUCUCCACAAGUGUAUGGACUUAAAGGGGUUAACCAAUAGAUUACCUGUAGUGCUUGGGAUAGAGAAAUGAAUUAUCUCUCAUUAUUUUGGUCAUCGUACCUUUCGAGAGAGAACCUUUUACCUUGUGGAUAUGGAAUUUUUCCACACUCACCUCACAUUGUAUAAACAAUGGAUUGUGUAUAGGAUAGGGCUUGCCUUUCUUUAUAUUGACGCAUCUCAUUUAGCCUGCUCAAUCCACUUCACAUCAUUCAUUAAAUUAAUUUUUCUUGAAAAAUCUCCACACGAAAUUGGCCAAUAAAACAGGUAAAGUCACCAUGUAAAUUCUCUUUUCAAAAGCACCUAGCAACUUUAAGCAUGAAAGACUUUGUAACUUCAGAGCAAACAAUUUACCAUACUUAAAAAGUGUUUUCAUAAGCAUGAAAACAUGUUUUUGAGUAUUCAUUCAAGGAAUUGCCUAGCAAAAGGACUGUCUCAGCAAUAGGUGUUCUUGGAUUGCCAUUAUCUAAAUGGAAUGAACAUAUGAGAUGAUCAAUCGAGACUGAAAAUGCAAUUUUUGAUUUGAUAAACACUCCAUUCUUGCUUUUGUUCCUACACGAGAAUGUUCAUGAAUAAUAUACUAUACAAACAAAAGGAAAUGCAAAUUGAACAUCCAUUUUGGCUCAGAAUGAGAUUUUAUUUUGAUUGGGUCAUUGCUAGAACCUAUCAUGGCCCCAAUUUGUCGUCUUCAAGGAAAAGAACAAAGUGUCAUUUCCAAAAUCUUUUAUGUUCAUGAAUGAGAUGUACCUCUUUUAUCGAAUAUGGAUGAUCCUCUUUUGACUUGUCCCUCAUUUUCUCAUCAUGUCGUUUGGCUCUUCGGGGUUGAUAUCGCACACGAGAAGUAAUGAGAUGUGCCCCCACAUCUCGCUUUGAAAGCUAGGUGAUCUUCUUUUGGCUUGCCCUCAGUUUCUUAUUGAUGUGCGAGAAAACGGCUUGGGACAAUUGUGGAAAUAGGAAGUGUUGAAAACCUUCUUCAUUCUUUGGAGAUGCCAUCACAAUCAGCCAAGAAGUGGUCAUUUGCUCCCACAUGAAUUUUUCCUUUGGAUGUAUGUUCCCAAAUUUGUUGAUUAGCAAUUGAAUCAAAUGCCUCUCUAUUAUAAAAUGCUGUUGAAUUAUACACUGAGACGUGAAGUAAAUGAGUUAGAAAAACAAAUAAGCCUAAGUUGAUGUAUGCUUUUAACAAUUGGUACAAAAUGAUUCUUUUUUUUUUUUUUUUGAAAUUUUAUUUUUGGUGUGGAAGCAUGAUGAAGCUCAGGUCUUACAAUUCUCCUUAGAUCUUACACUUUUUAUCAGUUGGAUAUCAUCAUCGAGCCGGUUUGGUGUACCCCAUCAUGCCCUCAAAACGAAACUUGUAAUUUUAUUGAAAUUCACCAAUGAAAUUAUAUUUAUUGGAGUGAAAAGUGUGACAAUCAAUUCCUAGAAAUGAAACGAAAUCCUAGCAAGCAAGCAAAUCUUAGAAAGCAGCAAAAAUUCCCACGUAGGGAGGGUGCAAGUGAACAUGCCCCUAAUUAAAUAAGGAAAUCAAGCUACUUAGAACCAUGAAUUAUGUGUACUUGGGUUCUUCACCCUCCUUAGUCUUGUGAGGUGAAUGCUCUAAGGUCAAAUAUUUUUCCUUCUAGAUACAUCACCAAUCUUUUCUUGGUCGCAUCAAAUUUUACUACCUCAGAAAAUGAGAUGGUUCAAGAGUCCUUAGCUCUCUUCUUUGGAUUGAAAUUUCCCACUGAAGAUGAUGUAUCCAUGUGAUCAUAGCACUUUCGCUUGACGAGACAAGCUACAGUAGUAUGCAACUCAUCAGCCUGACUAUGGAGGCUUGCAAUUCACUUGUUCGUGUCAUUGUCAAAUUAGCAAUAUUGCUCAACACUUCAUUUUGAUAAGUCAUUUUAGCUCUCGACCAUGUAUGUAUGGGUGAGCAGGAUCGCUCCAUAAUCACCUAGUUCAAAUGAAUAAGAACAUAUAAGUACAUGGAAUAAAUAAAGAGCUGGCACAUGACGACGAUCUAAUUUUUUUUUUUUUCAUUUAUUUGCGAAAAGUCUAUACAUGAAAGGAAUUUCCUAAAAAUGAACUAGGAAAAUACAGACAGCAUACUCUAGAAAGGACUAGAAAAUAAGGAUAUCAAAUUCCUAAACAUGAACUAGGAAAAGUAAAAGUUUGAGACUCUCCCUAAUGAGAACAACAAAGGCAUGCAUUGAAAACAAAUUUUCAGAGUUUUCUUUUUGCCAUUUUUUUAAACAACAACAAAUUUCUUGGGAAAUAACAAUCUAUGACACGACUAUGAAAAUAAAAGGCAUAAAUUAAAAGUAAAUUAUCCAAAUUUUUUUUUUAAAGGACUCAGUGAUUGUUACUUCUAAAUCGAAAUGACCAUGAUAUUAACUUCCUAAUUGACCUAUUCCCAUCAUGGACUGACCAAAUGUACGGGAAAGUAAAUAAAUUGCAAAGAAAAGGUUUAGAAGACUUACUUCACCAAGUACGACAACGGCAAACACACAGACAUACACAUGGUAUGUGGCUCAAUUUCUAUUCUAGACAGCUUAAAAAAAUAGAGCCACAAGGAUGAUUGGACUAGCCGCGACGCAUGUGGACUAAGUCAGGUCCUCAUGACUCUGACUUGAUCGAAGAGCCGACUUGGGUCGCAAGCACAUGGACCAGGGUGGGUAUUCUUGACAUCAAGAAAAAAGAUUCGGGAUGGAGAUGGACGACUCGUACUGCGUGCAUGUGAUUGGAGUGAUAUCCAUUUCAAAUCAAUAAGGAAAAAAAUAUUUUCUAUUAUCAUUUGCCAACAUAUAUUACAGAGAACAUAUCAUUGUCUUUCAAGACGUACUUAUAUAAGAAAGCACAAAAUAAAAAUGAUACUCAUGUGAUAUUCCCAUUGAAUUUGCGAAAAAAUUAUGAACUUUGAUGAAUAUUGCGUCGAUCUUUUGAAACGCAAUUUCUUUCUCAACACCUCUUACAAGACCCCAUAAACUGGGUUGCUCGCUCAAAGCAUAGAAAAACACAUUUAGAAGAAAUUUGAAAAGAUAUCUAGAGCUGUUCACAUAUAAAAGGAGUGUUAGAUUUUGAAGAGCGAAAAAUCAACAUUUCUGACCUUCAAAAACGUGGUGAAUUCUUAGUCCCGUGUCUUCGUCAACAAACACUGGAGUUUCAUUAGAGCAUCCUAUUUAUUUUUUCUACCAAGAACAUAUAUACCCUUAUUCCUUCUAAACAAAUCUCAUCAGGUAUGAUAGUCAUAUGACAUCUUGAUUUUCGAGUCUGAUUUCAAUGAGAUGAAAUGGGCUUUUCAUCGACGCGCUUAUGGCCUUAUUCUCUGAAAGGGCCCCUCACGAGAUAACUAGCUUAUCAGGUGAAGCCGUUAAGGGACUUUAAUACAAUAACCUUGAGAAUUCAACUUGGAAUCGACUUCUCAACCGUGCUAGUCUACAAGGGUUAUUAUGGCACCAUCAAAAUCGAUCAGAGACCGGAGAUAGGUCAAUUCGAUAGAGAUAUGUGAUUAGUAUGUGGGUGAUUCCACCUAAUUGCAAAAUUCUCGUCGAACAGCACUAGAUCGAUUUUUCUAUCAUUUUGGUACCCUGUAUCCGUAUUUGAAACCUCGAGAUUUUCACGACAACCGAGAGUCGCCAAUGUGUCAAAGAUGCACAAUGUGGCUCGAAAAUAAUUGACCACGGAUCAAUUGCACUAAAAAAAUUCCUAAAAGCUACCUGGUAGGUUAGAUCACGUUAAAAUCGCAUCAUAUUGAAAUUAACCGCGAAUUUGAACCCGAUUUCAGAAAUUGAAAGCUCUGUCAUGUCACAAUUUAUUUUAGGAAACUCAUCCUUCGAAGAAUUUUCGGCGAUCUGGGAUUUUUGCGGAAAAUCGAUUCGGACGGUUCGGAAAAUAACGGAAAUUUGGAUUGGCCAAAUUGAAUGGAUUUUUGGCCUCCUUACCGAGCCUUUGAGUGUUGGAAACUUGUAGAAAUUUUGUGGGCUUCAUCUUCAUCAAAAUUUGGACGUCAAAAUGGGGAAUUUCGUGGAGGAUUUGAAGCUCAAUUGUUGAAAUUCGGAGCUUUGUAUAAGAGGUUGGAUUUUGUGUAUCAAUUUGAAUUAUUUGUGGAUUAAAAGUUAGAAAGAAAUAGAGGACAAGAGGGAUAAGAUUAGGGGCUUGUGGGGACCAAGAUUUGAUGAUUUAGAUAUUUUAAUUUGGACUUUCAAGGCUUCUCUUGCAAGCUUGCCGCCGGUCCUCAUCUUCUUUGCUCGAGCACCCCGUUGCUCUUUCUUUUCAUUUUCUCUUCCUCGCAUACUUCAAGCCCUCCUUCAAUUUUCCUUCGUCACUGAUUUUCUCUGCCCCUUCCCUGGUGUUAUCCCCCAUCAUUUCCUUUUACUAGUUGCCGCAUCAUCCCCAUCACCUCUAUCUUCACUCCUCCUCUCUCAUCCUGUUUGGUCAACCAUCAGCACACCGAUCCUCCUUCUUCUGCCACGAGACCACUCACCACCGAAGCUUAUCUCCAUGAAGCAAGUCCACCGAGAUCUAUAUUCACCCGAGUCAACCAACAGCCGGUUUGUUGACCCUGCAGCUCCUAGCGAUCGUGGCCAUCUCCACUUCGCUUUCUUGCUGCCACCGUUCAAUCCAGCAAAGCCCACGAUCGACCAGCCGCAGCCCAGCAUCUUCAGUCCACAACAUCACAUCCUCCACCAGCGAUUUCUUUCCACUGCCACCGUCCGUGACUCACCUACCCUCGAAGACAGCCCUUACCGCCAUCUUUCUCCUCGUGUCCUCAGCUCCAUCGACUUCGCUGCUUCCUCGUCCACGCGUCUUCAGCGGUCAACCAGCAAAGCCCAGUUGACCCGAGCAGCGAAGCCCGAAGCCCAGCGUCCCCCUUGCUGCUUCUUUGUUCAGCCCAAUUGAAGCCGAAGUCCAGCCCAGCGAAUUCAGUCCAUGCAUUGUUCUUCAGCCGUUGCAGCCCGUGAACUUAAGCCCACUUGAAGUCAACCCACGGAAGCCCAGCCGCAUCUCAGCCCAAGCCCAGACCAAGCCCAACAUUUUUCUAUGGGCUUGCAAGGCCUUUUUGGCCCCGUCCAAGUGCCCGUUGACGCUGCCGAAAGUUCAGGUUUCAGCCGCCAUCGCAGUGAACUGGUUCUCACUUUAAACUGGUGAGUUUAUACACUAAACUCUUCUUAGUAGGCUAAUGACAUUUAAGAGGUGUUUAGUUUAAUUUAAUUAAGGUUUAGAACGGAUGGUGGUUAGAACGGAUAGAUUAGGGACUAAAGUAGUUGUAUUAUUUAUCUAGAUAGGUUCGGAAAUUUUCCGAGCGCGUUUCAGUAUUUAAUUUAGGAAUUACGGCCUAAGUUAUUUAAAUUGAUUUAUUUAAUUAAUUUCGGUAAUUAUCUAAUUAAUUAAUUAUUUUCCGAAAAUUAGACUGGGAUAGCCGAUGACCGAAAUUUCAUGCUAAUUGUAAUGGUAUGCGUGGUUUAUUUAAUUGAAUGCUAGAUUGUGUAAAUUGAGUGUGUUUGUAAUUUUGGGUAAUAAUCCCAAAAUUGAAUAAUUUCAGUAAUUAAUUAGAAAUUAUCGGGGCGUUGAUUUACAACUCCAAGAAUGUUUUUAUAGACUAUAUAAAUAGUGAGAUUUUCUAAAAGAAAUAUAUUAUAUUUUUGGCGUAGGCCGACCGUGUAUCCACACAUGAUUAUUUUUAUCGGGUAUUUUUAACAUGAAUAAAUUAGGCCAAGAUAUUACUUUAUGUGGCAUCCCAAAAUUCAAAGCCAAGCCAUAAGGUGUGUUAAAGUCUUUAAUUAGGUGAUAUAAUUUCCAUGGUUUAUGUUUUAGCCAUUAGUCUUUUAAUUGGAUGAUUUGUGCUUAUGGUUGUGAAAAUUCAAAUUCGAUAGAUUAAUAAUUUAUGCUUGGCCAUGUGCUUUAAAAAUUAAAUUUCAAUAAAUAAAAUGCCCCAAGACUUUGGCCAAGAUAGAAUUUGAAUUUGGAAAUAAUUAUAGAAAGGAAUUCAAAAAAAAAAAAAAGAGGGAAAAAGGGGGUUAAUUUUCGAAUGGGCCUUAAACCCAUUUGGCCUAAGCUUGAUGGGCCAAGCUAGCCGGCCCAAUAGAGGCCCAAGAGAGGAGUAGUCGCCGGCCAUAGAUGGCCCAAGCCCAAGAAGCCCAAAUUCAAAAUUCAAUUGGACAAGUGGCACAAGGCCCUCAUGCAUUGGCCUAGACUAGGAUGCCAUGCAUUGGUCCAAUUAAGUGGCAUGUAAUCAUUAGCAAUGAUGGGCUCUAGGGGGUAUAAGAGGAGAGGAGAGAGAGAAGGUGGCCGGAUUUCUUUUGGCCGAGAGAGAGGGUGCGAGAGAGAGAGAGAUUUCGAGAGAAAGAGGGAGAGGCCGAGAGAGAGAGGAAGGAGGGAGUCACCGUCGCCGCCGUGUCCGUCCGCUGUACGCCGUCGUUUGUUCAUCCUAGAGGCAAGUGGAGUCCUCUAACUUCUCUUGCAUGCUUGUAUAUUGUUUGUUUGUUAGAUUUUGGGUGUUUUAAGUGAGAAAAACCGAGGUAAGGUUGGCUUGUUCUUAAGUCGUGUGACUGUUCUUGCUCGGGUUGUGGGAGUCCGUAACUUCUUUGAGCUUGCAUGUGUGUUUGGAGUCAGAUUUUGGCUUCGAUGUCUUAAUGAAAGCUGUAGCUAACAUCUUUUACUAUAACAUACUGAAAUUUAGUGAAAAAUUAUGGAGAUUUGAGGGGUUAAAGUAUUGUUAUACGGAGACCUCAGAUCUGGAGAGUUUUUACUGACCUCUUGCUGGAUUCAUGGUUUCAUGUUGGUUUUUGUUGAGAAUAUCACUUAUAUUUCUUCAUGAAAGUUGUAGGAGACAUAUUAAACUACAACAUACUCAAAUUUGAAGUGAAAUGAACAAGUAUAGCCUAGUGAAUCGACUAGAUAUUGAAGAAAAUGAUUCUGGUGGUGUAUUUUGAGAUACCCGAGACUUCAAGGACCUAAAUGAUGACUCCACUCUGAUUAUUUGACUUGGAUCUCUUCAUGAAACUUGUAGAGGAUACCUUGAUGUAUAACAUAUAUAAAUUUCAGAGGAAACGAAAGAGAAUAGCUAGGUGAAAUCUCAAUAUUUCGGAGAUGUGUUUACUGGACGAUGCCGUAAUGGAUCCAGAAGCUUCGUGAGGUUGUAUAAAAUAAUCUAAAAAGAAUAUAGCUUGGAGUUAUUCAUGAAAGUUGUGCGAAAAUGUCUUGGCUAUCACUCUGAAAAAUUUCAUAAUUUUUGGAGGCCAUAUGGAUAUUUUAAUCGAAUUUACUCAGAAACUGUGUAUUCUGGUCAUUAUCCGAAUACUAUGUGCUAUUUUGUGGAAAUUGUGAAAUUGUGUGAAAUUCAAGUUGGCCAUGAAUUUUGCAUGAAAUUGCCAUUCUAUUGGUUUGUUUGAUGAUUGCUUGAAUUUUGUGAUUUUGGGAAAUUAUAGAUAUUGAGUUUAAUAUUUAUUUAUGAAAAUAAAUAAAUAUGAUAAUAAAAUUAAAUAAAAAUAAUAAUAAAAUAAUAAUAAUAAAAUAAAAGGGAUUAUUUUAUUGGCCAUAAAUUCCAUUGAAUUUAUUAAUAAAUAAUUAUGCAUUGUUGUAUGUAUGAUAAGACAUUGGUGUAUGUAUGACCAUGAAUUGUGAUGCAUGUGUGAAUCAUAUGCCAUGUUAAAAUGAGAUCAAAAUGAUGAUAAAUGUGGAUAAUGAUAAGUGAGUAAGUGGUUGUGGUGGAGGAUGAGGCCGGAAUGUACAGAGAUGCAUUGCCGGAAUUCCCUGGGAGAUUCAGGAUGCCCGGAAUGUGGGGGGCCGGAAGCCUUGUCGGAGGUCUUUGCCCGAAAGGAAUGCCUCGCGAUGCCAGGAUUGGGGUGCGAGAUGCCUGGCUAGAAGGGUAAAGGCCGGAAGCCCUGUCGGAGGUUUCUGCCCGAAGGGAAUGCCUCGUGAUGCUAGUUGAGAUGCGAGAUGCCCGGAAUGUGGGGGGCCGGAAGCCCGGUGGCCAUGGGAUGGCUGGAAUGCUGGGAACCCUGUCAGAGGUCUUUGCCCGAAGGGAUGAUGAAAUUGAUGAUAUGAGAAAUGGGUGAUGUGGUGAUCAAAUUUAAAGAUAAAAGAUGAAAAUUAACCCAUGAUAUUAUAUGCAUGAUGAUAUGCAUGAUGAUGAUGAUGAUGAUGAUGAUGAUAUGUGAUGUGAAAUAGGGAUGAUCACCUAUGAUAUUAUAUGCAUGAUGAUAUGCAUGAUGAUGAUGAUGAUGAUGAUAUGUGAUGUGAAAUAGGGAUGAUCACCUAUGAUAUGAUAUGCAUGAUGAUAUGCUUGAUGAUGAUGAUGAUGAUGAUAUGUGAUGUGAAAUAAUGAUGAUCACCCAUGAUAUUAUAUGCAUGAUGAUAUGCAUGAUGAUGAUGAUGAUGAUGAUAUGUGAUGUGAAAUAAUGAUGAUCACCCAUGAUAUUAUAUGCAUGAUGAUAUGCAUGAUGAUGAUGAUGAUGAUGAUGAUAUGUGAUGUGAAAUAGGGAUGAUCACCUAUGAUAUGAUAUGCAUGAUGAUAUGCAUGGUAAUGAUAAUGAUGAUGAUAUAUGAUAUGGCUCGAAGACAUGUAUGAUGAAAUGAUGCUAUGAUGAUGAUGUCAUGUAUGAUGUAAUGAUUCCAUGACAUGUAUGUUACAAUGAUGAUACACAUGAAUGUGUCAUGAAUUGAUAUAAUGAUGCAUGAUAGUAUGCGCAUGGCUUCAAGGUAAGUAACGCCUGCAAUGCAUGUAUGAUUGCAUGAUGCAUUGAGUUGUUAUUGGAUUUCCCUAUCUGCUGAGUGGUUGUACUCACCCCUUUUGGGGAUAACAUUUCAGAUUAGCCAGUAUGCCGCUUCCUGCCGUCACGCGUGGGGUAUUUUAUGGUCUACCAUCCGAUGUAGAUGUCGAGUGUGCUGAGAUAGGCUGUCCCUCUGUUCCCGGACUGACUUUUAUUCGAGUACGCUGUCUAGUGAUGUACGACAUAGGCCUGGCUGGGGGCCCUGUCAUUCAGGAGUUCAUUUCUGUGCACGUUCGUCGGGAUGGAGCGAUGCGAGGGAUGUUGCCGCCGCCACCGCCUGAUGCACCGGGUUGGGUGUGAGACCCGCACGCGCGAUGAGUAGGAGCCGGAUCUUUUUGAUGUAGAUAGCCGACACUUUUGAUGGGGGGUUUAUGCUCGUAUGAUGUUGAGGGUCGACGGUUUCUUUUUGAGGUUUUAGGCUGGACGUGACUGAGUCCUAGCUUUUCCUUUUUGUUGUACCGACCCGAAGGGAAUCCCAUCUUGUUAUAUAUGUAUGUAAGUAAAGUGUCGAGGCUUGUUUAUAAAAUGAUGGUGAAUUAGUAGUGUGUAUUUGUAUCAUGGUUGGUAGGGGGAGAGACGGUGAUAUUUUAAUUUGCUUCCACUAAUGAGUCGCAUUGGGACCGAUUGUUUAAAAAAAAAAAAAUGUGUCUGCGAAUUAGGACACUUUUUCGAAAGAAAGAAAGGUAAUAAGGUGGAACAUCGGCGCUGGUGACGACCUGCGAAGGGUUCGGGGUGUCACACUUUAAUUGAGGAAUUUAUGUGCGAAGCACAUUGCCUUUGGACGUGAGUGAAUAGUUGUGUGAUGGUUUAUAGUCAGGGUGGGUUGAUUAUUGAAAGUUGAGGUAAUAUGUGUCGGGUUGAGGGAACCCGAUGGGUCGUGAGCAGGUAAAGGGCUAAGUACUACACAAGUAUGAGAUUUCAUGUGAGUCACCUCUAGUGCCUUAUACCAUUACUUAUUGUAGUCAAGGGUUAAGUGUUACAUGGCAACUUGAGUCUUAUGGGAAUUACCUCUAGUGCGCUGCAGUAUUAUUAUGCAUAGUGAAGGGUUAAGUACUACACGAGAAUGAGACUUCGUGUGAGUCACCUCUAGUGCCUUAUACUAUUGCCUAGUACAACAAAUGACUAAGUACUUCACGAUAGCAAGAUUUCAUGUGAGUUACCUCUAGUGCCUUAUAUUAUUGCUUUUUGUAGUGAAUGGCUAUGUACUACAUGAUAGCAAGACUUCGUGUGAGUUGCCUCUAGUGCCUUAUACUAUUAUUAUUUGCGGUCAAGGACUAAGUGCCGCAUGAUGACAAGAUUUUGUGUAUGGUCACCUCUAGAGCCUUGAGCCUGAUUUUGAGUUAGAAUGUUGAGAGUAAAUAUCGGAUGUAGAUGGAACCCGAUAUGAUUUACCACACCUGAUUAUAAGACAAAAUUGUGUGACACGGAAUGGGACGUGUCAUAACGAUUUGGCCUUAUAAUCAGGACUCUUGUGGAUUGUUUGAUUGAAUGAUGGAUUAAUGGUGUUGAUUCAAUUGAUUGAGUGAUUGAUUGACUAAGAUUGGAUGAGUUAUCCCAAAGGCUCGAGUGUUGUUACUGCACUUAUAUGAUAUAUGAAUUGUGCUAACAUGCAGGAGGGAACUGAGGCAAGGUAAGUUCUUUGUUCUAAUUGGGUGGUUGUCUGAUUAGAGCACUCUAGGCGUAUUACCCUCCUAAUCGGAAUUUAGAGCAUGAACUCGCUGAGAUUUAUAUCUCACCCCAUUGUGGACUAAAUUUUUAGGGCCGUAGAGUGGAGGACCUAAAGCCGAGUUAUGGUGAUCUGAAGAGUAGGUCAGAUAGGACAGCUUCUUUUUGAGAACUAGUCUUUUAAAGUCUUUUGGAUAUAGACUUUUGUAUAUGACUCAGUGUGUGUGUAUAAAAGCAUGUUUUAUUUGUGAAUCUGUUUCCUGCUUUUCUAUCCCAAGCUAUUGAUGUCAGGGGAUUAGUAAUUUGCUUCGCGUGUGCAAUAAAAUGAAGGGUCGUCGACUUGUCCUGGGAAGUUGCAAAAUUUUUAUCGACCGCCGAGGGAUGGGCACACACUCAGGGUUCGGGGCAUGACAAGUCCUCCGCUCCUUCACAUGGAAAAAUUCCUAUGCUUUUGGAUGACCCCAAAAGAAUGCGUUGGUAUGGCGAUUCGCACUCGGGCCUUGAACGAGGAGGAGGAACAUGCUUAGGAUGACUCAUAACCAUUGCCAAGUCUUUGUCGGAUAUUUUGGGUUUGACCCUUAGUUGAUUUGUAUCCAUUGUGGGGACCAAACCUUCGGAUGAUCUAUUUUUAUUUAGUGCUGGCCUCUAUUGUCUCUUUGUCGGACCCCGUUUAACAAUUUUUUCGGUCUUUUGGGUUCCACCCGAUCGUUGGGAGUACAAGCCAGGAGCGCGGGAACGUGGAAAUCGUCCCUGUUGACAAGGGAACGCGGAAAUCGGACUAAUUCAUCUUUGCUAACCCCGGCAUAUGGGAGAGCAGCUACAAAACUUGGUUCUUGAUCAAUUUCUUUACCUCGCCCUCCGGAAGUUGCUUAUUAUCGUACUCCUCGAAUUGAAAGAAAGUCCAUGGCCGUCUUUGAAUUACUCUUACUGUAUUUGCGCUCUUUCCAAGUUCAAGAAAAAAAGAUUAUCGAUGUACCCAGAAAUAUCUCCUUCGCUUUCUGGAUUUCAUGCCUGAUCCUCUUCAUCCCAGGCACUCCUGUGAGUGCACAGACAUACCUUCAAGAGCGGUGCGGAGAUAGGGGCAACUACGCUGCAUAUAGCAAGUUUCAAGACAACCUCAACCGCCUCCUCUCCAGGGGGCUUUACAACAAAGGACCCAUUUACGGUUUCUACAACACGACGGAAGGUGAAGAUCCCGACAAAGUUUAUGGUCUCUUCCUCUGCAGGUAUAUAACAUGCGAAAACAUACCAAAAAUUUCAACUUUCGAGUAAGACCUUCCAAAUCAAUCAUUGCAAUCUUUGGAAUCGGCUCACUCAGAGGUAGGAUUCAUAAUGGACCCGAUAUACUGGACUUAAUCGAAAUCCUCUACAAAGUACGGUGAUUCAAUGCCAACCGAAAAAUUACUAUUUAGAUUUAUGUGACUACUAAUGCAACUUUACUAUGCCUCUUUAGAGGGGAUGUUGCUGCCAAUCUCUGUCGGUCUUGCAUCCGUGCAGCCUGCAGCACCAUCGUAGAAAGAUGUCCAGGACAGAAAGAGGCGAUCAAUGGUAUGACGAGUGUCUCGUGCGCUACUCUAACAGAUCAUUCUUCUCUAUCAUGGAGACAACACCAGUUAUUUUCAUUGUCAAACCUGCGGACGUUUCGGUUACCUUCAACUGGAUUGUGGAGCAAACUUUCGAUAAGGAGAAGGACUUUGAGGCGGAAGUGUCGGACUUGGCAAGGAAUGUCACGGACUUGGUGAUCUCCACAGAAAGCUUAUAUGCGACGAUAAACCUUAAUGUCUCAAGUUCAGUGACCCUGCAUGAGCUUGUGCAGUGUACCCCCGACAUAUCAAAGUUAGAUUGUAAGAGUUGCUUGCUUUCUGCCAUCAAAGAGUUUCCUACCGUUCUUAAUUAUAAAAGGGGAGGUGGGAGAAUUUUUCUGCCAAGUUGUAAUCUGCGGUACGAAAUGUAUCGUUCUGAUCAGGCACCAACUAACAAAACCCACAAUGAGUCCGGCAGUAAAGGUAUGAGUUAUAUAAUACUCAAAAUGUGCACUCAAUUUGUCAUGGUAAACGUAUAAUGGUACCAUUCCAUCGUUUCUAAUUCUCAAUAUAAGCUGUUUUGUGUAUUACAUUGCACUUGACUUGCUUUUACUAUCUAAACUAUGAUCAUUCUCUCCUGCUUUCAGCAAGUUCUCGGUACUAUUUACACUAGGUGAAAAAAAAAAAAGUCUGCAGAUUUGAGGUUGUUUAGAUGCAAGGAAUUUCUCUUUUUUGACAGGGGUCAAACGAAAUCCAUGGAUUGCAAUAGUUAGCUCAGUAACUGGAUCGGGGUUACUAUUAAUUAUCGUGAGUUUGUGUAUUUUUUCAAAGAGGACAAAGAGAUUAAAGAAAGGUAUAAGUGAAUUCAUCGUGCUUGCCAUUGGAAUGACCAUCUUCUAACCUUUACCUUACGAGAGUAAACUCUUGGACUCUCAGAAAAGGAAAACAGCCAAGAGGUUCUGUUACUUCAUCUGAGACAAGAAAUUGGAGAAGAGUUUUCAAAGGAAAACCCUCGUGGAGAAAAGCCAGUGGCUUCUCAACAAUCAUCUCUGAUGCGAUUAGACAUCAUACGCACGGCCACAGGAAACUUCUCCAAUGGAUGUAAACUUGGGGAAGGCGGGUUUGGCCCUGUGUACAAGGUAAGCAAUUUAGUGAUCAACACGUAUUUAUGGGGAAAUUGGGAAAAUCUUCUAAUGGUAGCGAACUGGCAGAGUCAUUAUCCAUAGCAUGAACUGAAUCGGAUUUGGUUAGCAUUAGUAAUUCUCAAAUAGGGAUCUCACUACUGACUUUAUGCUCUUUCAGGGCACAUUGGCAGAUGGAAAAGAAAUUGCAGUUAAGAGGCUUUCGAGAACCUCAGGCCAAGGACUCAUCGAGUUGAAGAACGAAGUCAUCUUGAUUGCCAGACUACAACACAGGAACCUUGUCCGAUUGUUGGGAUGCUGCUUGGAAGAAGAAGAAAAACUCUUGAUAUAUGAAUACUUGCCCAACAGAAGCCUGGAUGUCUUCCUUUUUGGUUUGAGCUUUAGCAGAUGCAAUGAAUUUUUGAGCUAGUUAAUUUUAGUUUUAUAAAGUUGAGUUCCAUCUGAGUCUCUCAUCUUUGACAGAUUCGAAUAUAGGGCAAUAUCUAGAUUGGAAGCUGCGCAUGAACAUCGCCUGUGGAAUAGCUCGGGGACUUCUCUAUCUGCAUGAGGAUCCUCGCUUGAGAAUUAUCCAUUGAGAUCUUAAAGCUAGCAAUAUUUUGCUAGAUGGUGAGAUGAAUCCAAAGAUAUCGGAUUUCGGAAUGGCAAGGAUCUUCAGUGUAAAUCAAGACAAGGCGAACACAAACAGGGUUGUUGGAACCUAGUAUGUGCCUCAAUAUCUUUGUACGUCCAUUAAAUGUUUGAAUGAUCACUAGGCCAACAAAGGACUCUGAUGAUCAGCUCAACAACACCAGAUUGAGCACAUAAAUAUUUCAGAAGUUCCAUAUAGAAAAUUACUCUUCUUUGUUUCUUACUUCCAACUAAUUGCUCUUCAUCACAUAAUUCUGGUUAGUGGAUAUAUGGCACCGGAAUAUGCGAUGGAAGGACUCUUUUUAGUGAAAUCAGAUGUCUUUAGUUUUGGAGUUCUCUUGCUAGAGAUAGUAAGCGGGCGCAAGAAUAAUGGUUUUCAUCUUCGAGAGGAGGGUGAAAGCCUUCUCACCUUUGUAUGUUCCUAAUCACCAUCCCAGUUUAAUAUGAAAUCGAAGAUUUUCGUGCAGCUACCCUUGUUUAUUUUUCUUGCUAUUUGACAGGCAUGGAAGUUGUGGUCCGAAGGUCGAGCAUCGGAACUUAUCGAUCAGUUGAUCAAUGACUCAUGUGAUGAAGUUGAAGUGCUGAAAGUCGUACAUGUUGGUCUAUUGUGCGUUCAAGAAGACCCGGCGGAUCGACCGACUAUGUCACUCGUGGUUCAUAAUUUAGGAGGCGAUACUAUAACACUCAGCCAACCAUCGCAGCCUGCAUUCUCAGUUGGGAGAGAUGCGAAGAAACUCGAUCGUGUCAUGCCCAUUCAAGGAGCCUCAACUAUUAAUGGAGUAACCCUUUCGGUUGUUGUGGCUAGGUGACCAAGUAUUAUACAAUGGAAAAGCUGUUAGAUAGAAUUAUGAUAUUUAUUUUAUCUUUUAGGAUUGUGCAUGUAUCUCCAUUGUAAUAUAUUUAUAUCAUCCUACUUUCUAUAUUUGUCAUGUAAAGCCGGCUUAUGUUCUCUUCUUUAUAUAUACAAAUAUACAUAAACUAAAAUAUUAUAUGUUUUGCAUAUUUCUUAUCUUUUUAUCUUAGUGUUAGAGCUAGACGGUCUUAAGCAAAUUUUGAGUGCUUGAGUGCGACACACCCGACUGCACACCAGGAGCACACCUUCACAUCUCGUAUCAUGUGAUCCAUUUUUGUUAUAAUUAGUAAUGCCCCUUUCUCAAUGUCGAUUCUUAACAUUUUCGUCACGUAUGCAUAAACGUUAGCCUAUUGCUGUCUAACCUACACACAUCCGUCAAUUCUCUCUUCAGCACAUGAAAUCACCUCUUUGGAUCUUUACUCCCAACGCCAUUUGACUUCCUUUUUCUCACUUUGAGUUUGAGUGUUUGUUUAAGAUAAUUAAGAUUUUUACCUUGAUCCUCCAUUAUUCAGGAUUGUGAAUAUAUAUGUCACAACCUGAUCCACAUACAGCCGCAUGACAACCCUUCCUCAAUACUACUUUCUCUUUGGGUCAUUCAAUUGCAAUGUCUUAGGAGGCAUCGCCAACCCAAAUCAUAAUAACAUUAAAACACACAAGCGGAAAUGUAAACAAAUCUCCAACCAUCAAACAACAGGGAUAGUUAAAAACAUAUUCAUAUAUGUAGAAGAGUGUUACGAAUCAACGUCUCAUACAACAUGAGUUCAGGGGUUAAUCAACUAGUUUCUUCACCUCCGACAUGCCUAACCGCUUCGCCACGACCUCUUCCAAAAAGGGCCCCUGGGCGUAUACCUACGCCUCUAAUACUACGAGGGUGGUUCAAAAAGUGCUAACACCCACAUCUACCUAAACCUCAAUGUCCUCCGGGGUCCAGGCCUCCCAUAUGGUGAUCAGCACAAGGUCAAUCUCGAGGUCAGACACCUCCCCAUCGGGAACGUCCCGAUCCUUGGCAUCCCAGCUGAUGUCGCCCACAGGAUAGGCCCAUGGCUCUUGCCACCUACCCAAAAGUAGCAAGCCACAAAUCGGUGUGGCACAAGGUUAAGUAAACCCUCAUUGACCCAAAUUGUCAUGACAUAUCACCUAUAGUGCGUGUCGGCCACUCCCACUACCAGAUGCUCUGUCACCUCCUGACUAUACUUGACAGGGAGGCCAAAACGAAUCUAAUGAAAUUGUUUAGUCAUUCUUAGAACCUGAAAACAUUUCAACAAAUAAAUAUGAGAUAAACUCAAUAGUGAACUUCCUAGACAUGGAAAUAUCUAGGAAGAGCCCUAAACAUGCAAAUAUCUAUCAAUGGCAAAACAUGGCAACACACUUCUCACUUUACUCUUAUCGAUCUCAUAACAACUUGUCUACCAUACAAGGCCAUCAAAGUAGAUGCAUAGACAAUUUCAUAACAUAACCUUCAUGUUCUCGAGCCAAACAUACUAAUGUGCAUUAUGGUUCAAAUCAUGCGCACAUGCCAUGUAAUAAUCUGAACUGGAACACAUACAAAUCUCAUCCACUUUCCAUACAAAAAUGUGUAGAUUAUUAUGGCCACUCAGAACCCAAAGCCAAUCCAAAGGUUUGCAAAUCAUCUGGAAAAGCUGGGCAUCGUCUUGCCUCAUCGAGCAUAGCAUCCCGUUGACUUGGGGGCAUUCCUAUAAGGAGCUUCAUUCCGAAAUUCAUCCACGAACGGCAUCCUAUUGACUUUGGGGCAUUCAAACUUAAUCGGGCAUCAUCCUACGUAAAACGCCUUAAGACGGGUUCACACCUUGCGUAAAACGCAUCAGGGUCUUAGGUGAUCACACAUGCAUACCAUCACAUACUCCAUUUUGUCUUUAUCAUUUAACCUGUGUGAUGCUCAUGCAAUAUGCAAUUUCACAUGUCAAAUGCCAUCAUUCCACACACGUACAUCAAUUAUCUCAUACACAUAUGGACCAUUCACUUCCUAAACUCAUGACACAUAAUCUACAUAUCAUGUUUAACCACUAAUUCACAUGGCACGUCAUCCAAAUAACAUGUUUAACCACUAAAACACAUGGCACAUCAUUCAAUUAACAUGGAUAACCACUAAAACACAUGGCACAUAACCUAAAUAACAUGUUUAACCACUAAACUACAUGUCAUAUAACCGAAAUAAUAUGUUUAACCACUAAGCCACAUGUCACAUAAUCCAAACAACAUGUUUAACCCCUAAACCACAUGUCACAUAAUCCAAAUAACAUGGAUAGCCACUAAACCACAUGUCGCAUAACCCAAAUAACAUGUUCAACCACAAAACCACAUGUCACAUAAUUCCAACAACAUGUUUAGCCACAAAACCACAUGGCACGUCACUUAAAUAACAUAGAUUACCACUAAUUCACCCUAAACUAUUCCCUAAAUGCAACGAAAGCCCUAAUCAAAUGCUAAAAAGCCACUCGCGGACGACUCGGGCUCCCAAACAUGCCAAGGAAAAGGACUACAAGGCCGGACAACGGCUAGCCUCACAUCCUUCGCGCGUAGGUGAGCUGGACAACAACUGAACAACGGUCUAGCGAUUGCACGUUUGGGGUUCGACGGGUGGUCGCCGGCAAGGAAAACAAGGGGAAAAUGUAAGAAACAAGCUUGAAAUGGUGAUGAAAAUGGCUUGGAGGGUUUGGCUACUCAAAGUGAGGGAGAGAAAGGUGAGUUUGAGAGUUCAAGUGAGAAAAAUGAAAGUGAAAGUGAGAGAGAAAGCGGGUGGCUGGCGGUGAGGGGAGGGAAAGGAAGAGAGGGAAAAGAGAAAGGAACAUUCUAUCUCCAUAAAUGUCCAUCCCAUCCUAUAUCCUUCAACCUACUAAGCCUAGAGUUCUUUUAAUGAGGAAGUGACAACUUGAAGAGAGAACAAAGUGAGAGUGAGGGGGAGAUAGGUGGCCGACAGUAUUGAGGGAGAGGGAGGAGAGAGACAAGAAGAAAUCUUGCUCAUAAAUGCCCAUCACUUCCCUUGACUCUUGUCCAUCAAGCUUGCCCAAAGAAGAAGCAAGAUAUAGCAUUAAAUGGGAGGAUUUGCACUCAAGUGACUAGGAUUGGACUAGACUAGGUAGCAUUUUUCUCUCCUCUCUGCCAUUUUUCCAUUUUUAUCCUUUUGUCUUUAGUCCAAUAGGAGGGCAUUUCCGUCAUUUCACCAAGAUCUCGCAUUAUUCAUGUCAUUUUGUGCAUUUAAUGCCAAGAUUGUGUCAAAAAGGGCUUGAUGGGCUUUGAGGGGCCCAUGGGCCUCCCUUGGUCGCCCACCCCUUAGGUGUGUGGGUCUUGGGUUGCCCACUUAGGCUCAGGCCCAAUAGGUCAUCGUCCUUGACCCGUUUCCAAUUUUUCUACACUCAUAUGCCCUUGCUGAUGAAAAACCGAGGUUUCGCCCUUAAAUGGUCUUUUUUUUUUUUUAUUUAUGCCCUCAUGGCUUAUCAAUCCUCAAGACAUUCUCGUAUGACAAUCACUUACCAGAAUAAUUUCAUUCUGAAAAACUGGGUCAGAACGAGGAUGUCACAACUCUUCCCCUCUUAAAGAAAUUUCGUCCUCGAAAUUUGCAGGACCAACCACUUCCUCGAAUAGAUUGGAGUAUUUGCUCCUCAUAAUGUCCUCGCUUUCCCAUGUCGCUGCCUCGGUGCCGUGAUGCUGCCAAACAUUUUCGACCAAGGGAAUGACUUUGUUGUGCAACACCCGUUCUUUUCUAUGCACGACACGCAUUGGCUGCUCAACAUAAGUCAGUCUGUCGUCCACCUCGAUCUCUUCAUAGCUUAGCACGUGUGUCAAGUCUAAUUCAUACUUUCUUAGCAUGGAAACGUGGAACACGUUAUGAACCUGGGCAAGAUUUGGUAGUAGUGCCAAUUGGCAAGCUAAAGUUCCAAUUAUUUCCAAAAUUUCAAAAGGUCCUACGAAUCUGGGGCUUAGCUUCCCUUUAUUGCUGAAACGAGACAUACCUCUCAUUGAUGAUACUUUAAGGAACACGUGAUCGCCAACUUGGAACUCUAGAAGUCUCUAUCGUUUGUCCACAUAGCUUUUCUGGCGACUUUGGGCUGUCUUUAACCUUUCUCAAAUGAUCUGGACUGCAUCCACAGAUUGUUGCACUAGCUCGAGGCCCAUAAUUUUCCUUUCUCCAACCACAUCCCAACAGACGAGCAUUCUACAUGCACAUCCAUACAAUGCCUCAAAUGGUGCCAUUCCGAUGCUCAAUUGAUAAUUGUUGUUGUAUGCGAAUUUGACGAGGUGUAGUUGGUCUUCCCAUUCUCCUUUGAAAUCUACGACACAUGAUAUCAUUGGUGCCAUAUGCUACCCUAUUCGAUGUAGUCCAUGUUUAUGAUGAUUCACUAUAUUUGUGCUAUGUUUACUAAUGAGCAAAGUUAGGAUCUUGUUGUUUAAUGCCUUGUUUUAUCCUUUAUUGGGCAUUGUUGCUCACCCCUUAUUUUUCCUCUUAGAUCAUUAGCUAUGGAUGUGACACCCUUGAUGACUUAUGGCACAGCUAAGCGGGUAGAUGGCGUGUAUGGGAACUUUGAGGAUGGAGAUUCUAGUCUUGUUUUGACUCAUUAUGUUUGUAUUGUCUGCAUAGAUGAUGGAUGCCCUAAUCAUUUCCCAAUGCGAUUUGUGUUCGUGUACCUUAACGUGAAUGGGAGUUUGUUUGGCCCCAUCUGUUGGUGAUGUUUUGGGCGUGGAGUAGGAGGCGCGCGUGGUAUGGAGGGAUGUAGUGGAUGAGGAAAACUACCGGGUAGAGGAGUUAGGCACCUUUUUGGCCUCUCCUAGGUAUUUUGUUUGGGUCAUCUUGAUGAGUAUUUUUCUAUGUUUGUAAUUGUCAAGAUGUCGUUUUUCUCUUGUAAUCCUUACUUAUGAUGAAUGAAAUGGAAGCAUGUCGUUAUGGAAUUUGUUCUUGAGUAAAAUUUUCAUAUUAAUGAAAGAUUAUAGUCGAGGGUCUAGUGGUAGGUAGGACACACGUGCUAAAACACUGAUCACUUGUGCUUGUUGUAUUGCUAUUUUGUAAAGAAUGAGUAAACCUCGAUUACUCAUAGGGUAUUAGUAACUUAUGUUACUUAUUAGUUGGUUAGGGUAUUCAGUCACUUAAUGACUAGUGACUGAUUUGUAGAAUGGCUAGUGCUUCAAGAGGGAGAGGAACCGGUAGAAGGACAGCCACGAGUGAAUCCCUUAUAAGGACAUAGCCUAGAUUGGAAGGGAUUUUUGCAAGCUCUUGCUAAUGUANNNNNNNNNNNNNNNNNNNNNNNNNNNNNNNNNNNNNNNNNNNNNNNNNNNNNNNNNNNNNNNNNNNNNNNNNNNNNNNNNNNNNNNNNNNNNNNNNNNNNNNNNNNNNNNNNNNNNNNNNNNNNNNNNNNNNNNNNNNNNNNNNNNNNNNNNNNNNNNNNNNNNNNNNNNNNNNNNNNNNNNNNNNNNNNNNNNNNNNNNNNNNNNNNNNNNNNNNNNNNNNNNNNNNNNNNNNNNNNNNNNNNNNNNNNNNNNNNNNNNNNNNNNNNNNNNNNNNNNNNNNNNNNNNNNNNNNNNNNNNNNNNNNNNNNNNNNNNNNNNNACAAGAAGGUGAAGUUUAUGCAGCUAACCCAAAACAACCUAACGAUGGAUCAGUAUGAGCCAAGAUUUGUUGAACUCUCUAGGUUUGCUCCCAAGUUAGUUGAGGAUGGGGAGGAUAAAGCCAAGAGAUUUUUGAAUGGUAUAAGGCUUGACAUGCGUAGGCAUCUAGUGCCUCCGAACCUAAAAGAUUAUCGUGAAUUGUAUGAGCGUGCUUAGUUAGUGGAAUAAGAGCUUGUGACGAAAGGGACCCUAGUAACCCAUCAGGCGAGACCAAUCCAUCAGGCUGGUCAAAGCAAUUUCCACUAUGACAAGAGACCCUUUCAAGCUGGGCGACCAUCGUUCUCAUUGACUAAGAAAAGUUGGACUAGAGGACCUGGGAAGGCAUGGAAUAGUUAGUCAUCGAGGCAACCGCGAACCCAUAUUUCUACUUGUCGGGUGUGUGGUGGAUCACAUGUGAGCAUGUUGUGCCAAUUUGUGAAGGCAUAUUUUGGUUGUGGACAGCCAAAUCACUUGGUUAAAGACUAUCCACAAAGGAGCACCUAGUAGCAACGGCUACCACAAUCAUUGAUUGCAUCGGUGUAACAAGAAAAUAACCGCAGGUUGCCAACUCAAGAAAGAGUCUAUGCAGUUACACGUAAUGAAGUUGAGGCCUCUAAGACAGACAUUAUAGGUAUUAUUUCCUUGUCUGACCAAAAUGCUUAUGCUUUAUUCAAUACUAGAGCUACACACUUGUUUGUGGCUACUCAGUUUGUGCAAUUAAGUAGGAUGAGACCUAGGGAGAUGGAAGUACCCCUUAAUAUCUCCACAUCGUUAAGAGACAUAGUUUUAUCUACCCUAGUGUGUAAGGACUGUAGGAUCUUUAUAGUAGGACAAAGUUUGCCUUCAAAUUUGGUGGUGUUAACUAUGUAUGAUUUUGAUGUGAUCUUGGGGAUGGAUUGGCUUCAUAAGUACCGAGCUAAUAUGGAUUGUUAUAGGAAGAUCAUUUAGUUUAAUCCUCUUGAUCGCCCUAGUUUUGAAUUUUAUGGAGAUAGAGUGACUCCUUCCUUACCGCUCAUUACUACACUUGAGGCUCAUUGACUACUUGAGAAUGGUUGUGAGGGUUAUCUAGCUUGUGUGAAAAAUCAAGAUAGAGAAGGAGUAAAGCUAGAAGAGAUUUCGGUAGUUCGGGAGUUUCUCGAUGUUUUUUCUAAGGAGUUACCAGGCCUACCCCCAGAACAAGAAGUUGAGUUCGUCAUUGAAGUGGCACCCGGUACAAAACCUAUAUUGAAGGCCCCAUAUCGAAUCGCGCUAAGUGAGUUGAAGGAACUAAAUGUGCAACUACAAGAGUUGAUUGACAAAGGGUUUGUUAGGCCAAGUGCAUCACCUUGGGGUGUGUCAAUAUUGUUCGUGAAAAAGAGGGAUGGAUCCUUAUGCCUCUGUAUAGAUUACAGGUAGCCGAAUCAAGUAACGAUUAAGAAUAAAUAUUUAUUGCCUAGGAUCGAUGACCUAUCUGAUCAAUUGCAAGGAGCAUCAAUGUUUUCUAAAGUCGAUCUAAGAUCAGGGUACCAUCAAUUAAGAAUCAAGAAGGAGGAUGUUCCUAAGAUGGCCUUUCGAACUAGAUAUGGACAUUACGAGUUCUUAGUUAUGCCCUUUGGAUUAACUAACGCACCAGCCGCUUUUAUGGAUUUAAUGAAUAGAAUAUUCAAGCUGUUCUUGGGUUGAUUCGUGAUUGUUUUCAUAGAUGAUAUACUGGUGUGUUCCCUUGAGGAUCAUGUUGUAAACUCUUAGAGAACAUCAAUUGUACAUCAAAUUAAGCAAAUGUGAAUUUUGGCUGGACAAAGAUAUAUUCUUAGGUUAUGUGGUGACUGGAAAAGGGAUAUUGGUAGACCUAGAAAAGGUCGAAGACGUUCUAAAUUGGCCAAGAUCGAUGAUGGUAAUCGAGAUUCGAAGUUUCUUGGGUUUGGUGGGAUACUAUAGGAGAUUUGUGGAAGGAUUUUCACGGAUUGCAAGGCCGUUGACUUAAUUAACUUGGAAGAACUUGAAGUUUGAAUGGACAGAGGAGUGUGAGCAAAGUUUCCAAUAACUCAAGAGGAGGCUAAACACGGCACCUAUCUCGACAAUACCUUCAGGACCUGGAGGAUUCGUAGUUUAUAGCAACACAUCACACAAGGGACUGGGUUGCAUUUUAAUGCAACAUGGAAAGGUCAUUGCGGAUGCGUCAAGACAAUUGAAGCCGUAUGAGAUGAAUUACCCUACCCACAACCUGGAACUCGCAGUAUCAUUUUUGCAUUGAAGAUACGAGACUUGUAUGGAGAGAAGUUCGAGAUCUACACGAAUCAUAAGAGCUUGAAGUACCUAUUCUCUUAGAAAGAGUUGAAUAUGAGGCAAAGGUGGUGGAUGGAAUUAUUAAAGGACUAUGAUUGUGAGAUCUUAUACCACCUCGAAAAGGUGGCCAUAGCAAUAGUUAGCUUAAUGGUCAAGGAAUGGAGUUUACUAGAGAAGAUCCUUAAUCCGAAGUUUAAGGUCGAGAUGGAUGAUCUCACGAGCAUAAUGGCUACCCCUAGGAUUGAGCUAGAGAUUAUACAACAAUUAAAGACUCUACAACAAUCUGACUUGGAAAUCUCGAAACUUUUCGAGAUGAGAUUGUGAAAGGGAAGAGACUUGAAUUCCAAAUUUCAGAAGAUGGAAUUGUGAGAUUCCACAAAUGCCUUUGUGUGCCUAAGGACAAUGAGAUAAGCAGGGAGAUCUUGUUAGAAGCCCACAGGAGCAACUACAUCAUCCACCCAGGAAGUACCAAGAUGUACAGUAACCUUCGCCAAAGUACUAGUGUAAUGGAAUGAAGGCAGAUAUCAUGAAACAUGUCGCAAGGUACCUGACGUGCCAAUGGGUGAAAGCAGAGUAUUGUAAGCUUGCAGGGAUGUUAAAGCCAUUGGAAAUCCCAGAAUGGAAAUGGGAACAUGUGACAAUGGACUUUGUGCAAGGAUCGCCAAGGACCUCAAGUGGUCAUGAUUCGAUAUGGGUGAUAGUGGAUCAACUAACGAAGUCAACCGACUUUCUGGCUAUAAGGGUAGAUUGUUCAUUGGAAAAGUAUGCUGCUUUAUAUGUUAAACAAAUAGUACAACUUCAUGGUGUCCCUAUGACAAUAACUUCAGAUCGAGAGCCGCACUUUACAUCGAAUUUCUAGCGAAGUCUUCAAGUGGCAUUAAGGACCAAGCUUCAAUAUAGUACUGCUUUUCACCCCUAAUGUGGCAUCCGAAAAUUCCAACGGCCCUCAAAUAUGCAACGGCCAUGUUUUCUUUUAUCUAUUGGACCGACCAACCGUGCAACAAGAGAAGUCUUUGGACUUUGAUCGUUUGAUGGAAUUCGGCCAUGCAUGAGGAACACACAUGCCGAAUUUAAGAAUAAAAUUUUGAGGAGUUGGACCGUGCAUGAGGACCAUGCACGUCUUUUCUUUGUGCGAUUCGGCAAGUGAGGAAAUGAAUUUUUAUCACCAUACAACUCUGUUGAGUUCUUUCUCCACGCAAGAAUUUCGUUCACAUACUUGUACAUUGUUGCGACACCGUGUGGUCAUGUGAGUAGGCUGUAAUUUAGCUCAUGCAUGGCGGAGAUUAAGGUAAAUAUUUGGAGAAAAUUGGGCCACGCUCGGAGACCAUGCGGCCACGAAUUUGUUGGCCCAAGCUGCCCGACUUUCUUUCUCCUUCUUCAUUCGGUCGACAGCAUGGAGUCAACAAAUCAAGGGAUUGUUGACUGAGAGGAGCCCAGCAACUGCCACGUUGCUCUCCCAUUCGGUGGCCAGCACAUGAGGAAAACCGGACAAGGAGAGACACGCCUCCUCCACCUGUCCAUUUCAGCUUUAGCCACUUAAAUUUCUGAAUGCAAAAAGUGAUUAAUUAGUUAAUCAAAGAACAAAAAGGGAGGAGUUCGGAUUUGAGGGGAAGAGAGAGAGUGAACUGAGCCGAACCCAGAGCAGAGAGAAAGAGAGAGAGAGAGAGUUCGAGCGAGAGAGUGGGCGCACGGGUGUGAGCCGCAAGGGAGGAAGAGAAGGAUCGCCGUCCGCCCGUGCUCGAGCUGCUGCCGUCAAUGCCGCCCGUCUUCAUCACCAUUGAGUCACGCACGAGGUCCCGAGCUUCCCGUUCGGUUUGUCGAUUGAGCUUAGGAGUGAGGCAAGUAGAAGUUCAUUAAUCUAUGUUAUGCAUGUGGUGAUUAUCUGGUGAAGUGCUGGUAGAUUUGAGAAAACGCUGAAAUGGAAACUGCAUGUUGGGUUUUCAGAUGAUUGAUAUGAAGAUUGAGUGCUGUUCUUUGGAGGAUUAAAUGUAUUGUUGCUGUGUUGUGUUGGAUUGAGCUUGAUGAGUACUAGAUCAAAGUUAGAAGUCAUUGCAUGUUGUUUUGAGUCUUGCAUGUCUCAAAAAUUUAGUGAAAGUUGGCUGUUUUGAUUGAGCAAAGUGAAGUGAUGCUUGCCAAGUGAAGAAAUGAGGUGUAUGUUGAGAUGAGUGAGCUUAUAGAUGAAUAUAUGCUUUGAGCUGUGGAAGGUUUCUCUGUUAAUAAGAACUUGCUGAAAAUGUUCUUUGAUGCUGUGGAAGAGUCUUGAAGUGUUAUAAGAUAGAUUGGUUGAGAAACAAAUGGUUUGAUUGAACUAGAAAUGAAGAAAACCGUAUGUACCGAUUCUGUUUUAGAGAAAUUUAGAUAGAAAGUCUUUUUAAUUGUGUCACUCUGAUUUAUAACGAUGAAGAUAAGAAAAUGAACCAUUUUACAUAAUAGAACACCCAUUAUAUUGAGUUUGACAUCUAGCUAUAGCCACAUGAAUGUAAAAAUAUGAAGGUAGAAGUGAACCUAUUGAAAACAAUGAACUGUUUCGUAGAGGAUAGCUUGACCUGUGAUGACUCCGUGAAUUUUCUGUAAUUAUCUAGUUAGAAUUGGACUUUGAACUCUUAAUGAAAGUUGUAGGACACAUCCUUAGGAAUAACAUAUUAAAAUUUGGGAACAAGAGGACAAUAUUAGUUGGUGAAACGAAUUUUCUUCUGUAGGUACUGAAUCUGAAAGUUACUGCAGAAUUUUGAAGGAAAUAGCAAACUAUUACUCUUUAUACACAACGAAUAUGACUUAGUGUCCUUCAUGAAAUUUCUUCCUUUAGGUCUUAUGUAUAACAUAUCAAAAUUUCAAAGCUUUCUGAGUUCAUUUAGGGGUCAUUACGAAAUUGUUACUAAAACUGUGCAUUGUGAUGUUUGAGCUGUUUUGUUCCGAAUUUGCUCAAUUUGUCCCAAAGGUGAAUGCAUCUUGAGUUGUUAUUUGACAUGAUGAUAUUGAAAUUCAGCAUAUCAUGAUAUAUUGAGAUUUGGUGGAGAUUCAUGGGACAUCUUGUCAUUGCAUUGAAAAGUGUUUUCGAAAUUAAGAUGUUAAUUGUUGCCGUUGGACCCUCGGGUCAACGAUGCCCCGGGAGUCGGGAUGCCCAAAGGUUCGAAUGAGUCGAUGCCCUUUGGAUGCCUUUUUUUAUUAUGAAUACAUGCCCAGAGGUUUUCCCAGGGAGCAUUGGGAUGCUCGGUUGUAUGCUUGUCAGUACGUAAAUCCGGAGGUUAGGGGUAACCAUGUCUAUGGUCCCCAGUGAUUCCUCGUGAUGCCAGGUGGGGUGCGAGAUGCCCAAAGGUUCGAAUGAGUCGAUGCCCUUUGGAUGCCCGGUUGUAUGUUGAAUACAUGCCCGGAGGCUUCCGCAAUGCCAGGGUUGGGUGCGGAAUCCCAGAAGGACGCAAACGUUGGUCCCCUAGGGGGAUAAAACCGUUUGAAUAAUUAAAUCUAAUGAUUAUAUUAAGUGUGAGUGUGGUCUAGUUAUGGGACUAAAUUGUAUGGCAUGGAAUGGGACGUGUCAUUAUAGUUUGGCCCUAUGAUCGGGACUUGUGUAACUGGACAUGAUGCAUCUUGAGGGUUUCGAAAUUGUACUUGCCAUUGCAUUGAAGAAUUUCAUGAUUUUGAUGCUUGCUUAUCCAUUGAUUACCUGUUUUUGUCUAUCUUGCAUGAAUCUGGAUAUUGAUGGUACUGCGUGAUAUAGCUUAAUGAAUCUUUUACUACUGAGUAGUUGUACUCACCCCAUUUGGGGACUAACAUUUUAGACUAAGUCAAGAUACCUCUGCUGGCACCGCCACCAGUAGAUGGACUGAGUGAUUGAAUAUGACCACGAGGAGGAGGAUAGCAAAUGAAUGAACUUUUGGACGCCGACACUGAUCGAUGGACUUUAAGUAUACGACUGUUGGAAAAGAUGUCGGUCAUCUUUUGAAAUAUAGCCAAGUAUAGAAGACUAUGGCAUGGCAUUUUGGUGUACCGACGAAUGAUGUCCAUCUGGUUUAAGUAAAUAAAAGUGUUCGGCUUUUAUCUUAUAAAAGUUUUAGUUGGUGUGCAUUGUCUCUGAAUUUGGAAUAGGGAGAUGUUGGAUUUUGCUUCCGCUAUAUAUAUAUAUAUAUAUAUAUAUAUAAACUGCGCUGGGACCGAUCUAAAUGAUAUACACCCCCAGGAUUUAUGGACCUAUUAUAAUUCUAUGGUAUCAGAGUAAUAUAUUAUCAAGUCAAGAGAAAGGCAAGUGGACUGUGGCGACCCUAGCGAAUCGGGGGCCGUUCCGAGGUGCCACACCUAAAUAGAUGGACAAUGCAAGAGGACUAUACAGACAUUGGAAGAUAUGCUUUUAGCCUGUGUCAUUGACUUUAAGGGUAAUUGGGAUGAAAAGUUACACUUGGUGGAGUUAGCCUAUAACAACAACUUUCAACAAAGCAUAGGCAUGGCUCCAUUUGAAGCAUUAUAUGGUAGGAAUUGCAAGACUCCUAUUUGCUAGGAUGAGGUUGGAGAAUGGAUAUUAACGGGACCAUAAUUGGUUCAGGUGACAACUAACACGGUAAAGACAAUUCGAGAUUGGCUCAAAUUGCUUAAAGCCGACAGAAGAGUUAAGCCAACAAGGGGCAUAGGCCUUUGCAAUUCAAUGUAGGCGACCAUGUGUUCUUAAAGGUAUCGCUAUGAAGAGCGUAUCAAGGUUCGGAAGGAAAGGAAAGUUGAGUCCAUGAUUUGUAGGGCCUUCUGAGAUUCUUGAAAGGCUAGGGGAGUCGGCAUAUCAAGUAGCCCUACCACUGAAGUUGUCCAACAUGCACGAUGUUAUUCAUGUGUCCAUGUUAAGAAAAUAUAAACCUGAUCUUGCACAUGUGCUAGAUUUUGAAGUGCUUGAAAUAGAUAAGAAAGUGAAGCAUGUGGAGGAGCCGGUACAAAUUAUGGACCGUAGGGAACAAAUGCUGAAGAACAAAACAAUACCGUUGGUCAAGGUAUUGUGGAGAUACCACGACUCGAAAGAGGUGACGUGGGAGAGCGAGGAAGAGAUGAAGCUUAAGUAUCCGCGUCCUUUCUAGUAAUCAAGUAAGUUUUAAAAUUUCGAGAUCGAAAUUUUAUAAGGAUAGGAGAGCUGUGACAUCCUGAAAUUUCAGUCUGAAAAUUUCAUUUAAGCUAGUGAUUGUCAACGGAAGAGGAAUCGGGAUAGGUGGGAUUGUCCGAUGGGCUUUGCAUGUGGGCUAGGCGUGUGGAAAGCCUAGUGGGCCGAGUUUUGGGCUAAGCGUGGACUGGAGAGAGAAAAGUGGGCUGUGAAUAAGGCCCAAUGGGCUGGACGUGUGCGGAAGGUUUGGUUGAGGUGGAAAAUACCGAGAUUUUGGUCAAUGUAUGUGUUGCGCAAAUUCGAAUAAUUUUGAAUGUUCGAUGGUAUAUUCUUGCAAUUCAAUUGGUGUUGUUGUGAUGUAUGGAAUUAAUAGUGGACAUAAGAUCCUUGAACAUUAGAAAUUGUGGCUUUAAGAUGUGUGCAAUUCCACUAAGUUUUUGGUCAUAUUGUUAGUGGAGGAUCUUGGAAUAAAGUUGCUUGAUUUGGUGCCUAGCGUUUGAGGUGGCCGAAUUCUUUGGGCUAGGAGAGGGAUUAGUUUUGUUUUGUAUAAGAAGCCAAGUAGAAAAAGACAAGAUCUAAGGAUUACUUGCAAUAAGUUUUGGUUUCCCAUGCAAGUUUCAGUUUUCCCCCUUCCCAUCAGCCGAAAACUAGUCCUCCUGAUGGCCCUAAAUCCCCCCAACCAAUCUCCUCCUUUGCAUGGCUACAGCAAGGGAAAAAUUCCCAAGGAAAGCCAUCAUUUCCCCCCAUUUUCUUCCUUCAUUUUCCCUUCUCUUUUGUUCUUCUUCUUUAUUCCCCUCACUCACCCAACGCCUCUCUCUCUCAUUUUUCUUCCCAUUUCCUUGUUGAUUAUUCAAAGGACCAGCGACCAAGGUGCAGCUAGCAUUAAAGGGAACUCAACAAAGCAAUUUUUGAGUCCUAAACUAGGUGAGGGAAUAAGCUAAGUAUUAAACUUCGACAUCCUCUCGAUACUUGAGAGUGGAUUAGUUCAAUCUAAUGGAUUUUUGGGUUAUAGGAGCUAGAUCCAUGGAUGACUUUAGCUUGCAUAUAUCCUGUGAUGUGAGGGAAGUAUUGCAUGUAAGUUUCUCAAAGGUUUUGGGUGCUAAGCUUGCAUGAGAUGCAUUCAUAGAAGCUGAGGUUGGAUUCUCCUUAAGAUCUAUUUUACCGGACCUCCUGCAUUUGCUGUUUUCGUGGGUUGAAAUGCGCUGCGAAUUUAAGGUUGCUUUCUCCUUGAAAAAUAUUUUAAUCAUCUUCAUUUAUAACAUAUAUUUUACUUAAGAUUUUAUGGAUUUGAAGGACCGAUUUUUCAGCUUCAUUGCAUGCAAAUUAGUAUCUUGUUUUAUGCUGGAAUCCGUGACCUUUUAGUGUUCAACAAAUUUUUAUCAACUUUUGUGGUUUGAUUUUUAAAAUGGUUUCUUCACAAAAGUUGUUCAGUACAUCUUGACGUUUAACAUAGUCAAAUUCCAGAGAAAAUGGCUGAAUUUUUAAUUUCAAACCAAGCUGGUUUUGAAAACGUGAUUUCUGGACACGAGGAGAGUUUUGGUGAUUGUUUUGUGCGAUUUACUACUCUUAUUCUAGAAAGAAUUGGGUUAAAUAUUUUCAUGAAAAUUCUUUUUUUAAGUGUUCUUUACUUAUGUUUCUGGAUUUAAUCAUAGAGCCACCCACGCAUGUGGACUUGGUUUCUGCCAGUGAGGGCUAGUUGUGAUCUUGUUGCUAUUUUUGAUGUUUUACUUGCUGGAAAAUGCAUAUUUUGUGAUUGUGGAUGAGUUUGGCAUGUUGAGAACCUAUGCUUGAUGGCUAUGCAUGAGUAGUGAUCAUUGUGUGUGCAAAAUGAUGUGGAAAUAGGCAUGGAGGUGGUGUGAAGGGCAAUUCUGCUUUAUGCGUGCCGAUGCAUUGUGAUCUUGGCAGUAUGGUGGUUUAUGUGUGUGCUGGUGGUGUCAAAAGUGUGCCCAAAUGGAUGAUUGUGAUGUGGUAAAAUGUGUGAAUGAAUCAAAUUAAGAGACAUUCCAUCGGUCAACAUCCCGAUGAGGCCCCCUGGGGAGUGAGGAUGCCCCAAACUGUGUGGUCUAGGAUGCCUCAGUUCAAGUCACAAGGCCAAUGACCCUUGGACACCAGGAUGCCUCGAAGGGAGAUGCCUAGGGCCAACGUCCCUUAGAAGUCCAACCAGCAACCUGGAAGUGACUCGAACAGAUCCAACCAGCGUCUCUGGUUAAAUCCAAUUCGAGGGUGGAUAUGAAAUGUUCUCACAUUGAAAUUAAUUAACAAGGCAUGUGAGUACGUGUGAUGAUGUAGUUGUGUGCCAUGUGACGCAUGAAUGAAUUCAUGUGCACCGUGUGAUGCAUGAUUAGAGUUCGUAUAUGUCUUGUGGUGCGGUCUUCAUGCAUUUUACUCAUUAUAGCUGUGACAUCCUAGAUUUUCAGUCCUGUUUUCAAUUUAAUAAGUCGAGCCUUUCAUCGAUGCACCUAUAGUGCUAUUCUCAAAUCUGAUCACUCGUGAGAUAACUAGACUAUCUGGGGAAGUCAUUAAGGGAUUUUAAUGCAAUAGACUUGAGAAUUCGACCAAAAAUCGACUAAUCAACCAUGCUCAUCUGCAGAGAUCAUUACAGCACAGUAAAGAUCGAUUAAAGAUCAGAGAUAGGUCGAUUUGACUGAGAUGUGUGGUUAAACUUGGAUGAUUUCACUAAAUUGCAAAUUCUUGUCAAUCGGUACUAGAUUGAUUUUUCUGUCGUUUUGGUAUCAUGUGUCCGUAUUGAAACCUCAAGAUUUUCACGAUCACCAAGAGUCGCCAAUGUGUUGAAGAGGUUUAUUGUGGCUCGAAGAAAAUCAACCACGGGCCAUUUGCACUAAAAAUUUCUGAAAGCUACCCGGUAGCCUAGGUCACUCUAAAAUCGCGCCAAAUCGAAAUUAACCGCGAAUUUGAAUCCGAUUUCAGAAAGUGAAGUCUGUCAUGUCACAAGUCAUUUUAGGAACGUCAACUCAAUCUUUGAAAAUUUUUCUGCAAACCAAGAUUUUUGAUGAAAAGUCGACAUAGAGCUAUUUUUGUCCAAAAAAUUCAGAGGACCGUUUUUUAUCGCGUAAUUGGGAUGCAAGUAGGUUCUAUUGGUGAAGAAAAAUACCAAUUUGAUCGAAGACUCGAUAAUGGAAUUUAUAGAUACCGAAUUGAGUUGAUUCAAGAUGGAAUUGAAGUCCAAUUUGGGGAAAAUCCAAUCAAAAUUCGUAGCCCCCCCUUGGACACAACCUUUGGACCACCUCCAAGGCUUCUAGAGGAAAUUUGGCUGUUGGAAAUUGGCUGAGAAAGCCAGCUUGCAAGUGGGACCAAGCUAAGGGAGACAAGAGGAUAGAGAGAGGCCAAGGGGAACCCUCUACCGGCCAAAGCUGUCCCCUUCAGUCUAUCCUUGCUGCCGUCGACCCUCUCCUCCAUUCCAGCUCCUUGAAGCUUCAAAAAUUCCAAAAAACAGAGCUUCAGUCCCCCCUUGCCGUCGCAACCACCCACCAAGCCACUGGACCGCCCCUCGCAACCGCUCGCUCGCCCGCACACCACCCACAAUCGUCUAGCCUACCCGCAUCUCCAGCCACUCGUUCCGCUACUGCUCGCAACUGUCCGGUGUCGCCAAGCCGCCGUGCAUCAUCAUUGUAGUCACCGGAGCUACCGUCUACCCGCCUGCACAACCGUCCAAGCUGCUGUAGUCCCCGCUGACCGUCCUCGCCGCUUCAAGCCGUCAAAGCAACUUCUUUGGCUCAACCACAUAACCGAAUGGAGUGGGUCUCGCCAGCACUUUUUGGACCGUUUUGGUGCCCUUUUGGACCUCGAAAGGCGCACCCGUUUUGGAAUUUAUCGAUCCUCUCUGCCUCGCCAUCAUUUUGGUUCAACCGGUUCAUUAAUCAAGUGAGUUUAACUCACUAAUCCCUACUUAGUAAGUUAAUGACACUUAAGGAUUGAUUAGUUUAAGUUAAUUAGGGAUUAUGUGGUUAGUUAGAACAAAUUAAUGAGUUAAUCGAUCAUUAUUGCAUGUUAGGUGGUUAGAGUAGUGCAAUUAGCAAGUAGAUAAGCUCUAGUAUUUAUCUAGAUAGGUUCGGAAAUUUUCCGAACCCAAAUCGAUAUUUAAUUAGGUUUUUCCGGCCUAAGUGUGCAUUUUUGCUAUUUAUUGGUAGUUAUUAAUUAUUUUCCGUAAUUAUUUAAUUAAUUAUUAUUUUUCGAAAGUUAGACCGAGAUAACUGGUGACCGGAAUUUUAUGCUACUCGCAGUGGUGUGAUUUGUAAUUUUGGGGUAUUUAUCCCAAAAUUUUAUAUUUUUAGUAUUUAAUUAGAAAAUACCGAGCAUCGGUUUACAACGCCAAAAAUGUGUUUAUGGACUAUGGAAAUUAGUGGGAUUUUCAAAAGGAAAAAUAUUGUAUUUUGACUAAGGCCGACCAUAUACCCACACACGAUUAUUUUUAUUAGGUAUCAUAAAAAUGGUGGCAUUCUCAGUUGGUGAGAAUAAGUAUACUAUAUCAGCCUACGGGUGUCAAUAUAUCAGCUUUGGGUGAGCAGUAUACUUUAUCAGCUUAGGGUGAGCAUCAUAGGUAUACUAUAUCAGUCUACGGACCUUAAUAUAUCAGCUUUGGGUGAGCUAUAUAAUCUAUUAUCAACUUUGGGUGUGUUAUACUAUCUAUCUUCAGUUUUGGAUGAGCAGUCCUCAAUGAGAUCGGACUAUAUAGAUAGUAUUGAUUGGAUUGAUCGAGUAAUGGUCGUGAUGACAUGGAAUCGACCGAGUCGAUUGAUCGAUGGUUCAAUCUAAUGUGAUGAUGUGAUUUAUUGAUGUGAUUCGAUUAUUUCGUGAAUCAUACUGACUUGCAUGAAUGUACCGGGGUAAAGGUAAGUCAUCUGACUCGUGUUUGUGCUUAGGCAGCCCUUAGAGUGUAUUCUCUUCCUAGUCAGGUCUUAAGGGAUGAACUUGCUGAGACGUCGUCUCAUCCCGUUGUGGGAUAACAUUUUCAGGUCCUUAGAUAGCCGCUCCUCUCGAGUGUUUUGGACAACUGAAGAAAGUCACAGAACAAGUAUUUACAUCCCACUUCAUGGGAGCCCUCGAGGAUGAGUCUAUGAGCUCAUAAGGUUCAUGGUCUGGGUCGAUGAGGCUUUACCCCCACAAGGUAUCUCAUCAAUUCAGAUCAUGGUACUGACGUGCGCGGGAUGGACAGAGAGGGGGUCCCAUACCGGAGUCUGAGAUACAUGUGUAUGUGUUGGAGGUUGCUUUUGGAAAAGGCACAGCAGAUCCUCUCGAUGGGUCGAUGGUGGACUCGUAUCUAUCAAAUCCAGGGAUCCCGGUGUAUUCAGCUAAAGGCUCCAAUGAGAAUGAGGAUGAGGAUGAGGAGGAGGAAGAAGAUCUGUAGUUUUAUAUAACCCUCAUGUUUUACAGAUCUUGUUUUAUAGACCGGUAUUAUAUAUGACAUAGUUUGGUAUGUAUAUAUAAGUGUGGCUUAGUUUGAUUUUAAAAAAAAUUGGUCCUACUUUCCUAUCCCAUUUUGUUGUUGUCUAGGAAUUAUUUAUUGGCUUCCGCAUGCGUAUUAAAAAGAAUGGGUCGGCGACGCGUCCUAGGACGUCGCUAUUUAAUCGACCGUUAAGGGAUGGGCACGCACUCGGAGGAUCGGGGCGUGACAAUAGCUUGUUUAGUUCACAUGAUAUCAUUAAUGCCAUAUGCUGCCCAAUUCGAUGUAGUCCAUGUUUAUGAUGAUUCACUAUGUUUGUGCUAUUUUCACUAAUGAGUGAAGUUAAGAUCUUGUUGUUUAAUACCAUACUUUAUCCUUUACUGGGCAUUGUUGCUCACCCUUUAUUUUUCCUCUCAGAUCAUUAGCUAUGAAUGUGACACUCUGGGUGACUUAUGGCACGCGAGAUGGCAUGUAGAUGGCAUGUAUAGGAACUUUGAGGAUCAAGAUUCUUGUCUUAUUUUGACUCAUUAUGUUUGUACUGUCUGGACAAAUGAUGGAUGCCAUAAUCCUUUCUCGAUGUGAUUUGUGUCCGUGUACCUCAACGUGAAUGGGAGAUUGUUUGGGUCCAUCCGUUGGUAAUGUUUUGGGCAUGGAGUACGAGGCACGCGAGAUAUGGAGGGAUGUAGUGAAUGAGGAAAACUACCAGGUUGAUGAGUUAGGCACCUUUUUGACCUCUCCCUAGUGUUUUGUUCAGGUCAUCUUGAUAGUAUUUUGCUAUGUUUGUAAUUGUUAAGAUGUCGCUUUCCUCUUGUAAUCUCUACUUAUGAUGAAUGAAAUGAAAGCAUGUCAUUAUGGAAUUUGUUUCUGAGUAAAAUUUCCUUAUAUUAAAAAUGUAUACUCUUCCCCUUGCGUAAUAAUAAUGAAAGAUUAUAAUCGAGGGUCUAAAGUGAUGGCCUGGGACGUCACAAAAGUUAAUAUUCGAAACUUGGUCGUGGAUUUCUAUAUUAUUGUUUUAAAUUCUAAAAUCUGAUUUAAUUUUGAGCUCAAAUUCAAAGCAUAUUUUAACAAGGGUUACUCAUUUAAAGCGUAGAAAAAUACAUAUAGAAGAAAUUCGAACAGACAUCACGAGCUGUCGACAUAUAAAAGGAGUGUUAGAUUUUGAAGAGCCAAAAAUCAACAUUUCAAAAAAGUGGUGAGUUCUUCUUAGUCCCGUGUCUUCGUCAACGAGCACUGGACAUUCAUGGGAGCAUCGUACUUGUUUUUUCUACGAAAAACGUAUGUACCCCUAUUCCUUCCGAGCAGGUCUCACCUGAUGAUAGUCCUCCGGUCCCACACAUCGAAAAAUUUCUAUGCUUCUGGAUGAUUCUGAGAGGACGUGCACGUGUGGCGAUUCCAACCGAGCCUUGAACGAGGAGAAGAGGAACAUGUGAUUCAUAACCAUUGCCGAGUCUUUGUCGGGUCUUUUCGGUUUGUAUUAGGUUGGUUUUAAACCAUUUAGGGGACAAAAACCUUUGGUUUUUUUUUUUUUCAUAAAAAACCUUUGGUUGAUUUAUUUAUAUUUAGUGCCGGUCCUUAUGGGGUGUUUUUGGGUCCCUCUCCCCUGAUUUUUCCUCUGGUAGGGCAAGCCAGGAACGGUCACCCUCAUUUCACCUGGAAAAAAGAAGCCAAUUGGAUCACCCCGUUGAUGAAGGAACGUAGAAAUUGGACUAAUUCGUCUUUGCCAGACCCGGCAUCUGGGAAAGCAGCUGCAAACUUGGUUCUUGAUCAAUUUCUUUACCUCGGCUUCCAGAAGUUGCUUAUUAUUGUACUCCUCUUGAGUUGAAAGAGAGUCCAUGGCCGACUUUGAAUUACUCUUACUGUACUUGCAUUCUUUCCAAGUUCAAGCAAAAAAGAAAAUCGAUGCACCAAGAAAUAUUUCCUUCGCUUUCUGGAUUUCAUGCCUGAUCCUCUUCAUCCGAGGCACUCCUGUCGGUGCACAGACAUAUGUUCAGGAGCGGUGUGCAGAUAGGGGCGACUACGCUGCUCCUAGCAAGUUUCAGGACAACCUCAGCAGCCUCCUCUCCAAGGGCGACUCCGCUGAUUACAGCAAAGGACCCAUUCGCGGUUUCUACAACACAACGGAAGGUGAAGAUCCGGACAAAGUUUAUGGUCUCUUCCUCUGCAGGUAAAUAACAAGCGAAAGAUACCAAAUAUUUCAACUUUUGAGUAAUACCUUCCAAAUCAAUUGUUAUAAUCUUUGGAAUUGGCUCGCUUGGAACUAGGAUUUAUAAUGGACCUGAUAUAUUGGUCUUAAUUGGAAUCCUCUACAAAGUUCGGUAAUCCAAUGCCAACCUAAAAAUUACUAUCCAGAUUUAAGUGACUACUAAUGCGACUUUUCUAUUCCUCUUUAGAGGGGACGUUGCCGCCAAUCAAUGUCAGUCUUGCAUCGGUCAAGCUAGCAACACCAUCAUAGAAAGAUGUCCAGGACAGAAAGAGGCGACCAUAUGGUAUGACGAGUGUCUCCUGCGCUACUCUAACAGAUCGUUCUUCUCUGUCAUGGAGACAGCACCGAUUAUUUUUGUUAUCGACCCUGAGAGCAAUUCAGUUACCUUCAACAAGAUUGUGGAGCAAACUUUCGAUAAUGAGGACUUUGUGGCAAAAGUGACAGAUUUGUUCGCGAGAAAUGUCACAGACAAUGCGAUCUCCUCGGAAAGCUUAUACGCAACCAUAAACGUUAAUGUCUCAAGUUCAGCGACCCUGCAUGAGCGUGCACAGUGCACCCCUGACAUCUCAAAGUCAGCUUGUAAGAGUUGCUUGCUUUCUGCUAUCAAAGAGUUUCCUACCGCUCUUAAUCAUAAAAGGGGAGGUACGAGAAUUCUUCAGCCAAGUUGUUAUGUACUGUACCGAAUGGAUGUUGCUGGGGAACCUGGAGGACAAGCACCAGCACCAGCACCUUCUGCAACCAGUAAAGGUAUGAGCUAAAUAACACUCAAAAUGUACACUCAAAUUGUCAGUGGAAAGCGCAUAAUGGUAUCAUUCCAUUGCUUCUAAUUCUCAAUAUAAGCUGUUUUAUGUAUUGUAUUGCACUUGACUUGCUUUUACGAUCUAAAAGAUCAUACUCUCCUGCUUUCAACGAGUUCUUGGUACUAUUUACACUUGGUGAAAAAAAAGUCUGCAGAUUUGUGGUAUGUUUAGAUGCAAGGAAUUUCUCUUUCUUGACAGGGGUUCCAUGGAUUGCAAUAGUUAGCUCAGUAGUUGGAGCAGGGUUACUAAUAAUCAUUGUGGGUUCGUGUCUUUUUUUAAAGAGGACAAAGAGAUUGAAGAAAGGUAUAGGUGAAUUCAUCUUGCUUGCCACUGGAAUGACCAUCCUCUAACCUUUACCUGACGAGAGUACACUCUUGGACUCUCAGACAUGGAAAACAACCAAGAGGUUCAGUUACUUCAUCUACGACAAGAAAUUGAAGAAGAGUUUUCAAAGGAAAACUCUCGUGGACCGGCGGGUUCUCAAGAAUUAUCUCUGAUGCGAUUAGACAUCAUACGUGCAGCCACAGGAAACUUCUCCGAUGAAUGUAAACUUGGGGAAGGGGGGUUUGGCCCUGUGUACAGGGUAAGCAUUUCAAGGACUCAACACGUAUUUAUGGGGAAAUUGGGAAAAUCUUCUAAUGGUAGCAAACUGGCAGAGUCAUUAUCAAUGGCAUGAACUGAAUCGAAUUUGGUUAUCAUUAGUAAUUCUCAAAUAGGGAUCUCACUACUGACUUUACGCUGUUUCAGGCCACAUUGGCAGAUGGAAAAGAAAUUGCAGUUAAGAGGCUUUCAAGAACCUCAGGCCAAGGACUCAUCGAGUUGAAGAACGAAGUCAUCUUGAUUGCCAGACUACAACACAGGAACCUCGUCCGAUUAUUGGGAUGCUGCUUGGAAGAAGAAGAAAAACUCUUGAUAUAUGAAUACUUACCCAACAAAAGCCUGGAUGCCUUGCUUUUUGGUUUGAGCUUUAGCAGAUGCAAUGAAUUUUUGAGCUAGUUAAUUUUAGUUUUUAAAGUUGAGUUUCCAUCUGAGUCUCUCAUUUUGACAGAUUCGAAUAUAGGGCGAUAUCUAGAUUGGAAGCUACGCAUGAACAUCGCCUGUGGAGUAGCUCGGGGACUUCUCUAUCUGCAUGAGGAUUCUCGCCUGAAAAUUAUCCACAGGGAUCUGAAAGCUAGCAAUAUUUUGCUAGAUGGUGAGAUGAAUCCAAAGAUAUCUGAUUUUGGAAUGGCAAGGAUCUUCGGUGCAAAUCAAGACAAGGCAAACACAAACAGGGUUGUUGGAACCUAGUAAGUGCCUCAAUAUCUUUCUACGUCCUUUACAUGUUUGACUGAUUCACUAGGCCAACAAAGGACUCUGAUAAUCUGCUCAACAACACCAGAUAGAGCACAUUCAUAUUUCAGAUGUUCCAUCUUGAAAUUUACUUUUCACUGUUUCUUACUUCCAACUAAUUGCUCUUCAUUAUGUAAUUCUGGUUAGUGGAUACAUGGCACCGGAGUAUGCGAUGCAAGGACUUUUUUCUGUAAAAUCAGACGUCUUCAGUUUUGGAGUUCUCUUGCUAGAGAUAGUAAGCGGGCGCAAGAAUAAUGGUUUUCAUCUCCAAGAACAGGGUGAAAGCCUUCUCACAUUUGUAUGUUCCUAAUCACCAUAUGAAUUAAAUAUGAAAUCGAAGAUUUUCGUGCAGCUGUCCUUGUUAAUUUUUCCUUGCUAAAUAACAGGCAUGGAAGUUGUGGUCUGAAGGUCAACCGUUCGAACUUAUCGAUCCGUUAAUCAAUGAGUCAUGUGAUGAAGGUGAAGUGCUGAAAUGCAUACACAUCGGUCUAUUGUGCGUUCAAGAAGACCCAGCAGAUCGACCGGCUAUGUCACUCGUGGUUCAUAUUUUAGGAGGCGAUACCAUCACACUUGGCCGACCAUCGCAGCCUGCAUUCUCAGUUGGGAGAAAAGUGAAAAAACUUGAUCGUUUCGGGCACACUCAAGAAGCCUCAACUGUUAAUGGAAUAACCCUUUCGGUUGUUACGGCUAGGUGACCAAGUAUUAUACAAUGGAAAUGCUGCUAGUAAUAAUUAUGGUAUAUUUUAUCUUUUAGGACUGUGUAUAUAUCUCCAUCGUAAUAUAUUUAUAUCAUGUUAUUUUCUAUAUUAUCAUGUAAAACUAGCUUAUGUUCCCUUCUUUAUAUAUACAAAAAUAUACAGAAACUUAAAAAUCCUCUCCUUCGCAUUAUCACAUAUUUCUUAUCUUAGCGUUAGAGUUAGAUGAUCUUGAGCAAAUUUUGAGUGCUCAAGUGCAACACACCCGAGUGCACACGCGGAACACACCUUCACAUCCCGUGUCAUGUGAUUCAUUUUUAUUAUAGUUACUAGUAUCCCUUUCUCAAUGUCAAUUCUAAACAUUUUCGUCAUGUACACAUAAACGUCAGCCUAUCGCUGCAUAACCUACAUACAUCAAUCGGUUCUCUCUUCAUCACAUAAAAUCACCUCGUUGGAUCUUUUCUCCCAACUCCAUUUGACUUCCUCUUUUCACCUUGAGCUUGAGAGUUUGUUUAAAAUAAUUAAGAUUUUACCUUGAUCCUUCAUUUUUCAUGAUUGUAAAUAUAUAUUUCCCUUAAUUGUGCAUAUUGUUGAUUGAUUUAUAAUCAAUAUCAUAAGCCAGCCCCAUUUUAUUGUGCAUGCAUUUCCACCCCGUUCAUCAAAUAGACGUCAUUCCUCGUCUAGUUUACAUGUAAGAGGGUUGGAAUAACACAUGCCAUUUGAUUAUGGGGUUAUAUGUUUGUUAUAUACAUGUGAUCUCUUUCUAUUUAUUAGUAAGAAUCUUUUGGUUGAAUUUUCGAAUUUCGCAAUUUAAUGAAAUAGAAUGAUAAUUACGGUGUUUGAUCUCUUUCGCAUUGUGACAAUCAUUUCUCAAUCCUUGAUUUCUGGAAUCAUCAAUUAAUGAUUUUAGGGGAAAAAAACCUUUUCAUUAGUCAUCUUGAGUAUUCCAUGUGCACAACUCCUAUGGAUUAGAUAAUUUACUUGAGUGUAAAAGUUCAAAAAAAUCAUGUGUGACAAGACACGUGCUAUAAAUUCGACAAAGUGUCCUUUACUUCAUUCUUGAGCCAAGAACGUUUAGACAUCAUCUUAUUUUUGCAUCACGUGAGUAAUAGUGAUGUGUGCAUUUUGUUGAUUCAAAGCAUUAAUUGGCCGAUAUAUUCACUAAACCUCUUUUUUGCUCAAAUAUUUAUAAUAAAAAAAAUUAAGUAAGCAAAGAGUAAGCAUAAGCAAUCUACUCAACAACCUUCAUUGCUAUGAUAUAUGUCAAGCCCCAAACUCCCGAGUGUGCGAAUAUCCUUCAACGGUCAAUUAGUUGCGACGUCCCAGGACGCGUCGCCAACCCAUUCUUUUUAUCUUUCAAUUAAACCCAAGAAAAAGAAUUUAAUAUAAACAACAUCUGAUCAAACAACAAACAAUAGGGAUAAUAAGAACACAACAAACAUUCCAAAAACAGCACUUUAAUUUAUAAACUGCUAACUCUAAGAUAUUUAAUAAUUACAAGCUUUGUUACGGCCACUUCUUACCAACCAUCUCAAAAACCUACAGGGUCAAGUUUAACCUAAACUUUAGUAACGACGAGGCCAACCAAACAUGACACUAGGCACACCAGCGUCUUGGUCCAUCAGGAUCCCAAACCGCAUGUGACAGUUCUCCAUACUACGGACUCGAAAAUAUUUAAUAAUAACAGGAUGAAAUAUAAAUCUCAAUGGGUUAACCGCUUAAGCCUCGAUUAGGACGCAAAUUCAUCUCAAAAGCAGCCUAAACAUGCAACAACCUACAACCUUACCUCACCUUGACACACACCUGCAUAUUGGUACAUCACAUAUGCCAAUACCAAUGCAACAAGCAUAGUCAAUAAUCAAAACACAUAACUCCCAUACACCAAGUAUUCACAUGGGUCCCAAUUAUAAGAUAAAACCCAUUUUGGCCAAUCUUAUACCGUGCUUCACAGUUUUACUUCAUAAUCAAGCGCAAUGCAUUGCAAUCAUUUACAUGUGUUUCGAUUAUUACGACCCCUCGAGCCAUGGCCAACACAGAAGUUCUGGCAUGAACGGGCAUUGUCCCGUCCCAUCGAGUACAGCAUUGUUUAGAACCCCCACCUAGAUGGCAUUUCAUAAAGAAGCAUCGAUCUGACUUCAACCACAACUUGACAUCCAGACCCCCGCCAAGCAUUUGAUAAACAUCGGACAUCAUCCCUUUGGCAUUCUACUCGUCCUCUUACACAAACCACUGCAAGCAUUCCUCUACAAACCGCUUCUCAGUAUAGAAUUUGCUAUGCCAUAUCAUCUCAUAAUUAGUAAUAACUCAUAUAUGCCACACAUUAGUUUCUCAAUUCAUUAGGCUCUCACGCUUAAUUACUUAUGUAAAAUUAUGUUAGGGCACUCGUUGAUGGGAGAAAAUACAUUUACCAAUAAUUUAUAAUGAGCACCACCUCUAAAAUCAAUUGAAUCGUGUAAUUUUUACUUUUGAAAAGUAAAGUGCAUCGCACAGAUAGGAAGGGUGCAAAACGUAGAGGGAAAUUAUUCUACAAUUGUGACAUCCAGAUUUUCGGAUUCUAAUUUCGACUGGAUAAAUAUGGCAGUUUUUGUUCAGUUGAAGCCAGGGAUUGUGAAAUUGGGAUGCAAGUGGGCUACAUUGGUAAGGAAAAAUACCAAUUGAAAUGAUGAGGUGUUGAAUGAAAUUAUGGGAGUCAAUUUAAAUUGAAUCAAGAGGGAUUAAGGUCCAAUUGGGAAGAAAACUUAGCAAAAUUCGUAUGCCACCUCUACCACCACAUUUUGGCCUACCUUAAAGCUUCUAGAAGGGGCAUUUUUGGCAAGGAAAAGUGAGUGUAAGACAGCUGGAAUGGUGGGGCCAAAGAGAGAGAGAGAGAGAGAGAGAGAGAACCGGUUUUUCCUCUCUCCUCCGUCGAGCGUCUCCAUCUUCUUCCCCUUUCUUUGGGCUUCUUCUUCAGCAACAAUCGAAGACCAGUAGGCCGAAGCAGCGAUUCCUCUCGGCGUCAUCGCAGCAAGCAACCGGAGCUAGAGUCACCGCCGUCCGCCGUCCUGCUGCCUUGUGCAGCUUUGCCCCACCCUCUCCCUCUCACCUUGCGAACCAGAGAAGCUGAAGACAGAAGCAACGUCCAGCGUCGCCGGAAGGAGCCGCGACCAACUGCCUGGACGCCACCGCACCGGAGCUGCCGCACCGCCGCCCGCGUGACGCCGUGCGCACCGCCACCUCACGCUCGCGCCUGCUGUCCCCGCUGUGCAACCCCAGCCCCUGCUUUGCCUCAGUUCAGUCUCGUUCGGCCGCCUCCGGCCACCGCCCGACCUCCUCCAGCCACCGUCCGGCCUCACCGGAGUUCCCUCGCCCUCCGCCUGCCCUGUCCAGCUUGAAUCAGCGCCGGAACCACCUCAACCAGCCGUGCACCGAGAGUUCGAAAAUGGGUAUGUCAGCAUACGUUUGGCCCGUUUUGGCCAUCUUCCCGAGCCCGGAUGCUCGGCCCGCUUUGAGGAAAGUCGAUCCUCGCGUCGAGCCCAUCGUUUUGAGUGAGUUUUUCUCACUAAUGCCUUCUUAGUUUGCUAAUUACACUUAAAUGUUGAUUAGUAUUAAUUAAGUGUAAUUAGGUUGUUAGAUUAGGAUAGAUUAGCGAUAUUUGUUAAUUUCAUUGCAUAUUAGUUAGGUGGUUAGUGUACUUAGAUAGAGAAUUGCCUAUAGUAUUUAUUGGAUGCUUCGUGGGAUUUUUCCCGACCCUUAUUGGGUGUUAAUUAGGCGAUUCGGGCCUAAUUGGUAUUUUUAGGAAUUAAUUAUUUAAUUAGUUAUUUUCCGAAAAUUCAACUGGGAUGGCUAGUGACAGAGAUUUUAUGCUGAUGAUCGUGGCGCAGACCGUUUCUUUAAUUGAGCUUCAUAUUGUGCUAAAUUGGAAUUAUUGUGUUUAUUUAUUUAUUUUUCGGAAUUAAAUUAAUUAUUUAUUUAUUUUCCGAAAAUUCAACUGGGAUGGCCGAUGACCGGAAUAUUAUGCUGAUGACCGUGGUGAAGUCCGUUUAUUUAAUUGGGCUUUAUUUUGAGCUAAAUGGAAUUUUUAAUAUUUAUUAAUUAAUUAUUUUUCGGAAAUUAAUGCUGAGGUGACCGACGACCGGAAUUUCGUGCUGAUUGUCGUGGCGCAGUCCAUUUAUUUAUUUGAGCUCUACGUUGUAUGAAAUUAAAUAAAUUGUGAUAUUUUAGGGAUUUACCCUAAAUUGAUUGAAAUUGAGUGAAAUUGAAUUAUUGAUUGGUAAAUGGCCGAGUAUGGCUAGUUAGCAUUUGUACUGCCUUGUUGAGCUGUAAGUGGAGAAAGUGGUGAGAGCUAACUGAGAAUUCUAUUUGCUGAGACCGAUCAAGUACGAAGUAUAGACAAGUGUGGUUCGAUGAUAAAGUACAUCACUGUGCGAAAACGGCGCCUUAAAGAAUGCACAUAGACUAUCUAUGACUUAUGGCAGGCGUGGUUCAGUGAUUAGGGAGAUCACUGUGCGAAAUCAACGCCUUAAAGAACGCACGUAGACUGCCUAUGAAUCGUGACAGGCGUGGUUCAAAGAUGAAGGACAUCACUGUGCGAAAAUGGCGCCUUAAAGAACGCACGUAGACUGUCAGUGAUUUGUGACCUAUGACGAGCGUGGUUCGGAAAUGAGGAAUAUCACUGUGCGAAAACGGCGCCUUAAAGAACGCACGUAAACCGUCUGUUACUUAUGUCACCUUGGCGAAAACGACACCCGACAGCAUUGAUGGAGCUCUGUGACUAAGUGUAUUUUAGAGGUUAUGUGGGAUGGAAUGAAUAACCUAUAAAUGAUCCGACUGACUCGUAAUCGAUUAGGUCGAUUGAUCGUCGCCUUGAUUUGAUGUUGUGGAUUGAAUGAUUGAAUGGAGAUGACCGUGAGUGGUCUUCUUGGUGUGGAAUCGACUAGAUCGAUUUGAUCGAUGCUUCGAUCUUUGAUGUGAUUGCUUGGGUGUCUAUUUGAUCUGUGCUAACAUGCAAGUGGAAUCUGAGGCUAAGGUAAGCCCUCUGACUCAUGUUAUGCAUAGGAAACCCUAAGGUAUAUUAGUUUACUAAUCAGGUCUUAGUGUGGUAGAAUUUGCUGAGACAUAGUCUCAUCCCGGUUUGGGGAAAACAUUUCAGGACCCUGAUGAAGAACCUGAGGAUAAAGAAAUCGAAGAGGAGUAUAUGGAGAAGAACUCCGAGGAUGAUCCAGAGUAGGAUCCUGACGACUUUUGCUAUAGAAUCAAUUUGAGUAGAAACCAGUCGUUUUAGUAUGGCUUGUAUAUGAUCAUAAGGGUGUUGGUUUUCAGGUUCAAUUUCCUAGUCCUACUUGUAUAUCCCAUUACUUUAUUGUCUGGGGAUUUUUAUAACUGCUUCCGCAUGUGCUAUUAAAAAGAAAAGGGUUGGCGAUAUGUAGUCUUGGGAUAUCGCAUUUUAAAAUCUACCAAAAGUAAGGGAUGUGCGCGUGCCUGAGGAUCGGGGUGUGACAUCCCCAUUUUGUGGUAUCAGAGCAAUGGUUAAUGAAUGGAGUGAUAAGGUGCGAUGAGUCAUGGGAUAGUAGUAGGAAUGACCUUUAAAUUCAUAUUGAUGCAUGUCGAUGAUAGCUGAUUUGUAGCUUGUUUGUGGAUCACUCAAAUUCUAAUGUGGCAUUAGAAUUAGAAAACAAGUUUCUAUAAAGAUCUUGUAAUUUGAGUGAUCAGGAGCUGUGAGCUCAUAGUAAGAGGACAGUAACCUUUAUGACUCGGGAAUUAACGCCGACAAGGAUCGAUGCCUGAGGUGGUUGUGGCAGAGUACCGGCUUAGGCUAGUGCGCGUGUAAGAGUACCACCGUGGGUUGGUACUGAGAAUGUAGCAGCACCGAGCGAUCCUAGGUCCAGCAAGAUCGUUCAGGUGCAAGUUUUCCCAAGGAGCUUGUCGAGCCAGUGAGUUCGAGAUCAAGUUGAAGUUAUUGCCACACCUGCCGAGGUUUAGUAAGGAGACGUGAUCCAGGAGCAAGCCGUUGUAACUGAGUUGAGGUUCAGGUUCAGUAGAGUUGGAAAUCGGGUUGGAAAGGAGCCUAUGACCGGAAAAGUGUAUUAUAUUCCACACCUCGGAAAAGACGGGAUAGGCAAGGCAGCAUCGGAUCAGAACAUAGUGUGUCAUGGAAGCCGACAUGGAUCAGCCUUGUAUCCUAUUAAGAUGGGUGUUUAUUCUGACUGUGAUCGACAAGGUCACUUGGCAAGAGAUUGUCUUAGAAGAUCGAUGGGAUAGGUUGGAAGGAGUGAGCCACAGAGCGUACAGUGGAGUUUUUGAAACAAGCCUCCAGUGCAACCGAGAGGGUAUACUAUCACCUGACAUUAGAUAGAGGACUCACUAGGUGAGUGCCGAAAGUAUGGAAGGAAUGCAUGGAUUAAUCCUGUGUUCGAGAAUGACUAGAACGUGCUUUGAUGGUAGUGAGCACGGCCAUCAAGUGAGGGACUAUCAGUUGGGGUUUAAGAAGAACACCAACACUAUUACUACCGUUAGAACGCCAGCAAGAUGGCAAAAGGAACAGGAACGGAACCGACCAUGCCUUAUUCAAUGGAAGAAUGUUUUGAGGUGAUUUUAUCAUAAUAGUGCCAGAGAGUGUUGGGAUUACAAGUGUGGAAUUUCAGUUGUUUGUUAAGGCUGUAGGAAAAGAACCAUUGACUAGAGUUGUACUUGAUUGGCUGUUGGUGUACAACUUAUUCGUCAAGUGUGGAAAGAAUUGAUUCUAGAGCAUUUUGUGGUGAUGAAUUGUUAUAGUGGAGUAACCCAGUUUAUUCCAGGAGCAGGUAGAAGUGCCAAGUUUUAUUGAGAAUUGAGAAGAGUCCUCGACUUCUUUAAUCUCGUCACUUGAGGCAAUCCGUUUGUUAGACAAAGGUUGCCUAGGUUACUUGACGAUUGAAAAAAAUAAGACAGAUUGAAGAAUUGAAAAUUUAAGACUCCUCAGUAGUCCAAGAAUUCCUGGAAGUGUUGCUAGAAGGAUUAUCAAACCGUCGCCAGAGAAAGAGAAGGAAUUGCGAUCGAACUAGCAACCAGAAUAGAACUAUUCUCUAAAGUUUCUUACCGGUUGUUGUUGUCUGAAUUCAUAGAACCAAUGGUGCAAAUGUGAGAAUUGAUGAAUGUGGAAUUCAUGCAUUUCGGUGCAUUACCUAGGAGAAACAUCAGCCUCAUAGUGAGAAAGAAAGAAAGAUGGUUCGUUGCAAUUAUGCAUCAACUAUAGUCGACUCAAGCAAGUGACAAUCAAGGAUAAACGUUCAUUGUCAAAGAUCGACGAAUUGGGUGACUUGUUAUAAAGAGUGCUGAUGUCUUCAAGGAUCGACUUGAGGACAGGUUAUUGUCAGUUGAGAACCAGGAAUGAGGUUAUACUGAAGACAGCAUUUCGCACUUGAUUUUGCCCUUGUGAGAAUAAUGUAAAACCAUUUGAUUUGACGAACGCUCCAGCCGCAGUUAUAGAUUUGACAAACCGAGUGUUCAAAGAAUAUCUAGAUCAAUGGUGAUUGUGUGGUGUAGUGACAUUCUAGGGUAUUUGUUAAAUGAUGAGGAUCACGAGAGCCCCUAAGAAUAGUCAUGUGAGUACGAGUAAAGGAAUCUUCAUGAACACAGCCAAGAUUGAAUCAGUUGUUAAUGGAUCAAGAUCGACAACAAUGUUAGAGAUCAGAAGCUGUGGGAAUUGGACAGAUUACUAUGGAAGGUUUGUGUAAGAAUUUUUAGCAUCAGUAUCAUCGCGGGCUUGACCUCUUGAGAAAGAAGAGAAAUUCAUCGGCAUAGACAAGUAUGAGGAUAGUUUCCAGAGCUUAAAGGACAGGGUACGUAUUGAUACAACAUGAGAAGAUUGUUGCAUACCCAUCCCGCAAGUUGAGACCCAUCAAGUUGAAUAUGAAAUAGUGUCAUGAAUUAGAAUUUUGGCGGGACUAUGAUGGUGUUAUCUAGUAUCAUCCUUGGAGGAACGAAAUGAGUCAUUAAUGUGUUGGGUCGAGAGUCUUCAAUUGUGCAUAGACUAGCUAAAGUGUAGACUUUACUUAAAAAGGGUUCAAAAUGUGGUUUUCAAAUUUGAGGUAGGCUACCUUUUGAAUUUUAUAGCCGCCCUCAAAAUUGAACCAUAUGUUCAAAUUAGAAUCGGCGCCUAAUUGAUAGACAGAGAUGUUCAAAAGAUUGUAUAAGAGGAUACUGGUAAGAAAGAAUCUGACUUUAAGAUUUCUGGGGAUGGAAAGUUUGGAUUCCAUGAGUGAUUGAAUACAAUUGACAGUGUAGCACUCAGGGAAAAGAUCUUGUCAGAAGUUCACUAUAGUAUUGCAGUUUUGACCAGACGGUGCAAGUGAGUCAGAAUUGACGUCAGCUAGAUCGGUAGGCCGAUAUGAAGAUAGAUAUCGUCAACCAAGUUGCUAGUGUCAGAGGUGUCAGUAAGUGGAAGUUCAGUAAUGCAAACCCGGAAGAUGUUAUCAUCACUUAAGAGUCCCUAGUGGGAAUGAAAAUAUAUCACGAUGGGACAUGGUGAUGAGCUUAUUAAGGAUUUAGGGGGUUACUAAUACCAUUUGAGAAUAGUAGUCAAUCGAUAGAUGGAGUUGGUCCACUUUGGUACAGUAUGAAUAGAUCUUGUUUUGAGUGUGUGACAUCCUGAUUUUCAGACUCUGAUUUCGAUUGGUUAAAUUGGGCAUUUCAUCGACGCGACUACAGUGAUUUUCUCUGAGUUGGCCACUCACGAGAUAACUAGACUAGAUGGGUAAGUUAUUAGGGACUUUAAGACAGAUAGACUGAGAAUUCGACUAGGAAUCGACUUCUCGACUGUGCUCAUCUUUAGGGAUCAUUGCGGCACAGUAUAAAAUCGAUUUGAAAUUAGAGAUAGGUCGGUUUGACUGAGAUGAAUGACCGAUCGUGGGUGACUCCAUUAAAUUGAAAAACUCUCGUCGACUAGCACUAAUUUGAUUUUAUUGUUGUUUUGGUACCCUGUGUCCGUAUUUGAAUCUUCGAGAUUUUCACGAUAAUCGAGGGUCGUCAAUGUGUCGAGUGGGUUCAUCGUGGCUCGAAGAAAAUCGACCACGGGUCAUUUGUCUUAAAAAGUUCUAAAAACUACCCAAUAGCCUAGGUCACGCUAAAAACGCGUCGAAUGAAAAUUAACCAUGAAUUCGAAUCCGAUUUCAGAAAUUGAAGAUUCUGUCUUGUCACAGAGUGGGUAUACCGAAGUGUGUGUGCAUCAGAUAAUUCACUGGCAUGGAGUGCUGAGGAUGAAUUAUAUUUCGAAUCUAGAUAAGAGGUUACAAGUUUGGCAGAGUUUUCAGAGGGUUCUUUCUUAAGCAGUGUAUAGCAUAGGGUACAGAAUUUUGGUGGUGAAAAGAAAGUGAAGAAAGAUUACAGGCCAGAGUCAGCUCAGUAAUCAGUGAUGGUAGUUGUCAGAUCAGUGUCAGAGUAAAGACUGCUCAGAACUGUCAGAAAUUUUGAAUCGUUGAGGUUCGAAGGUUUAUUAGGGAGUUGCGAAAAAGAGAUCAGAUGUGAAUGACAUAAUGUCUUAUGUGAGAAGCUCAGUUCAGUUGUUGAUUCAGAAAGAGCAGAGUUUGUGUACCAAGACGAUCUCCUUAGUCAAAAAGGUCGAACAACACCACGAGACCGAAGGAUUAGCAUGGAAUAGUGAGACUCAAUGAAAUGACAAUACCCCCACCUUUUGUAUAAGGAUUGGUAAAAGUUUAAAUUUCAAAAACGAAAUUUUUAUAAGAGGGAAAGAGUUGUGACAUCCAGAUUUUCGGAUUCUAAUUUCGAUUGGAUAAAUAGGGCCGUUUUUGUUCAGUUGAAGCCAGGGAUUGUGAAAUUGGGAUGCAAGUGGGCUACAUUCGUAAGGAAAAAUACCAAUUGAAAUGAUGAGGUGUUGAAUGAAAUUAUGGGAGUCAAUUUAAAUUGAAUCAAGAGGGAUUAAGGUCCAAUUGGGAAGAAAGUGGGCUACAUUCGUAUGCCACCUCUACCCCCACAUUUUGGCCUACCUUAAAGCUUCUAGAAGGGCCAUUUUUGGCAAGGAAAAGUGAGUGUAAGACAACUGGAAUGGUGGGGCCAGAGAGAGAGAGAGAGAGAGAGAGAGAGAGAGAGAGAGAGAGAGAGAGAAAACUGGUUUUUCCUCUCUCCUCCGUCGAGCGUCUCCAUCUUCUUCCCCUUUCUUUGGGCUUCUUCUUCAGCAACAACCGAAGACCAGCAAGCCGAAGCAGCGAUUCCUCUCGGCGCCGUCGCAGCAAGCAACCGGAGCCGAAGUUGCCGCCGUCCGCCGUCCGCCGUCCUGUUGCCUUGCGCAACUUCGCCCCACCCUCUCCCUCUCACCUUGCGAACCAGAGAAGCUAAAGACAGAAGCAACGUCCAGCGUCGCCGAAAGGAGCCAUGACCAGCUGCCUAGAUGCCAUCGUACCGGAGCUGCCGCACCGCCGCUUGCUCGACGCCGUGUGCUCCACCGCCUCACGCUCGCGCCUGCCGUCCCCGCCGUGCGACCCCAGCCCCUGCUUUGCCUCAGUGCAGUCUCGUUCGGCCGCCUCCGGCCAUCGCCCGACCUCCUCCGGCCACCGUCCGGCCUCACCGGAGUUCCCUCGCCCUUCGCCGGCCCUGUCUAGCUUGAAUCAGCGCCGGAACCAACUCAACUAGCCGUGCACAAAGAGUUCGAAAAUGGGUAUGGCAGCGGACGUUUGGCCCGUUUUGGCCGUCUUCCCGAGCCCGGAUGCUCGGCCCGCUUUGAGGAAAGUCGAUUCUCGAGUCGAGCCCGUAGUUUUGAGUGAGUUUUACUCACUAAUGCCUUCUUAGUUUGCUAAUUACACUUAAAGGUUUAUUAGUAUUAAUUAAGUGUAAUUAGGUUGUUAGAUUAGGAUAGAUUAGCAAUAUUAGUUAAUUUCAUUGCAUAUUAGUUAGGUGGUUAGUGUACAUAGAUAGAGAAUUGCCUAUAGAUUUAUUGGAUGCUUCGUGGGAUUUUUCCCAACCCUUAUCGGGUGUUAAUUAGGCGAUUCGGGCCUAAUUGGUAUUUUUAGGAAUUAAAUAUUAAUUUUCAAAAUUAAUUAUUUAAUUAGUUAUUUUCCGAAAAUUCAACUGGGAUGGCUAGUGACAGAGAUUUUAUGCUGAUGAUCGUGGCGAAAUUAAUAUUUAAUUAGUUAUUUUCCGAAAAUUCAACUGGGAUGGCUAGUGACAGAGAUUUUAUGUUGAUGAUCGUGGCGUAGACCGUUUCUUUAAUUGAGCUUCAUAUUGUGCUAAAUUGGAAUUAUUGUGUUUAUUUAUUUAUUUUUCGGAAUUAAAUUAAUUAUUUAUUUAUUUUCCGAAAAUUCAACUGGGAUGGCCAGUGAUCGGAAUAUUAUGCUGAUGACCGUGGUGAAGUCCGUUUAUUUAAUCGGGCUUUAUUUUGAGCUAAAUGGAAUUUUUAAUAUAUAUUAAUUAAUUAUUUUUCGAAAAUUAAUGAUGAGGUGACCAACAACCGAAAUUUCGUGCUGAUUGUCGUGGCACAGUCUGUUUAUUUAUUUGAGCUCUACGUUGUAUAAAAUUAAAUAAAUUGUGAUGUUUUAGGGAUUUACCCUAAAUUGAUUGAAAUUGAGUGAAAUUGAAUUAUUGAUUGGUAAAUGGCCGAGUAUAGCUAGUUAGCAUUUGUACUGCCUUGUUGAGCUGUAAGUGGAGAAAGUGGCGAGAGCUAACUGAGACUUCUAUUGGCUGAGACCGAUCAAGUACGAAGUAUAGACAGGCAUGGUUCGGUGAUAAAGUACAUCACUAUGCGAAAGCGGCACCUUAAAGAACGCACGUAGACUGUUUAUGACUUAUGGCAGGCGUGGUUCGGUGAUUAGGUAGAUCACUGUGCGAAGACAGCGCCUUAAAGAACGCACGUAGACUACCUAUGAAUCAUGAGAGGCGUGGUUCGGUGAUGAAGGACAUCACUGUGCGAAAACGGCGCCUUAAAGAAUGCACGUAGACUGUCAAUGAUUUGUGACCUAUGACGGGCGUGGUUCGGUGAUGAGGAAUAUCACUGUGCGAAAACGGCGCCUUGAAGAACGCACGUAGACCGUCUGUUACUUAUGUCACCUUGGCGAAAACGACGCCCGAGAGCAUUGAUGGAGCUCUGUGACUAAGUGUAUUUUGGAGGUUAUGUGGGAUGGAAUGAAUAACCUAUAAAUGAUCCGACUGACUCGUAAUCGAUUAGGUCGAUUGAUCAUCGCCUUGAUUUGAUGUUGUGGAUUGAAUGAUUGAAUGGAGAUGAUCGUGAGUGGUCUUCUUGGUGUGUAAUCGAUUAGGUCGAUUUGAUCGAUGCUUCGAUCUUUGAUGUGAUUGCUUGGGUGCCUAUUUGAUCUGUACUAAUAUGUAGGUGAAAUCUGAGGCUAAGGUAAGCCCUCUGACUCAUGUUGUGCAUAGGCAACCCUAAGGUAUAUUAGUUUACUAAUCAAGUCUUAGUGUGGUAGAACUUGCUGAGACAUAAUCUCAUCCCGGUUUGGGGAAAACAUUUCAGGACCCUGAUGAAGAACCUGAGGAUAAAGAAAUCGAAGAGGAGUAUCUGGAGAAGAACUCCGAGGAUGAUCCAGAGUAGGAUCCUGACGACUUUUGCUAUAGAAUCAAUUUGAGUAGAAACCAAUCGUUUUAGUAUGGCUUGUAUAUGAUCAUAAGGGUGUUGGUUUUCAGGUUCAAUUUCCUAGUCCUACUUGUAUAUCCCAUUACUUUAUUGUUUGGGGAUUUUUAUAACUGCUUCCGCAUGUGCUAUUAAAAAGAAAAGGGUCAGUGAUAUGUAGUCUUGGGAAAUCGCAUUUUAAAAUCGACCAAAAGUAAGAGAUGUGCGCGUGUCUGAGGAUCGGGGCGUGACAACAAUGGUACGGUCUCCCUUGGAAGAGAGACUAUAACUUCUCUACCUUUCAUUCUCCCAAGAGAACCUAACAAAUCGUUCAUCCGAUUUCUUUAAGAAAUUUGGAAUGAAAUCUCUUUUGUUUGGAUUUCCUCUAGUCCCUCUAAGCGAGCUUUCUUAAACGUGAGUAUAAUAAAUAAAUAAAUAAAUAAAUAAAUAAAAGUAGGAGAAAUGUUAAAUUUGAAGAAAACCCACAAAACAUCCACAAUAGUGCAAAAGUUAUGGUUCAUAACCACUUAUUGAGCUGCCAUAUUUGCAUUGAGCAGUCAUCAACUCAAAACUCUAGUGAUUGGGGCUGCCGUAACCAUGAUUGCCACAAGCUUGGAGCUUGAGCUCAUGACUAUGGCGGUAGAGGUGGCAAAAGGGGUCUUGACCCAUAUAUGACCCAUUUAAAUCAUAAAUGAGUCAUAUAUGGGUCACUUGUUUUUUUGACAAAAAGUAGAUAAUUAGGUUUAACAAUUACAAACUUUGAUAGGUGGGUCUUAAGUGGAUCUUAAAUGGAUUGGAUUUAGAACCCAUUUUCACCAAAACCUCACAAUCUCUCUCUUUUCUCUUUAACUUUACAAAAACAUUUUUAUAAUAAAAACCAAAAUUAUAACUAUAAUUUUUUAUUUUUCUUUUCUUUUCUUUUUUCUUUCCUUUUUUUUUCUUUCUUCUUCCUCCGGUCGCCGGCACGGUGAUGGCCGACAACCGGCUAGGCGAGCCUCAAGCUCGCCCCUCGUCGGAUCUGGCAAGGCGAAGGCCUCGCUGACGCCCAACAAGGCUAGAGCCUCGCUAGAUCCGGCUAGGGGCGAGCUCAUUGGAUCUAGUGAGGUGGAGGCCUCACUGACGUCCAACGAGGCUCAAGCCUCACUAGAUCCGGCAAGGGGCGAGCUCAAGCUCGCUCGACGCCGGCCAGCCUUGAGCUCGUCAAAUCUAGCGAGGUGAAGGCCUCGCCGACAUCCGGCAAGGCUCGAGCCUCACCAGAUCCGGCGAGGGGCGAGCUUGAAGUUCGCCUAUGGCUGGCCAUCGGCCGUCGUUGUGGCCGGCGGCUGGCCAAAGAAGAAGAAGAAGAAAAAAGAAAAAAGAAAGAAAUUAUAUUUUAAAAAAUAAUUUAAAAAUAAAAAUAAUUAAAAUUCUAUUUUCAAAAUAAUUAUUUUGAAAUUAUAAAAUUUGUCCAUUAAAUUUGUGUUGUAUAAACUAUCUUAGCAAUAUCAUUAUAUAUAUAUAAAUAAGAAAUAAGAUUUCUUAAGUUUAGUUAAAUGGGUCGGGUUCGGUAUGAGUCAAAAAUUUUACAUUGCAAUAAAUGAGUCAUAAACAGGUUAAAUGGGUCGAUUUGGAUCGAACCAUUUAUGACUGGACCCAAACCUGACCCGAUCCACCCAUUUAACGGGUCUAUAUGGCGGCUGUGAUGGACCUCCAUCUCUCUCUCAAUUUUGUUUUCUAUUAUAUUGUUUGAUGUGGUGCUUUUUUGGCUAAUAAUAAUUUUCAACUAAUCAUAACAUAACACGCAUGCAUUUUGGUCAAUCUAUGUCAUUUAUUCCGCAAUCCAUGUCAACAAAAAAAAAAAAAAAUUAGGAGAAAAGGUAUAAUGAAAUGACUAUAUGUUGACUUUAAGAGAGAAAGAUGAUUUUGAUUUUCGGACAAAAUAAAGGACAAUGGUGAUAUUAUUCAUUGAAAAGAAAAAAAAAAAAAAGACCUUCAUUCCACGUUAUAUGUUGCUUUUCUAUCUAAGUUCCAUUGUUGAAUUAAUCAAGGUUAGCAAUAUAAUAAUGUAUAUCUUUAGAUUCCAACAAAAGUCCAAUGGAUUAACAUUCCUUUGAAAUGGAAAUUGCGGCCCACGGGCCACCAUCAUCCCCGUUAGGCUAACAUCUCCCAAACGUAAAUUGCAAAUGUUCGUGGUGAUAUUUAGGUAAUUUUCUUUUGAAAAAUAAAGAAAUAUUCUAAAAGAUUUCAUGGAAUUAAAUUCUAAAACUUUCCAAGAGCGUAAUUAAGUCCCAAACUUGUCACAAAAGUACAAUUGAAUUUUAAAAUUUUCAAAAAGCGUAAUCAAGUCCGAAAACUUGUUAAAUUGAUCCAAUCAAAUCAUUUUGUUAUAGUACUUUUUGAAAGUUUUAGAAUCAAGUCAUUCUAUUAAUUACACUUUUUGAAAGUUUUGAAAUUUGAUUACACUUUUCAUAACGGAUUUUAAGAUUUGAUUGUACUUUUUGAAAAUUUUUAAAAUUCAAUUGUACUCUCAUGACAGGUUUCAAGACUCUCGAUGCACUUAUCUCAAAUAUUAAUCACUAAACUUUUUUCAUUCCCAACCUCUACAAGCUGUACUAAAUUAUUUCAAUAUUCGAAUUUACAGUGGGCUAUAACUUUUUGGGAUUAGUUUUAAUUUGAAGUUAUGUAUCUCUUCACGUGAAACAGAAUUUUUCCUUCUGACAAGAAAAAAAAGAAAAAAUAAAAAACUUUUCUGCCUCCCACAUGUCAACAUUGAAGUGUGGACGGCAAAGGAUGUUGGAAAUUCGGUCCGUCUUUUCCCUUCGAUAGUAAUAAUGCCAUAAUCACGUGGGCUUUUUUGUAACGUUAAUAAUAAGCUGUGCUUACGGAUGGCUGUGCUUCGGCCGUCGUGUCGUCACCGCUGCGAACGAGAGCAGCAUAAAAAGGUCAUAUUCUUAUUAGAUUGCCCUAUUUGUAGGUUGUAUCAUUGUUAGCAACAGUAGUAGAGCAUCUCUUGUGCCCAUUGAAGAAUCCAGGCGAUGUCGCCAAGAAGCUGCAAAGGAAAAGUGCAAGCGUGAUUGGCGUGGGGGCUCGCUGGCCGCAGGACGUGAGCUUUUGUAAAACAACAAAAUUAAACAUCCUCAACUUCCAUUCCCGAUAAAAGUAAUAGUACAUGGAGAGAAAACAUGCACCUAACUAGGCAACUACAAUCAAGUGAAAGAUUUCGAAAAGUAAAAUCGUAUUCACUCCCUUCAGCCUAAUACAAGGCAACCCUAGUUUGUAUGAUACUAUCACAGGACCAAAAUUUUAGAGGAUUAAAUAGGCAGCAACCCAACCGCUAUCACUACCCUUUAGCUUACUCACCAGACAAACACACACAAUCACACACCAUACCCAGCCCCACCUCAGCAAACAGCAAUCACCACAAAAUAGAACCGACACGUUAAGGGGGAUCUUGAAAAUUGUAAGAGUUUUACUACUACUCACAAGGCCUUGCUAUUCGAUCCGGUGGGCCCAAUAUCUCCAAAGCAAACCCCUGCGACCAAGAAACGCCCAAAAUCAAUUUUGAGAGCCGCGCCAGCUUAAUUGAUACCCACACCCUCAUCAAAAACCCUAGAAUCAAACACACAAACGCUGAACCAAACAGCUCAAAGCAAAAGAAACAACAGUCUUUGGAACUUUUUCACUCCUAUGAAGUCACAAAUUGAAGUCACGACCGGCAAAACUAGUUCAAAAGAGAUCUGAGCACUUCGGAUCUUCUAAUGUCAAGCCAUUGAAGUUUCGGUCGUGGCGAAGAGAAACGGAGAUGGAAGUCCCUAAUGGAAGUCGUGUCUUGCAGAAUUAAUUCUUCUCUCUGUGUCUGUCACUCUCACUAAAAAGGAAGGAAAUAGAGCCGAAGGGUGCAACGCAUUUAGUAAUCAUUUUGUUCCUGGGAAUAAUUUAUGCUUAGAAAUAAUUUUUUCUAAUAUUGUUCUUUGGACGAGUUAUUUAGCAUUCAACCGUAUUAGUAACUUCAUAAAAUUUAUGUUCAUUGAAUAGAAAAGAAUAGAAAUAUGUUUAGCACAAGUCUUAAAUUUUUUUUUUUUGUGACAUACAAUUUCUUUUUAUUUUUUAAUAAAUUUCUCAAAUUUGUAUUUAUUUUAUUUAUCUUUUCCUCUUCUCGUCUUCCUUCUCUAGCUAGUCACCGAGCCUCAAGAAUGGCUAGUGGCUAGCUAGAAGUGAGAGCUAGCGACUUUGUUUGCUUCGGGGGCCACUCAUUGGCCUCGGGGGAGCCUAACUAGCUCUUGGUGAGGCCGACCCAUCCAUCCACGACAAGGUCAAGCCUCACCAAGAGUCAACGAGGUUGCCAAACCUCGUUUUUGGUUGGUUGCUGGCCAUUGCCGAGCCUAGCAACUGACUAGAGGAGGAAGAAGAAGAAAAGUAUUUUUUUAAAAAAAAAAGAUAAUGACUUGGUUUCAGAAUUUGUUUCUAGAAACAAAUAAGUAAUUUUUUUCUAUUUUUUUAUUUCUGUUCUAGAUUUAUUCCAUGGCUACUGAUACGUUUUCGGGAAUAGAAAAAUUAGCUGACAUUAUUAAAUGGAUUUUUGUUUUUCGGAAUAAAAGAACAAAAUUAAUUAAGAAUUAACUGGUUACCAAAACGGGCCAAAAUAAAGUGUAAAGGUGUAUGGUGGGUCAUGGACUUAUGGGUGUCGUGUGGGUUUUGAAAAUAUGGGUUAAAAUAUGGGUCAUGUCUGUCUAAUGGAUCUCGCGAGUCGGGUAUAUUGGCUUUUUUUUGGGUCUUUAGUUUUCCACAACCCACUUAACCCAUUUUGAAAGAAAACGAGUUACCAAUAUAACAUUGUGCCUCUUAAAAUUGAGUUAUAACUAGGGGUGAGCGGUUCUCGGUUCUGGUUCCGUUCCGUUUGGAACCUGUAACCUACUCUCGGGUAUAGAUUUAUCAUUUUUUGGAACUUGGAACUUACUCAUCAAAACUAAAAACCUGGAACCUACCUGUCACAAGUUCUAAGAUUGGUUUCAAGUUCCAACAGGUUUUUUUUUUUUUUUUCAUUUUCAUAUUUGAACUAUAACGAAGAAGGAAAGAGACAAACCAAAGCUUCUAUGUCCAUAAAUUGCCAAAAAUAGUUCCUUGGGAGGAGAAGCAUAAAACAAAAAAGCACAUUUUUGUCCCUUUGACUAAUGCCACUCCAAAUUCACCAACUGCACAAUGAAAAGUAAUUAAUUGGUGGUUAGACAACACUCAAUGAAGCUAUAUUUAAAGUAAUAUUGAAGAAAGCUGAGACAAGGAAAUAUUUUUCCUUCUGCUCACCAUGCCUUAAUGGAGAAAGCAAAAGAAUAAAUAGAGCCAUCAAACCAAACUCAAAACAAUUGAAGUGCCAUUUUAAGCUUGUUCUGUCUCCAUUUGGGCAACUUAUAGAAAACAUCCUUUGUCAUCCCAAAUUUCUCUCUGAACUCCAAUGAUGAGAAAUAAGUCUGCUACAUUUCAUGCAAAGCAAUGUCCAGGAACAAAAUGAUACAAUGGGAAAAUCUUAUUUAGAUAUUACCUCUUGCAUAGCUGAAAAUUUUUGCAUUGACUGCAGAACCAUCGUCCUGUAGACAGUAUAACUUCACGGCAAUGACAGCAUACAUACUGCAAAUGGACAACAAUGAAGUCCUCCUUAGCAGGCAGGAUUUUUUCCCCAAGCUGUUAUCAAUAAGAGAAAAAUAAUGAGAGCAUAAUUUAAAGAUACAGAAAAGAAGGUAAAAUCAACCAGCCACGAAGUUGCUGAACAGAUAUCAUCAUUUCUCUAAUAAAUGAAUCUUAUUCAGUCUAUGACACAAAAUGACAGUAUUAUAUACUGCUCAGUUAAACAAGCCGAUGCGGAUCUUGACAUUUAACUUAGCCUCUCGUAUGUUCAGAAAAACACAGGAUUAGAAAUUGCCACUAGAUUUGGCACCAUCUAAUGAAAUAGCAUCUUUUUCUUUUUGGUAAAAAAAUAUCAAAAAGAAAAAGGGUUUAAUACCUUGAAAAACCUCAAACUGAUACACCAGUGACAAAUUUACCCCAAAUUAUUUUUUUGACCAUGAAAAAUCUCAAACUGGUACAUCUAUGACAAAUUUACCCCGACUGACCAUAAGAAACCUUAAAUUGGUACAUUUAUGACAAAUUUAUCCCAAACUAAUUUAUGUGACGGCAAAAAACCCCAACCUGAUAAAUUUGUGACAAAUAUACACUCCGUUAAAUUGAAUUAAUACCACAAAAAAUCACAAAAAUUGUAAACUAUGACAAACGGAUCUUAAAAUCGCAAAUUGGUAUACCAGUCAAUUGUCAUGUGCUAUUUAACUUAAUAAUUUGACAGUAAAAUUUAACGAAAACUAAUAAAGGGUAAAUUUCUCACAAGUGUACCAGUUUGGGGUAAAUUUGUCAAAUGUAUACCGGUUUAGGGUUUUUGGUGGUCAAAAAAAUAGUUUUGGGUAAAUUUGUCAUAGGUAUACCAGAAAGGUCCAAACAGAACCUAGUGAAACUCAAUAAUGGCUAUGGAACUAUAGAUCUCAUGGAGUUAGCAUUAUGCAACUAACAUGUGUAGACAGAAUAGGAAAUCUUCAGGGAAAAAAAUAAGAUUGCUUAUUGUCAUACAAGGAUCCCGCAGGAGUAAAGCAACAACUCAAACAAAACAUGACAUGCAGUCAUCACAACAUCAAUUGCAGAGCACAAAAGCAAGUUAGAACCUACAGUCCUCAGCUUUAACAACUUAUCUGGAUUAGAUUAGUCCAGUUUCAUCCAUGAGUGGCUUACAAUGUUCAAUAAAAAGGUCAAACUGAAAUGGAUCCUUCAAAGCCUUAAGUGUACUACUCCACUAUCAAUCACAUGGACUUGAAAAUUGGAUCUUCCAGUUCGUAUUAAUAUGCAACAAGAGAAACAGACCCCAGCUUCUUGUCUGCUUUCUCAAUUCUCCCAUUUUUUCUAAGAAAAUUUUACCCAUAGUUUUUCAUCCCCUCAUAACCAAAUCCAGCAUCCCCCAUCAACACUACCGCCAAAGCAAACCCAAAACCAACAAUCAAAUAUUCACGCUGGAACUUAAUUUUGCUUUACGAAUUUCAUGAGCAUUAUACCAGCACUGAGUUUGUUAAGAUCUUGCAUGUACUGAAAAUAAUAAAUGAUAUCCAUAAAGCAAGCCGAGGGCACAAGAAAAUAUUGGAGCAUAAAGAGGCUCGCGGAAGGGAAAUAAAAUCAAGCACUUGGUGCCCAUUAUACCUGACAAUAUCCCACGCUUCCAUAGAAAGGGGGAAAAACAGUGGUCAUAACUUGCUACCUUGAAAACAAAAACACUUUGAAAUAGAGCUAAACAAAAGUAGUAUUCUUGCAAACAUGAAUUCCCCCCCCCCCCUAAAUCUUACAUACAAACCACAUUCGUUCAGGUCGCCGGCGGCAAAUAAGGGGAAACCAAGAAAAUGAACAAUAGCAACGUAGAGAGGGGGCAGCAAAGAUUACCGGCUCAAAAGGCGAGCUACGAGCAGCGUCGAGGGCAACUGGCCGACCAGUUCGGUUCUUCGAUUUCCGGUUCUAUCCAGGGACCACACUCACCCCUAGUUAUAACAUAGGUACACGAACCAUCUAACCGGCCCUACUUCUGACCAACCAUAUCAGGGUCAAGUUAGUCAGCAUCCUACUUUAUAUAUUCUCUUUCUGGCUUUCACCAUCCAUGAAAUCAAUAUGGAAGAGAAUGGUUUUUUACUAUCAUUUGCCAACAUAUAAUAAAGAGGAUAUCACAUCGUCUUCCAGGCCGUGCUUAUAUAGGCAAGUACAAAAGAAGAAUGGCAGACCUGUAAUAUACUCAAUGAACCUCCGCAAAAGUUACGGAGCUUCAUGACUUUCGAAGCAGAGAACACACAUUUGGAAAAAGAUCAAAAAGGCAUAAGUGCUCUCGACUGUUCACUUUCAAAGAGCAAGAAUCGAUAUCUCUGAGCUUCAAGAACGUAAUAAGCAGCUAAGUCUUGUCGGAUCAAUCUCCUUAGUCCCAUCAUCUUCAUCAACAUGUAUUCGAGUUUCCUUUUGGCUCUUUAUUUAACAAAGGCAUCCGCACCCUUGUGACUCUGAAGAGAAUCACAUUGGGUGUGGCAGUUACCCAUCCCACAUAUACCGAAUAAUUUAUGGGAGAUGUGCAUUCCUAUGCUCCUGGAUGACUCCAAGAAAAUACGCAAGAAUGAUGAUUCAAAUUAUGAUCUUGAACAUGAGAGAUGAACACACGUAUGACUUGAGCAACCCUAACUCAUAAUAGGACUUAUAACCACCGCCUAGUCCUUGUCAGCCUUCCAGUCAACUGCUUUUUUGUUAGGUAGCGCAAGCCAGGAAUGUUCAUCCUCAUUUCUUCUGGGAAAAUGAAGCCAGUUGGGUAGUCUCUAGUGAUUACAGCAUUUGAAUAUUUGACUAAUCCGUCAUUUCUGAAGCCGGCAUCAGGGGGGGCACCUGCAAAACUUGUUCUUGGUCAAAUCAGACAAAUGCAAGACCUGGACGUUACUGAUAUCAAACAAGUUUGUGUAUCUUGCCGUCCGAAAGUUGCUCAUAAUCUUACUCCUCUUUGAACUACUCUUAUUGUACUUGCAUUCUUUCCAAAUUAACGGAUCAAGAUGAUUAUCAACGCACCAAGAUAUAUUGCAUUCGUUUUCUUGAUUUCAGGCCUGAUCCUCUUCAUCCCAGACACUCCUGCCAAUUCACAAACAUAUCUUCAAGAGGGGAGCUCUAGUAAGGGCAAUUACACUGCUUUUGGCAAGUUCCAAAACAACCUCUACAGCCUCCUCGACAGGUAACUUCACAACAAAGGACGCGUUAACUGUUUCUACAACAUGACAGAAGGGGAAUAUCCAGACAAAGUUUAUGGUCUCUUCCUCUGCAAGUAAAUCACAUGGAAAAGACAUCCAAAGUUUCUACUUUUUAGUAAUACCUUUCAAUUCAAUCCUUAUAAUCUUUGGAAAACCUGAUGUGUUGGUCUUAAUUGAGAUCCUCUAAAAGUAUGGAGAUCCAAUGCCAACAAUUUGGUUAAUACUAUCCAAACUUAAGUGACUACUAAUGCAACUUUCCUAUCCUUUUUUAGAGGCUAUGUUGCAGCCAAUCUCUGUCAGUCUUGCAUCAAAUCAGCUACCGGCAACAUCUUAGAAUGAUGUCCAGGAGAGAAAGGGGUGACCAUAGGGUACGAUGAGUGUCUUGUGCGCUACUCUAACAGAUCAUUCUUCUGUAUCAUGGAGUCAAUGCUGGCUUUUUCAAUGUACAACCUUAUGAAUGUAUCAGAUCCCAACCAGUUCCUCCCGGUUGUGGGGGAAACUUUCAGGAAAGUGAUGGACUUGGCAAUCUCCUUAGAAAGCUUAUGCGUGACCAUCAAUGUUAGUGUCUCAAUUUCAGUGAGUUUGUGUGCACUUGCGCAGUGCACCCUUGACUUAUCAAAGUCAAUUUGUGAACAGUUGUAUGGCUGCUGCAAUCCUCUUUAUGAGGAAAUUAGAUGACAAGCAACAGCACAUUCUCCAACUAACAAAACCAGCAUUGAUUCCGGUACUAGAGGUAUAAAAAUUGUAUAAUGCUCAAAACGUGCAUUCAAUUUUCAUGGUUAGCAUAUAAAGGUACUCAUUAUAAGCUGUUUCGUGUAUCAUAAUGCACUUCAAUUGCUUUUACGAUCUAAACUAUGAUCAUUCUCUCUAGCUUUCUCUGAGUUCCUGUUACUAUUUACGCCUAGUGAGAAAAAUCUGCAGACUAAAUUCAAGGAAUCACUUUGUCUUGAUAGGGGUGAAACAAACAAAAGCUCCAUGGAUUGCAAUAGUUAGCUCAGUCACUGGAUUGUGUUUACUCUUAUCCAUCAUAGGUUCAUGCAUUUUUUUAAACAGGACAAAGAGAUUGAAAAAGGUAUAUAUGAAUUCAUCUUGCUUGCCAUUAGAAGACCAUCUUCUAAACUUUACCUUAUGAGAGUAACCUCUUAUACUGUCAGGGUAGGAAAACAGCCUAGAGGUUCAGUUACUGCAUCUGAGACUAGAAAUUGGAGUAGAGUUUUUAGAGGAAAACUAUCAAGGAGAAAAGCCAGUGGAUCCUCGAGAAUUCACUCUGAUACGAUUAGACGUUAUACGCGCAGCCACUGGGAACUUCUCUGACGAAUGUAAGCUUGGGGAAGGCGGGUUUGGUCCUGUAUACAAGGCAAGCAUUUCAGUGACUAAAUACUUAUUUAUGGGGAUAUUAGGAAAUUCUUCUAAUGGCAGCAAAUUGGCUGUCAUUAUUGUCAAAUCACCACUAACGUUACGCUGUUUCACGGCACAUUGGGAGAUGGAAAAUAAAUUGCAGUUAAGAGGCUUUCAAGAACCUCGGGCCAAGGACUCAUCGAGUUGAAGAACGAAGUCAUCUUGAUUUCCAGACCACAACACAGGAACCUCGUCCGAUUGGUGGGAUUCUGCUUGGAAGAACAUGAAAAACUCUUGAUAUAUGAAUACAUGCCCUUCAAAAGCUUGGAUGUCUUCCUUUUUGGUUUGAGCUUUAGCAGAUGAAAUGAAUCUUUUGGCGAUUUUUAUAAAGGGCAAAUCCAUUUGAGUCUCUCAUCAUCAACAGAUUCAAAUGUGGGGCAAUCUCUUGAUUGGAAGAUGCGCCUGAACAUCACCUGUGGAGUAGCUGAGGGACUUAUAUUUCUGCAUGAGGAUUCUUGCCUAAGGAUUAUCCACAGGGAUCUGAAAAGCUAGCAAGAUAGCAAUAUCUUGCUAGAUGUUGAGAUGAAUCCAAAGGUAUCCAAUUUCGGGAUGGCAAGGAUCUUCAGUAUAAAUCAAGACAAGGCCAACACAACAGAGUUGUUGGCAUUUAGUAAGCGCUUUCAAAUAUGUUUCUACAUCUGUUAUAUAUUUGAAUGAUUUACUAGGCCAAAAAAGAACUCUGAUGAUUAGUUCCACAUGACCAAAAUGUGAAGAUUCAUAUUUCAGAAGUUUCCUAUAAUCACUUGUGAAUUUUUUUCCUACUUCCAACUAAUUGCUCCUCAUCAUAUAGUGGACACAUGGCACCGGAGUAUGCGAUGGAAGGGCUCUUUUAUGUUAAAUCAAACAUCUUCAGUUGGAGUUCUCUUGCUAGAGAUAAUAAGUGGGUGAAAGAAUAAUGGUUUUCAUAUCUGAGAGCACGGUGAAAGCCUUCUCACAUAUGUAUGCUCCUAGUCUCCGUUCCAAUUUAUUAUGAAGUCCAAGAUUUUUGUGCAGCUAUUCUUGCUUAUUUUCCUUGUGAAAUGACAGGCAUGGAAGUUGUGGUCCAAAAAUUGAGGGUUGGAACAUACUGAUCCGUCAAUCAAAGGGUCAUGUGAUGGAGUUCCAGUGCUAAAAUGCAUACAUAUCAAUCUGUUGUGCGUUCAAGAAGACCCGGUGGACCGAUCAACUAUGUCACUCGUGGUUCAUAUGCUAGGAGGUGGUAUGAUCACCCUUACCCAAACAUCACAGCCUGCAUUCUCAGUUGGGAGAUAAGUGAAAACACUGGAUCCUAUCGGACCGAUUCACAAUGUUUCCACCGUUAACAAAGUAAACCAAGAAUCAUCACCUUUCUUCAGUUGUUUCUCUUCCAUACAAUGGAAAUGCUUCACGAUUUGACAAAAUAGAACUAGUUACAGUGUAUGAUCUCUUUAUUAUUGUGACUGCCAUUUCUUAAUCCUUGAAUUACACAAUCAUGAAUUAUAUAUUGUGAGGAAAAAAAAAAAAAACCUGUUUAGUAGUCGUCAUUUCUACUCUAAUUCACCACUAAUGUGCUUUAAGAAUAAUAGAUAUACUUACAUGAGUGAUAUAUCAAUAUUCAAUUCUAUAAGUACCUCAUUAAUAUAUAAGAAAGAAUAUACAUAUACAAAUUCAAUAAUCUAAUUUGAGUAUGUUCACCGAAAUCUUCAUUAAUGAAGAAUGUAGAGUGUUUAGAUAUUACAUCACAUCUGAGCCGUACUUAUUGCAUUCAAAUCUUUCCAAACUCAUGUUUGCCUCCCCUAUUAGAUAUUUUUACACUUCAGUCCCAGACUAAAGUUUAGCUUACACGUGAGGAUAGUGUUAGAUUAUUUAAGUAUUAAAUCACGCUUUUAUCUAAUAGCCUAAGAUAGAAAACUUUUUACAGAGGAGCUACCAAGUCAAGGCAUCAUUUUGUAGUAGUUUUGAAUGGGUCAUGUAACGACUUUCUAGACUUUGUAUCAAAUUUAAUUUGGCUUUGUAAUGUUUGAUUUAUUUUUUUAUAAACUCUUUUUUAUUUUGUAAUGGCUAUAUAGCGGUCAUCUUCUCCUUCAAUAAUUACUAAUUUAUUUACAAUUGUCUCUUAAAACUCUCUCUUUCUUUUACCUAUAAAUUGUUACUCCGAAUAUAAUUGGAAAGCGAAAUUGAUAUAUCAAAACAAAAAUAUUCCUCUUUACGUAUCUUUCAUUUCCUUGUUGAAUUAUACACAUAACUUUGUUCCCAUUCCUUCUAUUAUUCUAUCGCAUUGAGUUUCUACUUUGAGGGCUGGAAUUAUGCUUUAAAACGGUGCUUUGUACACCUCAAACAUUUGAUUUUAUUUUCUCAGCAUUUUCAAUAGAAUUCCAACAAUUAUUAUUUUCAUAUUAUCUAACAUUUUCCCAACAAUCUUGACGGUAAUUGCCUUAUGGAUUCCCUAGUCUCUGCUGUCUCGCACCAGUUUCUCCGGCGGUUUGAUGUUGGCUAGCGGUUUCACUGUCGCGAAACAUUUAAUCAUUGUCGUUGCGGCUCUUCUUAACCGACCGCGACUUAGUUCACUCCUUCGAUCGCGAUUCCAGUGGGGCAACCAUGACUCUGGCGGCUUUAUCUACAAUCUCCUGUCGUGUCUUCAGCUCUGCCGCUGUGUAUCCUUCUCCAUGACAGGCGAUGAUGAAAUCCAUUGAUGGUUUUAUCUAUAAGUUGAUGGGCCUUAGUAGGCCUGUCCGCCCAUGUUGGGCCUAAAAGCCUGGCCCGCAAAAUAAGGGCCCAUGGAGGAACGGUUGCGAUGUGAAAGGCUACGUUGUUUAGAAUGAGGAGUUGUGUCUUUUGGGGGAAUGUUUUACAUUGAAGAGUUACGUCUAUUAGAGAAGACGUAAGAGAGAAAAGAAAAAGGGAACGUACCCCUUCAACUUACGUACGUUGUUUUUUGUCUCUCUCCCCCCCUAAGAAACGUAAGAGAAUAGUACCCUCAAAACAACAUUUUUCCCCCUAAUAGCGAUAGCACGCUCCUCGGUAGAAAGAGAUUAAGAUUCUUCCUCGAACUUCAAGGUUGGUGUUUAAUCUGUGGACAAUAAGGUACACUCGAUUCCAUGGUAUAUCUUUGAUCGGUGAUACAUGUGAUUCCUGGGCUCGUCUUCCGCGUUCAUUUUAGGGGUUCGAUUAAGUAUCGGAAACGAUUUUAGGGAAUACGUUAUUCCCAACAUUAGUAUCAGAGACAUUGUUCAUAUUUCUUGAUCCCUUUUCAUGUUUAUGAUUUGUUUUUUGAUUGAAUUUUCAUGAAACACCGCCGUCAGCCGAUUGAGACGGAAAAAUCCCGACACCCACAUAUUGUUCCCCCUAUUUUGUAAUUUUCUGUAAGUCGAAAUUCGUUUUGAUAACGCAGGGUCGAAGCUCUUGUUAAUACAAGAAAAACGAGUCGCGGAUCAUCGCCAGGGGCCGCCAAACGUGCCGCCACACGCGGCUGGAACGGACUGGGGUCGUUGGCGCGUGCCAUGCACGCGCCAGCUAACGUCAUAGUGACGUCAUCCAAGCACGCGCAUGGCACGUACCAAUCGAUUCGUCCUACCGGCCCGACCGACCCGACUCGUCCGACCCGGCCUCAGCGGUCCGACCGGUUUGACCCGUAUCAGCCCGACCCGACAACUAUUGACCCGAUUGACCUGUUGAUUCAAUCCGUUGACCGUUGACCCCUUUGAUCGUUGACCGUUGACUUUGACCAUUAACUAAAAAAAAAAAAAAAGAGGAGGAAAAGAAUGUGUUUCUUUUGCCAAGUAAUUCUAUGUGGAUUAUAAGUAAUCCCUUAUUUGUUCUGCAUUUGUUACAAGAACAAUGUCUCCCUGUAAGGUGCGCACACCUAUUCGCGCAAAUUCAAAUGAACAAAAGGAAAGGCUUUCUAAGUUGAUAACUGAGCUAACAGAUUAUCGAUGGGAGAAUGGUGACUUAAUUGAUCAUGUUCUCGUAGUUAACAAUAAAAUACAACAGGUCAUAUGGAAUGGUCAUCUCAUGCCACAUUCUGAGAUGGUGUGAUUCUUCAUGAACAUUAUUCCACUAAUAUGGCAAGGAGUGUUGAAUCGCCUAUGGGAGGUUAACAGAGCUAUUACGUAUAAGAGGCUUGUAAUGACUUUUAUAGAUGAACAUUACCGGAUUGAAGCCAAAAAGACUGCGACCCAUGGAAUGACUUCGAUCUGGCGGAGAAUGGAUGUAUGAAGGAGAAAUCCUAAGGGAUACUCGUCUGUUUUACCGUGGCUACCUAGAAUGUCUCAAGAAUUUAAAGAAUAAAAGAUCAAUAAAUUAAACAAAAAUGAAUAUUUCCCAGUUCAUGUGUUGUCUUGGCGUUAGAUGUUUUUGACUGAUCUUUAUUUAAGUAUGCUUUAUGGACAUGUUAUGUAAAUGUUUUCUACCUAGAUGUUGUUGGUGUAGCAACUGAUAUGUUAGUUGCAUUAUAUGAAAGCAUUACUAUUCUAUCAUUAUUAGAUGUCGAAUAUUAUUUGCUUCUGUUAUUAUUGACCGUUGUGGAUAGUUCAUAGAAGUUUUUGUAGCUUUAAAGAAUUUAUUUUGUAUAAAAGAUUAUAUUAAUAAUAAUUCCAAGUUAUGAUUUUUGGAUGAUGAUUGGAAACAUAGUGACAUUUUGAUUCCGAAACCAUACUUGAAAUUAUUCAUUAAUAUGAUGGUUUGUGCAAAAUGGAUGCGUAAAUAAUAAGCAUUAAUAAUUCGUGCAUAUAUGUUUGAUAUGUUUAGAUCAAUGGCUUCAGCCACAAAGAGCAUAGUCACUGAGCUAAACAAAGGUGAGAAGCUCAAUGGCGAUAAUUUUGAAAUAUGACACAUGAAAAUCCAAUAUGUACUAGAAGAGCAAGAGGCAUUAGAAAUUCUUAACCUGACUAUGGAAGUACUUGAAGAUAGAAACAUUGCACAACAUAAGAGAGAUAAGGAUGCAUUUGCUACCUGGAAAAGAAAGAACUCUCUUGCUCACAUUACGUUGCUGAGUAGUAUGGAAAAUGAUGUCAUGCAAGAGUUCAGGCAUUUUGAGAAUGCCAAGAAAAUGUGGGAAGCGUUGAUAGCAAGAUUUGGUCAUGCUUUGGUGACCAGACUGAGAUAGCUUACUAUUAGGUUUGUCUCUUAUAAGAAGCCUCAUAGUCAGACUAUGAAGCAACACCUUAGAAAGAUGUCAAACAUGAUUAAUGAGUUAAAAGAUUUUGGACAUGUCCUGACUGAUGAGCAGCAAGUGCAGUGAUUCAUUCCUUGCCUCAAAGGUGGGAGCAUAUGAAAGUGCACCUAACCUAUAAUGAGAAUAUCAAAACCUUUGAGGAUGCGAUGCGUUAUCUUGAGCUAGAAGAGGAUCGUCUCUUGGCGGCUAAGCUUGAAACUGAAAUUUAUCAUGCUGGUUCCAGCUUACAUGGAGCUUUGAGCUCCAAGCACAAACGUCUUAACUGGUUUGAUAAAAGGAAAGGCAAGGAAGCAAGUUCUUCGGGGAAGAAACCUAAGCUUGACCAACAUGAAAGAGGAAAGCGUCCUCCAAUGAAGAAGUUAACAAGGGUGAAGUGUUAUAAUUGUGACAAGAAUGGUCAUUAUGCUCGCAACUGUCGUGAGCCAAAGAAGGUAUACACCCAUUGUACAUUUCAAAACUUUGCUUAUGUGUUGAGUUAUGUAUUCUUAACUGAGUCUAAUCUUUUGUGGACUGUGGAUUCAGGAGCGACAGGCCAUGUAGCGAAGGAUAGAGAAUCCUUCGUGAAAUUCUUAUGAGUACCAACUGGAACUAAAUGGAUCUAUGUAAGAAACUUCAAAGCAGAAGUAAAAGGGAUUGGCACCUGCCAACUUAACAUGCGUGGUGGACGCACUUUAUUCCUACAUGAUGUAUUGUAUGCUCCGGAGAUUCGUUAGAAUUUAUAUCUGUUUUAGUGUUGGUUAAGCUUGGUUUUAAUAUGAACUUCCAUAAUAGUGGUGUAGAUUUAUAUUUAGUUACAAAUUACUAUGGUUGUGAUUAUUUUCUAGAUGGUUUCAUUAUAUUAAAUAUUGACUAUGGUAAUGCCAAUGUUUGUUAUUCGCUUUUCACGUCUCCUAAUUUAUAUGAUAAUGAUGUGAAUGUGUGGCAUGCUAGACUUGGUCAUAUUGGCCAACAACGUAUGAAUAGACUAGCCAAAGAGGGCUUAUUGGGCAACAUUGAAAAAGUCGAUUUGCCCAUGUGUAAGCAUUGUCUAGUAGGGAAAACGACAAAGAAACCAUUUGAAAAAGGUAAAAGAGCUAAAUUUCCUUUGCAUUUAAUCCAUUCCGAUGCCUGUGGUCCGAUGAAUGUGAGAGGAAGGCAUGAGACUGUUUAUUUCAUCACAUUUAUAGAUGAUUAUACUCGAUUUAGAUAUGUUUAUUUAAUUUAUUAUAAAUUCGAAGCAUUGAGUUGUUUCAAGAGGUUUAUGAACUUGGUAGAAAAUCAAUUAGACAAGAAAAUAAAAGUAUUGAGAUCCGAUCGAGGUCGAGAAUAUUUAUCUGAUGAGUUCAGAAAGUUCUGUGAUAAAAACAAAUAAUAGAAAGACAGUUGUAUAUUCCAUAUAUUCCUCAACAAAAUGGUGUUGUGAAGAGAAGGAACAUAACCCUAUUGGAAAUGGUUAGGUCCAUGAUGACGCAUGCUAACUUACCCAUUACUUUUUAGAGUGAUGCGUUGUUAACUGCUGUUAUAUACUUAACCGAGUGCCUUCCAAAUCAGUUACUUCCACUCCAUAUGAGUUAUGGACAAGCAGAAAACCGAACUUAAGUUUUCUUAAACCAUGGGGUUGUGUUGCCUAUACUCAUGAGCCCUCUCACAAGUUUGGGAAAUUGGGUCCCAGAGGAAAGAAGAGUAUUUUUAUAAGAUACUCUAACACUCGAAAGGGUAUGUGUUCAUAGGUGAGCAGGAAAGUAGAAGUAUAACUGAAUUCGAAUCACGGGAUGUCACAUUCUUAGAGAAUGAAUUUCCUAAAAAAUGCGAAAUAGGUGAGGAUCUAAGUAGCAUCAAUACGCGACACGGACACGCGACAUGACACAACACGACACAUCGACACGUCAUUUCUUAAAAAUAUAGAAUUUCGACAUGUUCCGACACGUUAUAUAUUAAAUAAAUAUUUUUAUUUUUAAUUAAUUUUAUUUAAAUUCACAAAUAAAUAAAUAAAUAAAUAAAUAAGAACUUACAAUAAAUUUACACUAAUAAUAUUAAUAAAUCUAUUCAUGAAAAAUUAUUCAUAAUUAAUACGUGUGCAUAUUUAAAAAUAUAUUUUUUAUUUUAACAAAAAUUAUUCCCCUCAAACCCUCCCUUCUCAUUUCUCUCUCCCCCUCUUCUCCCACGCCACCACCCUAAAAUCUCCCCCCUUCGAUUUCUGCGAAUCUACCCCCACUCUCUCUCUCCCCAUCCCCUUCCCCCUACGCCCCCACUUGCUCCUGCGCCCCCAUCAAUUGCCCCCAUCCCCCUCGGAUUUCUUCCCUUCUCUCCUCUCUUCUCUCCCCCUCCCCCUCCCUUUACCCCCCAUGCCACCACCUGCUCCCCUACAAGGCUGCACCCCCCAUCAAUCCCCCUCCAUCCUUGUUCUUCCCCUGCUCUCUCUCUGUGGCAUCCUAGAAUUUCAUGACAACCCUUGGAUAUACCAUGAACCUUAUAAGUUGGAUUUUAUUGAUUAUUGUUGCAAAGUUUUAUGGCCAAGUGAAAAAGUGUAAUUAGGUCUUUAUAUAAGUGGGAAUUAAGGUGGAUUAUUAGGAAUAAUUGUGGGCUGUGUAUUUGAGGACCAAAUCAGCUCAAGACAGCCCAUAAUUUCCCACCAUUCGGCUGACCAAGCCCAGCCCGAGGAGCCCAUGAAGUAGUCGAUCGAAGGAGGGAGAGGCCCGGCCCAUUGAGCCCAUCAACUUGCAUGGCAAAAUUAACAAGUGGCAAGAGAGAUUAGCCAAGUAUCUAAUGCCAUACAAAUCAAAUCUAAUGAUGAAGGGGAAAGAAAAGAGGAGGGGCGGAUUGAGAGAUAGGGUUUUCGACCGAGAGAGAGAGAGAGAGAGAGAGAGAGAGACCGAGCGAGCGUGCGAGAGAAGAAGAGAAGAAGGAGAUCGGUUGCCGCUGUGAGUCCGCCUUGUCCCACCGUCGUGCUUGCUGUGAUUUUCUUUGGAUUAGAGGCAAGUAGAGUCCGUUAGCCUACACUUUACUUGUUGUAGUUGUGAUGUUGAAUGCAGGGAAUGUUUGAGCUGUGAUGUUGAAUGCUGGAAACUCGAGUGAAUGGAGGUAGUUUUCCAAGUGAGCUGUUGCAUGUAGGAACAAUCCGACUUUUGGUGAUUUCGUGAGCUGCAUGCAAUGUUCUAGUUGGAAUCUCACUUCGACUUCUUGAUAAAAGUUGUAGAGGACUUCUUGAAGAUUAACAUAUCAAAAUUUGAGGGAAAACGAACAAGUAUUUGUUGGUGAAACCAUUUUUCUUCAAAGAUACUAGAUUUGGAAACUGUUAUGUUGAUCUAUUGUGAUUCUGUGAAUUUUGUGCAAUUAUCCAGUCCGAAUUUGAUCUCGUGUCCUUGAUAAGAGUUGUAAAUGACAUCUUGAGGGGUAAUAUACUAAAAUUUGAGAAUAAACGAACAAGUAUUGAUCGGGGACAAUCAUUUUCUUUGAAAGGGUUAAAUCUAGAGAGUGAGCCGAGAGUUAGGGAGAGUUAUAAAAAUUAUAAAUUUUAAUCCAGAAGGAAUUAGACUUUAAUUUCUUCAUUGGACUUUUACUUCUAGGCCACAUCUAUAACAUAUUAAAAUCUCAGAAUUUACGAAGUUCAUUUAAGAGCUUAAUCGAAAUUAUUUCCGAAACUGUGCAAAAAUGGCGUUGGAAAUUCUGUUGCUGUGAUGUAUGGACCUAUGCGAUUGAUGUGAAACUGUCUUUGUGGCAUCCUAGAAUUCCUUCCUAAUCUUUAGGGGUAUUCUAAUUCAUGUCUUAUAUUAAGACUUUAGCCAAGCCUAUGGUGAAUAAUUAUUUGAUAAAAAUUUCUAUUUUUGGCCAUGAAGGAUUAUGGGUUGGAAUGUGUUAAGAUAGGUCACAAAGUCUUGUGAAUUAUAAAUUUCAAUUAGGUGUUUAUAAAAUUAAAGGUUUAAGGAGGAUUAUUAGGAUGAGAUGUGGGCCAAAGUAUUAGCUUAAGACCAGCCCAAAAGAAGCCCCACCCUUCGGCCAUUUGGGCCUAGCCGCGAAGCCCAAAGGAGGAGGAGGAAUAGUCAGCCCUUGGCUGGCCCAAGCCCAGCCGAAAGAUGGAGGCCCAUCUUGCAUGAAGAAGGCCAUUUGUCCCUCCUAGCUGCCAAGUGUUCCCCAUGCAAAAUCAAUGAUUGUUCAUCAUUGAGGGGAAAAAACUAAGGGAACCGGUUGAUGAUGAAGGGAGAGGGAAAGCGUCGUCGAUUAGGAGGGAGUGAGAGAGAGAGCUACCGAGAGAAAGAGGGAAACCGAGAGAGAGGAGGAGAAGGCCGCGCGAGGAAGAAGCCGUGUGUUUGUCCACCGUCCGCCGUGCGUCCGUCGCUCAUCACCAUCCGUGUGCUUGCUGUUUGCUCGGUCUAGAGGCAAGUUGGGAUCCUUAAUCUACUCUUGCAUGUUAUAUCUAGCAUGUGUGUUUGAAUGGUGAUGAAUUUCGGAUGUCUAGGGUGUUCUCGAGUAAACCGUCUGACCCAGAAUGUUGUAGUGGCUUGCAUGCGAUUUUUAAGUCGGCUUUUGGCUUCGACUUCUUCAUGAAAGUUGUAGAUAACAUCUUAAAGUAUAACAUACUAACAUUUGAGACAAAAUGGCUGAUUUUUUAGGGGUGAAACCCUCCCUCUACGAAAAUGUUAGAUCUGAAGCUGUUUUGUUGACCUCUUGGUGAUUUUGUGUGUUGCAUGUAACCUUUUACUGAAAAUUUCUCUUCUAUUCCUUCAUGAAAGUUGUAUAGAACAUCUUGAAUACUAACAUACUCAAAUUUCAGGUAAAAAUAACAAGUAUAGCCUAGUGAAACGAUUUUUCGUUUGAAGACGUUAGAUCUGGAAAUGUUGUACUGAAUCCCAGUGACUUCGUGGACUAUAAAGUGACUUUCCUUUGAAAAUAUCACCUUAAUCCCUAAUGAAAGUUGUAGUAAACCUAAUGAGGAAAAACAUAUCAAAAAUUGAGAGGAAAAUAUGGAAGACAAGUAGAUAAAAUCAUGAUUUUUCGGAGACGGCUAAACCUGGAAUGUUCGGUACUAGGAACAGGGCUUCGAACGUUCAUAAUUAAUUAUAUAGGACAAAUAUGACUUCAGUGUCUUCAUGAAAAAUUUAAUUUAGGAUCUUUACUACCACAUAUUUAAAUUUCAUAAUUUUUUAAGGUCAUUAUAGCAUUUAAUCGGAAAUAUUUCAAAACCCGAGUAAUCUGACGGGUACGGGUUUAGUCAGCUUCAAUGCAUGGAUCAUAUUUUUUUUUAUGAAGUUCUUUCGGUAAAGUGUUCUUCACGAAGUAUCAUUAUGUAUGUCUUUUCUGCAACAUAUUCAAAUUUCAUAUUUUUUGAAGUUCAAUUACCUAUUUAACCAAAAAUAUUUCAAAAACUGUGCAAGUUGUAUUGAUAAAAUAGAAAUGCUGUGAUGCGUGAUCUAUAUCAAAUUUUAUGAUGGUCUUUUUGUGCAGUUUCCUUCAUAUGAUAUCUGCCAUUAUGUCUUGACCAGCACACGUUCAAAUUUCAUAAUUUUUAAAGACCAAUUGGGUAUUUAAUGGAAAUAUUUUCUAAAACUGUGCAGGCUGGAUUGUGCGAAUUUGAAAUGCUGAAAUUUAUGAUUAUUCUGUUUUGGAUGAGCCCUACUAAUUAUAUUGGUUGAGGUGAUUGAAUCUUGCUGAGCAUGUGAUGAUAUUUGGCAUUGCAUAUAGAAUCAAAUGCUGAAUUUGACUUGGUUGUCAUUACGUCAUGUGCCAUGUUGAUUGUGAGACAUAAAUUGGUGAACAUGAAUUAUGAUGAAUGAGGAAACUGUUGGAGGUGGGUCGAUAAUGCCCUGGGGGUAUCAGGAUGCUCGGGAUGGGGGGUGCCGGAUGCCCAGUUGUAUUGUGAUACAUGCCCGGAUGUCCUCGGGAGUUUCGAAAUGCCCGGAAUGGUUGGGUGCCGGAAGCCUCAGAGGUUUGUGCCCGGGGAAUGCCUCGUGAUGCUAGUUGGGAUGCGAGAUGCCCGGAAUGUGGGGGUGCCGGAUGCCCGGUGGUGUGUGCCAGAGGUUUCUCGCGAUGCUAGGUGGGGGUGUGAGUGAUAAAAAUGUGGGAUGCAAUUACUGGUCCCGGGAAAGGAAGAUGUGGUGAUCAAAUUGAAAGAUAAAAGUGUAAAUUGAAUCAUGCACAUAUGAUAUGGUGACAUACGCAUGGCGAUGUGAUAUGAUGAUGAUAAGUGCAUAGUUGUAUGUGCACCGAUGGCAUGAUGAUAUAUAGAUGAUAUGAUGAUGAUGAGUGGAUGGUUGUAUGUGCACCUAUGGCAUGAUGGUAUAUGUAUGACAUGAUGAUGAUGAGUGCAUGGUUGUGUGUGCACCUAUGGCAUAAUGAUACAUGUAUGACAUGAUGAUGAUGAGUGCAUGGUUGUGUGUGCACCUAUGGCAUGGUAUAUGUAUGACAUGAUGGUGAUGAGUACAUGAAGAGGUAUGUACAUAUGGUAUGAUGACAUAUGCAUGGCUGCAAGGUAAGUAAUGCUUGGAUGCAUGAAUGACAUGUACUAUGCUAUGAUUGUUAUGAUUGUAUUGUAUGAUGCAUUGAGUGGUUUAUUGGAUCUUUUACUUGCUUAGUGAUUGUACUCACCCCUUCGGGAACCAACAUUCAGACUAGAAAGAUGCCGCUUCCUACUAUCACGCGGGGCACCUUCUAUGGCCUCCCAUCUGAUGUGGAGGUAGAGUGUAUGGAGAUCGACUGCAUUACCAUCCAUGGUCUGACGUUUGUGAGAGUGCGAGUGCUGGUCAUGUACGAUGUGGGCCUAGCUGAGGGCCUAGUCAUUCAGGAGUUUAUGUCGGUUCAUGUUCGCCGAGAUGGAGUGUUUAGGGGGAUGUUGCUGCCACCACCGCCCGACGCGCCAAGAUGGGUGUGAUGGCCGCGUGAGGGGUAAAAAGCUUAUGUUUCUUUUUGGGGGUAACCGACACUGAUAGAUGGAGGAUGACACGUGAUCGUUAUAGGGGUCAAGAUAUCCUUUUGAGAUGUGGCCAAGUGUAGCUAAAAAUUUUGGCUUUCUUUUGUUGUAUCGACCUGAGAAAAUCCAUCAUGAAAAUAUGUAAAUAAAAAUGGCUCGGCUUUAUCCUUUCCUAUGGUGCUUAGUGGUGUGCAUUGUACCAUGAUUGUUGGAGGGAGAGAUGGUGAUAUUCAAUUAUGCUUCCACUAAUAAGUUGCGCUGGGACCGUUUUUUUUUUUUUUAUAAAAAAAAAAAUGCCUAUGAACUAUGAUGUUUCUACUAAGAGAUGUAAUUAGUGUUCGUUAGGUGGAGCGAUAGGUACUUGUGGCGACCUUAGGUGGUUCGGGGUGCCACAGCCGCUGCCCCCCUUUUUGGUAUCAGAGUGAAUGAUUAUAAGUUGGAGUGAUAAGGAACCUCAUUUGGAAAUUGAGGAACAUGAUGACAAUGCACACCAUAGGAUAUUAACUGGAAUGGUUGGGUAACUUUGAAUAACGGGUGAUGAGUAAUCACUCGUAGAUCCUUAGUAGUUAUUAUUAGUUACUUUUAGGUGACAGUAACAUGGUUAUGUUAGUGUUGUUGUUUUUAAUGAAGACAUUGAGUCACAGAUAAUUCCUGAGGCAAAUGCUUGGAAACUGCAGGAAAAUCAUGGUAUGAUAUGGAAGUCAUCAUCCGUCAAGGGCCGAAGCCUCUGCUGCAAGGGCUGAACCCCGGAUGGAAGAUAUCCUGCAGGCAUUGGCCAAUAUAGGAAAUCUGAUGGAAAGACAAGCGCAGCAACAACUCUGAGCAGAAAGCCGUACUCAAGGACUGGUGGAGCAAUUUCUGAAGUUGAAACCACCUAAGUUCAGUGGAAUGGGAAGUCCUGAGGAGGCGGAGCAUUGGAUUGAUGGAAUGGAACGAAUUUUCCGAUUGUUGGACUGCAAUGAUGUUGAGAAAAUAACUUUGGCAGAGUACCAGCUGGAGGAAAAUGCAAAGUUUUGGUGGAGAGCUUCAAAGGACAUAAUCUUUCCACCAAGUACUGAUGUUAAUUGGGGAGAGUUUGUGAGAGCUUUUAAUAGAAAGCAUUUUUUUUUACUGUGCUAAGGACAAGAAAUUUCAAAAUUUGUUCAAUUAGAACAAAAUGAGCUGACAGUAGACCAAUAUGAGGCUAGAUUUUCUGAAUUAUCUAGAUAUGCUCCUAGGCUGAUUGAAGAUCAGGAAGAAAAGACUAAGAGAUUUAUGAAAGGGUUGAGAACUGAUAUCAGGAAACAACUAGUGCCUUUGAACAUAAGGGAUUACCAUGAGAUUUAUGAAAGGGCACAAUUAGUGGAGCAGGAGCUGAUGAGAAAACGAUCAGAGUUUAAGAAACAACUAAACUUUAAUGAUGUGAGAAGGGGUAAGAGACCCUACCAUGGUCAAGGUUAGACUUGGAAUGUGAAGAAAAAGAGCAAUUUUGGAAAUUUUGGGAGAGCAAGAAAUGGCCUGAAUAUAGGGAAAGCACCCUAUCAGCCUGAUGUUUGUCAAAGGUGUAAUGGGUGACAUGGCCCAAGACCUUGCAAUGGACGAUUGAGAUGUUUUGGUUGUGGACAAGUGGGCCACCUUAGGAGAAGUUGCCCACAAGAAAGGUCGCAAAUGAGUGUUGGCUCGGUGUGACAGGGACAACAGAGUGCUGUUAGAUCAAACUUACCAAGGAAUCCUCAGAGGCCACCAGCACAAGGAAGGGUGUAUGCGGUCACCCAAGAGGAGGCGAAAGCUUCCAAAAAUGUUAUCUCAGGUACGAUCCUUAUAAAUGGUAAAAAGGCAUGUGCGUUGUUUGAUAUGGGUGCUAUGCAUUCGUUUGUGUUUGAAAGAUAUAGGCAUUUGAGUAAAAUAGAAGUUACGCCCCUUGAGAUGCCUCUUUGUAUUUCCACACCUGUAAAGAAUAUGGUAUUGUCUACGCUAGUGUGUGGAAAUUGUAAAAUAUCAAUGGGAGGAAAGGAUAUGGAAAUAGACUUGGUCGUAAUGGCUAUGUAUGAUUUUGAUGUUAUUAUAGGAAUGGAUUGGCUUUGUAAGUAUCGGGCCAAAAUGGGUUGUUAUAGAAAAGUGAUCCAAUUUGUCUUACCUGAUCAGUCUAGUUAUGAAUUUUUGGGAGGUUAGACCAACCAAUCUAUAGCACUUAUCUCAAGAAUAGAAGCUCGUGCGUUACUUGACAAGGGAUGUCAAGGGUACCUGGCUAUGGUUAAAGAUUAUACUAGGGAAGAGCCUAAACUUGAUGAAGUUCGAGUGGUUAAUGAAUUUCAAAAUGUAUUUCCUGAGGAGUUGCCCGGAUUACCACCAGAGCGGGAAGUUGAGUUUGAAAUUGAAUUAAUGCCUGGAACAUGACCAAUAUCUAAAGCCCCGUAUAGGAUGGCCUUAGUCGAGUUAAAGGAAUUAAAGGUGCAACUACAAGAGUUGCUUGACAAAGGAUUCAUUAAGCCAAGGGCUUCACCUUAGGGUGCACCAGUUUUGUUUGUGAAAAAGAAAGAUGGGCCGAUGCGCUUGUGCAUUGAUUAUAGGCAACUGAAUCAAGUAACCAUUAAAAAUAAAUAUCAUUUGCCUAGAAUUGAUGACCUAUUUGACCAACUCCAAGGAAAUUCGGUCUUCUCUAAGAUUGACUUAAGGUCGGGAUACCAUCAGCUAAGAAUUAAGAAAGAGGAUAUUCCUAAAACUGCGUUUUGGACUCGUUAUGGACAUUAUGAGUUCCUGGUUAUGCCAUUUGGAUUGACAAAUGCACCAGCUGCAUUUAUGGAUCUAAUGAAUAGGGUAUUUAAGUCUUAUUUAGACCAGUUUGUGAUUGUUUUUAUUGAUGAUAUUCGGAUAUAUUCAAAAGGGCCUAAAGAGCACGAAUAGCAUUUGAGGAUAGUUUUGCAAACCUUAAGAGAUCAUAAGAUGUAUUCCAAAUUUAGCAAGUGUGAAUUCUGGCUAGACUAGAUAAUAUUUUUAAGACAUGUGGUAUCAGGAGAAGGAAUUGCAGUAGACCUGCCAAAAGUUAAAAUGGUAAUAAAUUGGCAAAGAUCGACAACACCUACUGAAAUACGGAGUUUCUUAGGACUGGCUGGCUACUAUAGGAGGUUUAUUGAAGGAUUUUCACGAUUGGUGGGUCCUUUAACAAAAUUGACUCGAAAGAACGUAAAGUUUGAAUGGAAUGGGGAAUGUGAAAGGAGUUUCCAAGAGCUUAAAAGAAAAUUGACCUUGGCUCCAAUCUUGACUAUACCAACAAAAUUGGAUGGUUUUACAGUGUAUAGUGAUGCAUCUCACAAAGGACUGGGAUGUGUUUUGAUGCAGCAUGGCAAGGUCAUAGCCUAUGCAUCUAGACAAUUGAAACCCCAUGAACUGAAUCACCCAACGCAUGAUUUAAAACUAGUAGCUAUAGUGUUCGCUUUGAAAAUAUGGAGUCAUUAUUUAUAUGGGGAAAAGUUUGAGAUUUAUACGGAUCAUAAGAGCUUGAAAGAUCUAUUAUCACAAAAGGAGUUGAACAUGAGACAAAGGAGGUGGAUGGAGUUGUUAAAGAAUUAUGAUUGUGAGAUAUGAUACCAUCCAGGGAAGGCGAAUAAGGUAGCGGAUGCUCUUAGUCGUAAGUCAGCUAUGGAGAUGGCUAGUUUAAGAAUGGCGGAAUGGAGUUUGUUAAAGUCCGUAGAAGACUCAGAGUUUAAAUUGAAAAUGGAUUGUCUUACAAAUAUGCUUAGUGCAUUAAGAAUUGAACCUGAAAUUAUUCAGAAAGUUAAGACUUUACAAGAAUCUGAUCUGGAAAUUAUGAAAGUGAAAGAUGCAGUGUCUUUAGGAAAAAAGACCAGAAUUUCAAGUCUCUGAAGAUGGAGUGGUAAGAUGCCAAUGAUGACUCUUUGUUCCCGACAACGAAGAGGUAAAGAAGGAAAUUUUGUCGGAGGCACAUAAGAGUAAUUACAGUGUUCAUCCAGGUAGUACAAAGAUGUACAGGAAUUUACGUCAGCAAUUUUGGUGGAAUGGUAUGAAAGCAGAUAUGGCUAAGCACGUUUCUCAAUGUUUAAUGUGCCAGCAAGUAAAAGCAGAGCAUCGCAAACCCGCAGGACUUUUGAGACCGUUAGACUCACCAGAAUGGAAAUGGGAACAUAUAACAAUGGAUUUUGUGCAAUGAUUGCCAAGGACAUCAAGUGGUCAUGACUCUAUCUGGGUAAUAGUGGACCGUCUAACCAAGUCUGCUCAUUUCCCAUUUCCUAGCAGUUCGCAUAGACUACCCAAUGGACAAAUAUGCGGAUUUAUAUGUAAGCCAAGUGGUACGCUUACAUGGUGUUCUGGUAACUAUUACCUCAGAUCGGUAUUCAAGAUUUACUUCGAACUUUUGGCGAAGUCUUCAAAUUGCCUUGGGAACUAAACUCCAAUUUAGUACUGCUUUUCACCCUCAGACAGAUGGACAAAUAGAAAGAGUAAUCCAGACAUUAGAGGAUAUGUUGAGGGCUUGUGUGAUUGAUUUUAAGGGAAAUUGGGAUGAAAGAUUGCAUUUGGUGGGGUUUGCUUAUAAUAAUAGUUUUCAGAAAAGUAUAGACAUGGCUCCCUAUGAAGCAUUGUAUGGAAGGAGAUGUAGGACUCCUGUCUGUUGGAAUGAAGUAGGUGAAAGGAAAUUGACAGGACCUGAACUGGUACAAGUUACCACUGAAAUUGUCAAAAUUAUCAGGGAAAGACUUAAAACAGCUCAAAGUAGACAAAAAGACUACGCAGAUAGGCGUAGAAAGCCUUUGAAAUUUAGUGUGGGAGAUCAUGUAUUCCUUAAAGUAUCUCUGAUGAAAGGAAUAUCUCGAUUUGGAAUGAAGGGUAAGUUAAGCCCUAGAUUUGUUGAACCUUUUGAGAUACUUGAAAGAAUAGGAGAUGUGGCUUAUCGUUUGGCGCUGCCUCCUAAGUUGGGAAAUUUGCAUGAUGUGUUUCAUGUAUCCAUGCUGAGAAAGUACCAGCCGUAUCCUGGUCACAUACUCGAUCAUGAAGCCAACAAAGUGGAUGAGAAAGUGAGGUACAUCGAAGAGCCUGUGCAAGUAUUGGAUCGGAAGGAACAAAUUCUCAGGACCAAGAGAAUCCCAUUGGUUAAGGUAUUAUAGCGACAUCAUGAUAUGGAAGAAGUCACAUGGGAAAGUGGAGAUCGGAUGAAGGAAAAGUACCCCUAUUUGUUUCAAAAGGCAUGAGUAACUAUCUAAUUUCGAGGACGAAAUUCUCUAAGGAGAGGAGAAUUGUGGCAUCCUCGAAUUCCUUGCUAAUCUUUAGGGGUAUUCUAAUUCAUGUCUUAUAUUAAGACUUUGGCCAAGCCUAUGGUGAAUAAUUAUUUAAUAAAAAUUUCUAUUUUUGGCCAUGAAGGAUUAUGGGUUGGAAUGUGUUAAGAUAGGUCACAAAGUCUUGUGAGUUAUAAAUUUCAAUUAGGUGUUUAUAAAAUUAAGGUUUAAGGAGGAUUAUUAGGAUGAGAUGUGGGCCAAAGUAUUAGCUUAAGACCAGCCCACAAGAAGCCCCACCCUUCGGCCAUUUGGGCCUAGCCACAAAGCCCAAAGGAGGAGGAGGAAUCGUCGGCCCAUGGCUGACCCAAGCCCAGCCAAAAGAUGGAGGCCCAUCUUGCAUGAAGAAGGCCAUUUGUCCCUCCUAGCUGCCAAGUGUUCCCCAUGCAAAAUCAAUGAUUGUUCAUCAUUGAGGAGAAGAAACUAAGGGAACCGGUUGAUGAUGAAGGGAGAGGGGAAGCGUCGUCGACCGAGAGGGAGUGAGAGAGAGAGCUACCGAGAGAGUGAGGGAAACCGAGAGAGACGAGGAGAAGGCCGCGCGAGGAAGAAGCCGUGUGUCCGUCGACCAUCGGUCGACUGUCCGCCGUGCGUUCAUCGCUCAUCGCCGUCCGUGUGCUUGCUGUUUGCUCGGUAAAGAGGCAAGUUGGGAUCCUUAAUCUACUCUUGCAUGCUGUAUCUAGCAUGUGUGUUUGAAUGGUGAUGAAUUUCGGAUGUCUAGGGUGUGAAAAACCCAAGUUUUGAUUGUGUUGUUUUGAAGUGGUAAGCUGUUCUCGAGUAAACCGUCUGACCCAGAAUGUUGUAGUGGCUUGCAUGCAAUUUUUAAGUCGGAUUUUGGCUUCAGCUUCUUCAUGAAAGUUGUAGAUAACAUCUUAAAUUAUAACAUACUAACAUUUGAUACAAAAUGGCUGAGUUUUGAGGGGUGAAACCCUCCCUCUACGAAAAUGUUAGAUCUGAAGCUGUUUUGUUGACCUCUUGGUAAUUUUGUGUGUUGCAUGUAACUUUUUACUGAAAUUUCACUUCGAUUCCUUCACGAAAGUUGUAGAGAACAUCUUGAAUACUAACAUACUCAAAUUUGAGGUAAAAAUAACAAGUAUAGCCUAGUGAAAUGAUUUUUCGUUUGAAGACGUUAGAUCUGGAAAUGUUGUACUGAACCCCAGUGACUUCGUGGACUAUAAAGUGACUUUCCUUUGAAAAUAUCACCUUAAUUCCUUAAUGAAAGUUGUAGUAAACCUCAUUACGCAAAACAUAUCAAAAAUUGAGAGGAAAAUAUGGAAGAUAAGUAGAUAAAAUCAUGAUUUUUCGGAGACGGCUAAACCUGGAAUGUUUGGUACUAGGAACAGGGGCUUCGACCGUACAUAAUUAAUUAUAUAGGACAAAUAUGACUUCAGUGUCUUCAUAAAAAAUUUACUUUAUGAUCUUGACUACCACAUAUUUAAAUUUCAUAAUUUUUUAAGGUCAUUAGACAUUUAAUCGGAAAUAUUUCAAAAACCGAGUAAUCUGACGCGUACGGGUUUAGUCAGCUUCAAUGAAUGGGUCAUAUAUUUUUGUAUGAAGCUCUUUCGGUAAAGUGUUCUUCACGAAGUAUCUUUUUGUAUUUCUUCUCUGCAACAUAUUCAAAUUUCAUAUUUUUUGAAGUUCAAUUUCCUAUUUAACCAAAAAUAUUUCAAAAACUGUGCAAGCUGUAUUGAUAAAAUAGAAAUGCUGUGAUGCGUGAUCUAUAUCAAAUUGUAUGAGGGUCUUUUGGUGCAGUUUCCUGCAUGAAAUAUCUGCCAUUAUGUCUUUACCAGCACAUGUUCAAAUUUCAUAAUUUUUAAAGACCAAUUGGGUAUUUAAUGGAAAUAUUUUCUAAAACUGUGCAGGCUGGAUUGUGCGAAUUUGAAAUGCUGAAAUUUAUGAUUAUUCUGUUUUGGAUGAGCCCUACUAAUUAUAUUGGUUGAGGUGAUUGAAUCUUGCUGAGCAUGUUAUGAUAUUUGGCAUUGCAUAUAGAUUCAAAUGCUGAAUUUGACUUGGUUGUCAUUACGUUAUGUGCCAUGUUGAUUGUGAGACAUAAAUUGGUGAACAUGAAUUAUGAUGAAUGAGGAAACUGUUGGAGGUGGGUCGAUAAUGCCUUGGGAGUAUCAGGAUGCCCGGGAUGGGGGGUGCUGGAUGCCCGAUUGUAUUGUGAUACAUGCCCGGAUGUCCUUAGGAGUUUCGAGAUGCUCGGAAUGGUUGGGUGCCGGAAGCCUCGGAGGUUUGUGCCCGGGGAAUGCCUCGUGAUGCCAGUUGGGAUGCGAGAUGCCCGGAAUGUAGGGGUGCAAGAUGCCCGGUGGUGCGUGCCCGAGGUUUCUCGCGAUGCUAGGUUGUGGUGCGAGUGAUAAAAUGUGGGAUGCAAUUACUGGUCCCGGGAAAGGAAGAUGUGGUGAUCAAAUUGAAAGAUAAAAGUGUAAAUUGAAUCAUGCACAUAUGAUAUGGUGACAUACGCAUGGCUAUAUGAUAUGAUGAUGAUGAGUGCAUGGUUGUAUGUGCACUUAUGGCAUGAUGAUAUAUAUAUAUAUAUAUAUAUAUAUAUAUAUAUGACAUGAUGAUGAUGAGUGCAUGGUUGUAUGUGCACCUAUGACAUGAUGGUAUAUGUAUGACAUGAUGAUGAUGAGUGCAUGGUUUUGUGUGCACCGAUGGCGUUAUGAUAUAUGUAUGACAUGAUGAUGAUGAGUGCAUGGUUGUGCGUGCAUUUAUGGCAUGGUAUAUGUAUGACAUGAUGGUGAUGAGUACAUGAGGAGGUAUGUACAUAUGGUAUGAUGACAUAUGCAUGGCUGCAAGGUAAGUUAUGCUUGGAUGCAUGAAUGACAUGUAUUAUGCUAUGAUUGUUAUGAUUGUAUUGUGUGAUGCAUUGAGUGGUUUAUUGGAUCUUUUACCUGCUGAGUGGCUAUACUCACUCCUUCGAGGACCAACAUGUCAAAUUAGAAAGAUGCCGCUCCCUACUGUCACGCGGGGCACCUUCUAUGGCCUCCCAUCUGAUGUGUAGGUAGAGUGUACGGAGAUCAACUGCAUUACCAUCCUUAGUCUGACGUUUGUGCGAGUGCAAGUGCUAGUCAUGUACGAUGUGGGCCUGGUUGAGGGCCCAGUCAUUCAGGAGUUUCUAUCGGUUCAUGUUCGCCGACAUGGAGUGUUUAGGGGGAUGUUGCCGCCACCACCGCCUGACAUGCCAGGAUGGGUGUGAUGGCCGCGUGAGGGGUAGAGAGCUUAUGUUUCUUUUUGGGGGUAGCCAACACUGAUAGAUUGAGGAUGACACGUGAUCGUUAUGGGGGUUGAGAUAUCCUUUUGGGAUGUGGCCAAGUGUAGCUAAAAAUCUUGGCUUUCUUUUGUUGUAUCGACCUGAGAAAAUCUAUGAAAAUAUGUAAAUAAAAGUGGCUCGACUUUAUCUUUUCCUGUGGUGCUUAGUGGUGUGCAUUGUAUCAUGAUUGAUGGAGGGAGAGAUGGUGAUAUUCAAUUAUGCUUCCGCUAAUAAGUUGCGCUGGGACUGUUUAAAAAAAAUGCCUAUGAACCAUGAUGCUUCUACUAAGAGAUGUAAUUAGUGUUCGUUAGGUGGAGCGAUAGGUACCAGUGGCGACCUUAGGUGGUUCGGGGUGCCACAGUCUUGACAUGGUGUUCUUCAUGAAAUCUCUUUCUCUAGAUCUUGUCUGCAUUAUGUUAAACUUUCAGAAAUUAUUGAGAUUUUUUACUAAUUUUUCAAGAAUUAUUACUAAAGAGGUGCAUUUUGUUUUAUCCGAAAAUUGUUCUAUUUUCAAAAACCAAUAAAUUGCUUCAUGAAAUGUGAUAUCGUGGGUAUUAUUUGUACUGCAUAUGUGGUGACAUUUAGCAUGUCAUACAGCAUAAAAAAGACUAGUUUAGACCUCGGAUAUUAUUGCAUCAAAUGCUGAUUUGAAAAUGAGAUAUAUAUGUGAAUAUACAUUGUGAUGAUAAUGAUACUGUCGGAGGUGUGAGCCGACGAUGUCCCGAGAGUGUUGGGAUGCCCGGAGUAUGUGUGCCGGAUGCCCGGUGUGUGUGCGCCGGAGGGUCCUUGAGAGUUUCGGGAUGCCCGGUGGUAUAUCGGUACGUAAUUCCAGGGGAGGCCUGGUGGUAUGUCAGUACGUAAUUCCGGAAGGCAAGAGUAACCAUUUUCAUGGCGAGCCCCGGCAAUUUCUCAUGAUACUAGGUGGGAUGCGAGAUGCCCAGAGUGUGUGUGCCGGAUGCCCGGAGGUGUGUGUCGGAGGUUCCUCCCGACACCAAGUUGGGUGCAAGUGAUAUAUGAGGGAUGCAAACACUGGUCCCUGGGAGAAAGAUAAGAUCCUUUUGAAUAUCAAAAUGGGAAUUGAAUCAUGCACGUGUGUGUGUGCAUAUGGCAUGUGGUAUAAUUGCCUGUGAAAUUGAGUUGAUACUAUUUGGCAUUGAGAAUGCGAUCAUGAUGGCAUUGAAUGGAUCUCAUGAGGAUAUACAUGAUUGUGUGGAUGACAUGAAUCAUGCGUAUGGGUAUGUGCAUAUGGUAUAAGAUAUAAUUGUCCAUAAACUUGAAUUGGUAUUACUUGGCAUGGGAAAUAUGAUUAGUAAGGUCGUGAAUGAAUCUCGUGGACAUAUAUGUAUGAUGGCAUGGAUGAUAUGUGCAUUUCGCAUGAAAUUGUGAUUGUCUUGCCUGUUGCAUUGUGUAGUUUGAUGGAUCUUUACUGCUGAGUGGUUGUACUCACCCCUUUAGGGACCAACAUUUCAGAUUGAGCGAUGCCUCUAGCACCUGUCACGCAUGGUAUAUACUAUGGCUUACCAUCUAAUGUUGAGGUCGAGUGCACGGAGCACCCUUGUGUCAAUGUUCAUGGUCUGGUGUUUAUCCGAGUCCGUGUUUUGGUUAUGUAUGAUGUGGGCCUACCUAAUGACCCUGUAGUUCAGGAGUCCCUUUCUGUACAUGUUCAACGCAACGGACUGAUGAUGGGGAUGUUGCCGCCGCCACCGGCCGAUGCACCGGGUUGGGUGUGAUUUGGAGCGUGUGACUGGUGGAGGACGACACUUUUUGGGAUGGCCGACACUAGCUGAUGGAAUGAUGUGCAUGUCUGAUGUAUAGUCGGGUACUUUUGAGUAUAGCCGAGCUUAGUUAAAAUCUUGGCCUUUUGUUGUACCGACUCGUGAAAUCCAUCUUAGUUAUGUAAAUAAAAGUGAUUCGGCCCUAAAGUAUAUAUAUAUAUAUAUAUAUAUAUAUAUAUAUAUAUAUAUGAAAGGUUGUAAUUGGUGUGUAUUGCAUUGUAUUAUUUGGUUUGAUUACAGGUUAGAGAAAUGAUGAGUAUGCUUUCGUUAUAUGAACUGCGCCGGGACCGAUUAAGGUAAUACAAACCCCCAGGUUGUAUGCACCCGCUACAAUUCAAAUGGUAUCAGAGUGACAUGUUAUUAGGACAAGCUUUAAGUAAACGAACUGUGGCAACCCUAGCGGAUCAAGGGCCAUCGAGGGCUACCACACUCUCCCCCCUCCCCUCCCCCAUCAAUCACCCCCUCAGUUUCUUCCCUACUAUCUCUCUCUCCCUCCCCUUCCCCCCACGCCACAACCAGCUUCCCCUUAGUUUCUUCCUCAUUGUCGCACGAUCUUCUCAACUCUUUCGAUCGCCUCAUCGCUGUCACCUUCGGCCCUUCCUCUUUCGCAGUAGCUGCAGCCUCACCGCCAGCCCUCCAUCGCAACGUCACCUCAGUUUAUGCUCUUCCUCUCGCCGUCAUGGCCUCACCUCCACUUCCUUGGUCUCUUCCUCGGCCUCACCUCUACCCACCAUCAUCUUCUUCAACAAUCUCUCUCUCGGACACGCAUGUCGAGAAAAGUUGACCACGUGUCAGAUUUCUCAACACAUGUUGACCACGUGUCCGAUUGUGUCUGAGCGUGUCCGAGCAUGUCGAACACGUCAACACGUGUUGGACAUGACACAGAAGCCUCGGCGACGUGUCCGUGCUUCAUAUGUGAGGAUUACUUCCUAUUUGAAACCUUGGAUCCAGAUAAUGAAUUUAAUGGAGUUCGUCCAAGUAAGAGUAACAUGAGAAGUGAUGAAUUUAAUUCAACUCACUCUCGAUUACAACCACAUGAUGAAACGAUAUUGUCAUUAUCUAAUCCGAGUGGGAGCAUAAUGGGGAAUGAUGUGCCAAGUGUACAAUUUCUCAUAUGGCGAACAAGUCACAAAAGUAUUCCCCGUCGACGCUUUGACAUUAAAGGGGAAACUUUUAUGGUUGCUCCACGAGAUGAAGAUGAGCCAAGAAAUGUUAAUGAGGCUCUAAAUUGCCCUAGUAAGGAAAAAUGGAUGCAUGUAAUGGAAGAGGAGAUGGAGUCAAUGAAGUCAAACCAUGUUUGGGAACUGGUUGACCUUCCAAAAGGACACAAAACUAUUGGGAACAAGUGAGUUCUCAAAAUAAAGCGUAAAGCUGAUGGCUCGAUAGAAAGGCAUAAGGCUCGCCUUGUGGCGAAGGGGUAUAAUCAACAGGAAUGAAUUGAUUAUGAAGAAAUAUUUUCUCUUAUAGUGAGAUUUACCUCAAUUUGUAUUAUUCUAGCAAUAAUGGCUAAUAUAGAUCUUGAGUUAUAUCAAAUAGAUGUAAAGACUACUUUCCUCAAUGGAGAAUUAGAGGAAGAAAUAUAUACAUAUAUAUAUAUAUAUAUAUAUAUAUAUAUAGAACAACCUGCUGGUUUUAUUAUGGAAGGCCAAGAAGGAAAGGUAUGUCAACUUUUGAGAUCGAUAUAUGGCCUUAAGCAGUCGUCGAGACAAUGGUAUAUACAUUUUCAUAAUGUCAUAAUGGCAUAUGAUUUGACAAUGAUAGAUGAGGAUCAUUGUGUAUAUAUCAAAAGAUCCAAAGAUCAAUUUGUGAUCAUAUCAUUAUAUGUUGAUGAUAUACUAAUUACUGGAAGCAAUAUGGAGUUUGUUAAUACUGUCAAGGGUUGGUUAUCUUCCAACAUUGAGAUGAAAGAUAUGGGUGAGGCUAUAUACAUUCUUGGAGUUAAGAUUUCAAGAGAUCGUUUGAAGAGAUCAUUAUCUUUUUUCGCAAGAAACAUACAUAAAUAAGGUUCUUGAAUGAUUUCGUAUGCAAGAUUGUAAACCCAUAGAUAUUCCUAUUGCAAAAGGUGAAGGAUUGAGCCAUAGACUAUGUCCAAGGACUCCACAAGAAAAUGAACAAAUGAAACAUAUUCCUUAUGCUAAUGUUGUAGGAUGUUUAAUGUACGAUAUGAUGUGUACAAGACCUGAUAUAUAUUUCGCAGUUGGAAUUGUGAGUAGAUACCAAUCUAAUCCAGGUCAAGCACAUUAGAAGGCCGUUAAAAGAAUACUAAGGUAUCUGAAGGGAACUGCUGAUUACAAGCUAAAUUACCAAUGAAAGAGUUUGCGACUUGAAAGCUAUUCAGAUGCUGAUUGAAGAGGAGAUUUAGAUGAAAGAAAAUCUACCUUUGGUUUUGCUUUCUUACUGAAUAAUGGCGCCAUAUCUUGGAGCAGUAAGAAGCAAACGUGUAUAGCCUUGCCCACGAUGGAAGCUAAAGCAACAGUACAUGAAGGUGUCUGGCUUAAGAGAUUUUUGGAUCAUUUAUGUGUUAUUGGGAAUGUUGCAAAUCCAUUAUUGGUUAAUUGUGAUAGCGAAGCAGCUAUAGCAUACACCAAAGAUCUAAAAUAUCAUGGCAAGACCAAACAUAUAGAUACAAAGUAUAAUUUUGUCAAGGAUAUGAUUGCACGAAAAGAUGUGAACUUACAGUACAUUUCAACAUAUAGAAUGGUAACAGAUCCUAUGACAAAGCCAAUACUUAGAGAUGUGUUUUAUGAUCCUGUAAAAUCUCUAGGACUGUAUAGAGGCUGAUGUACUAAAUAUUAUAAUUUCUCUGAAGUGUUCACAUUUAAUAAAUUUAUGUUUUUCAUUAUUAAUGCAUAUGAAUCUUUGUUUGACGUUUAUGCAUCUUAAUACUCAGUGCAUUAUAUUAAGUUGAGAAAGUCAGACGGAUAAAAGAUUAGCCCACUCACACAGGUAAUCGCCUCUAUUUACUGUGUGAUAAAUAGAUAUGAGACAGUUUUUAAGCUUAUUAUCUAGGUGAUAAUCGAGAGCUCAAGCUUAAAAUACAUAUGUCACAUUAACUGAGUGUUAAGAUGAGAACAUAAUAUUUAUUAUGUCCGAAAGUAAAAUAACCCACAUAUUUUACUUUAUCUGUCUAUGAUGCCAGAUGUGAGUUCUGAUAAAUUCUGUGUAUGAGUAGAUAUGUGAACUCAAGUCAGACAUUGGGUAUGUCUGAACUAUCAUCUGUACGGUAUUAAAGAUGUAGACAUACGCUCCAUAGGAAAUAAGUUAAGUACUGUAAUACAUAUUUCAUACUACGUAUGCAUGAGCCGACCAAUAAGAGUAGCAAAAGUUUGAUCUCAACUUUUAUAUCGUGUGAGACUCUUGAGGAAAAGAGUUCCUCAAUUUAGUGCCCUCAUGACUCUUACUUAUUCUCAAAAUUUAUAUUCAGUGUUUGCUAUCUUAGGAUGUUGCCAAUGAUCACGAAUUUAUUCGAUCUAAUAGGACAUUUCUAUAAAAGCAAGCUGAACUUAAAUUGUGAGUUUGAAGAAAAGAGGAAUAUCGAAUUUGGAGAAUCACAUUCUAGUUUUGUAUUCACCGGUCGACUAAUUAUGAUUGUUUUUGGAAUAAUCAUAAUUGUGAAUAUAAUAUAUCACUAUUUAAAAGGAGAUCAAGAGAGAGAUAUAAAUGUGAUCGAUCGAUCUAGGGUAUUGCAUACUAAAUCUACUAAGAGUGUGAUGCCUAUUAUAAGCUGCUAUAUAUUCCUAACAGAUGUAUGGUAACGAGCUCUAAAAGUAUGCUGGUCGCACAAAUUAUUCACCGGUAUGAAUGUUGCAGAGAGGUAAAGAGAAUCUUGUUCGGCCCACCAUAUGCGAGUGGGAGAUGAUGGUUUUAUCUAUGUGUUGAUGGGCCUAAAAGCCCAACCCACAAGAUAAGGGCCCAUGGAGGAACUAUUGCGAUGUGAAAAGCUACGUUGUUUAGAAUGAGGAGUUGUGUCUUUAGGGGGAAUGUUUUACGUUGAAGAGUUACGUCUAUCAAAGAAGAUGUAAGAGAGAAAAGAAAAAUGGAACGUAGCCUUUCAACUUACGUGCGUUGUUUUUUGUCUCUCUCUUCCUCUAAGAAACGUAUGGAACGAUACCCUCAAAACAAUGUUUUCCCCCCUAAUAGCGACAGCACGCUCCUCGGUAGAACGGGAUCAAGAUUCUUCCACGAACUUCAAGAUUGGUGUUUAAUUUGUGGACAAUAAGGUACGCUCAAUUCCGUAGUGUAUCUUUGAUCGGUGAUAUAUAUGAUUCCUAGGCUCGUCUUCCACGUUCGUUUUAGGGGUUCAAUUAAGUAUCGGAACCGGUUUUAGGGACUACGUUUUUCCCAACAUCCAUCAACUAAGACCUACACCUGCAAGAGGGACUAGUGAACUUCAGGGCGUUCAGUGGAAAUGAAGUCAGGGCGUAGGAACGUGACCCAUAGCACAGCUACUUCAUGAUAGCUAUGCGCGUUAUCACCUCACCACUACCAAAACCACAAUCAAUCUUGAAUCAUCUCACUCUACUGAUUCAAGCCAAGUAUCGUUGUUGGACCAUCAGGUCAUUUCGUAUCCAAUUAAACUCAAAUUCACUUAUUUAACUCUACUACAUUGUCUAGCUGAGUAUCCUAGGUCAUAUUUUGUUUUGAAUUGUUAGCUAUUCUGUUUAUUGGAUGCUUCACACCAUAUGCUCACAACCUGUUCAACAAAAUGCCUAACUCAAUGUGGAUAGUUAGUUCCUACUGCAUUCUGUUUCUAAACGUUUUGAUGUCCAACUGAUGUUGAUUGCGUCUUGCUGCAUUUCCUGUACAUAGUUCAUUAAUAUGCAAACGGACUGGAUAUAUAGGUGAUGUAUGUCGAAUGUUGUUCAUGAGUGUUUUGAAUGUAUCGAAUCCUGUUCAUAUGUGGUUGUGCAUGUCAAAUGAUGCUCAUGCGCGUUACUUUGAGAUCGUGAGGUGCUAAAGGAAAGAGAAGAGAAUGCGGGGCGUUAUGAAUUAGAGGUGAAUUUGAAUGAAAUAGGCUUAGUUUGACUAUUCUCUUACCUGCUCGUGAUAAUGGGUAGUGUCUAAUCUCUUUUUUAGGGUUCAAAGCAUGUUUACAAAUCACUGUCAAUGUACAAUUUGCUUUACAUCUGCUAGACAUUGCUUGGCAUUUUUGGACAUACUUCAUUGAACAUGAUUCCUGAUGAAUUUGGCUUAAUUUAAUGCUAAUUUACUUGUUUGUAAAUAGAGGCUCACAUGUCAAUAGUUUUUAGGUACUUUUAAGCAUGUUUAGACCUCAUUUUUAGUUCCAGUUCAGGACCGUGCUUACUGGGUGUUGCUGGACCGUGCAUACCAGUAAUGUGGUCUAAUAUAUCCAUGAUAUGGAUUUUUUUGUGGCCAGUAUGAUGACAUGGAGUAAGUUAUAAAAAUAAAAAAUAAAAAUAAAAAAUAUAUGAGAAGAAUGAAAAACAAGAACAAGCGCCAGCACACACCAAGAAUUUUGUAUGUUCCUACUCACAUCCCAUUUUUAUGUGAAAUCCAAGAAUUUUGUGCAGAGUCCUUCCUUAUUUUUCUCGCAAAAUGACAGGCAUGGAAGUUGUGAUCUAAAGAUUGAGGGUUGGAACUUACUGAUCUGUCAAUUAAAGAGUUAUGCGAUGGACUUCAAUUGUUAAAAUGCAUACACAUCGGUCUAUUAUGCAUUGCAGAAAAUCUGGCAGACUGACUGACUAUGUCAUUUGUGGUUCAUAUGCUAGGAGACGAUACUAUCCACAAUACUAUCGCACUUACCCGAUCAUCGCAGUCUGCAUUCUCAGUUGGGAGAUAUUUGAAAACACUUGAGUCUAUCAGCCCGAUUCACAAAGCUUCCACUGUUAAUGAACUAACAAUUACAAAUGUUUCACCUAGAUGACCAAGUAUCAUCAAUCCUCCUCCAGUUCAUUUCUCUUUUAUACAAUGGUAGGUAGAAUGAUAAUUACAGUGCGUGAUCUCUUUAGCAUUGUGACUGCCACUCCUAAAUCCUUGAUUUCCGCAAUCAUCAAUUAGUAAUUGUAAGGUUAAAAAGCCCGAUAGUCGGCAUUUCUAUCCAAUUUACCACUUUUGUUCUAUCAUAAUUAUAGAUAUACUUACUUGAGAUAUAUAUCAAUUUGUAACCCAUUGAUAAUUAAAAUUUAAGCAUAUAUAAAUUUAAUAUUUUACCUUUAGUAUAUUCAUUGAAAUCUAAUUUGUGAUGAAUAUUAGAAUUAAAUAAAAUCUAAUUUGUGAUGAAUAUUAGAAUUAAAUACUAGAUUACGCAUGAGUAGAAAGUCCUGAAUUCAAAUCUCUCUAAACCCCCAUGUACCUCUUUUACUUGCCAAUGUCCUAUGCAUGUGGAGGAGUGUUGAUUAUUCAUACAUUAGAUGACGUCUUCAUCUAAUAGUUUAGAGAAAAUCAUUCAAAAAGUCUUACACCUAUUGUACUUUUGUUAAUUCAAUCAUAAACAUUUUUACCUUUUGUCAAUUGACUCUAUCCGGCUAAGUUUGAUAGAAAAUCGCUAAUGUGAAUGCCGGAUGUCUUAUAUGUCACAUGAACAUUUUAAAUAAUAUUUAAUAACUUUUUUAUUUUUUUAUUAUUUUUAGGGAAAAUCUCAAAUGGAGACCCAAAGUGACCACAUUUUCUCAAAAGAGGACUUGAAGUGGAGUCUAUCUCAAAUAAGGCCCCAAAGUAGUCAUUUAGUCUAAAAAAAGAACCCGACUUGCUGACCGGCGUACUAACGCAUUUUCAAUGCGUAUUCCGAUGACCUGAUCUGGGGCAUUUUUGUCCCAAAAAUAUUCUCUUUUCGUUUUCCUUCUCCUGUUCAUCUUGUUCUUGAUCUACCCAUGAUUGUCCAUGUUCAUCAUCUUCUUCGUCAAUGUUGAAGAUAGGCAUUGUGCAAAUCAACAACAUUGGAAGUGGGGAAAGGCUGGUGAAGGUCUUGGGGUCGGCGAGGGUUGGCCUCGCCUGGGGCCAACGAGGGCUUGAUGCCCAUCGUCGACAACAGGUGCUGGAAGCGGGCGAGGGCUUGCAAGCCCUCACUCGCUCUUACCAAUGGCCAACGAGGUCGGCGAGCCCUUGCCGGCCUCGCCGAACUCACUGAGGACAAAACUAUCCUGCAAUGGCAUCAUCUUCUUCCUCCUCUUUGUCUCCGCUUCCCUCGCACGGAGCAACCUCGACAUGCUCCUAAAGCUUAUAAUUGCCUUGGUCGGGCCUCCCUCCACCGCCAUCGGCGACUAGGUCAACUCCUCCUCCUCCUCCUCCUCGCCGUCGCCCUUUCCGCAUUGCUCCUUCACCAGAGUCACGUGCGAUGCCAACUCAUGGGUCGUCUCUCUCAACAUCAUCUUUGUCGGCCUCUCGAGCUACAUCCCACCCAAAAUUGGCCUUCUCCGCGACCUAAUCAACCUCACGCUCGCCACCGAAAACCUCACCGAGACCCUCUCGCCAAAGCUCGGUAGCCCCACCUCCUUCCGAUUCCUCAACCUCUCCAGGAUCUUCCCCAGCAGAGUCUUGCGGGCGAUAACCCAGCUCGAAGAACUCGACUUGGGCAACGACAAGUUCAUGGGGCCGCUGCCGCUGGAGGUGGUGGGGCUGAAGAAGCUAAAGUGGCUCGAUCUCACUGGCAAUUACUUCACCGGCAAGAUACUGGAGGUUUGCUCGGAGAUGGAGAAGAUGAACAUGGGAAAAGGAAAAUGAAAAGAGAAUAUUUUUUGGACGAAAAUACCCUGAUUAGGUCACUGGAAUACGCAUAAGAAAUGCAUCAGUUCAUUGGCCGGCGAGUCAGGUCCUUUUUUUAGACUAAAUGACUACUUCGGGUCCUUAUUUGAGACGGACUCCACUUCAAGUCCUUUUUUGAGAAAAGGAAGCCACUUCGAGUCUUUAUUUGAGUCCUUAUUUGAGAUUUUCCCUUAUUUUUUGUGGCAUCCCAAAAAUAACUCACGGCCAUGUGUUUUGUAAGUAGGAGUUUAUUGAAUUAUGAUUUCAAGAUUUAUGGCCAAGUGAAUAAGAAUGAUCUGGUAUUUAUAUAAAUGGAUAAUUAUUGUUGUUGGAAAUGCAUCCUAUGUUCAUGUGAGACCAAGGAUUUUAUUUGAUGAGGAAAUUAUGUAUUUGGCCAUGAAUUUUAUAAGUUGGAUUUUAUUAAACUAUGUUGCAAAGUCUUUUGGCCUUUUAUUAUGCAAUUAGGUAUUUAUUUAAAUUGAGGAUUAAGAUGUAUUAUUAAAAAUAAACUUGGGCCAUUUAAGUUUGGACUUUAGGCCCAAGUGAGAUGGGCCUAAAGUGGGCAAGAGGCCCGGCCCAUAGAGCCCAUUGGGCUGUCGGCGCAUGGAGGGGGAAGGAGGAGCCGCAUGGCUUCCUCCAAGUGUCUUCGGCAAAGGAGACACUUGUCUCCUUCUUAGGGACAAGUGUCCCCCAUGCAAGAGAAGAAAGCAUGCAAUAUAUAAGCCACCAAAAAGAAAGAGAGAGAGAGAGAGAGAGAGUGGCUGGUUUUGAGAGAGUGAGAGAGAGGGAGAGAGUUGCCGAGAGAGAGAGUGAGAUGCGAGAGAGAGGGAGGCCGAGGAGGAGGAGCUCGCCCGUCGCCGCCAGCACGCCGUCCAUCCGUCGCCGGUGUGCUGUUCGUGUGCUGCUGUCCGCUUGGUUCUAGAGGCAAGUAGAGAUUGAUUUCUACUCUUGCAUGUGUGUCUUGCAUGUGUGGUUGAAUUCUUGGAUGUUUAGAGGCUAGAAAUCGAAGUACAUGAGGUUUGUUCUUGGAGAUGCUUGCUGUUUUCGCAUGAACCGCUCGACCCAGAAUCUUGUGAAGGCUUGCAUGCAUCUUUUGAGUUCGAUUUUGACUUUUAUCUCUUCAUGAAAGUUGUAUCUAACAUCUUAAACUACAAUACACUAAAAUGUGGUGCAAAAUGAUGGAGAUUUAAGGGGUCAAACUCUCAUCCUACGGAGAUGCUAGAUCUGGAAUGUUUUCGCAUGAACCGUUUGAGUCAGAACUUUGUGAGAGCUUGCAUGCAUGUUUUGAGUUCUAUUUUGACUUUUAUCUCUUCAUGAAAGUUGUGGAUAAAAUCUUAAAAUAAAACAUACUAAAAUUUGGUACAAAAUUAUGGAGAUUUGAGGGGUCAAAAUCUCAUCCUACGGAGACACCAGAUCUGGAACGAUUUCACUGACCUUUCGGUGGAUUUGUGGUUGCAUGUUGAUUUUUACUAGGAAUAUCUCUCCUAUUUCUUCAUGGAACAUGUAGAUAACAUCUUAAAAUAUAACAUACUCAAAUUUGAAGUAAAAUGAACAAGUACAACCUAGUGAAUCGACUUACUCUUGAAGAUGGUAAAUCUGGAGACACGGUACAGGACACCCGAGACUUCAUGGACCCAUAUGAUGACUAUACUCUGGAUAUUUGACUUAUAUCCCUUCAUGAAACUUGUAUAGAACAUCUUGAAGUAAAACAUAUCCAAAUUUCAGAGGAAACGAAGAAUAAUAGGUAGGUGAAGACUCAGUAUUUCGGAGAAGCAUGCACUGGACGUUUUGGUGUUAGAUCCAGAAGCUUCGUAUGAUUAUAGAAAAUAAUAUAAAACGAAUUUGGCUUAUAAGUCUGCAUGAAAAAUAUAAUUUAGUGUCUUGGAUAUAACCUGGUAAAAUUUCAUAAUUUUCGGAGGUCGUUUGGAUAUUUUAAUUAAAUUAUUUCGGAAACUGUGCAUUCUGUUUCUAUCCGAAAAUUGCAUGCUGUUUUGUGUGAAUUGUACCUUCUUGUGUGAACUCUAUUGGGCAUGUGUUUUUCAUGAAAUUGCUAUCUUAUUGUCUUGUCUAGUACAUGUCUUGAUUUCAUGAUUUUUUAGAAGCAUAUGGAUAUUUAAUUUAAAUAUUUUCUAAAAUGGCACAUGCUGGAAUUUUGUAAACUUUGAAAAGGCAUGAAAUAUGGACCACUUUAAAUUGCAUGGACUCUAUGAAUUUUAUUGUUAUGGAUGAUGGUGUCUUGCUGCAUGUAUGAUAAUGAUUUGAGAUGCAUGUAUGAAUUCGAUGAUGAGUAUGAUCUUGAUUGCCAUCACAUCACAUGCUAUGUUAAAAUUGAACUAUAAUUGAAGAUGAGAAUUGAGAUAAAUGAGAAGGCUGUCGGAGGUGUGAGCCGACGAUUCCCCGGGAGUGUCGGGAUGCCCGGUGGUAUACGGUACGUAAUUCCAAAGGAGGAGGGGGAUCCUGGUGGUAUGUCGGUACGUAAUUCUGGAAGCCCCAGAGGUUUGUGCCCGGGGGGAUGCCUCGCGAUGCUAGUGGGGAUGCGAAAUGCCUGGCCAGGGAGUAUAAAUGCCAGAAGCCCUGGAGGUUUGUGCCCAGGGGGAUGCCUCGUGAUGCUAGUUGGGAUAUGAGAUGCUCGGAAUGUGGGGGGCCGGAUGCCCGGUUGUAUCUUGGAUACAUGCCCGGAUGGUUCUCGCGAUGCUAGGAUUGGGCGCGAGUGAUGAAUGUGGGAUGCAAACAUUGGUCCCGGGAAAGAGAAAUGUGGCGGUCCAAAAUGAAAUUGAAAUUGAAUUAUGCAUGAUGAUAUAUGCAUGAUAUGAUGAGAUGUGCAUGGUUGCAUGGUAAUGAUGAUGGUACAUGUGAUAUGAUGAUGAGAUGUGCAUGGAUACAUGGUAAUGAUGAUGGUACAUGUGAUAUGAUGAUAUGAUGAUGAUGUUACAUGCAUGAAUGCAUGGUAAUGAUGAUGGUACAUGUGAUAUGGUGAUAUGAUGAUGAUGUUAUACACAUGGAUGCAUGGUAAGGAUGAUGCCAUAUGUGACAUGUUGAUGGUAAGUGUAUGAUAUGAUGAUGAUGUCUAUAUGAUGAUGAUGGUACAUGAGGUAUCAUGACAUGUGCAUGAUGCCAUGGUAUGUUGUGCAUGGAUGCUUGUAUGACAUGUGAUGCUAUGAUUGUGAUGAUUGCAUGGCAUGAUGUAUUGAGUGGUUUAUUGGUCAUUUACCUGCUGAGUGGUUGUACUCACCCCUUUUGGGGAAUAACAUUUCAGAUUAGAUAAGAUCCCUCUGCUGCCACUGCUACCAGUAGAUGAAUCAAGUUGUUGGAUAUGAUUGCGAGGAGGAGGAUAUCAAAGGGAGGAACUUUUGGACGCCGACACAAAUCGAUGGACUUUAAAUAUUCGACUGUUAGAAGAGAUGUCGGUCAUCUUUUGAAGUAUAGCCGAGUAUAGAAACAUUGGCUUUCGAUGUACCGACUAAAUAUGUCCAUCUGCUUUACGUAAAUAAACGUGUUCGGCUUUAACUUAUAUAAGAUGUUUAGUAGAUGUGCAUCGUUUUCUGAAUAUAGGGAAGGGAGUUUGUUAGAUGUGCUUCCGUAUAUGAAUUGUGCAAGGGACCUAUCAAAAAAAAAAGUGUGAACCCCCUAUGUUGUAUGGACCCGCUGCAAUUGAAAUGGUAUCAUAGUGACAUGUUAAUAAGGAAAGUAAAAGGUAAGCGAACUAUGGCAACUCUAACGGAUCGGGGGCCGUCGAGGGGUGCCACAUUUUUAUUCAUUCCCUUUCUUUUCUUUGGACUCAAGUCGACAAGGGUAUCGCGGCCUUGCCCUAAAAGAGGAGAGGGUGUCAUGGCCUUCGAUUGGGGCCAAGGCUAGCAAGGGUCACCAUGCCCUUGCCUUGCCUAUAUUUGGCAUGGGCAAUGCGGCCAUUGCCAAACUCUUAAACCUUGCCUAGUGGCUGACAAGGGCCAUACACCCUCUCUAGGCCAAAUCCAAAAAAUGGUAAAGAAAAAAAAAACAUUAUUAGAAAUUCAAUAUGUUAAAAUAUCAUUAAAAAUGUUUACAUUAGUAUCAACCAUGCCAUGUAAGACGUUUGGCAUCUACGUCAUCCAUUUAAGGCCAAAAUUGCCCAGAUGGAUUCAAUCGACAAAAAGUGAAAAUAUUUAUAACUCAAUUGGCACAAUUGGAAGGUUUUAAAUUGAAUUGGCAAAAGCACAAUAGGUUUAGGAUAUUUUGGAUAAUUUUGUUCACAAAAAUUCAUAAUUAAUGACCUAUUUUCAUUUGAUAUAAUUAAGUAAAAAGAAAACAACGUGUAAUGCCAAGCAAUAGUAUCAAGUAGGGGUGUGCAACCAAACCAGUUCUACCCGAGACUUGGAUCGGACCGCCUGAAAAAUAGGUCCACAAACCGGUUCAGGAACAGGUUCAAAUUUUUGGAACUAGUUGUAAUAGGUCUAGUAAUAGGUUCCGAGUGAAUAUCCACUCGGGAACUAGAUCAAACCGUCCUAUUUUGGAAUCGAUUUUAUAAGCUAAAAAGCCAAAAUCCUAAUUUCUUUUUCCCAUAAAUUCUAACCUUAGCACUUUUUCGUCCUUUGUCCUUCCUCAAAGCUCCUCACCAAUCUUUCCUCUUCCCUAAAGUUUUAUGGAUGAUUGGAGAAUGGAAUUUUAUAAUUUACGUUAUAUGUUACAUGUUUGAACUUUUUGUCAUUAUAAUUGUAUAGGAUUACGUAUUCAUAUUAUGGAUUGUUGUUUAUGGUGGAUAAUGAUUUAUGUUGUUCAUCUUUUACAUUAAAUCGUUUCGUUACUCAUAACCUUAUAUGAUUUUGCUGCAAAAAAUGAACCAAAAAAAGGCAAAAAAAAAAAAAAGGUUCUCGAGUAGACUUUGGAACUGGACUGGAAAAAUAAGAUAGGUUCCAGAACCGAUUUCAAGCAAACAAGGUAGUCCAAAAACUUAGAACUAGUUAUAACAAAAUACGUUCAGGUUACCUUGAAACUACCCACAUUGGAACCAACCACCCUUAGUAUCAAGUAAUGCAUGCAGAUGACUCAGCAACGGUAUUUGUCCACUAGACCUGCUCGUAGGCGCCCAAGGGAAAAACAUUAGCUGGCCAAGCUCGCCUAGUGGAGAAACCUUCCUUCUUUUAUUUUUAAAAUUUCUAGCUAGGGAAAAAAUGAAAAUGAAAAAUAAUUAUAGGGUUUUGUGUUAUAUUAUCUUAUAUGUGAGUUUACUACUAUUUUUCUCUCCUAUAUCGGAAUUUUGGGCUUAAUUUGUGCUACUAGUGUUUAUAAAAUCUACAUAUCAUAGUAAACUCACUAAUAAAAGGAAAAGCACCAAAACAUAUAUUAGCGUUCAUGAACGACCAUUCAUAUAUCUUUACUUUUGGAAAAAAACAAAAACAUGCUAAGUGUUACUUUUGAAAACCACCCUUCACAUCAAUUAUCAGUAUGUCUCCUUUUACUUUGUAAAAUGCCCGCUCUAAAUCCUAAUUUAUCACACCCACCCAAAUUAGCCAAAACCAACUAAAAACUAAACCAUUUAAACCCUAAGCAAUAUACUAAAAUGAAUUUUGCAAGGAGGGGUAAUUUGCUCUUUUCAAGGUGGAGUUUUGCUUAGAGGUUAUAUGAAUGGUUUGCAAAGAUUGUUUAUUCGUUGGGUCAAAAGUAAGGUAUUUAGACAUAUUUUUGUAAAUUAUUUUAAUAAUAAGGGCGCAACAAGACAAGCCUCAAGCCCUUGCCCAGACCUAGCCCACCCGUUGACCAGACUUGUCCAAGCUCACUAAAUAGGCUUAAAAAAUUUAGCCAACCCCACUCAUGAAUCAGGUCUAUUAGCACAAUCACAAGAGUUUGCCCUAAUGACCACCCUUCCAACAUGAAAAGAGAAGGUAGAGAGUUUGAAUCUCCACAUUCUCAAGGGACUGGGGUGGGAACAGAUUAGUUUCAAGUGUGAGUUUAGACUCUCACGUUCUGCAAAGAGGUAGGGCAAAAAUUUAAGAGAGAAUUAAAAUAGGAGUAAAAUAGGAUUGACAAAAAAAAAAACGUCUACUAGCGCGAUAUAAGCAAAAGUUACUAAAUCUGACCAAUCAUAUCUAUCAAAUCAAUGAGGAAAAAAAAAUAUUUUCUAUUAUCAUUUGCCAACAAAUAUUACAGAGAACAAAUCAUUGUCUUUCAAAACGUACUUAUAUAAGAAAGUACAAAAGAAAAAUGAUACUCAUGCGAUAUUCCCAUUGAAUUUGGGCAAAAAUUACGAACUUUGAUGAAUAUUGCGUCGAUCUUUUGAAACGCAAUAUCUUUCUCUAACACCUCUUACAAGACCCCAUAAACUGGGUUGCUCACUCAAAGCAUAGAAAAACACAUUUAGAAGAAAUUCGAAAAGAUAUCCAGAGCUGUUCACAUAUAAAAGGAGUGUUAGAUUUUGAAGAGCGAAAAAUCAACAUUUCUGACCUUCAAAAACGUGGUGAGUUCUUAGUCCCGUGUCUUCGUCAACAAACACUGGAGUUUCGUUAGAGCAUCCUAUUUAUUUUUUCUACCUAUAACAUAUGUGCCCUUAUCCCUUCGAAACAAAUCUCAUCAGGUAUGAUAGUCCUCCGCUCCCACACAUGGAAAAAUUCCUAUGCUUCUGGAUGACCCCAAAAGAAUGUGUAGGUGCGGCGAUUUGAACUUGGGCCUUGAUCGAGGAGGAACAUGCUUAGGAUGAUGACUCAUAACCAUUCAAGUCCUUGUCGGAUCUUUUGGGUUUGACCCUUAGUUGAUUUGUAUCCAUUGUGGGGACCAAACCACUCACAAAAAAAAAUAUUGGGAAAUUCAGAGCAAAUUGGAUCUAUUUAUAUUUAGUGCUGGCCUUUAUUGGCUCUUUGUCGGGACCCCGUUUAACAACUUUUUUCGGUCUUUUGGGUUCCACCCGAUCGUUGGGAGUACAAGCCGGGAGCGUGGGAACGUGGAAAUCGUCCCUGUUGACAGGGGAACACGGAAAUCGGACUAAUUCGCCUUUGCUAACCCCGGCAUCUGGGAGAGCAGCUACAAAACUUGGUUCUUGAUCAAUUUCUUUACCUCGCCCUCCAGAAGUUGCUUAUUAUCGUACUCCUCUUGAGUUGAAAGAAAGUUCAUGGCGGUCUUUGAAUUACUCUUAGUGUACUUGCGUUCUUUCCAAGUUCAAGAAAAAAAGAUUAUCGAUGUACCAAGAAAUAUCUCCUUCGCUUUCUGGAUCUCAUGCCUGAUCCUCUUCAUCCCAGGCACUCCUGUGAGUGCACAGACAUACCUUCAAGAGCGGUGCGGAGAUAGGGGAAACUACGCUGCGUAUAGCAAGUUUCAACACAACCUCAGCCGCCUCCUCUCCAGGGGGCUUUACAACAAGGACCCAUUUACGGUUUCUACAACACGACGGAAGGUGAAGAUCCCGACAAAGUUUAUGGACUCUUCCUCUGCAGGUAAAUUACAUGUGAAAACAUACCAAAAAUUUCAACUUUCGAGUAAGACCUUCCAAAUCAAUCAUUGCAAUCUUUGGAAUCGGUUCACUCAGAGGUAGGAUUCAUAAUGGACCCGAUACAUUGGACUUAAUCGAAAUCCUCUACAAAGUACGGUGAUUCAAUGCCAAUCGAAAAAUUACUAUUCAGAUUUAUGUGACUACUAAUGCAACUUUACUAUGCCUCUUUAGAGGGGAUGUUGCUGCCAAUCUCUGUCGGUCUUGCAUACACGCAGCUUGCAGCACCAUCAUAGAAAGAUGUCCAGGACAGAAAGAGGCGAUCAUAUGGUACAACGAGUGUCUCGUGCGCUACUCUAACAGAUCAUUCUUCUCUAGCAUGGAGACAACACCAAUUAUUUUCAUUGUCAAACCUGCGGACGUUUCAGUUACCUUCAACUGGAUUGUGGGGCAAACUUUCGAUAAGGAGAAGGACUUUGAGGUGGAAGUGUUGGAUUUGGCGAGGAAUGUCACGGACUUGGCGAUCUCCUCAGAAAGCUUAUAUGCGACGAUAAACCUUAAUGUCUCAAGUUCAGUGACCCUGCAUGAGGUUGUGCAGUGCACCCCGACAUAUCAAAGUUAGAUUGUAAGAGUUGCUUGCUUUCUGCCAUCAAAGAGUUCCCUACCGUUCUUAAUUAUAAAAGGGGAGGUGGGAGAAUUUUUCAGCCAAGUUGUAAUCUGCGGUACAAAAUGUAUCGUUCUGAUCAGGCACCAACUAACAAAACCCGCACUGAGUCCGGCAGUAAAGGUAUGAGUUAUAUAAUACUCAAACUGUGCACUCAAUUUGUCAUGGUAAACUUAUAAUGGUACCAUUCCAUCGUUUCUAAUUCUCAAUAUAAGCUGUUUUGUGUAUCACAUUGCACUUGACUUGCUUUUACUAUCUAAACUAUGAUCAUUCUCUCCUGCUUUCAGCAAGUUCUCUGGUACUAUUUACACUAGGUGAAAAUAAAAAAUCUGCGGAUUUAAGGUUGUUUAGAUGCAAGGAAUUUCUCUUUCUUGACAAUAGUUAGCUCAGUAACUGGAUUGGGGUUACUAUUAAUUAUCGUGAGUUCGUGUAUUUUUUCAAAGAGGACAAAGAGAUUAAAGAAAGGUAUAAGUGAAUUCAUCGUGCUUGCCAUUAGAAUGACCAUCUUCUAACCUUUACCUCACGAGAGUAAACUCUUGGAGUCUCAGAAAAGGAAAACAGCCAAGAGGUUCUGUUACUUCAUCUGAGACAAGAAAUUGGAGAAGAGUUGUGACAUCCAGAUUUUCGGGUUUUAAUUCGACUGGAUAAAUAGGGCCAUUUUGGUUCAGUUGAAGCUAGGGAUCGUGAAAUUGGGAUGCAAGUGGGCUAUAUUGGUAGGGAAAAAUACCAAUUGGAAUGACGAGGUGUUGAAUGAAAUAAUGAGAGUCAAUUUAAAUUGAAUCAAGAGGAAUUAUGGUCCAAUUGGGAAGAAACCCUAGCAAAUUCGUAUGCCCAUAGACCCAAUAUUUUAAACUACCUAAAGUCUUCUAGAAGGGUUAUUUUGGGGCUUGAAAGGUGGGUGGAUGACAGCCAUGGUGGCCCACGUAUGGCUGACCUAAGAGAGAGAGAGAGUGAGAGAAAAAGAAAGAAAAUUUGGUUUUCUCUUCUUCUCUUCUCUCUCCCGUCGACACCCUUUCUCCCUCUUCUUGCUGCUCGUGCCAUGGCUGUGCGAAGACCAGAGCAGCCGAAGCAGCAACAGCAGCUUCGCCCGUCGCCGCCUCUCGUCGCCGCCGUCGCACGCCCGCAAGCACCGGAGCUGCUCGCGCACCCGAGCCGCCGCCGAGCUGCCGUCCGCGUGCGUCCGCCCCUCUCCUCCCUCUGGUUCGAACAGAACCAGCCAGCAGAAACAGAAGCAGCGAUCGGUGUUGCUUGAAGGAGCUACAAUCGCGCCGGAGCUGCCUUCGCCGUCGUGCCGGAACGCUGCCACCGUCCGUCUCUUGCUCGCUUGCUUGAACGCCGUCCACCCUCUGUCUUCCUCUCCGUUUGCUGCUCGGGAUCUCAGAUUUGGGAAGACACCGGAGUUGGGGCAGCAGCUGGCGUUGCUGGACCGGAGCUGCCGCACCGCCGCCAGUGCGACGCCGUGCGCUCCGCCGCUGCUCCGCUCAGCUCGGUCUCCCUCUCGCCCAGCUCGCUGUUCCAGAGCUGCUGUCCAACCCCUGUUCCGCCUCUGUCCAACUCGUGCAAGACCCGCCGGAGCUUCCUCCGACCACCUCCGGCCACCAUGAAGACUUGCCUUGGUCUUGUUCAGCUCCUCCGCCCAUUCCCGAGCUCAACCAGCCCUGGAUCCGCCCUCCUUCGCCUCCAACCAGCAGUGCACAGAGAGUGCAGAAAUGGGUUUGCAGCAACUGUUUGGCCCGUUUUGGCCGCCUUCCCGAGCCCGGAUGCUCGGCCCGCUUUGAGGAAAGUCGAUCCUCGCGUCGAGCCCGUCGUUUUGAGUGAGUUUUACUCACUAAUGCCUCCUUAGUGUGCAAAUUACACUUAAAGGUUGAUUAGUUUUAAUUAAAUGUAAUUAGAUUGUUAGAUUAGAAUUGAUUAGUGAUUAUUAGUUAAUUGCUUGGUAUAUUAGUGAUGUAAUUAGUGUAAUUAGAUAGAGAAUUGCUUGUAGUAUUUAUUGGAUGCUUCUUGGGAUUUUUCCCGUCCCUUAUCGGGUGUUAAUUAAGCAAAUCGGGCCUAGGUGGAAUUUUUAGGAAUUAAAUAUUAAUUUUGGAAAUUAAUUAUUUAAUGAUUUAUUUCUCGGAAAUUCAACUAGGAUGGCUAGUGACCAGGAUUUUAUGCCGAUGAUCGUGGUGCAGUCCGUUUAUUUAAUUGAGUUUUAUAUUGUGCUAAAUUGAAUUUAUUGUAUUUAUUUAUUUAAUAUUCGAAAUUAAUUAUUUAAUUAAUUAUUUUCCGGAAAUUCAACUGGGAUGGCCAGUGACCGGAAUUUCGUGCUGAUUGUCGUGGUGCAGUCCGUUUAUUUAAUUGAGCCCUAUUUCAUGCUGAAUUGAAUUAUUUGUAAAAGAAGGAAUUAUUCUUUAAUUGAAUAAUCUUUGGUUAUUAAUUGAAAAAGAACUGGGCUUUGGUUGAUAAUGCCAAAAGGAUCUGAGUGGGCUAUAGAAAAUGGUGGAAUUUAUAAAAAGGAAAUUAUUAUGUUUUGGCUAAGGCCAAUCGAGUAUCCACUCAUGGCAUUUUAUCGGGAAUGAUAAAAUUGGUUAUUUGAUUAUUUGCUUGGAAUGAUAUGAUAUACCGGCUCGAUGACUCUACGGAGCAUCUGGAGACAGGACGGUAUGAUAAAUUGCGUGUAUACCGGCUCGAUGACUCUACGGAGCAUCUGGAGACAGGACGGUAUGAUAAAUUGCGUGUAUACCGGCUCGAUGACUCUACGGAGCAUCUGGAGACAGGACGGUAUGAUAAAUUGCGUGUAUACCGGCUCGAUGACUCCACGGAGCAUCUUGAGACAGGACGGUAUGAUCUACCGGCUCGGUGACUCUACAGAUUAUCUUGAGACAGUACGGUAUGAUAUACCGGCUCGAUAAUCCUAUAGAUCAUCUUGAGACAGUACGGUAUGAUAAAUGGUUGAUCAAGAGAUAAUUUGGAUGACAUGUAAUCGACUAGGUCGAUUGAUUGAGGAUUCGAUCUGAGUGUGACUUGAUGUGAUUCAUUGCCUUGGUUUGAUGUUGUGAAGUGAAUGAUUGAAGGGAGAUGAUCGUGAGUGGUCUUCCUGAUGUGAAAUCGACUAAGUCGAUUAGAUCGAUGCUUCGAUCUGUGAUGUGCUUGAUUGUGUGCCUAUUUAAUCUGUACUAAUAUGCAGGUGGAAUCUGAGGCUAAGGUAAGUCUUCUAACUCAUGUUGUGCAUAGGCAGCCCUAAGGUGUAUUAGUUUACUAAUCGGGUCUUAGGGAGUAGAACUUGCUGAGACGUGGUCUCAGUGGUUAUUGAAUAACCAUUUCAGGAUCUGGAUGAGGAGCCUAAGGAGCAUGAAUCUGAUGAGGAGGUCCCUGAUGAGGAACCCGAAGAGGAGUACGUGGAGGAGGACAUCGAGUACGACCCGGAUGAGGAUCGAAAUCCUAUCCUGUCUUGUCAGACCUUGUUUGCAUGUAAAAAGUUGUAGUUGUGAAUUUUCAGUAAGAAAAAUGUAUGGCCUGCUUUUCUAUCCCAUUGCUUUAUUGUCUGGGGAUUUAUAACUGCUUCCGCAUGUGCUAUUAAAAAUGAAAGGGUCGGCGAUACAUAGUCCUGGGAUAUCGCAUAAUAAAAUCGACCAAAAGUAAGGGAUGUGUGCGUGCCUGAGGGUCGGGGCGUGACAAGAGUUUUCAAAGGAAAACUCUCGUGGAGAAAAGCCAGUGGCUUCUCAACAAUUAUCUCUAAUGCGAUUAGACAUCAUAUGCACGAACACAGGAAACUUCUCCAAUGAAUGUAAACUUGGGGAAGGCGGGUUUGGUCCUGUGUACAAGGUAAGCAAUGUGGUGACUCAACACGUAUUUGCGGGGAAAUUGGGAAAAUCUUCUAAUGGUAGCAAACUGGCAGAGUCAUUAUCCAUAGCAUGAACUGAAUCGGAUUUGGUUAGCAUUAGUAAUUCUCAGAUAGGGAUCUCACUACUGAUUUUACGCUAUUUCAGGGCACAUUGGUAGAUGGAAAAGAAAUCGCAGUUAAGAGGCUUUCGAGAACCUCAGGCCAAGGACUCAUCGAGUUGAAGAACGAAGUCAUCUUGAUUGCUAGACUACAACACAGGAACCUCGUCCGAUUGUUGGGAUGCUGCUUGGAAGAAGAAGAAAAACUCUUGAUAUAUGAAUACUUGCCCGACAGAAGCCUGGAUGUCUUCCUUUUUGGUUUGAGCUUUAGCAGAUGCAAGGAAUUUUUGAGCUAGUUAAUUUUAGUUUUAUAAAGUUGAGUUCCAUCUGAGUCUCUCAUCUUUGACAGAUUCGAAUAUAGGGCAAUAUCUAGAUUGGAAGCUGCGCAUGAACAUUGCCUGUGGAAUAGCUCGGGGACUUCUCUGUCUGCAUGAGGAUUCUCGCUUGAGAAUUAUCCACUGAAAUCUGAAAGUUAGCAAUAUUUUGCUAGAUGGCGAGAUGAAUCCAAAAAUAUCAGGUUUCGGAAUGGCAAGGAUCUUCAGUGUAAAUCAGCUCAAGAACACCAGAUUGAGCACAUAAUAUUUCAGAAGUUCCAUAUAGAAAAUUCCUUUUCUUUGUCUCUUACUUCCAACUAAUUGCUCUUCAUCACAUAAAUCUGGUUAGUGGAUAUAUGGCACCAGAGUAUGCGAUGGAAGGACUCUUUUCUGUGAAAUCAGAUGUCUUUAGUUUUGGAGUUCUCUUGCUAGAGAUAGUAAGCAGGCACAAGAAUAAUGGUUUUCAUCUUCAAGAGGAGGGUGAAAGCCUUCUCACUUUUGUAUGUUCCUAAUCACCAUCCUAGUUUAAUACGAAAUCAAAGAUUUUUGUGCAGCUACCCCUGUUUAUUUUUCUUGAUAUUUGACAAGCAUGGAAGUUGUGGUCCGAAGGUCGAGCGUUGGAACUUAUCGAUCAGUUGAUCAAUGAGUCAUGUGAUGAAAUUGAAGUGCUGAAAUGUGUACAUGUUGGUCUAUUGUGCGUUCAAGAAGACCCGGCGGAUCAACCGACUAUGUCACUCGUGGUUUAAUUUAGGAGGUGAUACUGUAACACUCAGCCAACCAUCGCAGCCUGCAUUCUCAGUUGGGAGAGAUGCGAAGAAACUUGAUCGUGUCAUGCCCACUCAUGGAGCCUCAACUAUUAAUGGAGUAACCCUUUCGGUUGUUGUGGCUAGGUGACCAAGUAUUAUACAAUGGAAAAGCUGUUAGUUAGAUAGCAUUAUGAUAUUUAUUUUAUCUUUUAGGAUUGUGCAUGUAUCUCCAUUGUAAUAUAUUUAGAUCAUCCUACUUUCUAUAUUUGUCAUGUAAAGCCGGCUUAUGUUCUCUUCUUUAUAUAUACAAAUAUACAUAAACUAAAAUAUUCUCCCUUUUGCAUAUUUCUUAUCUUUUUAUCUUAGUGUUAGAGCUAGACGGUCUUAAGCAAAUUUUGAGUGCUUGAGUGCGAGACACCCGACUGCACACCUGGAGCACACCUUCACAUCUCGUAUCAUGUGAUCCAUUUCUGUUAUAACUAGUAAUGCUCCUUUCUCAAUGUCGAUUCUUAACAUUUUCGUCAUGUAUGCAUAAACGUUAGCCUAUUGCUGUCUAACCUACACACAUCCGUCAAUUCUCUCUUCAGCACAUGAAAUCACCUCUCCGGAUCUUUACUCCCAACGCCAUUUGACUUCCUUUUUGUCACUUUGAGUUUGAGUGUUUGUUUAAGAUAAUUAAGAUUUUUACCUUGAUCCUCCAUUAUUCAGGAUUGUGAAUAUGUACGUCACAACCUGAUCCACAUACAGCCGCAUGACAACCCUUCCUCAACACUACUUUCUCUUUGGGUCAUUCAAUUGCAACGUCCCAAGAAGCAUCGCCGACCCAAAUCAUAAUAAUANNNNNNNNNNNNNNNNNNNNNNNNNNNNNNNNNNNNNNNNNNNNNNNNNNNNNNNNNNNNNNNNNNNNNNNNNNNNNNNNNNNNNNNNNNNNNNNNNNNNUUGGCACACACCGACGUCGGAUAUACCUACGCCUCUAAUACUACAAGGGUGAUUCAAAAAGUGCUAACACCCACAUCUACCUAAGCCCCAAUGUCCUCCGGGGUCCAGGCCUCCCACAUGGUGAUCAGCGCAAGGUUGAUCUCGAGGUCAGACACCUCCCCAUCGGAAACGUCCCAAUCCUUGGCAUCCUAGCUAAUGUCGCCCACAGGAUAGGCCCAUAGCUCUUGCCGCCUACCCAAAAGUAGCAAGCCACAUAUUGGUGUGGCACGAGGUUAAGUAAACCCUCAUUGACCAAAAUUGUCGUGACAUAUCACCUAUAGUGCGCAUUGGCUGCUCCCAGUACCAGAUGCUCUGUCACCUCCUAACUAUACUCGACAGGGAAGCCAAAACGAAUCUAACGAAAUUGUUUAGUCAUUCUUAGAACCUGAAAACAUUUCAACAAACAAAUAUGAGAUAAACUCAAUAAGAGAACUUCCUAGACAUGGAAAUAUCUAGGAAGAGCCCUAAACAUGCAAAUAUCUAUCAAUGGCAAAACAUGGCAACACACUUCUCACUUUACUCUUAUCGAUCUCAUAACAACUUGUCUACCAUACAAGGCCAUCAAAGUAUAUGCAUAGACAAUUUCAUAACAUAACCUUCAUGUUCUCGAGCCAAACAUACGAAUGCACAUUAUGGUUCAAAUCAUGCGCAUAUGCCAUGUAAUAAUCGAAACUUGAACACAUACGAAUCUCAUGCACUUUCCAUACAAAAAUGUGCAAAUUAUUAUGGCCACUCAAAACCCAAAGCCAAUCCGAAGGUUCGCAAAUCAUCUGGAAUAGCCGGGCAUGGUCUUGCCCCAUCGAGCACAGCAUCCCAUUGACUUGGGGGCAUUCCUAUAAGGAGCUUCAUUCCAAAAUUCAUCCACGAAUGGUAUCCUAUUGACUUGGGGGCAUUCGAACUUAAUCAGGCAUUGACCUGCGUAAAACGCCUCAAGACGAGUUCACACGUGGUGUAAAACGCAUCAGGGUCUUAGGUGAUCACACAGGAAUACCAUCACAUACUCCAUUUCUUGUCUUUAUCAUUUAACCCGUGUGAUGCUCAUGCGAUAUGCAACUUCACAUGUCAAAUGCCAUCGUUCCACACACGUACAUCAAUUACCUCACACACAUAUGGACCAUUCACUUCCUAAACUCAUGACACAUAAUCUACAUAUCAUGUUUAACCACUAAUUCACAUGGCACGUAUUCCAUUUAUAAUUUCUAAGCAUCAAUCCACAUGGAAAAUCAUCCAAAUAACAUAUUUAACCACUAAAACACAUGGCACGUAUUCCAUUUAGAAUUUCUAAGCAUCAAUCCACAUGGAAAAUCAUCCAAAUAACAUGUUUAACCACUAAAACACAUGGCACAUUAUUCAAAUAAUAUGUUUAACCACUAAAACACAUGGCAUGUCAUUCAAAUAACAUGUUUAACCACUAAAACACAUGGCACAUCAUUCAAUUAACAUGGAUAACCACUAAAACACAUGGCACAUAACCUAAAAAACAUGUUUAACCACUAAACUACAUGUCAUAUAACCGAAAUAAUAUGUUUAACCACUAAACCACAUGUCACAUAAUCCAAACAACGUGUUUAACCCCUAAACCACAUGUCACAUAAUCCAAAUAAGAUGGAUAGCCACUAAACCACAUGUCGCAUAACCCAAAUAACAUGUUCAACCACAAAACCACAUGUCACAUAAUUCAAACAACAUGUUUAGCCACAAAACCACAUGGCACAUCACUUAAAUAACAUAGAUUACCACUAAUUCACCCUAAACUACUCCCUAAAUGCAAUGAAAGCCCUAAUCAAAUGCUAAAAAGCCACUCACGAACGACUCGGGCUCCCAAACAUGCCAGGGAAAAGGACUACAAGGCCGGACAACAGCUAGCCUCACGUCCUCCAUGCGUAGGUGAGCUGGACAGUAGCUAAACAACAGUCUAGUGAUUGCACGUUGGGGGUUUGACGGGUGGUCGCCGGCAAGGAAAACAAGGGGAAAAUGGAAGAAACAAGCUUGAAAUGGUGAUGAAAAUGGCUUGGAGAGUUUGGCUACUUAAAGUGAGGGAGAGAAAGGUGAGUUUGAGAGUUCAAGUGAGAAAAAUGAAAGUGAAAGUGAGAGAGAAAGGGGGUGGCCGGCAGUGAGGGGAGGGAAAGGAAGAGAGGGGUAAGAGAAAGGACAUCCUAUCUCCAUAAAUGUCCAUCCCAUCCUAUAUCCUUUAACCUAUUAAGCCUAGAGUUCUUUUAAUGAGGAAGUGACAACUUGAAAAGAGAACAAAGUGAGAGUGAGGGGGAGGUAGGUGGCCGGCGGUCUUGAGGGAGAGGGAGGAGAGAGACAAGAAGAAAUCUUGCUCAUAAAUGCAUCACUUCCCUUGACUCUUGUCCAUCAAGCUUGCCCAAAGAAGAAGCAAGAUCUAGCAUUAAAUGGGAGGAUUUGCACUCAAGUGACUAGGAUUGGACUAAACUAGGUAGCCUUUUUCCCUCCUCUUGGCCGCCCCUUCUUUGCCAUUUUUCCAUUUUUAUCCUUUUGUCUUUAGUCCAAUAGGAGGGCAUUUCCGUCACUUCACCAAGAUCUCGCAUUAUUCAUGUCUUUUCGUGCAUUUAAUGCCAAGAUUGUGUCAAAAAGGGAUUGAUGGGCUUUAAGGGGCCCAUGGGCCUCCCUUGGUCACCCACCCUUGGGUGUGUGGGUCUUGGGCAGCCAACUUAGGCUCAAGCCCAAUAGGUCAUUGUCCCUAACCCGUUUCCACUUUUCUACACUCAUAUGCCCUUGCUGAUGAAAAACCGAGGUUUCGCCCUUAAAUGGUCUUUUUUGAUGCCCUCAUGGCUUAUCAAUCCUCAAGACACUCUCGUCCAACGAUCACUUACCAGAAUAAUUUCAUUCUGAAAAACCGGGUCGGAACGAGGAUGUCACAACUCUUCCCCCCUCAAAGAAAUUCCAUCCUUGAAAUUUGUAGGACCAACCACUUCCUCAAAUAGAUGGGAGUAUUGGCUCCUCAUAAUGUCCUCGCUUUCCCAUGUCACUGCCUCGGUACUGUGAUACUGCCAGACAUUUUUUACAAAGGGAAUGACUUUGUUGCGCAACACCCUUUCUUUUCUAUGCACGACUCGCAUUGGCUGCUUGACAUAAGUCAGUUUGUCGUCCACCUCGAUCUCUUCAUAGUUUAGCACAUGUGUCAGGUUUCAUUCAUACUUUCUCAGCAUCGAAACAUGGAACACGUUAUGAACCUGGGCAAGAUUUGGUAGUAGUGCCAAUUGGCAAGCUAAAGUUCCAAUUCUUUCCAAAAUUUCAAAAGGUCCUACAAAUCUGGGGCUUAGCUUCCCUUUAUUGCCAAAACGAGACAUACCUCUCCUUGAUGACACUUUAAGGAACACGUGAUCGCCAACUUGGAACUCUCGAAGUCUUUAUCGUUUGUCCACAUAGCUCUUUUGGUGACUUUGGGCUGUCUUUAACCUUUCUCAAAUGAUUUGGACUGCAUCCACGAAUUGUUGCGCAAGCUCGAGGCCCAUAAUUUCCUUUCUCCGACCUCAUCCCAACAGACGGGCAUUCUACAUGCAUGUCCAUACAUUGCCUCAAACAGUGCAAUUCCAAUGCUCAGUUGAUAAUUGUUGUUGUAUGCGAAUUUGACGAGGUGGAGUUGGUCUUCCAUUCUCCUUUGAAAUCUAUGACACACGAUAUCAUUGGUGCCGUAUGCUACCCUAUUCGAUGUAGUCCAUGUUUAUGAUGAUUCACUAUAUUUGUGCUAUGUUCACUAAUGAGCAAAGUUAGGAUCUUGUUGUUUAAUGCCAUGCUUUAUCCUUUAUUGGGCAUUGUUGCUCACCCCUUAUUUUUCCUCUUAGAUCAUUAGCUAUGGAUGUGACACCCUUGAUGACUUAUGGCACGUAUGGGAACUUCGAGGAUGGAGAUUCUGGUCUUGUUUUGACUCAUUAUGUGUGCACUGUCUGCAUAGAUGAUGGACGCCCUAAUCAUUUCCCAAUGCGAUUUGUGUUCGUGUACCUUAGCGUGAAUGGGAGGUUGUUUGGCCCCAUCUGUUGGUGAUGUUUUGUGCGUGGAGUAGGAGGCACGCGUGGUAUGGAGGGAUGUAGUGAAUGAGGAAAACUACCGGGUAGAGGAGUUAGACACCUUUUUGGCCUCUCCCAGGUAUUUUGUUUGGGUCAUCUUGAUGAGUAUUUUUCUAUGUUUGUAAUUGUCAAGAUGUCAUUUUUCUCUUGUAAUCCUUACUUAUGAUGAAUGAAAUGGAAGCAUGUUGUUAUGGAAUUUGUUCCUAAGUAAAAUUUUCAUAUUAAAAUGUAUACUCUUCCACUUGUGUAAUAAUAAUGAAAGAUUAUAGUCGAGGUUAUAAGGUGACCGUCUGGGACAUAACAGUUACAUUGGUAUCAGAGCUAUAGGUUAACCAUGGAGUGAUAAGGUGCGCUAGUGGUGGAAGAAGGUAGGACGCACGCGCUAAAACACUGAUCGCUUGUGCUUGUUGUAUUGCUAUUUUGUAAAGAACAAGUAACCUUGAUUACUCAUAGGGUAUUAGUAACUUAUGUUACUUAUUAGUUGGUUAGGGUAUUCAAUCACUUAUAGUGACUGAUUUGUAGAAUGGCUGGUGCUUCAAGAGGGAUAGGAACCGGUAGAAGGACAGCCAUGAGUGAAUCCCUUAUAAGGACAGAGGCUAGAUUGGAAGGGAUUUUGCAAGCUCUUGCUAAUGUAGAAGCCCUGACGGAGAGACAAACUCAACAGCAACAGCAGGGCGGUGAAUGCCGAAUGCAAGGGUUGGUUGAACAAUUCCUUAAGUUGAAACCAUCAAAAUUUGCUCGUUUGGGAGACCCUUUGGAGGCUGAGGUAUGGAUAGAUGAGAUGGAAAAGAGUUUUACAUUGUUGAACUGCAUGGAUGUGGAAAAAGUAUCCCUGGCGAAGUACCAACUUUUGAGAAAUGCUUACCAUUGGUUGAAGGUGAUGAAGGGAACAGUAUUCCCCGAAGGUGCUGAGGUGACUUGGGCUAGUUUUGUUUGGGCUUUCUUUGGAAAGCAGUUUUCUGAUUGUGCUAGAGACAAGAAGGUGAUGGAGUUUAUGCAACUAACCCAAAAUAACCUAACGGUGGAUCAGUAUGAGGCAAGGUUUGUUGAACUCUCUAGGUUUGCUCCCAAGUUAGUUGAGGACAGGGAGGAUAAAGCCAAGAGAUUUUUGAAUGGUAUGAGGCCUGACAUUCGUAGGCAUCUAAUGCCUCCGAACUUGAAAGAUUAUCAUGAAUUGUACGAGCGUGCUCAAUUAGUGGGAGCUUGUGAUGAAAGGGACCCUAGUAACCCAUCAGGUGAGAUCAAUUCAUCAGGCUAGUUAGAGCAAUUUCCACUAUGACAAGAGACCCUUUCAAGCUGGGCGACCAUCGUUCUCAUUGACUAAGAAAAGUUGGAUUGGAGAACCUGGGAAGGCGUGGAACAGUUAGUCAUCGAGGUGACCACGAAGCCAAAGUUCUACUUGUCUGGUGUGUGGUGGAUUGCAUGUGAGCAUGUUGUGCCGAUUUGUGAAGGCAUAUUUUGGUUGUGGACAACCAAAUCACUUGGUUAAAGACUAUCCACAAAGGAGCACCCAGUAGCAACGGCCACCACAAUCAUCAAUUGCAUCGGUGUAACAAGGAAAUAACCGCAGGUCGCUAGCUCAAGAAAGAGUCUAUGCAAUUACACGUAAUGAAGUUGAGGCCUCUAAGACAAUCUUUAUAGGUAUUAUUUCCUUGUUUGACCAAAAUGCUUAUGCUUUAUUCAAUACUAGAGCUACACACUCGUUUAUGUCUACUCAGUUUGUGCAAUUAAGUAGGAUGAGACCUAGGGAGAUGGAAGUACCCCUUAAUAUCUCCACAUCGUUAAGAGACAUAGUUUUAUCUACCCUAGUAUGUAAGGACUGUAGGAUCUUUAUAGUAGGACAAAGUUUGCAUUCAAAUUUGGUGGUGUUAACUAUCUAUGAUUUUGAUGUGAUCUUGGGGAUGGAUUGGCUUCAUAAGUACCGAGCUAAUAUGGAUUGUUAUAGGAAGAUCAUUCAGUUUAAUCCUCUUGAUCGCCUAGUUUUGAAUUUUAUGGAGAUAGGGCGACUCCUUCCUUACCGCUCAUUACUGCACUUGAGGCUCAUCAACUCCUUGAGAAUGGAUGUGAGGGUUAUCUAGCUUGUGUGAAAAAUCAAGAUAGAGAAGGAGUAAAGCUAGAAGAGAUUUCGGUAGUUCGGGAGUUUCUCGAUGUUUUCCUAGGGAGUUACCAGGCCUACCCCCAAAACAAGAAGUUGAGUUCAUCAUUGAAGUGGCGCCUGGUACAAAACCUAUAUCGAAGGCCCCAUAUCAAAUGGCGCUAAGUGAGUUGAAGGAACUAAAUGUGCAACUACAAGAGUUGCUUGACAAGGGGUUUGUUAGGCCAAGUGCAUCACCUUGGGGUGCGCCAAUAUUGUUCAUGAAAAAAUAGGGAUGGAUCCUUAUGCCUAUGUAUAGAUUACAGGUAGCUAAAUCAAGUAACGAUUAAGAAUAAAUAUCCGUUGCCUAGGAUCGAUGACCUAUUUGAUCAGUUGCAAGAAGCGUCAAUGUUUUUUAAAGUCGAUCUAAGAUCAGGGUACCAUCAACUAAGAAUCAAGAAGGAGGAUGUUCCUAAGAUGGCCUUUCGAACUAGAUAUGGACAUUACGAGUUCUUAGUUAUGUCCUUUGGAUUGACUAACACACUAGCCGCUUUUAUGGAUUUAAUGAAUAGAAUAUUCAAGCCGUUCUUGGAUCGAUUCAUGAUAGUUUUCAUAAAUGAUAUCCUAGUGUGUUCGAAAGGGCGAGAAGAUCAUGGGGAGCACUUGAGGAUCAUGUUGUAAACUCUUAGAGAACAUUAGUUGUACGUCAAAUUCAGCAAAUGUGAAUUUUGGCUGGACAAAGAUAUAUUCUUAGGUCAUAUGGUGAUUGGAAAAGGGAUAUCGGUAGACCCAGAAAAAGGUCGAAGCCGUUCUAAAUUGGCCAAGAUCGAUGAUGGUAACUGAGAUUCGAAGUUUCUUGGGUUUGGUGGGAUACUAUAGGAGAUUCGUGGAAGGAUUUUCAUGGAUUGCAGGGCCGUUGACUCAAUUAACUUGGAAGAACUCAAAGUUUGAAUGGACGGAGGAGUAUGAGCAAAGUUUCCAAUAACUCAAGAGGAGGCUAAACACGGCACCUAUCUCAACAAUACCUUCAGGACUGGAAGGAGACGCAUUCAUAGAAGCUGAGGUCAGAUUCUCCUUAAGAUCUGUUUUACUGGACCUCCUGCAUUUGUUGUUUUCGUGGGUUGAAAUGUGCUGCGAAUUUAAGGUUGCUUUCUUCUUGAAAAAUGUUUUGAACAUCUUCAUUUAUAACAUAUAUUUUACUUAAGAUUUUAUGGAUUUGAAGGACUGAUUUUUCAGCUUCGUUGCAUGCAAAUUAGUAUCUUGUUUUAUGCUGGAAUCUGUGACCUUUUGGUGUUCAACAAUUUUUUUAUCAACUUUUGUGAUUUGAUUUUUAAAAUGGUUUCUUCACAAAAUUUGUUCAACACAUCUUGAAGUUUAACAUAGUCAAAUUCUAGAGCAAAUGGCAGAAUUUUUAACUUCAAACCAAGCUGGUUUUGAAAACGUGAUUUUUGGACAUGAGAACAAUUUUGAUGAUUGUUUUGUGCGAUUUACUUCUCUUAUUCUAGAAAGAACUGGGUUAAACAUUUUUCAUGAAAAUUAUUUUUUAAGUGUUCUUUAUAACAUAUUUAAAUUUAAAUAUUUUCUGAACUCUUUUGGUUAUGUUUCCGGAUUUAAUCAUAGAGCCACGCAUGUGGACAUGGUUUCUGCCGGUGAGGGCUAGUUGUCGUCUUGUUGCUAUUUCUGAUGUUUUACUUGCUGGAAAAUGCAUAUUUUGUGAUUGUGGAUGAGUUUGGCAUGCUGAGAACCAAUGCUUGAUGGCUGUGCAUGAGUAGUGCUCAUUGUGUGUGCAAAAUGAUGUGAAAUAGGCAUGGAGGUGGUGUGAAGGGCAAUUCUAUUUUAUGCAUGCUGAUGCAUUGUGAUCUUGGCAGUAUGGUAGUUUAUGUGUGUGCUAGUGGUGUCAAAAGUGUGCCCUAAUGAAAGAUUGUGAUGUGGUGAAAUGUGUGAAUGAAUCAAAUUAAGAGACAUUCCAUCGGCCAGCAUCCCGAUGAUGCCCCCCGAGGAGUGGGGAUGCCCCAAACUGUGUGGUCUGGAAUGCCUCAGUUCAAGUCACAAGGCCAGUGACCCUUGGACACCAGGAUGCCUCGAAGGGAGAUGCCUAGGGCCAACGUCUCCUGGAAGUCCAGCCAGCAACCAAAAAGUGACUCGAAUGGAACCAACCAGCGUCUCCGGUUAAAUUCGAUCCGAGGGUGGAUAUGAAAUGUUCUCACAUUGAAAUUAAUUAAUAAGGCAUGUGAGUACGUGUGAUGAUGUAGUUGUGUGCCAUGUGAUGCAUGAAUGAAUUCGUGUGCACUGUGUGACACAUGAUUAGAGUUCGUAUAUGCCUUGUGGUGCGGUCUUCAUGCAUUUUACUCAUUAUAGCAAUGAUAUCCUAGAUUUUCAGUCUUGUUUUCAAUUUAAUAAAUCGGGUUUUUCAUCGACGUGCCUAUAGUGCUAUUCUUAGAGCUGAUCACUCCUGAGAUAACUUGACUAUCUGGGGAAAUUAUUAAGGGAUUUUAAUGCAAUAGACUUGAGAAUUCAACUAGGAAUCGACUAAUCGACUGUGCUCAUCUGCAGAGAUCAUUACGGCACAGUAAAGAUUGAUUAGAGAUCAGAGAUAGGUCGGUUUGAUUGAGAUGUGUGGUUAAACAUGGAUGAUUCCACUAAAUUGCAAAUUCUUGUCAAUCGGUACUAGACUGAUUUUUCUAUCGUUUCGGUACCCUGUGUCCGUAUUUGAAACCUCGAGAUUUUCACGACUACCAAGAGUCGCCAAUGUGUUGAAGAGGUUCAUUGUGGCUCGAAGAAAAUUGACCACGAGCCAUUUGCACUAAAAAUUUCUAAAAGUUACCCGGUAGUCUAGGUCACGCUAAAAGCACGCCAAAUCAAAAUUAACCGCGAAUUUGAAUCUGAUUUCAGAAAUUGAAAGUUCUUUCAUGUCACAAGUCAUUUUAAGAAAGUCGACUCAGUUUUUGAAGAUUUUUCUACAAAUCAAGAUUUUUGGCGAAAAGUUGACAUAGGGUCGUUUUUGUCCAGAAAAUUCAAAGGACCAUUUUUUAUCGCACAAUUGGGAUACAAGUAGAUUCUAUUGGUAAGGAAAAAUACCAAUUUGAUCGAAGACUUGAUAAUGAAAUUUAUAGAUGCCAAAUUGAGUUGAUUCAAGAUGGAAUUGAAGUCCAAUUUGGGGAAAAUCCAAUCAAAGAUCGUAGCCCCCCCUUGGACACAACCUUUGGACCACCUCUAAGGCUUCUAGAGGAAGUUUGGCUACUGGAAAUUGGCUGAGGAAGCCAGCUUGCAAGUGGGACCAAGCUAAGGGAGACAAGAGGAAAGAGAGAGGUCAAGAGGGACCCUCCACCAGCCAAAGCUGUCCCCUUCCCUCUAUCCUUGCUACCGUCAACCCUUUCCCUCUAUUCCAGCUCCUUGAAGCUUCAAAAAUUUUAGAAAACCGAGCUUCAGUCCCCCCUUACCGUCGCAACCACCCGUCAAGCCACCGGACUGCCCCUCGCAGCCGCUCGCUCGCUCGCACGCCACUCGCUAUUGUCCAGCCUACCCACGUCUCCAGCCGCUCAUUCCAUUACUGCUCGCAACUGGCCGAUGUCGCUAGGUUGUCGUGCGUCGCCGUUGUAGUCGCCGGAGAUGACGUCUACCCGCCUGCACACUCGUUCAAGCUGUUACAAUCCCCGUUGACCGUCCUCGCCGCUUCAAGCCGUCGAAGCAGCUUCUUCGGCUCAACCACAAAACCGAAUGGAGUGGGUCUCGCCAGCAUUGUUUGGCCCGUUUUUGUGCCCUUCCGGACCUCGAAAGGCGCACCCGUUUUGGAAUUUAUUGAUCCUCUCUGCCUCGCUGUCAUUUCGGUUCAACCAAUUCGUUAAUCAAGUGAGUUUAACUCACUAAUCCCUGCUUAGUAAGUUAAUGAUGCUUAAGGGUUGAUUAGUUUAAGUUAAUUAGAGAAUAUGUGAUUAGUUAGAAUGGAUUAGUAAUUUAAUCGAUCAUUAUUGCAUGGUAGGUGGUUAGAGUAGUGCAAUUAGCAAGUAUAUAAGCUCUAGUAUUUACUUAGAUAGGUUCGAAAAUUUUCCGAACCUGAAUCAAUUUCCGAACCAGAAUCGAUAUUUAAUUAGGCUUUUCCGGUCUAAGUGUGCAUUUUGCUAUUUAUUGGUAGUUAUUAAUUAUUUUCCGUAAUUAUUUAAUUAAUUAUUAUUUUUCGAAAAUUAGACCAGGAUAGCCGGUGACCAGAAUUUUAUGCUAAUCGCAGUAGUGUGAUUUGUUUAAUUAAUUGAGUGCUAUCUUAUGCAAUUUGAGCGUGAUUUGUAAUUUUGGGGUAUCUAUCCCAAAAUUUUAUAUUUUAGUAUUUAAUUAGAAAAUACCGGGCGUCGGUUUACAACGCCAAAAAUGUGUUUAUGGACUAUGAAAAUUAGUGGGAUUUUCAAAUGGGAAAAUAUUGUAUUUUGGCUAAGGCUGACCGUGUACCCACACACAAUUAUAUUUAUCGGGUAUGAUAAAAAUGGUGGCAUUCUCAAUUGGUGAGAAUAAGUAUAUUAUAUCAACCUACGGGUGUCGAUAUAUCAACUUUGGGUGAGCAGUAUACUUUAUAGCUUAGGGUGAGCAUCAUAGGUAUACUAUAUCAGCCUACGGGCGUUGAUAUAUCAGUUUUGGGUGAGCAGUAUACCGGUAUAUUAUAUCAGUCUACGGACCUUGAUAUAUUAUCUUUAGGUGAGCAGUAUACCUUAGCGGCUUUUGGUGAGCAUUGAGAGUAUACUAUAUCAGUCUAAGAACCUUAAUAUAUCAGUUUUGGGUGAGCAGCAUACUAUAUUAUCAGCUUUGGAUGUACUAUACUAUCUAUCUUCAGCUUUUGAUGAGCAAUCCUCGAUGAGAUAAGACUUUAUAGAUAGUAUUGAUUGGAUUGACCGAGUAAUGGUCGUGAUGACAUGGAAUCGACUGAAUCGAUUGAUCGAUGGUUCAAUCUGAUGUGAUGAUGUGAUUUAUUGAUGUGAUUCGAUGAUUUUGUGAAUCAUACUGACUUGUAGGAAGGUACCGAGGCAAAGUAAGUCCUCUGACUCGUGUUUGUGCUUAGGCAAACCUUAGAGUGUAUUCUCUUCCUAGUCGGGUCUUAGGGGGUGAACUUGCUGAAACGUUGUCUCACCUCGUUGUCGGAUAAUAUUUCCAGGUCCUUAGAUGGCUGCUCCUCCCGAGUGUUUUGGACAACUAAAGAAAGUCACAGAACAGGUAUCUUACAUCCCGCUUCAUGGAGCCCUCGAGGAUGGGUCUAUGAGCUCAUAAGGUCCGUGGUUUGGGUCCAUGAGGCUUUAACCUCAUCAAUUCAGAUCAUGGUACCGACGUAUGCAGGAUGGACAGAGAGGGGGUCCCAUACCGAAGUCUGAGAUACAUGUGCAUGUGCUGGAGAUUGCUUUUGGAAAAGGCACAGCAAAUCCUCCUAGUGGAUCAAUUGUGGACCCGUAUCUAUCAGAUCUAGAGAUCCUGGUGUAUUCAGCUAAAGGCUCCAAUGAGGAUGAGGAUAAUGAGGAGGAAGAAGAUCUAUAGUUUUAGGUAACCUCACUGUUUUACAAACCUUGUUUUAUAGACUGGUAUUGUAUAUGACAUAAUUUGGUAUGUAUAUAUAAGUGUGGCUUGUUUGGUUUUCAAAAAUUUUGGUCCUACUUUCCUAUCACAUCUUGUUGUUAUCUGAUAAUUAUUUAUUCGCUUCCACAUACGUAUUAAAAAGAAUGGGUCGGCGACGCGUCCUGGGACGUCGCUAUUUAAUCAACCAUUGAGGAUGGGCACACGCUUGGAGGAUCGGGGCGUGACAAUAGCUUGUUUAGUUCACAUGAUAUCAUUAAUGCCAUAUGCUGCCCAAUUCGAUGUAGUCCAUGUUUAUGAUGAUUCACUAUGUUUGUGCUAUGUUCAAUAAUGAGCGAAGUUAAGAUCUUGUUGUUUAAUGCCGUACUUUAUCCUUUACUGGGCAUUGUUGCUCACUCUUUAUUUUUCCUCUCAGAUCAUUAGCUAUGGAUGUGACACCCUUGGCAACUUGUGGCACGCCUGUGCGGGUAGAUGGCGUGAAUAGGAAUUUUGAGUAUCAAGAUUCUUGUCUUGUUUUGACUCGUUAUGUUUGUACUGUCUAGAUAUAUGAUGGAUGCCAUAAUCCUUUCCCGAUGUGAUUUGUGUCCGUGUACCUCAACGUGAAUGGGAGGUUGUUUGGGCCCACCCGUUGGUGAUGUUUUGGGCAUGGAGUACGAGGCACGCGUGAUAUGAAGGGAUGUAGUGAAUGAUGAAAAUUGCCAGGUUGAUGAGUUAGGCACCUUUUUGACCUUUCCCAGGUGUUUUGUUCGGGUCAUCUUAAUAAGUAUUUUGCUAUGUUUGUAAUUGUUAAGAUGUCGUUUUCCUCUUGUAACCCCUGCUUAUGAUGAAUGAAAUGAAAGCACGUCAUUAUGGAAUUUGUUUCUGAGUAAAAUUUCCUUAUAUUAAAAAUGCAUACUCUUCCCCUUGCGGAAUAAUAAUGAAAGAUUAUAGUCGAGGGUCUAAUGUGAUGGCCUGGGACGUCACAAAAGCUAAUAUCCGAAACUUGGUCGUGGAUUUAUAUAUUAUUAUUUUAAAUUCUAAAAUCUGAUUUAAUUUUGAGCUCAAAUUCGAAGCAUAUUUUAACAAGGGUUACUCAUUUGAAGCAUAGAAAAAUACAUUUAGAAGAAAUUCAAACAGACAUCAAGAGCUGUCGACAUAUAAAAGGAGUGUUAGAUUUUGAAGAGCCAAAAAUCAACAUUUCAAAAAACUGGUGAGUUCUUAGUCCCGGGUCUUCGUCAACGAGCACUGGACUUUCAUUGGAGCAUCGUACUUGUUUUUUUUCUACCAAAAACGUAUGUACCCCUAUUCCUUCCGAGCAGGUCUCACCUGAUGAUAGUCCUCCGGUCCCACACAUCGAAGAAUUUCUAUGCUUCUGGAUGAUUAUGAGAGAAUGUGCACGUGUGGCAAUUCCAACCAAGCCUUGAACGAGGAGGGGAGGAACAUGUGAUUCAUAACCAUUGCCGAGUCGUUGUCGGGUCUUUUCGGUUUGUAUCUUGGGUUGAUUUUUAUCCACCGAGGGGACAAUCACAACACAAGAGCCUUUUUUUUUCAAUAUCUUUCUUUAAUUCCAGAACACAAGAUCCAUUUCUAUAGAUAAGAUAGAUCUAUCAGAUGGCGAUUCCAACCAAGCCUUGAACGAGGAGAGGAGGAACAUGCGAUUCAUAACCAUUGCCGAGUCUUUGUCAGGUCUUUUCGGUUUGUAUCUUAGGUUGAUUUUUAUCCACCGAGGGGACAAAAACCUUUGGUUUUUUAUUUUUAUUUUUUGUCAGAAAAAUCCUUUGGUUGAUUUAUUUUUAUUUAGUGCCGGUCUUUAUGGGGUCUGUUUGGGUCCCUCUCCCCUGAUUUUUCCUCUGGUAGGGCAAGCCAGGAACGGUCACCCUUCAUUUCUCCUGGGAAAGAAAAAAAAAAGCCAAUUGGAUCACACCUGUUGACGAAGGAACGUGGAAAUUGGACUAACGGUCACCCUAAUUUAUCCUGGAUAAAAGAAGCCAAUUGGAUCGCCCCUGUUGACGAAGGAACGUGGAAAUUGAACUAAGUCGUCUUCGCCAACCCCGGCACCUGGGAAAGCAGCUGCAAACUUGGUUCUUGAUCAAUUUCUUUACCUCGGCCUCUAGAAGUUGCUUAUUAUCGUACUCCUCUUGAAUUGAAAGACAGUCCAUGGCCGUCUUUGAAUUACUCUUACUGAACUUGCAUUCUUUCCUAGUUCAAGCAAAAAAGAUGAUCGAUGCACCAAGAAAUAUUUCCUUCGCUUUCUGGAUUUCAUGCCUGUUCCUCUUCAUCCCAGGCACUCCUGUCGGUGCACAGACAUAUGUUCAGGAGCGGUGUGCAGAUAGGGGCGACUACGCUUCUCCUAGCAAGUUUCAGGACAACCUCAGCAGCCUCCUCUCCAAGGGCGACUCCGCUGAUUACAGCAAAGGACCCAUUCGCGGUUUCUACAACACAACGGAAGGUGAAGAUCCGGACAAAGUUUAUGGUCUCUUCCUCUGCAGGUAAAUCACAAGCGAAAGAUACCAAAAAUUUCAACUUUUGAGUAAUACCUUCCAAAUCAAUUGUUAUAAUCUUUGGAAUUGGCUCGCUUGGAACUAGGAUUUAUAAUGGACCUGAUAUAUUGGUCUUAAUUGGAAUCCUCUACAAAGUACGGUGAUCCAACACCAACCUAAAAAUUACUAUCCAGAUUUAAGUGACUACUAAUGCGACUUUUCUAUUCCUCUUUAGAGGGGAGGUUGCCACCAAUCAAUGUCAGUCUUGCAUCCGUAAAGCUAGCAACACCAUCAUAGAAAGAUGUCCAGGACAGAAAGAGGCGAUGAUAUGGUAUGAUGAGUGUCUCCUGCGCUACUCUAACAGAUCGUUCUUCUCUAUCAUGGAGACAAGACCGAUUAUUUUUGUUGUCGACCCUGCGAACAAUUCAGUUACCUUCAACAAGAUUGUGGAGCAAACUUUUGAUAAUGAGAACUUUGCGGCAAAAGUGACAGAUUUGGCAAGAAAUGUCACGGACAUGGCAAUCUCCUCAGAAAGCUUAUACGCAACCAUAAACGUUAAUGUCUCAAGUUCAGUGACCCUGCAUGAGCGUGUACAGUGCACCCCCGACAUCAUAAAGUCAGCUUGUAAGAGUUGCUUGCUUUCUGCUAUCAAAGAGUUUCCUACCGCUCUUAAUUAUAAAAGGGGAGGUGCGAGAAUUCUUCAGCCAAGUUGUUAUGUACUGUACCGAAUGGAUGUUGCUGGGGAACCUGGAGGACAAGCACCAGCAUCUUCUGCAGCAAGUAAAGGUAUGAGCUAUAUAGCACUCAAAAUGUGUACUCAAUUUGUAAUUGAUAAGCAUAUAAUGGUAUCAUUCCGUUGCUUCUAAUUCUCAAUAUAAGCUGUUUUAUGUACCGUAAUGCACUUGACUUGCUUUUACGAUCUAAAGGAUCAUACUCUCUUGCUUUCAACGAGUUCUUGGUACUAUUUACACGCAGUGAAAAAAAAGUCUGCCGAUUUGUGGUAUGUUUAGAUGCAAGGAAUUUCUCUUUCUUGACAGGGCUCAAACGAAUUCCAUGGAUUGCAAUAGUUAGCUCAGUAAUUGGAUCGGGGUUACUAAUAAUCAUCGUGGGUUCGUGUCUUUUCUUUAUGAGGAAAAAGAGAUUGAAGAAAGGUACAAGUGAAUUCAUCUUGCUUGCCAUUGGGAUGACCAUUUUCUAACCUUUACCUGACUAAACUCUUGGACUCUCAGAGAUGGAAGACAGCCAAGAGGUUCAGUUACUUCAUCUACGACAAGAAAUUGGAGAAGAGUUUUCAAAGGAAAACUCUCGUGGACUGGCGGGUUCUCAAGAAUUAUCUCUGAUGCGAUUAGACAUCAUACGAGCAGCCACAGGAAACUUCUCCGAUGAAUGUAAACUUGGGGAAGGGGGGUUUGGUUCUGUGUACAGGGUAAGUAUUUCAGUGACUCAACACGUAUUUAUGGGGAAAUUGGGAAAAUCUUCUAAUGGUAGCAAAUUGGCCGAGUCAUUAUCAAUGGCAUGAACUGAAUCGAAUUUGGUUAUCAUUAGUAAUUCUCAGAUAGGGAUCUCACUACUGACUUUACGCUGUUUCAGGGCACAUUGGCAGAUGGAAAAGAAAUUGCAGUUAAGAGGCUUUCAAGAACCUCAGGCCAAGGACUCAUUGAGUUGAAGAACGAAGUCAUCUUGAUUGCCAGACUACAACACAGGAACCUUGUCCGAUUAUUGGGAUGCUGCUUGGAAGAAGAUGAAAAACUCUUGCUAUAUGAAUACUUGCCCAACAAAAGCCUGGAUGCCUUGCUUUUUGGUUUGAGCUUUAGCAGAUGCAAUGAAUUUUUGAGCUAGUUAAUUUUAGUUUUUAA